rnacentral:lncRNA from 1 species
UGUGGGGUGAGAACUUCUUUGACCCAGCCACAAAGAAAUGGACCUCCAAGAACACUGGGACAGCUACCUGCAAGAGAGGUUUCGUUCAGUUCUGCUAUGAGCCAAUCAAGCAAAUCAUAGCCACCUGCAUGAAUGAUCAGAAGGAUAAGUUGUGGCCAAUGUUGAAGAAGCUUGGUGUGACGAUGAAGAAUGAUGAGAAGGACUUGAUGGGCAAGGCUCUCAUGAAGCGUGUGAUGCAAACUUGGCUGCCUGCCAGUCGUGCUCUGCUUGAGAUGAUGAUAUUUCACCUUCCCUCUCCCUCAAAGGCACAGAGGUAUCGUGUGGAGAACUUGUACGAGGGUCCCCUUGAUGAUAUAUAUGCUAAUGCUAUCAGAAACUGUGACCCUGAUGGUCCUCUUAUGCUGUAUGUCUCCAAGAUGAUUCCAGCAUCUGACAAGGGUAGGUUCUUUGCCUUUGGACGUGUUUUUGCCGGGAGGGUUGCAACUGGUAUGAAGGUCCGUAUCAUGGGUCCCAACUUUGUUCCUGGCCAGAAGAAGGAUCUGUAUGUGAAGAGUGUCCAGCGUACUGUUAUCUGGAUGGGAAAGAAGCAAGAGUCUGUUGAGGAUGUUCCCUGUGGUAACACUGUUGCUUUGGUUGGUUUGGAUCAGUUCAUCACCAAGAAUGCAACCCUGACAAAUGAGAAGGAAGUUGAUGCCUGCCCAAUCAGGGCAAUGAAGUUCUCUGUGUCCCCUGUUGUGCGUGUUGCCGUUCAGUGCAAGGUGGCAUCUGAUCUUCCUAAGCUUGUUGAGGGUUUGAAGCGGCUGGCGAAGUCUGACCCUAUGGUUCUCUGUAGCAUUGAAGAGUCUGGUGAGCAUAUCAUUGCUGGAGCUGGAGAGCUUCACCUUGAAAUCUGUUUGAAGGAUCUGCAGGAGGACUUCAUGGGUGGUGCUGAAAUUAUUGUUUCCCCUCCCGUCGUCUCCUUCCGUGAGACUGUUCUUGAGAAGUCCUGUCGCACUGUCAUGAGCAAGUCCCCCAACAAGCAUAACCGUCUUUACAUGGAAGCUCGCCCAUUGGAGGAGGGAUUGGCUGAGGCUAUUGAUGAUGGCCGCAUUGGCCCACGUGAUGAUCCUAAGGUGCGCUCUAAGAUCCUAUCUGAGGAGUUUGGUUGGGACAAGGAUCUCGCCAAGAAGAUUUGGUGCUUUGGACCUGAGACGACUGGCCCCAACAUGGUUGUUGACAUGUGUAAGGGAGUGCAGUAUCUGAAUGAAAUCAAGGACUCUGUUGUGGCUGGGUUCCAGUGGGCAUCGAAAGAAGGUGCUUUGGCUGAGGAGAACAUGCGUGGCAUUUGCUUUGAGGUCUGUGAUGUUGUUCUGCACACUGAUGCUAUUCACAGGGGUGGUGGUCAGGUCAUCCCAACAGCCAGGAGGGUCAUUUACGCUUCUCAGCUCACUGCUAAGCCAAGGCUGCUGGAGCCCGUGUACCUGGUUGAGAUCCAGGCCCCAGAGAAUGCACUCGGCGGUAUCUAUGGUGUUCUGAAUCAGAAGAGAGGGCAUGUGUUUGAGGAGAUGCAGAGGCCUGGUACCCCACUGUACAACAUCAAGGCUUACCUCCCGGUCAUCGAGUCUUUCGGGUUCUCAAGUACCCUCAGGGCAGCGACAUCUGGCCAGGCAUUCCCCCAGUGUGUGUUCGACCACUGGGACAUCAUGUCUUCUGAUCCUUUGGAGGCCGGCUCCCAGUCUGCCACCCUUGUCACGGAGAUCCGCAAGCGCAAGGGUCUUAAGGAACAGAUGACCCCUCUGUCUGAUUUUGAGGACAAGCUCUAAACUUUUGGUUCUGUUAUCUCCUAUAUGGUGUAGUUGGUUUUGCUGCUAAGAGAGCUGCACUAUUAUUUUCUGUCUAUUGUGUCGUGGCUGUAUUGCUAUUGGGAUGUCCUAUCUGUCGUGAUACUGGCACUUUGUUUUUGAUGUCUAUCGAUGUUAAAACUUAGAUUAUAUAUGUGUUAGCCACUGGUAGUUCGUUGUUUGUGUUAGAUCCUGCUCUGCCUGAUUAUUUAUUGCUAUUUUCUUGCUCUAUAUUUUUCAUGUUUGUCCAGCAAUCGCAUCAGUGUUUUUCUUAUUCAUUGCAUUAGUUUUCUCCCUGCUCUUAUCAUCAUUUUACAUUGAUUGAUGCACUCGUCCAGGUUUUAUGCCCAUCGAAAUGUGUUCCCUCGUCUAGCAGUUGUAUCUUUCAAUUUAUCCUCAAAACUUGUUUAAGCUGCAGUUUGUCAGUUUUUUAGUACAGUACAUAGCUCUCCAGUUCGUACUCUACAAUCUCGUAGACACAAACUGAUGAUGAGAAAUUACUCCCUCUGGAACUAAUGCUAUACAUCAGUAGAGUUACUUGAGAUUAUUCUGUAGUAGAAGCAUCUGUUGGUGCUGACAAUAUCCGAACUUGGCAUAUAUUCUUUGGAAUAAUGAAGGGUGUGCGAGAGCAAAAAUUCCUUUCUCGACCCACUUUCGGGUGUUUGGUAGUGUAUGAAGGUUGCUUGAGUCCACACUAGUUUAACACAAAUAGGACGCGUUUGGUUGCCUGCAUUAGACCCAAUCAGGCCCGUGCGGGAAGAAAAUGGGCACCGAAUCGGCCAUUUUUUGCGAGCUAGACGAGCUAGAUCGAGCACAAGGAGUGGGCCCCGUUGCAUGAGAGGACCUCUCCUCUAAUCCCCUUCUUCCUCCUCCAUUCAGAUCUACACAACGAAGCUUCGAUUCGAGAUAAGUUCUACACAAAAAAGAUGCACAUCGAUCUUAUGGUUCCAUUCAGACGAUCGGUUUGUAGUUUCAUAGAUUGUAGAUGAUUAAUUUUGUGUUCAUGUUUGUACCUAUUUUAGGCGCUCUUGAGGAACAUGAGGGAGACCGGGCGCGGCAAGACGCGGAGGCGCAAUAGGCUGCCGCCGCGGUGCGGCAGCAGGUACUUGGUUGGGGGCACGGAGAGACGCGGAGGCGUAACAUGCCGGCAUACGGGAGGAGAUCGAGCUUGCUGAGGAGUGCUCGUCGCCGAUCCGUCUCCUGCCCGCGCAAGGCAGCGCGUACUCGCAAUGGGUGCUCGCCAAGCAGCCGAAAGCGACGGUCCGAGUGGCGUGCAUCGAGUUCGACCCAAGCAAGCUCACCGACGACCGCGGCGACCUCGACAUGAUCGUGAAGAAGCUGACUCGGUCGAAGGCCGGUGGCGGUGCAACAAACUCUGGGUCCGUUGCCCAGACUGUGCACAGGCCCCAAGGACAAGAUUACAGCACCAAGAUCUGACCAAGCAAGAGGGAUUAAUUCUUUGAAGGAUCCAAGUGCAGAUCAAGAAGGCCAAGAUGAGCCAGAGAAGCAAGAUACCGCUAAGGAAAGAACCUCUCUUGCCGGGCAGGCGAGCCUGGCAAGGUUGGGGUUGCCACGGAAGCAAGCUUCCAGAUCAUCCCGACAGACCUGCCGGGGCUUGCGGAGGCAGGCCACUCCACCGCUCCACCUCACAAGCGAUGCAAGUCAUAGAUCAGUGCGGUGUCGAGCCCCAAGGUGACUAAGUGGCUGCUCUCUGACACAUGGCAGCCACUUCCUACAGCAAACACCUCCAUAUGACACCCGUCCUGAGACGUGCAGGCACGAAGCUGGCAAGACAGCCCGGCAAGGGUUGCCGGGCACACUGUGAUGUGACACUCGACGACACAUUUAAUGCGCUCUGUCAGCCUGCAGAGUUAGGUAUGAUAGCACUGUUUGCUAUCUAAUCAGUACGUAAAGACUGAUUUGCCAUUGUGGUGACCCCUUGCUCUAUAAAAGGAGGCCCAUGGCAACCGUAGAAAGGGUUCCGGUUCUAGAGGCUCGGGGAUUCAGCCAUUCGGACCCUCACACAUUCAUAUGCGCGUAGCCACUCUCGCCGCGAGACAACCCUGUUGGGCAAGUGUGCUGCGUUCGCUGCCAUUUUCCACCAUCAAUCCACCAAAGCAUGAGUAGGGUUUUACGCCUCACGGCGGCCCGAACCGGGGUAAAACUGCCCGUGUGAUCUCUAUCGCGCUGUGUUACGCCUCUCCGCUCUUUGUGCAACGUGCCCAUCCCCCUGCCAAACCAAAAAGGGCUCAUGGCCCCAUAGGUGGUCGUGGUUUCCCACGACAUCUUUGGCGCGCCAGGUAGGGGGAUCACUUGCGCGAACCCGAGAGCGUCAGUAGCGCGUCAUCUUCAUCGCCAUUUUCGUCAUCGACUAUGGCGCCCAAGAAGAAGCUCGAAGCUGCAAAUCACCCGUCCACCUCGAAGGCUCCGCCACCCGCGACCGCCGACGUCACGGGGAAUGCGGGGACGCAUGAUGAUGUGGACGCUGCGGGGGACGUGGUCGGCGCAGGAGGCGUUGUCACCACCUCCCUCACGGCCGAAGCAGAAGCGGGAGGCACCGGGGAAGGACAACAUCAGCAACAUCCCAGCGGCCACGAUCCACGAGGUACAGAUGGAGGGAUUAUUCUGUCUGCACCCUCUCUCCUCGCCGAAGGGCACAGUCGCAGUGGUGGCACAUGUUCUGGGGCAAAUCGCAACCCUCCAGCCGCCCCCGCUGUGGGCGCGACCGCAGGGCACGCGCAACCCCCGGAACAGGCUGACCCUGCUACUGUGCCCAACGGAGCCGCUCGUCCUCAAGCGCCUCCACCGCGUCACCACGCCAUCCAAGCGGCUGGUUCGCAACAGCGAGGGCACGACGCGGUCGCCACCGGCACCAUUAGGAGCCGAGCGACACUGCGGUCUACAUCGUCAUCACCUAUGCCAAGCAUUGCCUCAGAGGCCAUGGCGCGGGCUUAGCUGCUGUUGAGAUUUCCGCCAGCAGCCGAUCAGAUGGAUGAGUGGCGAGCCAUCAUCCAAAGCCUGAUUGGUUUCACCGAGGCGGGAGGAUCACAGCGAGCUGGCACGCCAUGGCCUCCCCAGGCGACAACAACGGCUCGUGCAGCUGGUCGUACGGAAGGGGCCACCCCCACGGUGCAAUCCCCACCACAACAAGCAGCACAGAAGCCACGAAACCAAGAAUCCGAUGACGUCUCGAUGGCCUCUUCCGACCCUCGAGCGCAUCAAGGCCAAUGGCGGUCCCCGAAGGACAGGCGGAGGGAAGGCGCGCGCGUCGUCGUCAAGCGGCACCGCGACAACCACCGCCAGCCCAAUGGCUGCGAUGGCCCCGACAUCGACGAGCCCGCGCUCAGAGAUGGCGAGUGCCUGCCUUUCGAGGUUGGGUGCCCUGCCUUCACCCGUGAGCUGUGGCAAGUCCGUUGGCCGUCCGCUCGCACGUUCAAGCCAGAGAUACCCAAGAAGUAUGAUGGGAGAUUGAACCCAGCAGAGUUCUUGAGCAUCUACACCAUCGCUGUUCAAGCUAUCGAGGGAAGAGAUGAGAAGGUGUUCGCCAACUACUUCCCUUUGACACUCAAGUCAAAUGUGAGGUCUUGGUUGAUGCACCUGCCGGAGAACUCCAUUUCGACCUGGGUUGACCUAUGCCAUGAGUUCAUUGGCGCCUUCACGGGAAGCCAUCAAGAACCAGGGCAGCCCAGCGACUUGCAGCUUCUCCAGCAGAAAGAAGGAGAGACUCUACGAAAGUACUUGCAGAGAUUCAACCGAGUCCACAGAAAUAUUCCAGACAUCCACCCGGCAGCUGUGAUAGGUGCCUUCCAAUCCAACGUGCGCAACCACAGGAUAAGUUCCAAGAUCAACGUUCGGUUGCCCAAGACUGUGAAGGAGCUUUAUGCCUUGGUGGACAAAUGUGCUCGGGUGGAGGAGGGGAGGAAACUCCCUGGAGAGGAAGAUUGCGUCAACAUCGACUCAGAGGAUGACGACGAGACCACUAGUCAGAAGAAGAAGAAGAACAAGAAGCGCAAGGAUAAGGCGGUGAUGACCGUUGAGGGAUCGGGCAUGCCUAGUACCGACAAGAAGGCUAAGGCCGAAGCCUCCGGCAAGGAAGCUACCACGUGCGCUGACUGCCGAGAGGCUGCGACUGACGAGAAAGCUGGGAAAAGUGAUGGACCGUACUGCAAGAUUCAUCGGACCAAGGGCCACGAUCUCCAGGAAUGUCAUCGGGUUGAGCAGCUCGUCAAGAGGCAAAGGGCUGAGUAUGAAAAGCGUGAUAAGGAAAAAGGUCAGAACGGUACUGGCGGGAAGGGCCGGGGCGGUGAAGCAAAUCGCCUCGGCAAGACUCCUCGGAACCAAGGGAAACCCGCCAGGGGCCGAGAGAAGGAGGAUUGCAAUGCUGAAAGUGAUGAAGGGGGUGACGAGAAAACCAGCGAGCAGGAAUUCCAGAAGGCCACUGGCGCUAUUGACGUGGGUGCAUCUUUGCACUCCUCUCACCGCCAGCUUAAACAGUGGGCGUGUGAGGUCAAUGCCAUGGAGCCAGCGGCAGGUUCUCGGAAGCCGCUCAAGUGGUCACUCACGCUCAUCAUCUUUGAUGAAGAGGAUCACCCCGACCGCAUCACUGCGGUAGGGUGCUUGCCGUUGUUGGUCUCACCAACGAUCCGCAACCUCAAAGUCACAAAGAUGCUGUUGACGGCGGGCCGGGUUGAAUCUGAUUUCCCCACAGGUUAUCAGCAAACUCCAGAUAGCAAAGGAAGAGCUUAAGGCCACAGGCACGUUUCAAGGAGUCAAUCUUGGCAGGAGCCGUCCUAAGGGAAAGAUCACGUUGCCAGUGACAUUUGGGGGAGAUUUAAACUACCGGACUGAGAAGGUUGUGUUUGAUGUGGUCGACCUCUCCCUACCGCACAACGGAAUCCUUGGGCGCCCGACCCUAGCCAAAUUCAUGGUGGCAUCCCACUAUGCGUACAACACCUUGAAGAUGCCAGGGCCGAUGAGCGUCAUUUCCAUUCCGUCAGACAAGAAAGACGCAAUUAUUUGCGUGGAUAAGAUGUAUCGGGGCGCCAUCGCGGCAGAGGCCGCUGAAGCCACAGUUCCCAUCAAGGAAAGUAAAGGAAAGAAGAAGACCAGUAAGGACGCCGGCAUAGAAUCCGGGAAGCAUAUCUCUUUGAAGUGUGCCACACAUGUUGAUGACGUGCCGGAGAGUUCCAACAGCAAGAGGUCCAAGGCUGCUGCACCCCAUGUGAAAAAGGUCUCAGCUGGGCUGGUUGGCGCUGAUGGUACUUUCACUAUCAGUGCCACCCUUGAUGACAAAUAGGAAAGCGUGCUCGUUGUCUUCCUGCGGGCGAAUGUCGAUGUGUUCCCAGGGAGGUAAUCGAGCGCCAUCUUGCUGUCUGCCCACAUGCUCGACCCGUCAAGCAGAAGGUUCGGAAGCAGGCCUUGGAGCGGCAGCAGUUCAUUGCCGAGGAGAUCAAGGAACUUGAGGCAGUUGGUUUGCUCAGAGGAGUACUGCAUCCAAGAUGGUUAGCAAACCCAGUGGUUGUGCGCAAGGCUAAUGAGAAAUGGAGGCUUUGCAUAGAUUUCACGGAUCUGAACAAGGCGUGCCCGAAGGACCCAUUCCCCUUGCUGCGCAUCGACCAGAUUGUGGAUUUCACUUCCGGGUGUGAUUUGCUCUCCUUUCUGGAUGCAUACUCUGGGUACCAUCAGAUAUUUAUGUCCAAGGAAGAUGAAGAAAAUACCUCAUUCAUAACCCCAUGUGGCACAUAGUGCUUUGUGCGCAUCCCUUUCGGGUUGAAGAGUGCCGGGUCCACUUUUGCAAGAGCAGUCCAAAUUGGCUUUGAACCACAGUUGCACAGGAACAUCGAAGCUUAUAUGGAUGAUAUUGUGGUCAAGACCAAGGAUAGAUCAACACUCAUCCAGGAUUUAGAAGAGACAUUUGCUAAUCUGCGCAAGAUCAACUUGAAGCUGAACCCGGAGAAGUGUGUGUUUGGCGUUCCCAUCCGGCAAGCUACUUGGUUUCUUUUUGUCCCACCGCGGGAUCGAGGCCAACCCAGAGAAGAUCAAAGCCAUCGAGCAGAUUCAGGCACCCAAGACAAUUAAGGAUGUAAGGCAUUUGAUGGGAUGCAUUGCUGCGCUUAGCAGAUUCAUCUCCAAGUCUGUCGAGCGCGCCUUGCCGUUCUUCAAAAUUUUGAAGAAGGUAGAACCCCUGAAGUGGACCCCAAAAGUAGACGUAGCGCUGCAAGAUUUGAAGACCUACUUGUCUUUUGUUCCCACUUUGGUUGCACCCAAACCACAUGAGCCGUUGCUGCUAUAUCUGGCAGCGACUAAUUAAGUGGUUAGCGCAGCAUUAGUGGCACAACGGGAAGUGGAGUAGAUAGCAACCUUAGCCGGUUUCCCAUCCAGGGAAGAGAGAGAGAACAACCCGACAAGGCCAGAUAUGGAUCAGGACAAAGAGGAGCACGUCAGCGGAGGCAACGCCAAGGACACGACAAGGAAGAAGGUGGUGGAGCGCUCGAUAUACUUCAUUAGCUCCCUAUUGCAGGGGGCUAGAUCCAGGUAUUCUGGCGUGCAAAAAUUGAUUUUUGGCCUUGUCAUGGCCUCAAGGAAACUGCGCCACUACUUCCAAGCCCAUGAGAUCACGGUUGUCACACGCUUCCCAUUGCAAAGGAUACUCCAAAACCCAGAGGCUACCGACAGGAUAGUGGAAUGGUCAUUGGAGUUAUCCAGCUUUGGCCUGAAGUUUGAAAGCACAUCAACGAUUCAGAGCAGGGCAUUGGAAGAGUUUAUUGCAGAAUGGACGCCAACCCCUGAUGAAGAAGUACUGGAAACAGUUAUCCCCGUCAAGGAAGCGCUCCAUGAAUGGAUCAUGUAUUUCGAUGGUGCCUUCUCCCUACAAGGUGCAGGGGCUGGUGUGCUUCUCGUUGCUCCCAGUGGAGAGCACCUGAAGUACGUCGUCCAGAUGCAUUUUCACCGAGAGGAGGCGACCAACAAUACAACAGAGUAUGAAGGGCUCCUUGCCGGGCUCAGGAUUGCCACAUAAUUAGGAAUCAAGAAGUUGAUUAUUCGAGGAGAUUCACAACUUGUGGUGAGACAAGUCAACAAGGAUUACCAAAGUCCAUUGAUGGAGGCAUACGCCGAUGAAUAGAAGAUUGGAGGAGCACUUUGACGGAUUGCAAACGGAGCACGUACCCCGCGCGGAAAACAGCAUUGCUGAUCAUCUGUUAAAGUGUGCUGCGCAGAAGCUUCCUGUGGAACCAGGGACUUUUGUUCUCCAUCUUACUCGGCCCUCCGUAUCCCCGACAACAAUGGACCGAAAGAGGAGGAAUUAGGCUCCGGUAAGCCUCUCUCGGUAGAGCCUCUCGGGGCUCCUGGCAGGGACCCUGCCGGAAACAACUCCCCUUCGAUUGCCGGGCUGCACCCUCCUGCCGGGCCACUGGUCCCCGUGGUCGAGGGAUGCGCUCCCACGAAUGAGGAGGUGCCGCUAGUCCUCGUUGCCGAGCCCCAGGCUCCAACUUGGGCAAGGCACAUAGUCCAUUUCCUCCAAACUGGAGAACUUCCCGAAGAGCAAGAAUAAGCGGAAAGAGUAGCCCGGAGGGCCAGUAUGUAUCAGUUUGUCGAUGACACACUAUACGGAAGAAGGCCUAACGGUGUGAAAUUGAAGUGCAUUUGUCGGGAAGAAGGAAAAGAACUGCUGGCAGAAAUACACAAAGGCAUGUGCGGCUCCCACAUUGGAUCAAGGGCUUUAGUUCGGAAAGCAUCCUGGCAAGGAUUCUAUUGGACCACAGCCCUCCAAGAUGCGGUCGAGCUAGUCACCAAGUGUGAAGCCUACCAGUUCCAUUCCAAGAAUAUCCAUCUGCCUUCCCAAGCACUUCAGACAAUCCCUUUGUCAUGGUCGUCUUCGGUCCGGGGGCUCAAUAUCCUCGGCCCUUUCCCCCGAGCUGCUGGGGGCUUUGAAUUCUUGUUCCUUGCAAUCGACAAAUUUACAAAGUGGCCGGAAGUAGCUGCCUGAGAAAGGUGACUGCUCAGUCAGCUAUCAAGUUCUUGAAAGAUUUGGUGUGCCGCUUCGGGGUCCCCGCCCGGAUCAUCACUGACAAUGGCACCCAAUUCACGAGUCGCGCCUUCAUGCAAUAUGUUCGUGCCCUCGGAAGCAAGAUCUCAUUUGCCUCUGUUGCACAUCCCAGAAGAAAUGGACAAGCUGAGAGGGCGAACGCUGAAGUGCUACGGGGACUCAAGACAAGAACAUUUGAUAAGUUUUAGAAGUGUGGCAGGCGAUGGAUCGAUGAGCUGUCGGUGGUUCUUUGGUCCCUCAAAACGACACCAAACUGAGCUACCGGGCAGACUCCCUUCUCCCUACUCUAUGGGGCAAAAGCAGUUAUCCCCAUGGAACGGGUCACCUCGAGUACUUGCCUAUGAUGAAGUAGCGCAGGAACAACACCGGCGUGACGACGAUGUGCUUCUCGAGGAGAACCGUCUCCGGGCUGCUACGCGUGUUGCACGCUACCAGCAAGCCCUGCGUCGAUAUCACAACCACAGGGUUCAUGCCCGGUGUUUUGAGAAAGGCGACCUUGUCCUUAGGGGUGUUCAGUCCGCCAAGGGUACAAACAAGUUGUCGUCGAAGUGGGAAGUCCCUUACCGGGUAGUACGAGUCACCAGACCUGGCGCAGUACGUCUGGAGCCGGAGAUGGCAUUCAAUUGCCAAAAUCAUGGAAUAUUGAGCAUCUCCGCAAGUUCUACCCGUAAGGUGCGGCUGUCAGGCCCUGCCCGGUAGCCACCCUUUUGUACAGGCCUUGCCUCAGUUGCAUGUAACCCCUUGUACAAAGCCAGGCGCAGACUGAUACGUCUCCAAUGUAUCUAUAAUUUUUGAUUGUUCCAUGUUGUUAUAUUAUCAUUCUUGGAUGUUUUACAAUCAUUUUAUAGUCAUUUUAUAUUAUUAUUUUGGUACUAACCUAUUGACAUAGUGCCCAGUGCCAGUUUCUGUUCUGCAUGUUUUUUUAUAUUCCAGGAAAUCAAUACCAAACGGAGUCCAAACGCAGUGAAACUUUUUGUGGAUUUUUUUGGAUCAGAAGACAUAAGGUGGGCCAAGAAAGCACCUGAGGGGAGCUCCGAUGGGAGCACAACCCACCAGGGUGCGCCUGGGGGCCCAGGCACUCCCCGGUGGGUUGUGCCCUCCUCUUUGGCCCCCCACACCGCCUCUUUGCUCUAUAAAUACCCCAGUAUUCCAAAAACCCUAGGGGAGUCUACGGAAAUCAAUUCCAGCCGCCGCAGAGUCCAGAAACACAAGAUCCAAUCUAGACACCAUCUCGGAGGGGUUCAUCAUGUCCAUUGUUGCCUCUCCGAUGAUGCGUGAGUAGUUCUUUGUAGACCUACGGGUCCGUAGUUAGUAGCUAGAUGGCUUCCUCUCUCUCUCUCUCUCUCUCUCUCUCUCUCUCUCUUGAUUAUCAAUGCAAUGGUCUCUUGGAGAUCCAUAUGAUGUAAGUCUUUUUGCGGUGUGUCUGUUGGGAUCCGAUGAACUUUGAGUUUAUGAUCAGAUCUAUGUUUUUAUCCGUGAAAGUUAUUUGAGUCUUCUUUGAUCUCUUAUAUGCAUGAUUGAUUAUAGCCUCGUAUUUCUUCUCCGAUAUUUGGGUUUUGUUUGGCCAACUUGAUCUAUUUAUCUUGCAAUGGGAAGAGGUGCUUUGUGAUGGGUUCGAUCUUCCGGUGCUUGAUCCCAGUGACAGAAAGGGAAACACCAUGUAUGUAUCGUUGCUAUUAAGGAUAACAAGAUGGGGUCUAUUUCUACAUAAAUAGAUCUUGUCCACAUCAUGUCAUCGUUCUUAUUUCAUUACUCCGUUUAUCCAUGAACUUAAUACACUAGAUGCAUGUUGGAUAGUAGUCAAUGUGUGGAGUAAUAGUAGUAGAUGCAGGCAGGAGUCGGUCUACUAAUCUUGGACGUGAUGCCUAUAUAAUGAUCAUUGCCUGGAUAUCAUCAUGAUUAUUUGAAGUUCUAUCAAUUGCCCAACAAUAAUUGAUUUCCCACCAUUUGCUAUUUUUCUCGACAGAAGCCACUAGUGAAACCUACGGCCCCCGGGUCUCUUUUCAUCAUAUUUGCCUUUGCGAUCUAUUUUCCUUUGCUUUUAUUUUCAGAUCUAUUAAACCAAAAAUACAAAAAUGCCUGCUGCAAUUUAUUUUUUCGCAAUCUAUUUAUCCUAUCUACCACAUUUAUCUCAUGUUAUCUUGCCUACUUGAGGCGCCGUACCCGAAAGGGAUUGACAACCCCUUUAACACGUCGGGUUGCGAGUAUUUGUUAUUUGUGUGCAGGGGCUGUUUACGUGGUGUGAGGAGGUUCUCCUACUGGUUCAAUAACCUUGGUCUCAUCACUGAGGGAAAUACCUACCGUCGCUAUACUGCAUCAUCCCUUCAUCUUUGGGGAAAUACCGACGUAGUUCUAGCAGAUAUCAAAAGGAAUUUCUGGCGCCGUUGCCGGGGAGGAUCUUCAACAUCAACCAGGUUCCUAAACACAAAUCUCAUCUCCUCGCAAUUUUCAUUAUUUGCCAUUUGCCUCACGUUUUCCUUUCCCCCACUUCACAAAAAUUCGUCGUUUUAUUCGCCCUUUUUCCGUUCGUCUUUUCAUUUUCCCUUUAUGUCUUACUUGGUUUGUUUGCUUGCUUGCUUGGCAUAAUUGUGUGUUUAUUGAAAAUCAAGAACCAAAAAGUUUAUGGAUCCUCAUCCACUUGCUAAUAUUUUUAAGAGAUCCAAUUAUGAUGAACCAAUUGCUAGUGACUUGUGUGCACAAGAUUAUCUUUAUGAAGUUUUGCUUGAAAUUCGUGAAUCUGAAAAUUGUGAUGAAGUGUUGAAAGAAGAAAAUUAUAAUGUGAUUCAUGAUAGGUCCUUGAAUGAAAAGCAUGAUUGCAAUGAUGUUAUUAUAAAUUCUAUUAAUGUCAAUUUAAUGAUAUGCAAAACCCUAAGCUUGGGGAUGCUAAUUUUACUAUGUCUACUACUUUUUGCAAUGAUCAUGAUUGGGGUGAUUCUUAUUAUGACCUUGAAAAUUUGUUUAAGCCCCAUGAUGAAUAUGAGACUGAAAGCAAUGUUUGCAAUAAUAUUAAAAGUGGGUUUGGAAGAGUGUCAACUUUAGAUCCCACAUAUUUUGAGAAUGUUCAAUCUUAUGAAAUUUUUGAUAAAACUGGGUUUGGAGAGGUCAUGACUUUAGUUAAUUUUAAUCCCACUAUUUUGGAAGAGUGUCAACUUUGCAUGCAUGUGGAUCGUGUUGAGAAUAUGUUAUGCGAUAGCUAUUUUGUUGAAUUUGCUUAUGAUCCUACAUGUAAUUAGUAGGAGAGAGGAAAAUAUGGUUGUAGAAAUUUUCGUUACUAAAUUACCUCUCUUCAUGUCGAGAUUACUAUCGUCUCUUUCUUUUUCCUUUCUUAUGCCAGUUUUUUCUUUCCUUGAUAAUUUGUUUGCUUAUAAGAUUCCUAUGCAUAGGAAGUAUGUUAUAGUUAGAUGUGUUUGUCACGUGUUUUAUGAUGCUCUCUUUGUGCUUCAAUUCUUCUCUUUUAUGUGAGCAUCAUUGAAAUCUCAAUGGCUAGCUAAAAGGCUUUAAAGAAAAGCGCUUUUUGGGAGACAACCCAAUAUUUUUACUUGCUGUUUUGCAAAAAUAAGUCAUAUAGCCUCUGGUUAGAUGUGUUUUUGUGGUUUAAAUUAGUGUUUGUGCCAAGAAAGGCCUUUGGGAUGAUUUGGGUGAGAGUUGAUUUGAUCUUGCUGAAAAAUAGAAACUUUUGCGCUCACGAUUUUUUUUCAUUUUUAUGAGAAGAGUGAUUUUGAGUUGGUUCUUUUUGUAGAAUAUUAAUAAACAAAUUAUUCACGUCAUCCUAACUUUUCAGAAUUUUUGGAGUUACAGAAGUAUUCGAAGUAUCAGAUUGUUACACACUUUUAUGUUUCUGACAGAUUCUGUUUUCUUUGCGUCGUGUGCUUGUUUUGAUGAUUCUAUGGUUUUCUUUGAAUAGUUUUUUCCAUAGAAAAGUUGUAAUACAAUAGAUAUAAUGCAAAAAUAAAAUAUGAAUGGGUUUGCAACAAUACUUAUAGUAGUGGUUUGCUUUCUACUAGCGGAUCUCACGAAGGUUUUGUUGUGUUUUGUGUGAUUGAAGUUUUCAAAUUUUGGGUGAUCUUACGAUGGAUGAAGGAAUAAGGAUUAGCAAAAGUCUAAGCUUGGGGAUGCCCGAGGCACCCCAAGAUAAUAUUCAAGAAAUAGCAAGCAACUAAGCUUGGGGAUUCCCCCGAGUGGCAUCCCCUCUUUCUUCUAACAACCAUCGGUAUUUUACUUGGAACUAUAUUUUUAUUCGUCACAUAUUAUGAGUUUUGCUUGGAGCGUCUUGUAUGAUAUGAGUCUUUGCUUGUUUUGCUUUGUGUUUUAAGUCUUGAAUCCUUGCUGGACACACCUUUUUGAGAGAGCCAAAAAUUAUGCUAUGCUUGCUCCUAUACUUCACUUAAAUUUUUAGAGCCAUGGAAUUGCUCUAGUGCUUCACUUAUAUCUUUUUGAGCACGGUGUGCUUUGUUAUUUUUGAAGAAAUGCUCUCAUGCUUCACUUAGAUUUAUUUGGGGGUUAGUAAAUUUUUUAAGAAAUUCUCUCUUGCUUCACUUAGAUCAUUUUGAGAGAAAGAAAUUUUAUGCUCAUGUUCUUCACUUAAAUUUGUUUGAGAUUAUUAAAAGCAACAUAUGAAAAUAGUCCCAAAGUGAUAGAUAUCCAAGGAGGAUAUAAUAAAAACUUUCAUGAAGAUCAUUGGACAAAAUAAACUUGGUUCUUAGUAAUGGUUUUGAGAUAUGACGAUAUGAUAUGUGAGUCAUGUUGAUGAGUAAUUGUGCUUUAGUAAGAAUAUUGAUGUUAAGGUUUGUGAUUCCCUAUGCAAGCAUGAAAGUCAAUAGUUAUGCAAUGAAAUUUACUUGUGGUGCAUUAUUCGGUGUUACUUAUGCUUAAUGCUGGAUACGAGAAUUUUUUGUUUCUUAGUUGGUCGGUUCUCAAUCUUUUUGCUAGCCUUCAUUUUGCACUAAGUAUGAUCACUACUUGUGCAUCCAAAACCCUUUAAACCAGUUUUGCCAUAUGAUCCCACUAUACCUACCUAUAUGCGGUAUUUUUGUGCCGUUCUAAGCAAAUUUGCAUGUGCCAUCUCUAAUUUUCAAAAUAAAUUUCUCUUUUGUGUGCUCUACCGCUCGCGAGGCGGUGAGGGGUGGCCAAUAUUUUCCAUGCUAGAUGUGUUACUCUCACGAUGAGUGUUUAUUCACUUGUCAUUGCACGAGAGUACGACAAAGGUAUUAGGGAUGCCUAGUCCUGAAAUGAAAAAUGAAUUUACUUUAUGUUGUCUGUGACGCCCCCGAUUUGACCGUACACUAAUCAUGCACGCAAAUGUGUACGAUCCAGAUCAGGGACUCACGGGAAGAUAUCACAACACAACUCUAAAACAUACAGGGGUUCGGGCGAUGCGGGUGCGGGUGCCCGCCCGCAUGGCCACGGGCGUGCGGGCGCUGGAGCUGAGCGGGGCGGAUGGGCACCGGCGUCGGGUGACGACCGGGGCCGCGACGAGGCCGGCCGGGAACGGCACNNNNNNNNNNNNNNNNNNNNNNNNNNNNNNNNNNNNNNNNNNNNNNNNNNNNNNNNNNNNNNNNNNNNNNNNNNNNNNNNNNNNNNNNNNNNNNNNNNNNNNNNNNNNNNNNNNNNNNNNNNNNNNNNNNNNNNNNNNNNNNNNNNNNNNNNNNNNNNNNNNNNNNNNNNNNNNNNNNNNNNNNNNNNNNNNNNNNNNNNNNNNNNNNNNNNNNNNNNNNNNNNNNNNNNNNNNNNNNNNNNNNNNNNNNNNNNNNNNNNNNNNNNNNNNNNNNNNNNNNNNNNNNNNNNNNNNNNNNNNNNNNNNNNNNNNNNNNNNNNNNNNNNNNNNNNNNNNNNNNNNNNNNNNNNNNNNNNNNNNNNNNNNNNNNNNNNNNNNNNNNNNNNNNNNNNNNNNNNNNNNNNNNNNNNNNNNNNNNNNNNNNNNNNNNNNNNNNNNNNNNNNNNNNNNNNNNNNNNNNNNNNNNNNNNNNNNNNNNNNNNNNNNNNNNNNNNNNNNNNNNNNNNNNNNNNNNNNNNNNNNNNNNNNNNNNNNNNNNNNNNNNNNNNNNNNNNNNNNNNNNNNNNNNNNNNNNNNNNNNNNNNNNNNNNNNNNNNNNNNNNNNNNNNNNNNNNNNNNNNNNNNNNNNNNNNNNNNNNNNNNNNNNNNNNNNNNNNNNNNNNNNNNNNNNNNNNNNNNNNNNNNNNNNNNNNNNNNNNNNNNNNNNNNNNNNNNNNNNNNNNNNNNNNNNNNNNNNNNNNNNNNNNNNNNNNNNNNNNNNNNNNNNNNNNNNNNNNNNNNNNNNNNNNNNNNNNNNNNNNNNNNNNNNNNNNNNNNNNNNNNNNNNNNNNNNNNNNNNNNNNNNNNNNNNNNNNNNNNNNNNNNNNNNNNNNNNNNNNNNNNNNNNNNNNNNNNNNNNNNNNNNNNNNNNNNNNNNNNNNNNNNNNNNNNNNNNNNNNNNNNNNNNNNNNNNNNNNNNNNNNNNNNNNNNNNNNNNNNNNNNNNNNNNNNNNNNNNNNNNNNNNNNNNNNNNNNNNNNNNNNNNNNNNNNNNNNNNNNNNNNNNNNNNNNNNNNNNNNNNNNNNNNNNNNNNNNNNNNNNNNNNNNNNNNNNNNNNNNNNNNNNNNNNNNNNNNNNNNNNNNNNNNNNNNNNNNNNNNNNNNNNNNNNNNNNNNNNNNNNNNNNNNNNNNNNNNNNNNNNNNNNNNNNNNNNNNNNNNNNNNNNNNNNNNNNNNNNNGGUGGGGUGUGGGAGUGGGGGGUGAGGGGAUAAGGAGAGGAGUGGGGGCCGGCCUGGUUGGCCCGAUGGCCAGCUGGGCCGCGGUCCAGCAGGGGGGGUUCUUCCUCCUUUUGUUUUUUUUGUUUUCUUUCUUUUAUUUAUUUUCUUUUCUGUUUUAUUUCAAUUUAAUUUAUUUAGACAUUUUAUAAAAAUAUGUUUUUUUAGUAUAAUUACCCUUGCAAUAUUUGGCACCCACAAAACAUUUUUGUUUCAAUUUUUGAAAAACUUUUACUGUUGGCAUUAAUUUAAAUUUGAAUUUUGAAACGGUUUUGGAUCAUCGCACGGUUAACAACAGUAACCGAGGUGACGUGGCAUGAUUAGCGGGGAAUUACUGUAACUUGAUUCCCCGGGCGUUACAAAUCUCCUCCACUACAAGAAAUCUCGUCCCGAGAUUUAAGUGGGGAAGUAAAGAGUAACUUCGGGAGAACUGACCCUUAUAGGAUUAAUUAUCUGGUGUACAAUUCAGGGAAUGAGGUAGAAGUAUCUCUCGAGUUGAAAUGCAAGAAAGUUGUCGAGAGCAAGGUAAGGAGGGGCAACAAGAAGCUCCAAGCGGUUAGGCAACCGCCCGUUGCCUGAAACAGAGGGUGAAAGGGGUUCGGAGCAAUGGGAAUAAGUGUUGUGUCUGAUACCAAAAUUGAUGAUCUCACAAAAGGUGGCACGUGAAUUACAUACGAAGCCAAGCGUGAGGAAUAACCUUGGGAACAGGGGGUGUACAAGAGAGUCAGGUUUCGAUCCUCUGGAACUGUGGGUUAUGGGCCCACCAUGUGGGUUAAAAGUAGAAAGGGCAGUAAUGUCUUGCACGAUCAUGUAAGUAAGGCAUGUAAGAGGAUAGCCUGUCUUUUAUGUCGGCAACAACAUCGGUACCAAGGGCGAGGGACGAAGAGAACCAUUUUCCUGCUCGUUGAAACGAGGCGGACCAUUAGGCAAAGUUCUCGUCCAUCGGUGGCUACCGGGAUGUCAUCAACAAUAGUAACAGGGUCUUGCUGACAGAAUUGUACACCGAGGUGUUUACAUAAGCAGGAGAAUAUUACUGCUUAGAUCAUAUAGAACUCAAGAAGGGUUAAACAAAAGAAUGGGAAGGAAAAUAUCGUUAUCAGAUUAAACAGAACAAUGGAAAGGAAAAUGUGUUUAAACACAUAUUUCAAGGGUAUAUUCUUCCCAAGGGUAAGCAGAGCAUGAUAUCCAUGUCGGGAUAUAACGUAGAAAACCCUUUAGGAAAGAGGAGAGAAAUUUCAUGCCAUUACCCAUACAACGGUGUUUGGAUAAUUGAUAAAGAAAGUUUAGCAUUGUGCUUCAAAUGUUCUUAUUAAAAUUCGGAGUACCACAGACAUGCUUCGAGAUAGCAUUGACAUGGUCUUCAAGCAAAAGACAGACUUGGAAUACACAAGAAUUCAUCAGGAACAACAUAUAGAAUAAGUCUUUCAAUUUCCUCAUGGAAGAAUGGUUAACCUUGCUAAAAAGGAAAUUAUAACAAAAGGUCCUCUGGCUAGGGGUGCUAAGCAAAGACACCACCUUAUCGAGUUAUGUAGAGACCAAUGUUACAACUCUUGGAAAUAUGUUCCAACCAUCAUAUCUGACCGAGGUUUAGAUCUGAUUGGUGUCAGGAUACCUCAGACUCAGGAUGUCUGAGAAGAAAGGUGCAACACAAAUUGAUGGGAUGACAUUGUAAGAUUAUCGGGAAAUGAACUAUGAAAGCAAGUUCCGAAACAAGGGUUCAUCAUUAAACCAAGGGGAGGAUGACGGGGUGGCUGAUGGACUCAGAGACAAUUCCUCGAGAUUUCCAAAAAAUGGAUUUCCACAACUAUGUGACCAAGGAGAUAACAUUAGCUAGAUCGAAUGAUAUAAUGAGGUAUGCUCGAGGAAAACAUACCCAAUUAAACAUUGGUGGAAAGCUACACCCAAAAUAUGGGCUUAGGUAGCAUGAUCAAUGUUGGAACGGUGAUUCGAUAACCAAUAGUCUAAGCAUGAACUAUCGACCAUUAGCUCCAAAGCAAUAGGAUUGCUAGAAGUUUUGAAUUCACGCAUGCUAGUUCAAUUGUCGGUAUUCAGGUUAGAAACAACACGGGGAUCAGAAAGCAAAUGGAGAUGGCGAGACGUAUUACUAUAUCAAGAAUUCUCAAGAGGUGGAGAAAUUCUCACAAUAUCCUUGACAUAAAAGAUAGCAAUACUCCAAGGUAGAACAUAACAUAAGUUGGAUAACAAGGAUCUCAAGGUACAACACAAAACAUGAACAAGUUUGUAUUGAAGGGAAAGCAAGAAUGUUGCCGAUGAUAACACAAAUCAUCGAGGGGCAAGGAUGGUAUUUCUCAUCAUGAAUUCAAUUGAUAUCCUGGAGGAACUCAGAAUGUUGAUGAUGAUCAUGACAAAUUUUGUCGAGAGGUUUCAUGGAGAUGUAAUCGAUCGACGAUGACAUCAAGUCAAAGGAAUGAUGAAAGCGAAAGGUUAUUGGAACCACGGUUAGGACACAAACUCGGAAUCAAGUUUGCUGUUCAAGGAGAAGCGCUAUGACGAGGAAGAUCGACGUAAGCUUAGCUCAUCGUCGAAAGCUGUGCUCUGUGAAUAAGGACCAGGUAGCACAGUUAAAAUCGGCACGAUAAUGGCAUAGCUGAGCAGGCUAGGGAUGACGUGAUCGAGUACGAACUCGUAAGCAAAGGAGAUUACUAAGAGUUGUUUAAUCGUGAUGCGGACUCGAUUCAGUUAUCGAUGUUCUUGAGUGUUUAAUAACUCGGAGCCCGUGAACAAUUGGAAUCAAUGAGAAUGUAAUACUUGGUGGAGAACUCAUAAGAAGUUAUGCAGUUCCGUGAUAAUCUUGAGAUACCAGGGGGGUAAUACUCGACGACAAAUCAAAGUAGAGGUUGGACUGGGGUAUUACUCUGCAGAAGACAAGUGCUUAAACUUGCACGAGAAAUGGUAUUUAAAGGAGAACAUGGUCGGAACCACGAUUGCAAAAGGCCAGAUCCCAGAUAUAAGAUGAACUUAUACCAAGGGAAUAAUUAAUUUAAGAAAAGAUUUAAUGAUAAGAUCUACAUCGUGUCCAUGGGCAUGAACGCAAAGUUCAAGGUCGACUCCCACUUCUUCAAUGCAUAACCUUUCAUUCACUUCUCGCGUUUGAUGAAGUUGCAGUGUUGAAAAUUUUUAUCUGGCAAUAUACCAGAAGAGUAUGACUCAGGAAAACUUUCGAGUUCACACAUAUUAUGAAAGGCAUAGGUUUCAACUCAUCAAGGCAUCUUAGGAACAUAUACCACAAACUUCGGAGUAAAUAUUACAAGCUCGAAAGAAGAGCAUUGUUCAAAAACAGAUGAUACAAUUUACCAAAGGCAUUAUAUACCCAUGGAAAGGCUCACAAGGUUAUUCAAUAUGAAGGACACUGUCGGAUAAAAUCCAACAAAGGAACCGAUGGUCCACUAGGGAUCUGAUGUGAGCAUCGGUACUCAACCAGAGGAACAAGAACGCAAGGAGAUCUGAUUAUAGAAACAACUGACUAACUCAAAGUUCAAAUGCAAAAGAAUUAUGAUUUCCAAAUCAUGGGGUCAGAAGAAACGCUCUCAUCAAGGAUGGAUAAGUUGAGUAGGCUUAGGGGUACAAUCGAUGGCAAUUUGAUAGGUCGAGAUCCAGCUCACGUUUAAAAUGACGUCUGAGCCGGAAGAAUGAAUUCUAGUAGAUGAUGGAGGAUUGCGAGCAUUCGCAACAAAUAGAAUCAACGGACUCAAAAUGAUAAUGACAAGAGAUGCCAAUAAGAUUACGAGACUUAUGGGAUUAACCAUAAUGCAAGCAAACAAGAAUUUCAAGAGUAAUAGGCUCCUGAGGAUUUUCGAAAGAUCGAAUAGUAUUUUGAAGACUAAUGUGGAAUACUUGAAUCAACUGGGGAUGACCGGAUACUCGGUAAGUGCGAGAAUUAUCCGUAGGGGUAUUCAGGUGACAAAGAACAGCAAGGCAGUAAGCUCAAAGGAUUCUCGGAACAACAGAGAGAAUUUCAGGGUAUCUUGUAAUAACAAGAUCAACUGGGAAACAUUGUAAGAAUGGCGAGUAUACGUGGUUAUCCAUAGGAGUUUAUCGAUGAAAGGGAAUUUCAAAAGCGAUGAACACAAGUUCUCGGGUUAUCAGCGGAGAGUAUCUUCAGGGUCUUCACGUGCAGCAGACGAUCAUCAGUAAUAAGGGGCUCCCCGGGUGAAAGUGAUAAUGAGAUCCUAAUGUCAGAUUUAGCAAAAUUCAAUUAACCCGAAUAGAAGAGAUAUCAGAGUCCCAGAGUAUAGGUUGAGGAAUAAAAGAUCCUACUACCACCCAAUGGCGACGUGGGCCCGUAAGCCACACAGCCAUGUUAGUAAAACAGUUUUCACUGACUAGACUCAACUUCGGCCAAGUAGUUGGAAAGGGGGAUUCCUACAUGCAGUCGGCUCUGAUACCAACUUGUGACGCCCCCGAUUUGACCGUACACUAAUCAUGCACGCAAAUGUGUACGAUCAAGAUCAGGGACUCACGAGAAGAUAUCACAACACAACUCUAAAACAUAAAUAAGUCAUAAAAGCAUCAUAAUACAAGCCAGGGGCCUCGAGGGCUUGAAUACAAGUGCUCGAUCACAUACGAGUCAGCGGAAGCAACAAUAUCUGAGUACAGACAUAAGUUAAACAAGUUUGCCUUAAGAAGGCUAGCACAAACUGGGAUACAGAUCGAACGAGGCGCAGGCCUCCUACCUGGGAUCCUCCUAACUACUCCUGGUCGUCGUCAGCGGCCUGCACGUAGUAGUAGGCACCUCCAGUGUCGUAGGUGUCGUCGUCGAUGGUGGCGUCUGGCUCCUGGACUCCAGCAUCUGGUUGCGAUAACCAGAUAGAAAGGAAAGGGGGAAAAGAGGGAGAGAAGCAACCGUGAGUACUCAUCCAAAGUACUCGCAAGCAAGGAGCUACACUACAUAUGCAUGGGUAUAUGUGUAAAGGGGCAUAUCAGUGGACUGAACUUCAGAAUGCCAGAAUAAAAGGGGGAUAGCUAGUCCUAUCGAAGACUACGCUUCUGGCCAUCUCCAUCUUGCAGCAUGUAGAAGAGAGUAGAUUGAAGUCCUCCAAGUAGCAUCGCAUAGCAUAAUCCUACCCGGCGAUCCCCUCCUUGUAGCCCUGUUAGAGAGCGAUCACCGGGUUGUAUCUGGCACUUGGAAGGGUGUAUUUUAUUCAGUAUCCAGUUCUAGUUGUCAUAAGGUCAAGGUACAACUCCGGGUCGUCCUUUUACCGAGGGACACGGCUAUUCGAAUAGAUAAACUUCCCUGCAGGGGUGCACCACAUAACCCAACACGCUCGAUCCCAUUUGGCCGGACACACUUUUCUGGGUCAUGCCCGGCCUCGUAAGAUCAACACGUCGCAGCCCUACCUAAGCACAACAGAGCGGUCAGCACGCCGGUCUAAUCCUAAGCGCGCAGGGGUCUGGGCCCAUCGCCCUAUGCACACCUGCACGUUGCGAACACGCCCGCGAGCAGACCUAGCAACCCACACGAUCACGGCGGUUACGUCAAAGCAGUCCAACACGGCGCGCGCCACUCAGUCGCUGACGUCACGAAGGCUUCGACUGAUACCACGACGCCGGGAUACCCAUAACUACUCCCGCGUAGAUGGCUAGUGCGUAUAGACCAAAUGACCAGACUCAGAUCAAAUACCAAGAUCUCGUUAAGCGUGUUAAGUAUCCGCGAACGCCGACCAGGGCCAGGCCCACCUCUCACCUAGGCGGUCUCAACCUGCCCUGUCGCUCCGCCACAAAGAUCCACUUGCGGGUACUCCUACGAGCCGACCCGACUUUAGUCAUCACAUGUGUCAUGUAUUUAGUAUAUAAGUAUAUAGCCAUGAUCACCGCCCAGGUGGUCACGGCCCGAUAGUAUAGCACAGCAGACGGACAAGAAUGUAGGGCCACUGAUGGAAAACUAGCAUCCUAUACUAAGCAUGUAGGAUUGCAGGUAAAGGUAACAACAGUAGUAGCAAGGAUAGGCUAUGCAUCAGGCUAGGAUAUCGGAAAGCAGUAACAUGCUACACUACUCUAAUGCAAGCAGUAUAGAGAAGAAUACGCGAUAUCUGGUGAUCAAGGGGGGGGCUUGCCUGGUUGCUCUGGCAAGUAGGAGGGGUCGUCAACUCCGUAGUCGAACUGGGCAGCAGCAGGGUUGGUCUCGUAGUCUACCGGAGAGAAGAGGGGGAAGAAACAGUAAAUACAAUGCAAACAUAAACAUGACGAUGCAUGACAUGACAAUGAGCAGUGCGAGGUGUGUCCUAACGCGACAGUAGGUGGUACCGGCGAAGGGGGGAAACAUCCGGGAAAGUAUUCCCGAUGUUUUGCGUUUUCGGACAGAUGGACCGGAGGGGGAAAGUUGCGAGUUCGAUAGGUUAGGGAGGUGUGGUGGAUGAACGGACUGCGUAUCCGGAUUCGUCUCGUCGUUCUGAGCAACUUUCAUGUUGAAAAUAUUUUAAUCCGAGUUACGGAUUAAAAGAUAUGAUUUUCUAAAGAUUUUAUUAAUUUCUGGAAUUUAACUAAUUAUUUAAAUUAAUUCGAAAAUGGAUUUAUGACAUCAGCAUGAUGUCAUGCUGACAUCAGCAGUCAACAGGGGUUGACUGGGUCAAACUGACAUGUGGGUCCAGUGGGACCCACGUGUCAUACUCUGUUAGGUUAAUUAGGGUUUAAUUAAACUAAUUCUGUUCAAUUAAACUAACAGGUUAAUUAGAUUAAUUCAUUAGGAUUAANNNNNNNNNNNNNNNNNNNNNNNNNNNNNNNNNNNNNNNNNNNNNNNNNNNNNNNNNNNNNNNNNNNNNNNNNNNNNNNNNNNNNNNNNNNNNNNNNNNNNNNNNNNNNNNNNNNNNNNNNNNNNNNNNNNNNNNNNNNNNNNNNNNNNNNNNNNNNNNNNNNNNNNNNNNNNNNNNNNNNNNNNNNNNNNNNNNNNNNNNNNNNNNNNNNNNNNNNNNNNNNNNNNNNNNNNNNNNNNNNNNNNNNNNNNNNNNNNNNNNNNNNNNNNNNNNNNNNNNNNNNNNNNNNNNNNNNNNNNNNNNNNNNNNNNNNNNNNNNNNNNNNNNNNNNNNNNNNNNNNNNNNNNNNNNNNNNNNNNNNNNNNNNNNNNNNNNNNNNNNNNNNNNNNNNNNNNNNNNNNNNNNNNNNNNNNNNNNNNNNNNNNNNNNNNNNNNNNNNNNNNNNNNNNNNNNNNNNNNNNNNNNNNNNNNNNNNNNNNNNNNNNNNNNNNNNNNNNNNNNNNNNNNNNNNNNNNNNNNNNNNNNNNNNNNNNNNNNNNNNNNNNNNNNNNNNNNNNNNNNNNNNNNNNNNNNNNNNNNNNNNNNNNNNNNNNNNNNNNNNNNNNNNNNNNNNNNNNNNNNNNNNNNNNNNNNNNNNNNNNNNNNNNNNNNNNNNNNNNNNNNNNNNNNNNNNNNNNNNNNNNNNNNNNNNNNNNNNNNNNNNNNNNNNNNNNNNNNNNNNNNNNNNNNNNNNNNNNNNNNNNNNNNNNNNNNNNNNNNNNNNNNNNNNNNNNNNNNNNNNNNNNNNNNNNNNNNNNNNNNNNNNNNNNNNNNNNNNNNNNNNNNNNNNNNNNNNNNNNNNNNNNNNNNNNNNNNNNNNNNNNNNNNNNNNNNNNNNNNNNNNNNNNNNNNNNNNNNNNNNNNNNNNNNNNNNNNNNNNNNNNNNNNNNNNNNNNNNNNNNNNNNNNNNNNNNNNNNNNNNNNNNNNNNNNNNNNNNNNNNNNNNNNNNNNNNNNNNNNNNNNNNNNNNNNNNNNNNNNNNNNNNNNNNNNNNNNNNNNNNNNNNNNNNNNNNNNNNNNNNNNNNNNNNNNNNNNNNNNNNNNNNNNNNNNNNNNNNNNNNNNNNNNNNNNNNNNNNNNNNNNNNNNNNNNNNNNNNNNNNNNNNNNNNNNNNNNNNNNNNNNNNNNNNNNNNNNNNNNNNNNNNNNNNNNNNNNNNNNCCUUUUGUUUUUUUUGUUUUCUUUCUUUUAUUUAUUUUCUUUUCUGUUUUAUUUCAAUUUAAUUUAUUUAGGCAUUUUAUAAAAAUAUGUUUUCUUUAGUAUAAUUUCCCUUGCAAUAUUUGGCACCCACCGAACAUUUUUGUUUCAAUUUUUGAAAAACUUUUACUGUCGGCAUUAAUUUAAAUUUGAAUUUUGAAACGGUUUUGGAUCAUCGCACGGUUAACAACAGUAACCGAGGUGACGUGGCAUGAUUAGCGGGGAAUUACUGUAGCUUGAUUCCCCGGGCGUUACACUGUCAAAUAAUAAAUUUCUUGGAAAGUGUUGGUAUGGAGGGCACCCAUGGAUACGGUUAGCCAUGGAAAGUGAAAGUAAUGGUGGAAAAAGGAAUAAACUUCAUUUUCUGUUUGGGAACCGCCUAUGAUGUAUCUAGCAUGGAAAGUGUUGGGAGCUCUAAGUCGUUUUCAUUGGUGGGAAAAGUAUGCCUCCCAAAAUGUUUUUAUCUCUCAAUUUUCGCUUUGAGCUCUGGCACCUCUACCAAUCCCUACUUCCCUCUGCGAAGGGCCCUUCUUUUACUUUAUGCAUUUUUUUUGAAUUUGAGUCUCCACCGUCUCUCAUAAAGCACCAACUAAGGGGCACUAUGAUCGUAUUUGAGCAUUGGGUGUAGCUAAUAUUUGAGUGUGUUUCAUGAAUGGAUCAAUGGUUGACCAUAAUGGGCUCGGGAUAACUUGCUUUAGUGUUGAUAUUUUGAAAGACAUGGUUGCUUGUUGGUAUGCUUGCGUAUUAAAGUGUUCAUGUCAAAACUAGACUAUUGCUUUGAACCAUAUAAAGGUCCAAAUGUCCAUGCUAUAAAGAAAAGAAAAUGUGAUGAACAUGUUAGGCAGCAUUCCACAUCAAAAAUUUCGUUUUAAUCAUUUACCUACUCAAGGACGAGCAGGAAUUAAGCUUGGGGAUUGAUAACCCACAAGUGUAGGGGAUCGCAACAGCUUUCGAGGGUAGAGUAUUCAACCCAAAUUUAUUGAUUCGACACAAGGGGAGCCAAAUAAUAUUCUCAAGUAUUAGCAGUUGAGUUGUCAAUUCAACCACACCAGGAUAACUUAGUAUCUGCAGCAAAGUAUUUAGUAGCAAAGUAAUAUGAUAAUAAUGGUAACAAUAGCAAAAGUAAUAUUUUUGGGAUUUGUAGUGAUUGUAACAGUAGCAACGGAAAAGUAAAUAAGCAAAGAACAAUAUGUGAAAAGCUCGUAGGCAUUGGAUCAGUGAUGGAUAAUUAUGUCUGAUGCAAUUCCUCAUGUAAUAGUUAUAACCUAGGGUGACACAGAACUAGCUCCAGUUCAUCAAUGUAAUGUAGGCAUGUAUUCCGAAUAUAGUCAUACGUGCUUAUGGAAAAGAACUUGCAUGACAUCUUUUGUCCUACCCUCUUGUGGCAGCGGGGUCCUAAUGGAAACUAAGGGAUAUUAAGGCCUCCUUUUAAUAGAGUACCGGAACAAAGCAUUAGCACUUAGUGAAUACGCGAACUCCUCAAACUACGGUCAUCACCGAGAAGUAUCCUGAUUAUUGUCACUUCGGAGUUGUCGGAUCAUAACACAUAAUAGGUGACUAUAGACUUGCAAGAUAGGAUCAAGAACUCACAUAUAUUCAUGAAAACAUAAUAGGUUCAGAUCUGAAAUCAUGGCACUCGGGCCCUAGUGACAAGCAUUAAGCAUAGCAAAGUCAUAGCAACAUCAAUCUCAGAACAUAGUGGAUACUAGGGAUCAAACCCUAACAAAACUAACUCGAUUACAUGAUAAAUCUCAUCCAACCCAUCACCGUCCAGCAAGCCUAUGAUGGAAUUACUCACGCACGGCGGUGAGCAUCAUGAAAUUGGUGAUGGAGGAUGGUUGAUGAUGACGAUGGCGACGAACCCCCCUCUCCGGAGCCCCGAACGGACUCCAGAUCAGCCCUCCCGACAGAGAUUAGGGCUUGGCAGCGGCUCCGUAUCGUAAAACGUGAUGAAACUUUCUCUCUGAUUUUUCUCUCCGCGAAACGGAAUAUAUAGAGUUGGAGUUGAGGUCGGUGGAGCUCCAUGGGGCCCACGAGACAGGGGGCGCGCCCAGGGGGAGGGGGCGCGGUCCCACCUCGUGGACAGGGUGUGGGCCCCCUGGCCUUGAUUCUUUCGCCAGUAUUUUUCUUACUUUCCAAAAAUAAUCUUCGUGGAUUUUCGGGUCAUUCCGAGAACUUUUGUUUCUGCACAAAGAUAACACCAUGGCAAUUAUGCUGAAAACAGCGUCAGUCCGGAUUAGUUUCAUUCAAACCAUGCAAGUUAGAGUCCAAAACAAGGGCAAAAGUGUUUGGAAAAGUAGAUACGUUGGAGACGUAUCAACUCCCCCAAGCUUAAACCUUUGCUUGUCCUCAAGCAAUUCAGUUGACAGACUGAAAGUGAUAAAGAAAAACUUUUACAAACUCUGUUUGCUCUUGUUGUUGUAAAUAUGAAAAGCCAGCAUUCAAGUUUUCAGCAAAGAUUAUGAACUAACCAUAUUCACAAUAACACUUAGGUCUCAUGUUUACCCAUAUCAAUGGCAUAAUCAACUAGCAAGCAAUAAUAAUAAAACUCGGAUGACAACACUUUCUCAAAACAAUCAUAAUAUGAUAUGACAAGAUGGUAUCUCGCUAGCCCUUUCUGAGACCGCAAAACAUAAAUGCAGAGCACCUUUAAAGAUCAAGGACUGACUAAACAGUGUAAUUCAUGGUAAAAGAGAUCCAGUCAAGUCAUACCCAAUAUAAACUAAUAGUAAUGCAUGCAAAUGACAGCAGUGCUCUCCAGCGGGUGCUUUUUAAAAAGAAGGUGAUGACUCAACAUAAAAGUAAAUAGAUAGGCCCUUCGCAGAGGGAAGUAGGGAUUUGUAGAGGUGCCGGAGCUCGGUUUUAAAAUAGAGAUAAAUAAUAUUUUGAGCGGUAUACUUUCACUGUCAACGCAACAACCAAGAGAUGGCGAUAUCUUCCAUGCUACACACAUUAUAGGCGGUUCCCAAACAGAAUGGUAAAGUUUAUACUCCCCCUCCACCAACAAGCAUCAAUCCAUGGCUUGCUCGAAACAACGAGUGCCUCCAACUAACAAGAGUCCCGGGGGAGUUUUGUUUGCAAUUAUUUUGAUUUGAUUUGCUUAAAGCAUGGGACUGGGCAUCCCGGUUACCAGACAUUUUCUCGUGAAUGAGGAGCGGAGUCCACUCCUCUUGAGAAUAACCCGCCUAGCAUGGAAGAUACAGACAACCCUAGUUGAUACAUGAGCUAUUUGAGCAUACAAAACAGAAUUUCAUUUGAAGGUUUGGAGUUUGGCACAUACAAAUUUACUUGGAACGGCAGGUAGAUACCGCAUAUAGGAAGGUAUGGUGGACUCAUAUGGAAUAACUUUGGGGUUUAUGGAGUUUGGAUGCACAAGCAGUAUUCCCUCUUAGUACAGAUGAAGGCUAGCAAAAGACUGGGAAGCGACCAACUGAGAGAGCGACAACAGUCAUGAACAUGCAUUAAAAUUAAUCAACACUGAGUGCAAGCAUGAGUAGGAUAUAAUCCACCAUGAACAUAAAUAUCGUGAAGGCUAUGUUGGUUUUGUUUCAACUACAUGCGUGAACAUGUGCCAAGUCGAGUCACUCAAUUCAUUCAAAGGAGGAUACCACCCUAUCAUACCACAUCACAACCAUUUUAAUAGCAUGUUGGCACGCAAGGUAAACCAUUAUAAGCUCCUAGCUAAUUAAGCAUGGCAUAAGCAACUAUAAUCUCUAAUUGUCAUUGCAAACAUGUUUAUUCAUAAUAGGCUGAAUCAGGAACGAUGAACUCAUCAUAUUUACAAAAACAAGAGAGGUCGAGUUCAUACCAGCUUCUCUCAUCUCAAUCAGUCCAUCAUAUAUCGUCAUUAUUGCCUUUCACUUGCACGACCGAACGGUGUGUAAAAUAAUACUAGUGCACGUGCAUUGGACUAAGCUGGAAUCUGCAAGCAUUCAAUUCAAGGGAGAAGACAGAGUAAUAUGGGCUCUUGGUUAAAUCAACAAUCAUGCAUAUUGAAGCCACUAAACAUUUUCAUUAUGGUCUUCUCCUCUCGACCCCCAAAGGAAAAGAAAAGAAAUAAACUAUUUACACGAGAAAGCUCCCAACAAGCAAAAGAAGAAUGAGAAAUCUUUUUGGGUUUUCCUUUUAAUUACUACUACAAGCAUGGAAAUUAAACUAACUAAAUUUUUUGGUUUUUCUUAAGGUUUAUCAAACACACAAGAAGAAAACUAGAAAAAGAAAUUAAACUAGCAUGGAUAGUACAAUGAAAAAGUAUGAACACCGACAACUAGAAUAAGUGUGUGAACAUGAAUGUAAAGUCGGUGAGAAAUACGUACUCCCCCAAACUUAGGCUUUUGGCCUAAGUUGGUCUAAUGCCAAGGAUAGCCUGGCUAAUAUCCAAAGUUAUAACUGGGGUCAUACUGAGAUGCAACAGCCAAUGCCUCCUGAGCUGCGGCAUGUUGGCGAGCUGCCUCCGCUCUCCUAACGUAUUCGGUGGCCUCCUCCCUAGUUACAACAUAUCUUCGUUUUGCCUGGUAAUCAAAAAGGGAAGGAGCAGGGAGAGUAAUAUGGACAACGCGACGUUUGUCAAAGAUUAGUCGAUACUGGAGGAAUUGUUCAUUCCUCUCAAGAAAAUGAUGACUGACCAUAGCGUCAUAAUCUAAAUAAGCGGGAGGCAAUUCCAUAUCACCCUCACGUGGAGGUAUACCAAGGUAAUUAGCAACACGGGUCGCAUAAAUCCCUCCAAACAAAUCUCCAGCUAAACCAUUAUUAUGCAACCUACGUGCAACAAUUGCCCCCAAGUUGUAAUCUUUAUUACCUAGUACAGCACUCUUGAGGACACAAAGAUCAGGGACACACAUGUGACAAGCUUCAUCUUUACCAUUAAUACAUCUACCAAUGAAAAGAGCAAAAUAAUGUAUAGCAGGAAAAUGAAUGCUCCCUAUGGUAGCUUGUGCUAUAUCCCUAGAUUCUCCCACAGUUAUACUAGCAAGAAAGUCUUUAUAUUCAGAUUUACGGGGUUCAUUAACACUACCCCACUGCGGGAGUUUGCAAGCAGUAGUGAAAUCUUCUAAGUCCAUGGUAUAGGAUUGAUCAUAAAUAUCAAACAAGACACUUUGAGAAUUACGCGAGGAUGAAAAUUUAAACCUUCUCACGAAUGAAUCAGUUAAAUAGUAGUACUGAGGACACUUAUCUUGCAUGAAGUCCUCAAGAUCGGCAUUACGCACAUAUGCAUCAAAUUCAUCCCUUAUGCCCGCAUUGACCAUAAAUUCUUCUGACGACCAUUCACAAGGACGCACGUACGCUUCCCUUGGUGGUUCAUCGUCUUGCUCACGCAUUGCGCGCCUGGGUGCUUGCUUUCUUGAAGAGCCACCUUGAUACAUUUCCUAGACAUAUUUCUUCCUCUGAAAAAUUUCUGAAAUUUUUAGUAACUUCAGAAUAAAAGUGAAUCAAACUAAACAAGAUUGAUAGCAACUACUCCUACAAGUGCGUAGAGCCUAUAUCAUGCAUUAGAAUUACUUGGGAAGUCAUAAAUUUGACAUGCAAGCUCAAGAACAGGGUCACCUAGGCAGCAAAAAUUUGCAAUGAAUAAAGCACUAGAAAAAAAACUAAUUGGACCAUUGGAGGAGUCACAUACCAAGGAACAAUCUCCCAAAGCAGUUUUGUGAAUGGAGCUUUGAGCAAGGAGAUCGAAAAUCGCAGCAAAAUGAGCUAGAACUCGUGCUUGAGCUGGAUGGUGAUUUUUUGGGAGGAAGAUGGAGUGUGUGGGUGCAGGAAUAAGUGGAGGGGGCCACCGUGGGCCCACAAGGCAGGGGGGCGCGCCCUGGACCCUCGUGGCCAAGUGCCAGCUCCCCCUGUUGUGUUCUCAGUGCCAGAUAUUCACAAAUAUUCUAGAAAAAAACAUACUAAAUUGGCAGGGCAUUUGGAGAACUUUUAUUUUCAGGGUAUUUUUUAUUGCAUGGAUAAUUCAGAAAACAGACGGAUAAUACUAUUUUUGCUUAAUUUAUUCUAAAUAACAGAAAGUAAAAAGAGGGUACAGAAGGUUAUGCCUUCUAAUUUCAUCCAUCUCGUGAUCAUCAAAAAGAAUCCACUAACAAGGUUGAUCAAGUCUUGUUAACAAACUCAUUCUGAAUAACAUGGAACCGGAGAAAUUUCGAAUAACACUAAGUUACCUCAAUGGGGAUAUGAACAUCCCCAAUAAUAAGAAUAUCAUAUUUCUUCUUGACAGUAGGAAGAGGAAAUUCAAAACCUCCAAUAGUAAUAGUUGGAUUUUUUCCAAUAGAAUUGAUGCUAUGAACUUGAGGUUGUUUCCUCAGAAAGUGUACCGUAUGCUCAUUUCCAUUAACAUGAAAGUGACACUGCCUUCGUUGCAAUCAAUAACAGCCCAUGUAGUGUUCAGAAAGGGUCUACCAAGGAUAAUUGACAUACUAUCGUCCUCAGGAAUAUCAAGGAUAACAAAGUCCGUUAAGAUAGUGACAUUUACAACCACAACAGGCACAUCCUCACAAAUACCGACAGGUAUAGCAGUUGAUUUAUCAGCCAUUUGCAAAGAUAUUUCAGUAGGUGUCAACUUAUUCAAUUCAAGUCUACGAUAUAAAGAGAGAGGCGUAACACUAACGCCGGCUCCAAGAUCAUAUAAAGCAGUUUUAACAUAGUUUCUUUUAAUGGAGCAUGGUAUAGUUGGUACUCCUAGAUCUCCUAGUUUCUUAGGUAUUCCACCUUUAAAAGUGUAAUUAGCAAGCAUGGUGGAAAUUUCAGCUUCCGGUAUCUUUCUUUUAUUUGUAAUGAUAUCCUUCAUAUAUUUGGCAUAAGGAUUUACUUUAAGCAUAUCAGUUAAGCGCAUACGUAAGAAGAUAGGUCUAAUCAUUUCAGCAAAGCACUCAAAAUCCUCAUCAUCCUUCUUCUUGGAUGGUUUAGGAGGAAAAGGCAUGGGUUUUUGAACCCAUGGUUCUCUUUCUUUACCAUGUUUCCUAGCAGCAAAGUCUCCUCUUAUCAUAACGUUGAUUCAUUGAUUGUGGGUUAUCAAUAUCAACAACAGGUUCAAUUUCUACAUCAUUAUCAUUUCUAGGUUGAGCAUCAACAUGAACAUUAUCAUUAACAUUAUCACUAGGUUCAUGUUCAUCACCUGAUUCUGUUUCAGCAUCAGAAAUAGAAAUAUCAUUAGGAUUCUCAGGUGUGUCUACAAUAGGUUCACUAGAAGCAUGCAAAGUCCUAUCAUUUUUAUUUUUCUUCUUUUUAGAAGGACUAGGUGCAUCUACAUUAUUUCUCUGAGAAUCUUGCUCAAUUCUCUUAGGGUGGCCUUCAGGAUACAAAGGUUCCUGAGUCAUUUUACCAGUUCUAGUAGCCAUUCUAACAGCAAAAUCAUGUUUACUAUUUAAUUCAUUAAGCAAAUCAUUUUGAGCUUUAAGUACUUGUUCUGCUUGAGUGUUAACCAUAGAAGCAUGUUUGCUAAUGAGUUUGAGUUCACCUUUAACUCUAGCCAUAUAAUCACUCAAGUGUCCAAUCAUUUAAGCAUUACUCUUUAAUUCUCUACCAACAUAAGCAUUAAAACUUUCUUGCCUAGCCAUAAAGUCAUCAAAUUCAUCUAAACAUUGGCUAGGAAAUUUAAUAGACGGGAUUUCAACUUUAUCAUAUCUAUAGAGAGAAUUUACCUUUACUACUUGUGUCGGGUUACCAAGACAAUGUGUUUCUUCAACAGGCGGUAUAUUAAGACCAUGUAUUUCUUCAAUAGGAGGUAAAUUCUUAACAUCUUCAGCUUUAAUACAUUUUUCUUUCAUUGAUUUCUUUGCCUCUUGCAUAUCUUCAGGACUGAGAAAUAGAACACCUCUCUUCUUCGGAGUAGGUUUAGGGAUAGGCUCAGGAAUUGGCUCGGGAAGAGUCCAAUUAUUUUCAUUAGUCAACAUAUUAUUCAAUAGUACUUCAGCUUGGUCGACUGUUCUUUCCCUGAAAACACAACCAGCACAACUAUCCAAGUGGUCCUUGGAAGCAUCGGUUAGUCCAUUAUAAAAGAUAUCAAGUAUUAAGUAAUCAGAGAAGCCUCCCCCAAGCUUGUGGGAGACUCUCUUCUUCAAUUUGCACAAAAUUAUAUAUUUCCCGCAAGGCAGCUUGUUUCUUAUGAGCAGGGAAAUAUUUAUCAGAGAAGUAAUAAAUCAUAUCCUGGGGACUACGCACACAACCAGGAUCAAGAGAAUUAAACCAAGUUUUAGCAUCACCCUUUAAUGAGAAAGGAAAUAUCUUAAGGAUAUAAUAAUAGCGAGAUUUCUCAUCAUUAGUAAACAGGGUGGCUAUAUCAUUCAAUUUAGUAAGAUGUGCCACAACAGUUUCAGAUUCAUAGCCAUAAAAAGGAUCAGGUUCAACUAAAGUAAUUAUCUCAGGAUCAACAGAGAAUUCAUAAUCCUUAUCAGUAACAAAGAUAGGCGAAGUAGCAAGAGCAGGGUCAUGUUUCAUUCUAGCAUUCCGAGUUUUCUGUUUAAGUUUAGCUAAUAAUUUCUUAACAUCAUAUCUAUCAUUGCAAGCAAGAAGAUCUCUAGCAGUUUCUUCAUCCAUAACAUAACCCUCAGGAACAACAGGCAAUUCAUAUUUAGGGGGAGAACCUUCAUCAUCACUAUCUUCAAUAAUUUCAUUUUCAAUAAUUUCAUUCUCUCUAGCCCUAGCAAGUUGUUCAUCAAGAAAUUCACCAAGUGGCACAGUAGUAUCACGCAUAGAAGUAAUUUCAUCAUAAGUACCAUGCACAGCAGAAGUGGCAUCAUCAAUAACAUGCGACAUAUCAGAAUUAAUAGCAGAAGCAGGUUUAGGUGUCGCAAGCUUACUCAAAACAGAAGGAGAAUCUAGUGCAGAGCUAGAUGGCAGUUCCUUACCUCCCCUCAUAGUUGAGGGAUAAAUUUUAGUUUUAUCGUCUUUCAAGUUCUUCAUAGUGACCAGCAGAUAUAAAUCCCAAGUGACAUAAAGAAUAGAUCUAUGCUCCCCGGCAACGGCGCCAGAAAUUAGUCUUGAUAACCCACAAGUGUAGGGGAUCUGUAACACCCCCAAUGCCAAGCUACUGUAAUCCCCUGUUAAUGGUGCCAGGUCAUCACUCUUACUGUUGCUAAUCCCCACUUGCAUUCAAGCAUAGUUCAGAUUUCAAAUUCAAAUACAAGUCAAAUUAUUAUUUCUUCAAACUGCAAAACUAAAGUGUUCAUAAUUUUACAAAUAAUAACUAGUUAAUUGUCUUGGAAAAACCAAUAUUAUUUGGAAUAUUAAAUUGCCCCUAACCUAUUUAUAGCAGUGCCCAAAAUAGCCUAUUUAAUCCAUUUGUAUUUAGGUAAAAUUCAAAUGAAAUCAUCUAGCCUCGAAACUUUUUGUGGCAGUACAAAAUAUUGCAUAGUAUUUGAUUUCCAAGUUCCGUAUUUUACAGAAGUCAAAUGGAGUGAAAAGUAAAAUGUAAGACACUAAAUAAAAUAGAAAACCUAAUUAGAAAAUGAAAAAGGAGACCUAAUCUACCGGGCACUUUUGCCCAUUAAGCAAAAUGGCCUGCCCAGCCCACCCCCACUUGCCUCCCACCUCGCUACAGGAGGCAGGGGUGGCCGUGGCGGCCAUCCGCCGGCCGAGGCCGUGCGUGGCAGCCAUCCCGCGCGCCGCUUGGCCUAUAAGCCCCCGGCGCCUCNNNNNNNNNNNNNNNNNNNNNNNNNNNNNNNNNNNNNNNNNNNNNNNNNNNNNNNNNNNNNNNNNNNNNNNNNNNNNNNNNNNNNNNNNNNNNNNNNNNNNNNNNNNNNNNNNNNNNNNNNNNNNNNNNNNNNNNNNNNNNNNNNNNNNNNNNNNNNNNNNNNNNNNNNNNNNNNNNNNNNNNNNNNNNNNNNNNNNNNNNNNNNNNNNNNNNNNNNNNNNNNNNNNNNNNNNNNNNNNNNNNNNNNNNNNNNNNNNNNNNNNNNNNNNNNNNNNNNNNNNNNNNNNNNNNNNNNNNNNNNNNNNNNNNNNNNNNNNNNNNNNNNNNNNNNNNNNNNNNNNNNNNNNNNNNNNNNNNNNNNNNNNNNNNNNNNNNNNNNNNNNNNNNNNNNNNNNNNNNNNNNNNNNNNNNNNNNNNNNNNNNNNNNNNNNNNNNNNNNNNNNNNNNNNNNNNNNNNNNNNNNNNNNNNNNNNNNNNNNNNNNNNNNNNNNNNNNNNNNNNNNNGACGGACCCGCCUCGCCCCGACACCAAAGUCACCGCGUCUGCCGCCGUCGAUGCCGCGGACCGUGACCACCUCAAGCCAUGCGGAGAUGUCCAGCAGCACCGCCACCGCGUCUUCAUUGACUACGCACGAUGGUUCGGACCGGGGAGCCCCCACGACGUCGUCCUCGGCUCUUCUUCCUCGCUACGUCCGCCGCCGUUCGACGUCAGAUUCGCCGCAUCCCGACCACCUCCGGCCUCCCCGACCACGCCCUCGAGUGCGCCGUGAGCACCUCCUUCGAUUCCCGGCCUUUACCCCGUCGAUCCUUCGCCUUAGUGUCACCUCGUGAGUUCGCGCCCGCCGUGGUCGAAGCCCACCAUACCCGCGCCCGGAGCUCUGCUCCCGCACGCUGGUCGCGUCACCUGCUGCGCUCUGCCUACCCCGGGACGCCGCGCUCGGCGCUGCUUGUUGCCGUGCCUGCUGCUCUCUUGCUAUUGCGCUACCUGCUACUCUUAGGUGACUGCUUUCUGCUACUACAUGUCGCUGCUGUUGACUACUGUCGCUACUGCCUCUGAGUGGUACUGCCCCGCUUCUGCUCUGCUGCUAGCGUUGCGUACUGCUGCUGCUAGUUCCUGCCUGUUGCUAAUUGCUAAUGCGCUUAGUGCUGCCUGUUGCUGCUAUCGGCCAUUGGCCAUGGCCAUGGCUGAGUGUGUGCUGUGUGGUGUGUGUGGCGUGUGUGUUCUGUGUGUGUGGGUGGCGGCCCAAGAAUUAGUUUAGGGCUAAUUUUGUUACUAGUUAGGCUAAUCGGUACUACUACUUAAAUCAGUUGCUACCCUAAGACAUGUGGCCUCCCUAUAAUUAGGAUUGCUUUAUUUAUCUGAUUAUUAGGUAAAUAGUCUAUGACAAGUGGGUCAUUGCUAAAUUAAACUAAACAAGUAAAUCUGUUAAAAUUUUAGUCCAUGACAUGUGGGUCCACUAACCCUGUUGACCAGUCAAAGUUUGACUGGUUAACUGUUUGACUGGCCUGCUGACUGGACCAUUGGACCCCACUCUCAUACACUUAGGCUAACCACUGGUGGGUAUAAAAAGUAAUCUGACAUAUUUAAUGUUUGAGUUAACUAGAUAAAUAAAAUUCCAAAAAAUCAUUAAAAACUUUAAAAAUUAAUAUAAAAUAAUCCGUAGCUUGGUUGAAAAAAUUUUGUACAUGAAAGUUGCUCAGAACGACGAGAAAAUCCGAAUACGCGGCCCGUUUGUCAGCCACACGUCUCUAGCAUAGUGAACGGGCAACAUUUUGCCUGCGGUUCAUUUGUCCGAAAACGCGAAACACCGGGGAUAUUUUCCCGGAUGUUUCCCCCUUUCACCGUUAUCACCUGCUACCGCGUUAGGGCACACUUAGCACCGCUCGUUGUCAUGUUAUGCAUCUUCAUGCUUAUGUUUGCAUUAUAUUUAUUGUUUCUUCCCCCUCUUCUCUCCGGUAGACUACGAGACCGACGCCGCUGCUGCCCCGGUCGACUACGGAGUUGACGACCCCUCCUUCUUGCCAGAGCAACCAGGCAAGCCCUCCCUUGAUCCCCAGAUAUCGCCUAGUCUUCUCUAUACUGCUUGCAUUAGAGUAAUGUAGCAUGUUACUGCUUUCCGUUAAUCCUAUCAUGAUGCAUAGCCUGUCCUUGCUACUACUGUUGUUACCCUUACCUGCUAUCCUAAUGCUUAGUAUAGGAUGCUAGUGUUCCAUCAGUGGCCCUUCACUCUUGUCCGUCUGCCAUGCUAUACUACUGGGCCGUGAUCACUUCGGGAGGUGAUCACGAGCAUAUGCUAUAAACUUUAUACUGUUACAUUACUUAUGAUACUGUUCGGAGAUGGGGGCUGAAGGGGCAGGUGGAUCCAUCCCGGUAGAGGUGGGCCUGGGUUCACGACGGCCCCCGACUGUUACUUUGUGGCGGAGCGACGGGGCAGGUUGAGACCACCUAGGCGAGAGGUGGGCCUGGCCUUGGUCGGCGUCCGCGGUUACUUCAUAAUAACACGCUUAACGAGAUCUUGGUAUUUGAUCUGAGUUGGGUCGUUGACCUUAUACGCACUAACCGUCACGUGGGACAAGAUAUGGGCAACCGGCGUCGUGGUAUCAGCCGAAGCUCUUUUUGACGUCAGCGACUGAGCGGCGCGCGCCGCAUUGGACCAUAAGCCCGCGCUUGUAUUAAGGGGGCUAGGUCUGCUUCCGGCCGCGUACGCAACGUGCAGGUGUGCAAUGGGCGAUGGGCCCAGACCCCUGUGCGCAUAGGAUUUAGACCGGCGUGCUGACCUCUCUGUUGAGCCUAGGUAGGGCUGCAACAUGUUGAUCUUUCGAGGCCGGGCAUGACCCAGGAAAUUGUGUCCGGCCAAAAGGGAUCGAGCGUGUCGGGUAAUGUGGUGCACCCCUGCAGGGAAGUUUAUCUAUUCGAAUAGCCGUGAUCUUCAGUAACAGGACGACUUGGAGUUGUACCUUGACCUUAUGACAACUAGAACUGGAUACUUAAUAAAACACACCCUUCCAAGUGCCAGAUACAACCUGGUGAUCGCUCUCUCACAGGUCGACGAGGAGAGGAUCGUCGGGUAGGAUUAUGCUAUGCGAUGCUACUUGGAGGACUUCAAUCUACUCUCUUCUACAUGCUGCAAGACGGAGGCUGCCAGAAGCGUAGUCUUCGACAGGAUUAGCUAUCCCCCUCUUAUUCUGGCAUUGUGCAGUUCAGUCCACCGAUAUGGCCCUUUACACAUAUACCCAUGCAUAUGUAGUGUAGUUCCUUGCUUGCGAGUACUUUGGAUGAGUACUCACGGUUGCUUUUCUCCCUCUUUUCCCCCUUUCCCUUCUACCUGGUUGUCGCAACCAGAUGCCGGAGCCCAGGAGCCAGACGCCACCGUCGAAGACGACUCCUACUACACUGGAGGUGCCUACUACUACGUGCAGGCCGCUGACGACGACCAGGAGUAGUUAGGAGGAUCCCAGGCAGGAGGCAUGCGCCUCUUUCGAUCUGUAUCCCAGUUUGUGCUAGCCAUCUUAUGGCAACUUGUUUAACUUAUGUCUGUACUCAGAUAUUGUUGCUUUCGCUAACUCGUCUAUGAUCGAGCACUUGUAUUCGUGCCCUCGAGGCCCCUGGCUUGUAUUAUGAUGCUUGUAAGACUUAUUUUAUUUUUAGAGUUGUGUUGUGAUAUCUUCCCGUGAGUCCCUGAUCUUGAUCGUACACGUUUGCGUGUAUGAUUAGUGUACGAUUGAAUCGGGGGCGUCACAAGUUGGUAUCAGAGCCGACUGCCUGUAGGAAUCCCCCUUCCAUACUCCUUGGCUGAAGUCGAGUCUAGACAUUCCAAAACUUUUACUAACAUGGCUGUGCGGCUUACGGGCCCACGUCGCCAUUGGGUGGUAGUAGGAUCUUUUACUCCUCAAUCUUUACUCCAGGACUCUGAACUCUCUUCUACUUGGGUUAAAUGAUUUUACUAAUUAUAACUCUAAGUUCUCGCUACCACUUCCUGCCGGAGAGCCCCUUCAUUCCAGAUGAUCGACUACUUCACCGAAAGGUUUCGAAGAUGCCAUUCGAUGUUUUCCCGAGACGCUUGUGCCCACCACCUUUGCAAAUUCCCUACCACUUUUAUAUCUGUAUGGAUAACUGCAUACACUUGCCUACAUUCAAUUCCAUUGAUCUUGUUAUUACAAGAUGCCCCGAAUUGCUCUCCGUUGUUCCGAGAAUCCUUUGAGCUUACUGCCCUGCAGUUCUUGCCUGAUGAAUACCCCCUAUUGGUAAUUCCUCGCACUUACCGAGUAUCUGUUCUUCCCCCGUUGUUCAUAUGAUGCACAAGAUACAUUGAGAUGUUACCUGAUCUUCCGGUAAUCCUCUGCCGCUAUUGCUCUGCAAUUGUGUGCUUGCAUUUUGGUUGCGUUCCUCAAGACCAGCAAUAUUCAUUUAGUAUCCUUUGUCAUUAUCAUUUCAAGUCUCUUGAUUCAAUAGGUUGCGAAUGCUCGCAAUCCUCAACCGGAUCCUAGAAUUCAUCCUUCUGGCUCAGAUGUCAUUCUGAACAGGAGCUGGUUCUCGACCAAUCAAAUUAUCAUCGAUUGUAUCCCUAAGCCUGCUCGACUUAUUCAUCCUUAAUCAGAGCCCUUGCUCCCGAUCCCUUGAUUUGGAAAUCUUAAUUCCUUUGCCUUUGAGCUUUAAAUUAGCCAGUUGUUUCUAUAAUCCAAAGUCUUUGCUUUGUUUCGUCCUCUGGUCGUGUGCCGAUGCUCACAUCAGCCCGUUAUUGACCGUCAGAUCCUUUGUUGAAUUAUCAUCCGACAGUGUCCUUCGUAUACAAAAACCUCAAGAAGUUCUUUCUCUGACACACAAUGCCAUUGGUAAAUCUCAUUCCCUGAUUUGGCCAACCAUGCUCUGCUUUUGAGCUGGUGAUAAUUACUCUCGAAGCUUGUGGUAUAUGUUUCUAAGACGCCCCGAUGGAUUGAACCUAUACCUUCCCUAAAACCGUAUGAACCCAAAAGUUUUCACAAGUUAUACCCUUCUGGUGUUUUACCAGAUAAUUUUCUACCCUACAACUUCUUUGAAGACAAGAAGUGAAUGAAAGGUUAUGCAUUAAAGAAGUGGGAGUCGACCUUGAACUUUGUGUUCAUGCCCGUGGACCCGAUGUGGAACUUAUCAUGGAAGCUUCUCUUGAAAUUGAUUAUUUCCUUGGUAUAAGUUCAUCUUAUAUCUGGGAUAGGGUCUUUUGCAAUCAUGGUUCCGGCCAUAUUGAUAUUCUUUGAUUCUUUUCCUCAGGCAAGUUAAGGUACUUGUAUUCUGCAGAUCAAUACCCCUAUCCAACCUUUGUUCUGUCCUACUUUCGGGUUUACCCCUGGUAUCUCGAGGAUAUCAUGCUAUUGCCCUACCUCUUUUGAACUUUUGGUGAAGUAGUACCCUUUUCCUAUCAUAGUCACUCCACGGGUUCUGGGUUGUUGUCAAUCGAGGACACCGACUAGUGAAAUUAUUCCGCACUGCAAAUCAAAUACCCCUAGUAUUUUUGCUAGGAAAUUCUAAACUCAAUCUGGUCAUUCCUAGACUAUCGGCUGCAUCCUGGUCUUGCUAUCUUUAACUGUGCUACCUCAUCCUUCUCUGGUGCACGAAUUCUCAGUGUGUGAGCACGACUUACGUCGAACUUUCACGAUCAUAUUGUUUGUCUUGAGAGACGACUCUGAAUUCUGAGAUGGCAUCUUAUCUAUGGUUAUAAUAGCCUUUUGCUUCACCAUUACCUUGGCUUGAUGUCGUCGCCGUGCGAUUGCAUCUUCAUGGAGCCUCUCGACAAAAUUUGUCGUGCUCAUUGUCAACAUUUCGACUCCUUCCAGGGUAUCAAUCAAAUUCAUGAUGGGAAAUACCAUCCUUUCCCCUCGACGAUUGUGUUAUCAUCGACAACAUCCUUGCCUUCCCCCAACACAAACUUGCUCAUGUUAUGGAUGCAACUUGAUAUCCGGCUUGUAUGAUGUUCUACCUUGAAUUAUUACCGUCUCUUAUGUCGAGGAUGUUGUGAGAAUUUCGCCACCUCUUAAGAAUUCUUGAUACAGUGAUGCUUCUCGCCAUCACCAUUCUUCUUGGUCCCCAUGUUGCUUCCAACCAUAAUACCAAGAAGUGAACGGUGCUGUUUGGAUUCUGCAGUUCUAGCAACCCUAUUCCUUUGAAAUUAAUGAUCGAUAGUUCAUUCUUAGCCUAUCGGUUAUUGAAUCACCAUUCUAAACAUUGAUCAUGCUACCUAAGGCUAUAUUACGGGUGCACCUUUCAACCAAUGUUUAAAUUGGGUAUGUUUUUGUCGAGCAUAUCCCCUUAUAUCAUUUGAAUUGACAAGUGUCAUCUUCUUGUUCACAUUAUUGGGGAAAUCCAUCUUUUUGGGAAUCUCGAUGAGUUGUCGCUGAGUUCAUCAGCCCCCUCCUCGACCUUUCCUUGGUUAAAUGAUGAACUCUUGUUUCGGAACUCGCUUCCAUAGUUCAUUUCCUGAUAAUCUUACAAUGACAUCUCGACAAUUUGUGUUGCACCUUUUCCUUCUCAGGCAUCCUGAGUCUGAGGUAUCCUGACACUAAUCAGAUCUGAAUCUCGGUCAGAUAUGAUGGUUGGAACAUAUUUCCAAGAGUUAUAACGUUGGACUUUAUACGACCCGGUAAGGUGAUGUCAUGCCUAGCACACCUCCUUUUUAGCAAGAUUAACCAUUCUUCCAUGAGGAAAUUGUAAGACUUAUUCUAUAAGUUGUUCCUGAUGGAUCCUUUGUGAAUCCAAAGUCUGACCUUUGCUUGAAGACCAUGUCAAUACUAUCUCGAAGCAUGUCUGUGGUAAUCCGAUUUUCAAUAAGAGCAUUUGAAGCACAAUGCUAAUUUUUCUUUAUCAUUUAUCCUAACACCGUUGUAUGGGUAAUAUCAUGAGGUUUCUUCACCCUUACCAAAAUGGUUUUCUACUUUCUAUCCUGUCAUGGAUAUCAUGCUCCGCUUGUCCUUGGGAAGGAUAUACCCCCGAAAUAUGUGUGUAUACACAUUUUCCCUUCCAUUGUUAUGUUUAAACCUGAUAACCACUUUUCCUUUCCGUUGGUUUGUUUAAACCUUCUUGUGAUCUAAGCAGUAAUAUUCUCCUGCUUAUGUAAACACCUCGGUGUACAAUUCUGUCAGCAAGACCCUGUUACUAUUGUUGAUAACAUUCCGGUGACCACCGAUGGACGAGAACUUUGCCUAUUGGUCCGCCUCGUUCAACGAGCAGGAAAAUGGUUCUCUUCGUCCCUCGCCCUUGGUACCGAUGUUGUUGCCGACAUAACUGACAGGGUAUUCUCUGGCAUGCCUUGCUAUCAUGACUGUGCAACAGGUCAGCGCCCUUCCUAGUUUUAACCCACAUGGUGGGCCCAUAACCCACAAAGUUCCACAGGAUCGAAACCUGACUCUCCUGUACACUCCUAUUGCCAAAGUUAUUCCUCGCGUUGACUCCGUAUGUAAUUCAUGGUCACCCUCCUAGACAUGAUCUAUUCUGGUAUCAGAUGCAAUACUUAUUCCUGCUGCUCUGAGCCCCUUUCAUGCCCUAUUUCAGGCAUCGAACGAUUGCCUUCCCGCUCGAAACUUCUCAUGGUACCUUCUUACUUGCUCUCGAUAUCUUCUUAAGUUUCAAUUCGAAAGUUACUUUCCGCCACCUUCCCCAAAGUUAUCUACUAGAUAGUCAACCUUAUAGAGGUCCAUUCUUCCGAAGUUACCCUUGUCCCUUUCAUAAGUUUGGUGGAGAGCCUGAAGGAAGGACGACAACUUCAUCAUGAUGCAUCGAUGCAACAAAUUGAAGACAUCUACGUAAUGGAUCAACCUCUUCGAUGAGACCAACAAGAACAAGAAGAUCCGUUAGAAUUUCGUAACCAAAAUAUUCCCUCUUACUCCACCUCUUAAAUCUCGGGACGCGAUUUCUUGUAGUAGAGGAGAUUUGUAACACCCCCAAUGCCAAGCUACAGUAAUCCCCUGUUAAUGGUGCUAGGUCAUCACUCUUACUGUUGCUAAUCCCCACUUGCAUUCAAGCAUAGUUCAGAUUUCAAAUUCAAAUACAAGUCAAAUUAUUAUUUCUUCAAACUGCAAAACUAAAGUGUUCAUAAUUUUGCAAAUAAUCACUAAUUAAUUGUCUUGGAAAAACCAAUAUUAUUUGGAAUAUUAAAUUGCCCCUAACCUAUUUAUAGCAGUGCCCAAAAUAGCCUAUUUAAUCCAUUUGUAUUUAGGUAAAAUUCAAAUGAAAUCAUCUAGCCUCGAAACUUUUUGUGGCAGUACAAAAUAUUGCAUAGUAUUUGAUUUUGCAAGUUCCGUAUUUUACAAAAGUCAAAUGGAGUGAAAAUUAAAAUGUAAAACACUAAAUAAAAUAGAAAACCUAAUUAGAAAAUGAAAAAGGAGACCUAAUCUACCGGCACUUUUGCCCAUUAAGCAAAAUGGCCUGCCCAGCCCACCCCCACUUGUCUCCCACCUCCCUACAGGAGGCAGGGGUGGCCGUGGCGGCCAUCCGCCGGCCGAGGCCGUGCGUGGCAGCCAUCCCGCGCCCCGCUUGGCCUAUAAGCCCCCGGCGCCUCUCCUCUCAAACCCUAAUCCCCUCCCUCGCGCCCCCCCGUUUCCUUCAUCGCUCUCCCUUGACGGACCCGCCUCGCCCCGACACCAAAGUCACCGCGUCUGCCGCCGUCGAUGCCGCGGACCGUGACCACCUCAAGCCAUGCGGAGAUGUCCAGCAGCACCGCCACCGCGUCUUCAUUGACUACGCACGAUGGUUCGGACCGGGGAGCCCCCACGACGUCGUCCUCGGCUCUUCUUCCUCGCUACGUCCGCCGCCGUUCGACGUCAGAUUCGCCGCAUCCCGACCACCUCCGGCCUCCCCGACCACGCCCUCGGGUGCGCUGUGAGCACCUCCUUCGAUUCCCGGCCUUUACCCCGUCGAUCCGUCGCCUUAGUGUCACCUCGUGAGUUCGCGCCCGCCGUGGUCGAAGCCCACCAUAACCGCGCCCGGAGCUCUGCUCCCGCACGCUGGUCGCGUCACCUGCUGCGCUCAGCCUACCCCGGGGCCGCGCCCGCGUCCGACCGCCACUCCUCGCGCCCGCCUCUGGCCUCACCCAGUUGCGUCGCCCCCGCCCGCCGUUGCUAGCCGGCGCUGUCCAUGCACGCGACGCCGCGCUCGGCGCUGCUUGUUGCCGUGCCUGCUGCUCUCUUGCUAUCGCCGCUACCUGCUACUCUUAGGUGACUGCUUUCUGCUACUACAUGUCGCUGCUGUUGACUACUGUCGCUACUGCCUCUGAGUGGUACUGCGCCGCUUCUGCUCUGCUGCUAGCGUUGCGUACUGCUGCUGCUAGUUCCUGCCUGUUGCUAAUUGCUAAUGCGCUUAGUGCUGCCUGCUGCUGCUAUCGGCCAUUGGCCAUGGCCAUGGCUGAGUGUGUGCUGUGUGGUGUGUGUGGCGUGUGUGUUCUGUGUGUGUGGGUGGCGGCCCAAGAUUAGUUUAGGGCUAAUUUUGUUACUAGUUAGGCUAAUCGGUACUACUACUUAAAUCAGUUGCUACCCUAAGACAUGUGGCCUCCCUAUAAUUAGGAUUGCUUUAUUUAUCUGAUUAUUAGGUAAAUAGUCUAUGACAAGUGGGUCCUUGCUAAAUUAAACUAAACAAGUAAAUCUGUUAAAAUUUUAGUCCAUGACAUGUGGGUCCACUAACCCUGUUGACCAGUCAAAGUUUGACUGGUUAACUGUUUGACCGGCCUGCUGACUGGACCAUUGGACCCCACUCUCAUACACUUAGGCUAACCACUGGUGGGUAUAAAAAGUAAUCUGACAUAUUUAAUGUUUAAGUUAACUAGAUAAAUAAAAUUCCAAAAAAUCAUUAAAAACUUUAAAAAUUAAUAUAAAAUAAUCCGUAGCUUGGUUGAAAAAACUUUGUACAUGAAAGUUGCUCAGAACGACGAGAAAAUCCGAAUACGCGGCCCGUUUGUCAGCCACAUGUCUCUAGCAUAGCGAACGGGCAACAUUUUGCCUGCGGUUCAUCUGUCCGAAAACGCGAAACACCGGGGAUACUUUCCCGGAUGUCUCCCCCUUUCACCGUUAUCACCUGCUACCGCGUUAGGGCACACUUAGCACCGCUCGUUGUCAUGUUAUGCAUCGUCAUGCUUAUGUUUGCAUUAUAUUUAUUGUUUCUUCCCCCUCUUUUCUCCGGUAGACUACGAGACCGACGCCGCUGCUGCCCCGGUCGACUACGGAGUUGACGACCCCUCCUUCUUGCCAGAGCAACCAGGCAAGCCCCCCCUUGAUCACCAGAUAUCGCCUAGUCUUCUCUAUACUGCUUGCAUUAGAGUAGUGUAGCAUGUUACUGCUUUCCGUUAAUCCUAUCAUGAUGCAUAGCCCGUCCUUGCUACUACUGUUGUUACCCUUACCUGCUAUCCUAAUGCUUAGUAUAUGAUGCUAGUGUUCCAUCAGUGGCCCUUCACUCUUGUCCGUCUGCCAUGCUAUACUACUGGGCCGUGAUCACUUCGGAAGGUGAUCACGGGCAUAUGCUAUAUACUUUAUACUGUUACAUUACUUAUGAUACUGUUCGGAGAUGGGGGCUGAAGGGGUAGGUGAAUCCAUCCCGGUAGAGGUGGGCCUGGGUUCCCGACGGCCCCCGACUGUUACUUUGUGGCAGAGCGACAGGGCAGGUUGAGACCACCUAGGCGAGAGGUGGGCCUGGCCUUGGUCGGCAUCCGCGGUUACUUCAUAAUAACACGCUUAACGAGAUCUUGGUAUUUGAUCUGAGUUGGGUCGUUGACCUUAUACGCACUAACCGUCACGUGGGACAAGAUAUGGGCAACCGGCGUCGUGGUAUCAGCCGAAGCUCUUUUUGACGUCAGCGACUGAGCGGCGCGCGCCGCAUUGGACCGUAAGCCCGCGCUUGUAUUAAGGGGGCUAGGUCUGCUUCCGGCCGCGUACGCAAUGUGCAGGUGUGCAAUGGGCGAUGGGCCCAGACCCCUGUGCGCAUAGGAUUUAGACCGGCGUGCUGACCUCUCUGUUGAGCCUAGGUAGGGCUGCGACAUGUUGAUCUUUCGAGGCCGGGCAUGACCCAGGAAAGUGUGUCCGGCCAAAAGGGAUCGAGCGUGUCGGGUAAUGUGGUGCACCCCUGCAGGGAAUUUUAUCUAUUCGAAUAGCCGUGAUCUUCAGUAACAGGACGACUUGGAGUUGUACCUUGACCUUAUGACAACUAGAACUGGAUACUUAAUAAAACACACCCUUCCAAGUGCCAGAUACAACCUGGUGAUCGCUCUCUCACAGGUCGACGAGGAGAGGAUCGUCGGGUAGGAUUAUGCUAUGCGAUGCUACUUGGAGGACUUCAAUCUACUCUCUUCUACAUGCUGCAAGACGGAGGCUGCCAGAAGCGUAGUCUUCGACAGGAUUAGCUAUCCCCCUCUUAUUCUGGCAUUGUGCAGUUCAGUCCACUGAUAUGGCCCUUUACACAUAUACCCAUGCAUAUGUAGUGUAGUUCCUUGCUUGCGAGUACUUUGGAUGAGUACUCACGGUUGCUUUUCUCCCUCUUUUCCCCCUUUCCCUUCUACCUGGUUGUCGCAACCAGAUGCCGGAGCCCAGGAGCCAGACGCCACCGUCGACGACGACUCCUACUACACUGGAGGUGCCUACUACUACGUGCAGGCCGCUGACGAUGACCAGGAGUAGUUAGGAGGAUCCCAGGCAGGAGGCCUGCGCCUCUUUCGAUCUGUAUCCCAGUUUGUGCUAGCCAUCUUAUGGCAACUUGUUUAACUUAUGUCUGUACUCAGAUAUUGUUGCUUCCGCUGACUCGUCUAUGAUCGAGCACUUAUAUUCGAGCCCUCGAGGCCCCUGGCUUGUAUUAUGAUGCUUGUAAGACUUAUUUUAUUUUUAGAGUUGUGUUGUGAUAUCUUCCCGUGAGUCCCUGAUCUUGAUCGUACACGUUUGCGUGUAUGAUUAGUGUACGAUUGAAUCAGGGGCGUCACAGGAUCGCAACAGCUUUCGAGGGUAGAGUAUUCAACCCAAAUUUAUUGAUUCAACACAAGGGGAGCCAAAGAAUAUUCUCAAGUAUUAGCAGUUGAGUUGUCAAUUCAACCACACCUGGAUAACUUAGUAUCUGCAACAAAGUAUUUAGUAGCAAAGUAAUAUGAUAGUAAUGGUAACGAUAGCAAAAGUAAUAUUUUUGGGUUUUGUAGUGAUUGUAACAGUAGCAACGGAAAAGUAAAUAAGCAAAGAACAAUAUGUGAAAAUCUCGCAGGCAUUGGAUCAGUGAUGGAUAAUUAUGUCGGAUGCGAUUCCUCAUGUAAUAGUUAUAACCUAGGGUGACACAGAACUAGCUCUAGUUCAUCAAUGUAAUGUAGGCAUGUAUUCCGAAUAUAGUCAUACAUGCUUAUGAAAAAGAACUUGCAUGACAUCUUUUGUCCUACCCUCCCCUGGCAGCGGGGUCCUAAUGGAAACUGAGGGAUAUUAAGGCCUCCUUUUAAUAGAGUACCGGAACAAAGCAUUAGCACUUAGUGAAUACAUGAACUCCUCAAACUACGGUCAUCACCGAGAAGUAUCCCGAUUAUUGUCACUUCGGGGUUGUCGGAUCAUAACACAUAAUAGAUGACUAUAGACUUGCAAGAUAGGAUCAAGAACUCACAUAUAUUCAUGAAAACAUAAUAGGUUCAGAUCUGAAAUCAUGGCACUCGGGCCCUAGAGACAAGCAUUAAGCAUAGCAAAGUCAUAGCAACAUCAAUCUCAGAACAUAGUUGAUACUGGGGAUCAAACCCUAACAAAACUAACUCGAUUACAUGAUAAAUCUCAUCCAACCCAUCACCGUCCAGCAAGCCUACGAUGGAAUUACUCAUGCACGGCGGUGAGCAUCAUGAAAUUGGUGAUGGAGGAUGGUUGAUGAUGACGAUGGCGACGAAUCCCCCUCUCCGGAGCCCCGAACGGGCUCCAGAUCAGCCCUCCCGAGAGAGAUUAGGGCUUGGCGGCGGCUCCAUAUCGUAAAACACGAUGAAACUUUCUCUCUGAUUUUUCUCUCCGCGAAACGGAAUAUAUAGAGUUGGAGUUGAGGUCGGUGGAGCUCCAGGGGGCCCACGAGACAGGGGGCGUGCCCAGGGGGAGGGGGGCGCCCCCCACCCUCUGAAGGAAAUAUGCCCUAGAGGCAAUAAUAAAGUAUUAUUUAUUUCCUUAUAUCAUGAUAAAUGUUUAUUAUUCAUGCUAGAAUUGUAUUAACCGGAAACAUAAUACAUGUGUGAAUACAUAGACAAACAGAGUGUCACUAGUAUGCCUCUACUUGACUAGCUCGUUAAUCAAAGAUGGUUGUGUUUCCUAGCCAUAGACAUGAGUUGUCAUUUGAUUAACGGGAUCACCUCAUUAGGAGAAUGACGUGAUUGACUUGACCCAUUCCGUUAGCUUAGCACUCGAUCGUUUAGUAUGUUGCUAUUGCUUUCUUCAUGACUUAUACAUGUUCCUAUGACUAUGAGAUUAUGCAACUCCCGUUUACCGGAGGAACACUUUGUGUGCUACCAAACGUCACAGCGUCACUGGGUGAUUAUAAAGGUGCUCUACAGGUGUCUCCAAAGGUACUUGUUGGGUUGGCGUAUUUCGAGAUUAGGAUUUGUGACUCCGAUUGUCGGAGAGGUAUCUCUGGGCCCACUCGGUAAUGCACAUCACUAUAAGCCUUGCAAGCAUUGUGACUAAUGAGUUAGUUGCGGGAUGAUGUAUUACGGAACGAGUAAAGAGACUUGCCGGUAACGAGAUUGAACUAGGUAUCGAGAUACCAACGAUCGAAUCUCAGGCAAGUAACAUACCGAUGACAAAGGGAACAACGUAUGUUGUUAUGCGGUCUGACCGAUAAAGAUCUUCGUAGAAUAUGUGGGAACCAAUAUGAGCAUCCAGGUUCCGCUAUUGGUUAUUGACCGGAGAGGUGUCUCGGUCAUGUCUACAUAGUUCUCGAACCCGUAGGGUCCGCACGCUUAAAGUUAUGAUGACAGUUAUAUUAUGAGUUUAUAUGUUUUGAUGUACCGAAGGUUGUUCGGAGUCCCGGAUGUGAUCACGGACAUGACGAGGAGUCUCGAAAUGGUCGAGACAUAAAGAUUGAUAUAUUGGAAGCCUAUGUUUGGACAUCGGAAGUGUUCCGGGUGAAAUCGGGAUUUUUCCGGAGUACCGGGAGGUUACUGGAACCCCCUGGUAACUUAGUGGGCCUUAGUGGGCCUAGGUGGAAGAGAGGAGAGGAGGCUAGGGCAGGGCCGCGCCCCCCUUCCCCCCCAGUCCGAAUAGGACAAGGAGAGGGGGGCGGCGCCCCCCUUCCUUCCUAGCCUCCACCUCUUCCCUUCUUCCACUCCUAGUCCAACAAGGAAAAGGGGGGAGUCCUACUCCCGGUAGGAGUAGGACUCCUCCUGGCGCGCCACACCUCCUAGGCCGGCGGCCUCCCCCUUGCUCCUUUAUAUACGAGGGCAGGGGGCACCUCUACACACACAAUUGAUAUACGAUAUUUUAGCCGUGUGCGGUGCCCCCCUCCACCAUAUUACACCUCGAUAAUAUCGUUGCGGAGCUUAGGCGAAGCCCUGCGUCGGUAGAACAUCAUCAUCGUCACCACGCCGUCGUGCUGACGAAACUCUCCCUCAACACUCGGCUGGAUCGGAGUUCGAGGGACGUCAUCGAGCUGAACGUGUGCUGAACUCGGAGGUGCCGUGCGUUCGGUACUUGAUCGGUCGGAUCGUGAAGACGUACGACUACAUCAACCGCGUUGUGAUAACGCUUCCGCUUUCGGUCUACGAGGGUACGUGGACAACACUCUCCCAUCUCGUUGCUAUGCAUCACCAUGAUCUUGCGUGUGCGUAGGAAUUUUUUUGAAAUUACUACGUUUCCCAACACCCUCGUGGACAGGGUGUGGGCCCCCCUGGCCUUGAUUCUUUCGCUAGUAUUUUUCUUAUUUUCCAAAAAUAAUCUCCGUGGAUUUUUAGGUCAUUCCGAGAACUUUUGUUUCUACACAAAGAUAACACCAUGGCAAUUCUGCUGAAAACAGCGUCAGUCCGGAUUAGUUUCAUUCAAAUCAUGCAAGUUAGAGUCCAAAAUAGGGGCAAAAGUGUUUGGAAAAGUAGAUACGUUGGAGAUGUAUCAGGGAUGCUGAUACGUCUCCAACGUAUCUAUAAUUUUUGCUUGCUCCAUGCUGUUAUAUUAUCAUUCUUGGAUGUUUUACAAUCAUUUUAUAGUCAUUUUAUAUCAGUUUUUGGUACUAAUCUAUUGACAUAGUGCCCAGUGCUAGCUGUUGUUUUCUGCAUGUUUUUUACAUUGCAGGAAACCAAUCCCAAACGGAGUCCAAAUGCAGCGAAACUUUUUGUGGAAUUUUUUGGACCAAAAGACAUCUAGUGGGCCAAGAAAGCACCUGAGGGGAGCUCCGAGGGGAGCACAACCCACCAGGGCGCGCCUGGGGGCCCAGGCACGCCCCGGUGGGUUGUGCCCUCCAUGUUGGUCCCCCACACCGCCUCUUUGCUCUAUAAAUACCCCAAUAUUCCAAAAACCCUAGGGGAGUCGACGAAAAUCAAUUCCAGCCACCGCAGAGUCUAGAAACACUAGAUCCAAUCUAGACACCAUCUCAAAGGGGUUCAUCAUGUCCAUUGGUGCCUCUCCGAUGAUGCGUGAGUAGUUCUUUGUAGACCUAUGGGUCCGUAGUUAGUAGCUAGAUGGCUUCCUCUCUCUCUCUUGAUUAUCAAUACAAUGGUCUCUUGGAGAUCCAUAUGAUGUAAGUCUUUUUGCGGUGUGUUUGUUGGGAUCCGAUGAACUUUGAGUUUAUGAUCAGAUCUAUGUUUUUAUCCAUGAAAGUUAUUUGAGUCUUCUUUGAUCUCUUAUAUGCAUGAUUGAUUAUAGCCUCGUAUUUCUUCUCCGAUAUUUGGGUUUUGUUUGGCCAACUUGAUCUAUUUAUCUUGCAAUGGGAAGAGGUGCUUUGUGAUGGGUUCGAUCUUAUGGUUCUUGAUCCCAGUGUCAGAAGGGGAAAUGACACUUAUGUAUCGUUGCUAUUAAGGAUAACAAGAUGGGGUCUAUUUCUACAUAAAUAGAUCUUUUCUACAUCAUGUCAUCGUUCUUAUUGCAUUACUCCAUUUUUCCAUGAACUUAAUACACUAGAUGCAUGCUGGAUAGCGGUUGAUGUGUGGAGUAAUAGUAGUAGAUGCAGGCAGGAGUCGGUCUACUAAUCUUGGACGUGAUGCCUAUAUAAUGAUCAUUGCUUGGAUAUCGUCAUGAUUAUUUGAAGCUCUAUCAAUUGCCCAACAGUAAUUGUUUUCCCACCGUUUGCUAUUUUUCUCGAGAGAAGCCACUAGUGAAACCUACGGCCCCCGGGUCUCUUUUCAUCAUAUUUGCCUUUGCAAUCUAUUUUCCUUUGCUUUAUUUUCAGAUCUAUUAAACCAAAAAUACAAAAAUACCUUGCUGCACUUUUAUUUAUUUUGCGAUCUAUUUAUCCUAUCUAUCACAACUUUAUCACGUCUUCUCGCCAAUUCGAGGCAUCGUUACCCGAAAGGGAUUGACAACCCCUUUAACAUGUCGGGUUGCGAGUAUUUGUUAUUUGUGUGCGGGGGCUGUUUACGUUGUGUUGCUUCAUUCUCCUACUGGUUCGAUAACCUUGGUCUCAUCACUGAGGGAAAUACCUACCAUCGCUGUGCUGCAUCAUCCCUUCCUCUUUGGGGAAAUACCAACGUAGUUCAAGCAGACAUCAAGGCGUAAAACCCUACUCCUGCUUUGGUGGAUUGAUGGUGGAAAAUGGCGGCGAACGCAACACACUUGCUCGGCAGGGUUGCCUUGGGGCAAGAGUGGGUAUGCGUGUAUGAAUGUGUGAGUGUCCGAAUGGCUGAAUCCCCGAGCCUCUGGAACCGGAGCCCUUUCUACGGUUGCCAUGAGCCUCCUUUUAUAGAGCAAGGGGUCACCACAAUGGCAAAUCAGUCUUUAUGUACUGAUUAGAUAACAAACAGUGCUAUCAUACCUAACUCUGCAGGCUGACAGAGCGCAUUAAAUGCGCUGUCGGGUGUCAUAUCACAGCAUGUCCGGCAACCCUUGCCGGGCUGUCUUCACGCCUGCUUGCUUGACACGUCUUAGGACGGGUGUAAUAUGGAGGUGUUUGCUGUAGGAAGUGGCUGCCAUGUGUCAAAAAGCAGCCACUUAGUCACCUUGGGGCUUGACACCACAUUGAUCUAUGACUUGCGUCGCAUGUGAGGUGGAGCGGUGGAGCGGCCUGCCUCCGCAAGCCCCAGUAGGCCUGCUGGGAUGAUCUGGAAACUUGCUUUCGGGGCAAACCCAACCUUGCCAGGCUCGCCUGCCCGGCAAGGGAGGUUCUUUCCUUAGUGGUAUCUUGCUUCUCUUGCUCAUCUUGGCCUUCUUGAUCUGCACUUGGAGCCUUCAAAGAAUUGAUCCCUCUUGCUUGGUCAAAUCUUGGUGUUGCAAUCUUGUCCUUGGGGCCUGUGCCUAGUACGGGCAAUGGACCCAGGGUUUGUUGCACCGACAUGAGCCCCCGGGCCUGGCUCGAAUGCGCCGCUAGGCAUCAUCGGGGUAGGCCCUAACUAGUGCACAGGCAGGAGCGCAAAGGUGGCUCCGCCCUUUGAGAUCUUCUUUGCUUCUUCAUUAACCCGAGCUUGGGUUAGAUUCCGGUUCUCCCGCGCGCAGUGCAACACCAAUUAUGGUGGGGCCAUUCUUGUAAUGGCCCGUGGAUGACUUUAACGCACGGGCGGGUGACUGCGAAUUCACUCUUCCCACCACGCCCUUAUCCUUAGCCACGUAUGUUGCAUGCAUUGAGCGGGGCAGGUAAUGGAGGCGCGUGGUAUGGGAGAGCAUCAAGGCAGGGCCCCGGUCCAUUUGGAUUGGUGGAGGAGGACGGCGGUUACCCGCUGGGGAAUCAGGCCCCCGCCCCAGCUCGCCUAUAAAAGGAGGAGCGGAGGCAUUCAUCCAAAUUCCUUUCUUCAUCCAUUCUCUACUUUCUCCUGGGUAUGCUGAACGGAAGAGCCCUGGGCCAGGCCUCCGGCCCUAGCUUAGAGCUGAUUGUCGGUGUCAAAACCGGCGGAUCUCGGGUAGGGGGUCCCGAACUGUGCGUCUAAGGCUAAUGGUAACAGGAGGCGGGGACACAAUGUUUACCCAGGUUCGGGCCCUCUCGAUGGAGGUAAUACCCUACUUCCUGCUUGAUUGAACUUGAUGAUAUGAGUAUUACAAGAGUUGAUCUACCACGAGAUCGUAGAGGCUAAACCCUAGAAGCUAGCAUAUGAUUCUGAUUGUUGUUGGUCCUACGGACUAAACCCUCCGGUUUAUAUAGACAUCGGAGGGGGCUAGGGUUACACAGAGUCGGUUACAGAGAAGUAGAUCUACAUAUCCGAAUUGCCAAGCUUGCCUUCCACGCCAAGGAGAGUCCCCUUCGGACACGGGACGAAGUCUUCAAUCUUGUAUCUUCGUAGUCCAAUAGUCCGGCCAAAGUAUAUAGUCCGGCAGUCCGAGUACCCCCUAAUCCAGGACUCCCUCAGUAGCCCCUGAACCAGGCUUCAAUGACGAUGAGUCCGGCGUGCAGAUUAUCUUCGGCAUUGCAAGGCGGGUUCCUUCUCCGAAUACUCCAUAGAAGAUUUUGAACACGAGGAUCGUGUCCGGCUCUGCAAAACAAAUUCCACAUACCACCGUAGAGAGAAUAAUAUUCCACAAAUCUAAUCUGCUGACAACUUUUCACAGCGUGACAUCACGCCGCGGCCCGGUAAUUAUUCGAACCGUUUUUCUCAACCAGCUGCUGCGCAUACUGCGAGGCGGUUUCAUUGGCACGUCUUGUUGAAGCAGAGAUCGUGUCCCCUUAUCACGGGAUUCUCAUCCAUACGGGUGUGGGUAACCCAACCGCGCCAUCAACGCGGCGCUUGGGGAAUAAGCGAGUUUACCGGGCAAGUGGGGAGGCGCAGGAUACCUGCUGCCUUUAUAAGGAGAUAAGGACUCCCCUUUUUCACCCACGCCUUCUUCUUCCUCUGCUCAUCCAUUCCCUUGCUCAAACUCCAGCGCCCAAGCGUUCGUCUUCUCUGCCCACAAGGGCCUUCCGAAAAUGUCCGGAUCCGGAGCAAGAGGCAAGUGGAUGGCCUCUACCGUCCGGGAGAAGGAUAUCAAAAAGCUUCGAGAGGCCAGGUAUCUGGCCAAGAAAAUCAGCCACCAUCUUCCGACGGCGGGACAGAUAGUCCCUACUCCGGAACCCCACGAGAGGGUUGUAUUCCUCCCUCAUUUUGUCCGCGGGCUAGGGUUUCCCCUCCACCCAUUCGUUCGCGGCAUCAUGUAUUAUUACGGGAUCGAUUUUCAUGAUCUAUCCCCCAAUUCCUUAACAUCUCGACAUUCAUCGUCGUGUGUGAGGCCUUUCUCCACAUCUCGCCACACUUCGGCUUAUGGCUGAAGAUUUUUAAUGUGAAGCCCAAGGUAGUGAGCAGCGAGCGCGCCAAGUGCGGAGGCGCUAUGGUGAGCAAGAUGCCCAACGUCACAUGGCCAUCAGGUACUUUUAAUGAUUCCAUCAAAGAGUGGCAGCAGCAGUGGUUCUAUGUCACCAAGCCACGCGACCCAAAAUGGGCCGUAGCUCCCGAAUUCCGGUCCGGAGCUCCCCUGCGGCUUACGUCCUGGCCCAAGAAGGGCCUGAACUGGUCUUCUUCCGACGAAUUGUCGGAGCUCCAGACGCGCAUCAAGGAUAUGGAAGACAAGAAUAUCAAACUUGUCGAUGUAGUCCAGGUGAUGUUAGUUCGCCGGAUUCUUCCUUGCCAACGCAGAUCUUGCAGCUUAUGGUAAUUCGACCCGGCCAAGCACCAGACCCUGCGAGAGCUCUUCGGCUCCUCGCAUGAGGACAUCUGGAAGGUGCUCUUCAAGUCCGGCGAAUCGUGGCCGGACUCCGCCGAGGACCGCGGGUACCAACUGUCCCGCCCUGCAAGUUCGGUAAGUCAUUGUAUGUUGGCAACUAAUACGCUUUAUAUGCAUAACUUGAGGGAAAUGCUUGAUGUGUUUUCCACCACUCUCCUAGGGCAUGACGAAGAAGGCGGGGCGGAUCUACUGUCCGGCCCCCCUACCAGAAGAACCGGCCGGCCCACAUCGGACGAAGAUGCUGGUCCCGGCGCCUUACAAGGAGGCCAAAAAGACCAGGGCGGCCCUCGUCUCCGCGGUACUUCGGACACAAUACCCGAAGACUCCGAUGCCCGCUCUUCCCCCGAAGAGGUCGAGGAAGAGGAGGAAGACCAAUCCCCAGUGAGGGGAAGAAAUAAAAGGACGGCCUCCACAUCUCUAGAGGCCGAGUCACCUAAGAAGGAAAAAAACCUUCCGGAGGAGUCCACCGCCGCCGCCGACAGCAGCCCGGAGUGGGAUCCCAGGGCCCAGCCCCUGGUGAACUCGUGAGUAUAUAAAAUCCAAACACGUUUACGCAUCCGAACUCACUAUGGCAUGAUGUUUUGACCAUCAUCCAUAUUUUUUUGGCAGUCCGGUGAGGUCCCACACCGAUCCAUCCUCAUCGGAGGGUUCACUGGGUUCGGAUGCUAUGGACAGCGGGACACCCCUGAAGGCCCCUUCCCCAAAAUAGAUGAAUGAUACCGAGGCGACGUCCCAGAGGGAACUAGGCCAAGGAGGGGGGAGAAGACCAUAAAGGCGGCGCCAGGGGGUCAAGCUUCAAGGGCCGGACACACGGGAGAAAAGGCUCCCAUGGAUGUCGACGGCGGGGGCUAUCUUCAAUUCGGCCCCCAGCCGGACACAAUUCCGGAGACCAAUACGGCUCCAGCAUCAAGCAGGCUGCCUCCCUCGGCUGGAGGGGGUGUGCCUAUUCCACCGGCAACUUCUGUCCAACCAGAGGUGCCAGAUAUUUUAUCGGCGGCGCUAAAGACCGCCUCCAUCGUUGAAGAACACCGUGCCCUUAUGGGUACGGUGAUUGAGAAGAUUCAGUCCGCUGAGAGUGGACUGAAUGAAGCCUGCAUCAGCCUGAUAACGGGCUUUGAGGUAUGUUUUGUGAGAUAUCGAAGAAUGUCAUAGUGUAGGUAUAGUAGCCCCUGAUACACUGUUCGGUGAAAGAAAGAACUGAACAGAGGAUCAAAUAUAUGUUCGCAGGAGACUCACUUUAUGGCAUCUCUCUUUUGUUCAAAAGCAGGCGUCUAUGGCAACUGCCGCCUCUCGAACUGCGGAAGUCUCCGGACUGAGACAGAGUCUGGAGCGGACCGAAGAACUCGGCCGAGUGAAGAAGCAGUUGGAGGAUAACCAAGGUAUACAGAAACCUUUUUCGCAUUCAGUGCGAAUGAUUGAGUUAUUAUGAUGAAAAUAUUUUUAUGAUGUGCUCUAGGGGUGACGGCCGAAAUUGAGGCUCUUAAGAAGGCUGUGGCCGAAGCCGAGAAGAAGGCAGCCACAGAGCGGGCUCUUUGGGAAAAGCACGAGGCCAGGGUUAUUGAAGCUGAGCGAGAUCUUCAAGAGGCCGUGAAGAAAUGCGAGACCUUGGAGCAGAGUUUAUCAGGGAAAUAAUUCGAACUCUCCCAAGCUCGCCAAGCCGCAAGUGAUGCCCGGGGGGAAGCCCAGGGCGCCCUGAAGGAAAUCCAGGAGGCGAGGAAGAUUGCGGCUGGUAAGGCUUUGUCUAUGCAAAGCGUGUAUUUGAAAGGAGAAGAUCACGUUUACUAAUUUGAGUUCGGAUUUCUCCAGGGGUAUUUGCGGAGCUGCCACGCAGCAUAUCUGACGCUGCCCAAUUCUACCGAGCCGAAGAAAGGAGCACUGCGGAAAAGCUCUUCUGGUCGCUGUAUCUGGCGCCGAAUUAUCCGGUGCCAUUUGCCGAUCAGCUGAAACGGCUGAUCGAACUGCAUAAGGUGGCCGAACUAGCCAUGAAGGAUUUAAUUAUCCGGCUAUGGCCCGCCGAGCCGAUUCCAAGCAGCUACUUUGGGCUCGUUAAGCGGCUUGUGAGUGCCUGCCCUCGACUUGAUGUCAUCAAGCGGUCGGUCUAUAUUGAAGGUGCGUGAAUGGCCUUCGCCCGCGCAAAGGUGCACUGGGGGAAGAUGGAUGCUGAAAAGCUGAUGACCGAGGGACCGCCAGAGGGGAAGGAGCACCGCAAGCCCGAAUUAUAUUAUGAUAGUGUGCUGAAAGGAUCCUGCCUUGCGGCGGAGCAAUGCACUAAGGACAUUAUAUUUCCAUGAAUACAGUCAUGUUGUCCUUUGUAAUGUUGAACAAGGUCAUUUCUAUUAUUUAUUGCCUGUUAUUUGAAAAAAUUUCCUCCUGCGCGGCCGUUUUAUAUAUUAAUCCUGAGAGUUGGCUAGUCGUCGGCUUCUGCCCCCACGUAGGAAGUACGGGGGUGUUCGGGAUAAACCUGAGGACUCUUUAUCCCAAUUUUGGGUCCUAGAAGGAGGUGUUCAGCACAACGAACCAGGCAAUCGGACUAUAAGGCUUUAUCACUCUCACUUAGCCAUAGGAGUUUGACAAAAGGAAGGUAGGCGCAGCCCCUGGUGUCGUGGAAUUGUCACGGCAGAUGUCCUCGAGCUAGGACUUAGUCGUGGAGCCAUCGCAACUAGGAAGCUGGAAGGGGUUAAGUGGGACAAGGAACACGAGGGUUUAUACUGGUUCGGCCCCUUACGGUGAAGGUAAAAGCCUACGUCCAGUUUGAGGUGGUAUUGAUUAGGGUUUCGAUGACCAGGGAGCUUAACUGCUAUGCCUGGCUCUCGACGAGAUCUUUCUUGUCCCUAAACCGCUGCUGGGUCAUCCCUUUAUAUAGGGAGGCUGACGCCCAGCAGCUCUCAGAGUCCCGGCCGGCUCAUAAGAGUGUCCGGCUCGGACUCUCAACUAUUCUUGCCUUACACUACAAGUUCUACCAUAAUAAUGAUGGUAACUACGGGCCUUAAGCCAUAUCCGGGUCUUAAGCCCAUCUCUGGCCCAUCGUCUUCAAGCUUGGCUCCGGGCUUCUGGCAAUGACCAUAUGAGUAACCCGGCCCCUCCUGGCGGGUGACUCUAAGGUCUAUAUCCUCAACAUUAGGCCCCAGAUUGAUUUGAGCCGGCUCAUGUCAAUCUUCAAUUCUUUCGACAGAAAACCUCCGGCUUACCAUUGUGUGAGAGCCAUAACCCGGCGCGACGUCAUCCUCUGGACUCCGGGUAAUCCGCCAUGAUGUCAUAUUCCAUUAAGCCCAUUUUUUACUCCACCAGAUCCGCAACGGAUCUUAUCUUUACUGCCAUCCCGAAAAUCGAGGCGUUUCAUGGGGAGAUAACCACGCCAUGGUCUCCUUGUUUCUCGCGCCCACUUUAUGAGCUCGCCCUUAUAAAUAGGCCGGCCCGACGGGCCUUUCCGCCACCCUUCUUCCUCCUUGCGCCACUGUUCCUCUGCUCGAGCUCGAACUCUGCCGCCGCCGCAGCGCCCCCGGUCUUCGUCAACCUUGGCCGCUGCAUCACCCUGACUCGGUCCAGACAAACGGCGGCAACCUCCGCUCCUCUUCAGCACCGGUGAGUCCUCGCUACUCCAUAGGGCAGAUCCGCACUAGGGCUUCAUAGUUCUUCCUCUGUUCUUCGUAGUUCAUCGCGACCCUCAGUAGAUUUGAAUUUUACUGCCUCUUUUUGAUCUUAGUAUAGGGUAGAACUAGUGCGGCGGCUGUUUAGCACUCAUUUCAAAUCCAAGUAGGCCUCUUUUUACUGCAUAAAGACCUCAUUCGAGCUCGAGAACCUCCCUCGCAUCUGUUUCUAGGUCUAGAAACCUUUUCUUUUGCCCGACCAUUUUGAUCCAAAAUAUUUACCGCAAUGUGUGAAACCUGUUUUCACCACACUUAGUGAAAAACUGCCCUCAUUGAAUCAUGGCGGUUUACAUUUCUGACUUAAAGAAAACACGCGCCAUAGAACCUUCCGACUUAAGAGAAGCCACGCACCGUAAAACUUUCCGGCUCACUUAUAACAAGGCUGUAGACAAUUUGAAUUACCCUCAAGCACACCAGUGGCUUAGAUAACCCGAUGUACUUAGACAUAUAUCAUUAGUCCCCUCCAUAAGCCGCCACCUUAAACCUUAACUUUGUAAGUCUCCUCCGGCUCAUUAUUAAACCGGAUAUUUUUCCCUGUAUCAUAGGUUUCCAACAGUCACCAUGCCUCCCAAGGCUCCUAAAGCCUCCAUCACUUGCAACUGGAUGAGGUCCAAUGUCACCAACGAAACCUUAGCAGAUUUUGUCAAGUCCGGCUAUCUGCCCAAGAAAGACAUCAUGUCCUACCGUGCCCCUGACCCGUCAGAAGAGAGACCACAGCCAAAGGACGGGGAGGUAGUGAUUUUUGCGGAUCAUAUGAGCCGGGGCUUCGCACCGCCCGGCUCAAAGUUUUUCAGAGACGUUCUGAACUUCUUCGAUCUGCGGCCUCAAGACAUAGGACCCAACUCAGUGUCUAAUAUCUGCAACUUCCAAGUGUUCUGCGAGGUUUACCUUGGAGAAGAACCCAGUCUGCUGCUCUUCAGAGAGCUUUUCUAUUUAAACCGUCAGAAUGAGUGUGCCAACGGGCCAAGUCUGGAGCUAGGCGGCAUCUCCAUCCAGCGGCGGAGGGACUGCCUUUUCCCUUACGCAGAGCCGCCCAGCCACCCCAAGGACUGGAAUCUGACGUGGUUUUACUGCCAAGACACGUCGCCGGCUGAUGAGAGUCCGUUGCCCGGCUUUCGCCCCUCGCGUCUGGAGCCGACUCACCCACUGUCAGACAAGCUGACUCAAGCGGAGCGCCAACCUCUGCUCCCCACCAUCAACAAGAUCAAGGCUCUCCUGGGUAAUGGUCUGAACGGAAUCGAUCUGGUCCGGGUCUGGAUCUCGUGGCGGGUGAUCCCAUUGAGCCGCCGCCCCGGCUUAAUGUGUGAGUACACGGGCCGAAAGGAUGACCCCCAGAGACAUAGCCACAACGAUCUUCCUGAAGAUGUUGCAGAGGAGAUGACCAAGGCUCUCUUGAACGAGAGCCUGGCAGACUGCGGAAGGACCGGGUUAGCCCCCUUCUGCAAGACCAACCCAGCCCCAGCGGUAAGCCGCUGAUCUAAACCUCUUAUAUGUAUAUAACUGUCAUCUGAAUCAUUUUAAGAAAUCAUCAUUGUAUUUUUCAGGCUGAUGAUAAGUUCUGGCGGGUCAAAUAUGACCAUGAGGCAGCCAAGAAGGCCAGAAAGGCGAAGAAAGCCGCCAAGAAAGCCGCCCCUCGCAAGAAAGGAAACAGGCCUACUGCUUCAGAGCUGAUGCAACUAAGCGACAGCUCCGAGUCAGAGGUAACCCCUGAGCCCGUAAGUCCUCGUUGUACUUUGUUGUUUAUUUCUGUCCGCCUUAUCAAUACUUGUUCAUCAAUAGGACGACACCGGAGCAAGUAACCCGGUGGUUGAAGAGGUAACAACAUUUUCCUCCGACUCGGAGCCCUUGCCCAGGCUGAAAAUCCAAAGGGUAACCCGGAAAGUAAGCUUUUCACAUCCUUUAGCUUAUCAAGACCCUCACUUUAUUUUGAAGCGACAGGUGCAUGAGAGCCGGCGGCACACCCGGACCGACAAAAGCACCGACCUCUCCUCCGGGUUACCUGACGCAUCGAGGAAACUCCGGACCGAGGUGAUCUCAAAAUUGUACCCUUUUCAUCCUUUGGCAGGUGUUAUACGUCAACCGCUCAACUCUUCUGACUCAAAUUAUCAGGAAACUUCCCCCUCUUCCGGCGACUCUAUGCAGUCAAGCCUGCCGGCUUUCAAGACCGUGCCCGGGUAAUGAUAACCAUCUCAUGUUGUACUUUUGUCUUCACUUACCCUAUUGUGCUUAAUCUUUUUGUCCUUUCAGUGCCCAGGCCAAGAUCACCAAGAGGGCGAAGAAGUCCAAGCCGGCCGAUGAGCCGGACUUGCCUGAGCCAGAGGCAGCCGCUCAAGAGCCUCCAGCUGCCUCUGCACCUGAGGCCGCUGCCCCAACCACCAAGGCAACUACAGAAGCUGCUGUUAACCCGGAGGCCUCCAGCUCGGCUCCACCAGCAAAUGACCCGGACGUGGUAAUCACCCGGACGGAGUUCGUUGAGCCGGGGAGACCUACCGUGCUGGCCAAGUGCUCCGCCAAAGGGGAGCUGCUGGAGUCGCGCCGGGUUAACCUGGACCUCACCGACUACUCCAACUUGAACAUUGGAGAGAUCGUCUCCGGCUUCGUCAGCCAAGUGCACAAGAGCCGGGACGCAGAAAUUGCUAUGGUGACCCAGAUCCAGCAGAAAUCUGAGGUAAUAUCAUUCUGUCUUCUUACUUACUGCUUAGUUACCUGUACCAUGCUAGCCCCCAAGUCGACGACUUAUGAUUGAGUAUGUUGUAGACUUAGGUUUCGGCUUACUCCAUUGAACCGGCAAUGUGUAGAUAGAAACGUUCAAUAUGCAUUAGCCCCCAAGUGCCAAGUGUCUUUGCUUGGAAAACGCUUGGGACUUUAAAUUUGUAUAGUAACUGUUCAUGCCAUAACCCGGACAUUUAUACAGGCUGCUGGCAAGAAGCUUGAGGCUGACCUCGCUGAUCUCAAGAACCGGCUGAAGAUGCAAGAGAUGGAGACCCGGAAGGCAAAUGCCAAGUUUGUGUCCAGCAUCGCCGCGCAAGAGAAGCUGAAGACGGAGUUUGACGCUGAGCGGAAGGCGUGGGCCGAAGAAAAGGCCGCAUUGGUGAACCGGGCUGAACAGGCGGAGAAGGCUCUCUCCGAGAAGACCGCCGAGCUCUUCGGCCAAAAGUGCCAAGUGUCCCAGAUGGUGGCCGCAAUCUUCGGUAAGUCGUCUCCCCGGCUUUCAUCAAGUUUAGAAUUUACAUAUCCCAUAAUUCAUCCUUGUCGGCGGCUUAUCUGACUCUGUUAAACAGGUCCCAGAAGUGCCAACCUGAACCAGAGUGUGGUGACCAAGCUGAAGGCCGUAUACACCCUGGUGGAGCAGCUCUACACCGGGUCACAACGUGCCUUGGCUGUGGUGGCCCUCUCCAACGAGGUGCCGACUCACCUGGCGGAAGUCCUUCGCCGGCUCGCCGUUCUGCCUCAACGGAUCCAAGAGCUGCGACGGGCCUCUGCAAGAGCCGGAGCGAUCGCCGCGCUGAGCCGGGCCAAGGCGUUCCUGCCAGAGUUAGACCCGGCGGACAUCGCCCUUGGCUAUCCAUGUCUGAAGGAAGAUGGCACUGCCUUCGAUCAGAAGGAUUUCGCAGCUUGCGUGAAGGCCGUACGCCCAGUGGCCACUCUGAUUGGCAAUGAUACAGAUCUGUCUAAGUAUCAGCCGGGCUACGAUGCAGAAAAUCAGAGGAUCCCUACUCCGCGCUACGAUGCCCUCAACUUGAUCCCGCCGGCUCGUCAGCACACCUUCGCCCCGGAGAUUGACCCGGCGGGGUUAAUUGACGAGGAGGCCCAAUUCGAAGCUCUCAGCGGCAUCGACUGGAAGUCAUCCACUUUCCAGGUCUUGGGAUCAGCCGGAGGAGAAGAAAGGAACGAGCCGGAGACUUCAACCCAGCAAGCGUCAUAACUCGGCUGGCGGCUUAUCAAACAAUGCCUCACUCUUUUGGACUCGAUGAGUCUUGUAAUAGAGUAGGACCAAUACUGUAUCUUUGCCGUGCCAUCGUGCACGCCUUGAAUGCUGAAGUCUGUUGAAGUUGUCCCCUUUAUGUUUCUCCGGGUCGUAAUCAAUCAUUUGUUUUCCUUAAUCUCAAAAUAGUUGCCUUAAACUAUCCUGCAGAGAAGGACAAAUCACAAGUCUCGAGGCGGCUUACCGCCCUGAGAAUCAUAAGUUUUAGAUACAUAACCCGGAAUAUGAAUCAAAAAGGACUGGUCUCCAAUGAUAUCCUUAAUGCAGCCGUAAUAACAUACGUAGCGGCCUGCAAGCAUACUUCCGGUUUAGAUAACCCGGGUAAUAAGGUUGGCACCUCAAUUCCGGUUUACCUGACUUGAUAACACUCAUUGUGUCCAACUAACCCUGGAAAUCAAAGUCUAAACCGGCCAAGUGAAACCCGGCCGUACACACUUUGAAAUGAUCAGAAGAACCCUAUAAUGAAGCAGAAGAACUUAGGGGCUUCCGGUUCGAAUACGACCAGAGACCCGGCCCAAAGGGGUUAAGCUAAGAUUCGGAUACGAUCAUAUAGCCCCCAGUGGGUGUGGCGAUGCCAAUCAAGAGGGUACCGACAGCUAUGUUCUCUUUGGUUCAAAUACGACCUAUGUUUGAACAGGAAGCCCCCAAGUGAUUUUAAGAAUUGUUUAACGACGCUGAUUCGAAUACGAUCCACGUCGGUUCCCAAAGGGGUUAAACUAUGAUUCAAAUAUGAUCAAAGAAAACCUCCCAAUGAGCUCGGCACUUUGCCAAUCAAAUGGGUAUCAACAGCUAUGUUCUCUUUGGUUCGAAUAUGACCCAUGUUUGAACAGGAAGCCCCCAAGUGACCUUAUUACCUUCGGCUAGAUUCGAAUACGAUCACAAGCCGGAUCCUCCUUCAAGUUAUCAUGUUAAUCUUGCAAUGAAAACAACACGUGCACAUUUGGAGGAGAAAAAGGACAGAGGUCCUGCUUUAUUGCUUAUCAUAAUAUAUACAUGGCUGAAAGAAAUAUGUACAUUAUGACAGCCGGUGGCUCAAGUGUAGUAAGGCCGAAGCUGAGCUAUGUUCCAUGGCCGACGGGUCUCUUCUUCUAACUUACGUGAAUCUUUGUGCUCCCGAAUGUCAAUGAGGUAAUAUGACCCGUUGUGCAAGUUCUUGCUGACCACAAAGGGUCCUUCCCAAGGCGGGGAUAGCUUGUGCGCAUCUGUUUGAUCUUGGAUGAGCCGGAGCACGAGAUCCCCUUCCUGGAAGACCCGGGAUUUAACCCGGCGACUAUGAUAACGGCGCAGGUCUUGUUGGUAAAUCGCUGAGCGAGCUGCUGCCACAUCACGCUGUUCGUCCAACAAGUCAAGAGCGUCUUGGCGCACCUGUUCAUUGUCCGCCUCAACAUAAGCCGCCACUCGAGGCAAGUCAUGCCGGAUGUCACUGGGGAGGACUGCCUCUGCCCCAUAAACCAUGAAGAAAGGUGUGAAACCUAUAGAUCUGUUAGGAGUAGUGUUGAUGCUCCAUAACACGGAGGGCAACUCCUCCACCCAACAACCCGGCGUCCGUUGCAACGGGACCAAAAGCCGGGGCUUGAUGCCCUUCAGAAUCUCCUGAUUAGCUCUCUCAGCUUGACCAUUGGAUUGAGGAUGAGCAACUGAGGAGACAUCAAGUCGGAUAUGCUCUCGUUGACAAAACUCUUCCAUGGCGCCUUUGGAUAGAUUGGUGCCAUUGUCAGUUAUAAUGCUGUGCGGAAAGCCAAAGCGGAAAAUCACCUUUUUCAUAAAUUGAACCGCCGUGGCUGCAUCGCACUUGCUAACUGGCUCAGCUUCCACCCACUUUGUGAAUUUGUCAACUGCCACCAAGAGGUGGGUCUUCUUAUCCUUGGACCUUUUAAAAGGCCCAACCAUAUCAAGCCCCCAGACCGCAAAGGGCCAAGUGAUUGGGAUCAUCCUCAGCUCCUGAGCCGGCACAUGAGCCCGUCGUGAGAACCUCUGGCAACCAUCACAUUUACUGACCAAGUCCUCCGCAUCAGCAUGAGCCGUCAGCCAAUAAAAACCAUGGCAAAAAGCCUUGGCCACAAGAGACUUUGAACCGGCGUGAUGGCCACAAUCCCCUUCAUGAAUCUCACGCAAGAUCUCUUGACCUUCCUCAGGGGAGACACAACGCUGAAAUGCCCCUGUAACACUGCGAUGAUGCAACUCGCCAUUGAUAACAAUCAUUGACUUAGCCCGCCGGCUUAUUUGUCUGGCCAAAGUUUCAUCCUCAGGCAACUCACACCGGGUCAUGUAAGCCAAAUAGGGCAUUGUCCAAUCCGGUAUGAUGUGGAGAGCCGCCACCAGUCGUGCCUCCGGGUCAGGGACAGCCAAGUCUUCCUCUGUAGGCAGCUUAACAGAAGGUUUAUACAGGACAUCCAGGAAAGUAUUAGGUGGCACCGGCUUUCGCUGAGAGCCUAGCCGGCUUAAAGCAUCAGCUGCCUCGUUCUUCCUGCGAUCAAUGUGCUCUACUUGGUAACCCUGAAAGUGCCCAGCAAUGGCAUCAACUUCGCGGCGAUAAGCCGCCAUGAGAGGGUCCUUAGAGUCCCACUUGCCUGAUACUUGUUGAGCCACCAAGUCUGAGUCACCGAAACACCUUACCCGGCUCAAGCUCAUCUCCUUAGCCAUCCGAAGACCGUGGAGCAAGGCCUCGUACUCAGCCGCAUUGUUAGUGCAAGGAAACAUCAACCGUAACACAUAAUGGAACUUGUCACCUUUAGGGGAAGCCAAUACAACUCCAGCCCCCGAGCCCUCCAACUGCCUGGACCCAUCGAAGUGAAUAGUCCAAUAUGUGUUAUCCGGCUUUUUCUCGGGCACUUGUGACUCUGUCCAAUCAUUGAUGAAAUCCACCAAGGCCUGAGAUUUAACAGCAGUGCGUGGCACAUAUUUGAGACCGUGAGGUCCCAGCUCUAUAGCCCACUUAGCCACUCUCCCUGUGGCCUCUCUGUUUUGAAUGAUAUCACCAAGAGGGGCAGAACUGACCACUGUUAUAGGAUGACCCUGGAAAUAAUGCUUAAGCUUCCGGCUUGCCAUGAACACACCAUAAACAAGCUUCUGCCAAUGUGGAUACCGCUGUUUGGACUCGAUAAGCACUUCGCUGACACAAUAAACCGGCCGCUGAACCGGAUACUCCUUACCCUCUUCCUUGCGUUCCACCACCACAGCCACACUGACGGCUCGUGUGUUCGCCGCCACGUACAGUAAUAAGGGCUCCUUAUCAACCGGAGCAGCAAGGAUUGGGGGCUCUGCUAGCUGCUUCUUCAAAUCCUCAAAAGCGGUAUUAGCUGCAUCAUUCCAGACAAAGUUAUCAGUUUUCUUCAUCAACUGAUAUAAUGGCAUGGCCUUCUCACCCAAACGGCUUAUAAACUGGCUUAAAGCAGCUAUGCGACCCGCCAAGCGCUGAACGUCAUUUAUACAUGCCGGCUUAGCCAGGGAGGUGAUAGCUUUGAUUUUCUCCGGGUUAGCUUCAAUGCCUCUGUCAGAAACCAAAAAGCCCAAGAGUUUGCCUGCAGGAACACCAAAAACACACUUGGCCGGGUUAAGCAUCAUCUUGUAAACCCGGAGAUUAUCAAAGGUUUCUCUCAAGUCAUCUAUCAGGGUUUCCUCCUUUAUGGACUUAACCACAAUAUCGUCCACAUAAGCAUGAACAUUGCGCCCAAUCUGGUUAUGAAGACAGUUCUGCACGCAAUGCUGAUAAGUCGCCUGUGCACACUUGAGUCCAAAGGGCAUAGAUACAUAGCAGAAGGCUCCAAAGGGAGUGAUGAAUGCCGUCUUCUCCUGGUCCUUAACUGCCAUUUUAAUCUGAUGAUAUCCGGAAUAAGCAUCCAAGAAACUUAAGCGCGCACAACCCGCCGUAGCAUCAAUAAUUUGAUCAAUACGGGGAAGGGCAAAAGGACCAGCCGGACACGCCUUGUUUAUGUCCGUGUAGUCCACACACAUCCGCCAAGUGCCGUUCUUCUUGAGUACGAGCACCGGGUUAGCUAACCACUCUGGGUGAAAGACUUCAACAAUAAAUCCGGCCGCCAAGAGCCGGGCCACCUCUUCACCAAUAGCUUUCCGCCUCUCUUCAUUAAACCGCCGAAGGAACUGCCUGACCGGCUUAAACUUCGGAUCAACAUUGAGAGUGUGCUCAGCGAGUUCUCUAGGUACACCUGGCAUGUCAGAAGGUUUCCACGCGAAGAUGUCCCUAUUCUCACGGAUGAACUCGAUGAGCGCGCUUUCCUAUUUCGGAUCCAGAUUGCCACUGAUGCUAAACUGCUGAGAUGAAUCUCCUGGAACAAAAUCAACAAGCUUAGUUUCAUCAGCCGACUUUAAUUUCAUCGCCGGCUCAUUCUCCGUAGUUGGCUUUUUCAAAGAGGUCAUAUCCGUUGGGUCAACAUUAUCUUUGUAAAACUUCAACUCCUCUGUUGCACAAACAGAUUCUACAUAAGCCGCAUCGCCCUCCUCACACUCCAGAGCCACUUUCCGGCUGCCGUGAACCGUAAUGGUCCCGUUGUGACCCGGCAUCUUGAGCUGUAAGUACACAUAACAUGGCCGUGCCAUGAACUUGGCGUAAGCCGGCCGUCCAAAUACAGCAUGGUAUGGGCUUCUUAUCUUGACCACCUCAAAGGUCAAUUUCUCCACCCUAUAGUUGUUCUCAUCUCCAAAGGCCACUUCCAAUUCAAUCUUGCCGACUGGAUAAGCCAACUUACCAGGUACCACACCGUGGAAAAUAGUGUUGGACUGGCUGAGGUUUUUAUCAAUCAACCCCAUACGACGGAAAGUCUCAUAAUAGAGGAUGUUGAUGCUGCUGCCUCCAUCCAUGAGCACCUUAGUGAACUUAUAUCCUCCCACCUGAGGAGCCACCACUAGGGCCAAGUGACCCGGAUUAUCCACCCGUGGAGGGUGAUCCUCCCUACUCCACACUAUAGGCUGCUCAGACCACCGCAAGUAGCGUGGAACCGCCGGCUCAACAGCAUUCACAGCCCUCUUAUGAAGCUUCUGAUCUCGCUUACACAGACUGGUGGUAAACACAUGAUAUUGUCCACCGCUAAGCUGCUUUGGAUUGGUCUGAUAACCCCCCUGCUGCUGUUGAUGACCCUGACCAGACUGUUGAUUAAAGCCCCCUUGACCGUUCUGAGGACCAGAAUUUGAGCCGCCGCCCGGGCCAUGAAAGCCGCUGGCGCCUGAGCCGCCGCCCAGGCCAUUGUAAUUCUUAAAGGCCUUCAUGAUUGCACAAUCCUUCCAUAGAUGAGUCGCUGGCUUCUCUCUAGAGCCAUGCCUUGGACAAGGCUCAUUCAACAGUUGCUCCAGUGUCGGGCCUGACCCGCCGCCUCGGGGAGGGGGCCUCCCCUUGCGUCGCUGGUUAUUACCUUGCGAGCUGGCGUUGGCUACGAACUCUAGGCUGCCAUCGGCCUUGCGCUUACCUCCUCCUUGGUUCCCCGGGUUAUGCUGAGGACCCUUGCCAUUGCCAUUCUUCUUUCCCUUCCCUGCCCUUUCAUCAUCUGAAGGGGGAUCCUUGGUACCAUCAGAAUCGGCGUACUUGACAAGAGCCGCCAUUAGCAUACCCAUAUCACUGCAGUCGCGCUUAAGCCGCCCGAGCUUCAUCUUCAGGGGCACGAAACGACAAUUCUGUUCCAACAUUAAGACUGCAGAGCCGGCAUCCAUCUUAUCUGAUGAAUGUAUGAUCUCCUUGACCCGGCGAACCCAGUGAGUCGUGGAUUCACCCUCCUUCUGCUUACAGUUAGUCAAAUCCACAAUUGACAUAGACUGCCUACAGGUAUCUUUGAAGUUUUGGAUGAACUGGGCUUUCAGCUCAGCCCAAGACCCGAUGGAUUUUGGUGGUAGCCCUUUUAACCAAGUGCGGGCAGUCCCAUCCAACAUCAUGGUGAAGUACUUGUCCAUUGCCGCCUCACUGACCUCCAGUAGUUCCAUGGCCAUCUCGUAACUCUCGAUUCAGGCUGCGGGUUGUAAGUCAGCCGUGUAGUUGGGCACCUUCCUAGGGCCUUUGAAGUCCUUGGGUAAACGUUCAUUGCGGAUAACUGGCACUAAGCAAGGGACACCCCCAGUCCUGGUAGGGAUGCCCACAUCGACGGACGUCGUCGGAUAAGCCGGGGGAGUCUGGUAGGCCGUCAACUGAGGCACCCGCCUCUUGCCGCACUGUCUUGGUCCGCUGCGUGAAAGGCUCCGUUAUGAGCCGGGCCAUGGCCAGGGGGCGGGUCAUGGCGUCGGACGUUACUUGAGCCGGUCGCUGAGACCAUGUGCCGGCUGUAACUCGGGCUCCGGCCUGGACGAGGGGUCGAGUGGAUCCUGUCCCGGCUGUAGGAGUACGCCUCUUGCUGUGCCAGUGCUGUCUGAAGGAGUUCCCUGACCCGGCGGGUUUCAAUAGCCGUCGGAGAGUCGCCGUCCACUGGGAGAGCCGCCAGCCGUGCUGCCGCAGCGACCAUGUUCUCCAGCGGGUUAUUAUAAUGACCCGGUGGUAUUGGCACGUACUGAGGCAGGGCAGGGGGCACCUAGGGAGGCCCCAUCACUUGUGGCUGAAUAGGGGUCCCAGACCCGGGCAUUAUGACCCCUGGCGGGUUACUAGACCCUGCACCUGGCGUGUUGAAGAGGUUACGUGGAUCGUAAACCGGAGGGAGUCGAGAUUGGGCCUUUUGAUGCCUCCUUCUCAGGACCUCAUUGGACGCGUUUUGAUCCAUCGUGAGCCGGAAGGACUACGCUUGAAUCAACUGGGUUUGGGCAUCGAGAGCCGCCCACUCCACAGCCAUCCUGAUCCCUUCCGCUGCCAGAUCCUCCUUAGCCUUCACUAGAUCCAACUUUAACUGUGCCACCUCCGCAUCAUGCUGAGCUUGAUCCGCCGAGUCAACCGUGGCGGUUAACAGGGCCGUCAUCUUGUCCGUGAGAUCCAUUAGCACCUGAGCCGGCGAGGGCACCGGGUUUCCCGCUCCAGCAGCAGGGUUCUGAACAGGCUGUGCACCGGCCAUAAAGACCCCAACCUGACUUGGCGGCUCAAACGGGUCCGGAAUACUGUCACCAUCGGAAUAACCCAUGAGCCAGCCAUCUUGAAGUUGAUACAACGAGUUUGACUCAUCGGUGGACGACUCGCCGUCAGAGCCGGCGGCCGUCUCACCACCAGACCCAGAUCGAUCAGAGAGCCCUCCAUGGACGCAUCCCACAAAAGCAUGCCUUAUGGCAGGCCGGGCCCGGGCGGGUCGUGCACGCUGAGCCGUCUUGAUGAGAUCGGCGCAGAGAUCCGGCUCAGGCCCCGGCUCACCAAUCUUGCCGAUGAAAACAUGAAUUCCGCCGAAGGGAACCCGAUACCCGUACUCAAUUGAGCCGGCGUCGGGGCCCCAGUUUGCAUUGUCGAUGUAGAGCUUGCCGCGACGACUCUUGGUCAUCCGGCCCACAGCGUAUCCCUUGAGCCCUUCGAAGCUGCCCUUCAAGAACUCAAAUCCACCGCGCGCUAGCCCCACGGUGGGCGCCAACUGUCGUGGAAUUGUCACGGCAGAUGUCCUCGAGCUAGGACUUAGUCAUGGAGCCAUCGCAACUAGGAAGCUUGAAGGGGUUAAGUGGGACAAGGAACACGAGGGUUUAUACUGGUUCGGCCCCUUACGGUGAAGGUAAAAGCCUACGUCCAGUUUGAGGUGGUAUUGAUUAGGGUUUCGAUGACCAGGGAGCUUAACUGCUAUGCCUGGCUCUCGACGAGAUCUUUCUUGUCCCUAAACCGCUGCCGGGUCGUCCCUUUAUAUACGGAGGCUGACGCCCAGCAGCUCUCAGAGUCCCGGCCGGCUCAUAAGAGUGUCCAGCUCGGACUCUCAACUAUUCUUGCCUUACACUACAAGUUCUACCAUAAUAAUGAUGGUAACUACGGGCCUUAAGCCAUAUCCGGGUCUUAAGCCGAUCUCUGGCCCAUCGUCUUCAAGCUUGGCUCCGGGCUUCUGGCAAUGACCAUAUGAGUAACCCGGCCCCUCCUGGCGGGUGACUCUAAGGUCUAUAUCCUCAACACCUGGUGUUCGGAAGACCGUACGAGGGGCUCUAUGAGCGCCUGAUCGGAAGAAAACCAAUCCAUCGCACGCUGCAUUAGUUAUCGCAUAAUGCGGAAGAAAUCCUUAAAGAUUUUAUAACCUCUCGAACAGCCACCAGCUCUUGCCGCAUCAUGACAGUCAGUUUUCGGCUUUCUCUACUGAGGUGCUCAUCCGGAAGAACCGGGACACAAUCGCAGUAGUUCUCCCUGCGCUACCUUAGCCGAUAUAGCAGAACGUAAGGCACCAAAACAAGGGAGCCGGGCAAACCCAACUAUUGAUGCAAGACAUGAUUCGGAGCUGAUGCAUAUAAUGCUAUAAGUUCGGGGUGUCGAACGACCGUGAAGGUGUUCGGACUUUAUUGCCGUAUUAUGGGUACAAUGAAGCCCCUGGCAUAUUAAGGCGUAUCGCGAUAUGCAGACGCCAUUUGACAAAGAGUGUCAAUAAAAACAACAACAGAUAAGCGUCAUAUGAAGCCGCAUGUUUGGAAAAUAACACGUCGAUGCGUAUGAGUACAGAUAAUAUGAUAAAAAUAAAUAUGACUCCGGAACCUGCUGAGACUAUGUGGGAGGAGGCUGUGUGCGAAUCCGUAGUGUAGUCGGAUGGUCAUCAAGGGGCAUCUCUAAGGAUUCCCUUACGCAUUUGAGAUGUUUCCAUGUCGCCAGUCCCGACCUACACAAAGGUCGACCUGCAAAAAAAGUGUAAAAAAGAUAUUUAUGUGCCAUGGAGCGGUUAAUCCGCAUUGUGUGGCCUAUCCUAGCUGUGCCUCCGUUUACUGCCGGAGUGUUUUAAUUGAGCUCCGGACAAGCCGGGCUAUCCUGCCGCAGAGUAGUUCGGUCUUCCUUGACAGUGUCCGAGAGCUUGGCUGUCGACUCGAGGUUCGAUUGAAAGAUGCCUUUCGUUGCUUCUACUGUCAAGGAGACGGUACAUUCUUCGACAUAGAGGUGGAGUUCGGCCUUGCCGUUAACUGUUAUGACGCCACGUGGACCGGGCAUCUUGAGCUUACGGUAGGCAUAGUGUGGCACCGCGUUGAAUUGAGCAAACGCGGUUCAUCCGAGUAGUGCAUGAUAAUUACUGCGAAAAGGGGCGAUGUCGAAGGUUAACUCUUCGGUACGGUAAUUGUCCGGUGAUCCGAAGACUACCUUCAGAGUGGUGGAGCCUGUACAACGGGCCUCCACACCUGGUAUGACACCUUUGAAGGUGGUUUUAGUGGGUUUGAUCAUCGAAUGAUCGAUACCCAUCUUGCGCACUGUGUCCUGAUACAGCAGGUUUAGACUGCUGCCUCCGUCCAUAAGGACUCGCGUGAGGUGAAAUCCGUCAAUUAUUGGGUCAAGGACUAGUGCGGCUGAAUUGCUCUGAUUGGUAUUUGUCGGGCGAUCCGUACGGUCGAAAGUGAUCGGCCGUAGUGUAUAUUGUGGGGUGACUGACUUCAUCAAGUCGACAUCCGUAAGAGUGCACAUCCGUUCUAGCUUGGGAAUGUGGGUGGCGUUUAUCAUAUUCACCAUUUUGGUUUAUGGGGGGAAUUUCCUUUGCCCUCCCGUUUUCGGUGAUCGGGGCUCCUCAUCGUCGUCGUCACUUUGAGACCCCUUCUCCUUGUUGUCGGCACCUGACCUGCCGGCCUGUUUGAAGACCCAGCAUUCUCUGUUAGUAUGAUUGGCUGGUGUUCCUGGGGUGCCAUGAAUUUGGCAUGGACGAUCGAGUAUGCGGUCCAAACUGGACGGGCCCGAAUUGUUCUUUUGGGGUGGCUUUUUCCGCUGACCGGACUUAGAGCCACUGAAUCUGGCAUUGACUGCUGUGUCUUCGGUGUUAUCACCAUUUUUGCGACGCUUGUGUUUGUUGUGUCGGGGCUUGCCGCUGCUAGCUCUGGCCUCUGAUGUGCCAGGAUUGCUUGCUGUGUUGUUGCUACGAGCCAACCAGCUAUCCUCGCCCGCACAAAAGCGGGUCAUGAGUGUCGUGUGGGCUGCCAUGGACUUCGGCUUUUCUUGGCCGAGAUGUCGGGCGAGCCACUCGUCGCGGAUAUUGUGCUUAAAGGCCGCUAGGGCUUCGGCAUCCGGACAUUCGACAAUUUGGUUCUUUUUAGUUAGGAACCUAGUCCAGAAUUUCCUGGCUGACUCUCCGGGCUGUUGGGUUAUGUGACUUAAGUCAUCAGCAUCCGGUGGUCGCACAUAAGUGCCCUGGAAGUUAUCCAGGAAUGCGUCUGCCAGGUUCUCCCAACUUCCAAUGGAAUUUGCCUGCAAACUAUUCAGCCAAUGCCGGGCCGGCCCCUUGAGUUUUAGUGGGAGAUACUUGAUGGCGUGUAAAUCAUCCCAGCGGGCCAUGUGAAUGUGGAGAAAGAAAUCUUCUAUCCAUACCGCGGGGUCCGUAGUCCCAUCAUAGGGCUCGAUAUUUACGGGCUUAAACCCUUCUGGGAAUUCAUGAUCCAUUACUUUGUCAGUGAAGCAUAGGGGGUGUGCGGCGCCUCUAUGCCGGGCUAUGUCACGACGCAGUUCAAAUGAGUCUGGUCUGUUGUAUUCGGCCCGGCCGGAUUUGCUUUUAGUGUAUCCGGCGUGACGGUCAUCGUCGUGCGUUGGGGCGCGCCCCCGUGAUCCGUAGAUCGAUCUUGACUGUCCUGCUUUGUUUUCCAAUUUUUCUCGCAGGUCAUGUGUGGAGCCCCGGGCCUUCGUGUUUUUACUUGUUUGGCGACGGGGUGCGGGCUGGACUUCGGGCUGAUAUGCCUUGUCCCGGCCACGUGGUGGCGGAUCAGCUGCAUCUUGCGCUGGUAGUGUAGGCUCUAGUGCCUCCUCCUCGAAUUGAGGUAACAACUUGCGCUUUUGGUAACUUUUGGUUGGGCGCUCGAGUCCAUAUUCCUCGGCUGCCAGGACCUCAGUCCAACUAUCAGCUAGCAGAUCUUGAUCAGCUUGAAGUUGUUGCUGCUUUUUCUUCAGGCUUUUUGCAGUGGCUAUAAGCCAGCGCUUGAAGCGCUCCUGCUCGACGGGGUCCUCAGGCACGAUGAAUUCUUCGUCGCCAAGGCUCACCUCGUCUUCGGAGAGGGGCAUGUAAUUGUCAUCCUCCGAGUCUCCAUCCGUUACCUGUUCAUCGGGGUUCGCUUCCCCAUCCUCCCGUUCGGCCUGCUCGAAGUCUGGCUGGGCGGGAUUGUUUUCGUCUUCGGCAUUAUCCGGAGUGUUAUUGUCUCCUGUGCAGGUAUCGCUGUUUUUGCUAUGGCGGGGCUUAGAGCGGCGCCUAUGACGCCGGUGCUUAGACUGCUUCUCAAGGGGAUUAUUCUCCGUUGCCUCAUCGCCAUUGCCUUCUUUGGGUGUAUCCACCAUGUAUAUGUCAUAUGAUGAGGUGGCUGUCCAGCGCCCUGUGGGCGGUGGUUCCUGUUCUUCUCCGGCAUCGUCGUCCAUACCGUUGAUGUCUUCGGAGUCGAAAUCAAGCGUGUCGGUUAAGUCGUCGACAGUGGCUAUUAAGUGGGUGGUGGGUGGGUAACGAAUUUCUUCGUCGUCCGCUCCCCACUCGAGCCGGACAUAGUUCGGCCCGAAAUCCUCCGACAGGGAGAGAGAUUUCAAUGAAUUUAGCACAUCACCCAAGGGCGAGUGCUGAAAGAUAUCCGCGGAGGUAAACUCCAUGAUCGGUGCCCAAUCAGAUUCUAUAGGCACGGAUGCACGUGGUUCGAAGCCUAUGGCCGGAGAUGAGUCCGAGGGUCCGAUGACACAGACCUCAUUGGAAGUGAGAUCUGUGUUCGGCUCUAUCGCUGAUGAGUGUACGGCUUCCGUGGCGGGGUUCAUCCACCCAUCCUCGGAUGGCACGAUCUGCUCCGGAUUAAUAGCCGGGGCAACCGCAGGUGUGAUUUCCCGAACACCGUCCGAUGGCAGAUCUAAGUCGUGCUCAUCGUGACUGUUCUGCGCACCUGCCAUGGGCUCAAAUCCGUCGAAGAUCAAGUCUCCGCGGAUGUCGGCAGUAUAAUUCAAGCUUCCAAACCUGACCCGAUGGCUAGGGGCGUAGCUAUCGAUCUGCUCCAGAUGGCCAAGCGAGUUGGCCCGCAGUACGAAGCCACCGAAUACGAAGAUCUGUCCGGGGAGGAAAACCUCACCCUGGAUCGCAUUGUUACAGAUGAUUGAAGGAGCCAUCAAGCCUUAUCGUGACGACACAGUGGAACUCUCAAUGAAAGCACCAAUGUCGGUGUCAAAACCGGCGGAUCUCGGGUAGGGGGUCCCGAACUGUGCGUCUAAGGCUAAUGGUAACAGGAGGCGGGGGACACAAUGUUUACCCAGGUUCGGGCCCUCUCGAUGGAGGUAAUACUCUACUUCCUGCUUGAUUGAUCUUGAUGAUAUGAGUAUUACAAGAGUUGAUCUACCAUGAGAUCGUAGAGGCUAAACUGCGACAACCUGAUUUUUGGCCCUUUCUUUUUCUUUUGUUUUUCUGAGGUUUUUGCCUGAGUUUUCUUUUUCCGUGGCUUUGUGGUCUGGAAACUGAAGAAGAUGCCCUCUUCUUUGCUUCCAGAGUGGCUUGUCAUUCCCAAAUCUUUCCCUGGACCCUGUCAUUUCCAUCCUAGCCCAAAUCCCAAUAAUCUUUUUAUUGGGAAUAUUCCUUUUCUAUCAAAGGAAUAACUCCAAUUGCCCUAGGUUGUGAAGCAACCUAUAUUUCCUUCACUCCUAAAAUUCCAAUAUAAUUCUCAUAAAUUGUUUGGGUCAUAUCUUGAUCAAAUAUGGCAAAACUUUUCAUUGCCAUGUUCAAAAAUAAUCCUCCAAUAAUUCAUUUCCUAUUCUACCCCAAAUGGCACAUUGUGAAGAAAGUGCCAUUUCCCUGUGCCCAAUUGACCUCAAACUACUUUGACAUAUUUGCAUCUCCAUAUCAUUGUCCCAUGCCAAAAUGCAACCUCAUUUUCCUAGUAAUUAUUUAAUUAUGAUUUUCCAAAGUUUCUGUCCAGCAAGAAGCUUUGUGAAGGAGGUACAAGCUAGGCAUAUCAAAAUGAGUUGCCAUUUUGCAUGAUCCUUCAUAUCAUCAUAUCAUAGCCUUAAACCAAAGUAGAGCUCAUGUCAUGCCUCCAUGUGAGCUCAUCUUCAAAUCUUUGUUUCUGCCCAAAAUUUAAGUUUGUGAAGCAAAUAUAUUUUAUCUUGCUCCAUUAUGGCUGCCAAUGUUUCUAGGCCUUCUAUUAUCCAUAUAACCUCCCUCCACCAAGUUGUGGCUCAAUCCCUUUGACCAUUUGCCCUGUGGAAUUUUUCCAAGUUUCUGGUCAGAAUAAAUAUUUCUGAAGCAAGUGCUAUUUUGGUUCAUCCAAAUGGCAUGAAACUCCUUGGGCAUCUGUAUAUCUUCAAAUCAUUGGGCCAUAACCAAUUUGAGAUCAAGUUGAUGCUUCAUCAGAGUGCAUCAUCCUAAUCUAGUUUCUGGACCAGUUUAUGUGGUUGUUAAGCAACUACAUUAAAUCUUGAUCCUAAUCCACUCCAAGUUACCAGGGUGAAAGUCCUUCUUUACCUCAACCUCGCAGACAACUCCAUUGGAUCCAAAACCCUUCCUGUUGAUCACUAGUGCUCACCCAAGUUUACAGCAGUAAACUUCAGAGGGUUCUUACUGUUUAACCAGAUCACUUUUAACCGAGCUACCACCGUAGUUGAGACCUACCCUGGAGGAACUUACCACUAGACAACGUUUGCCAGCUGUUUGCCUCUCCCUCAUGCCAGCACUGGUGGUGACCACCAUUUUGGCAUGCCAUGAGCGCGCCCCGAAUGGCCUCUUGCUCGGGCCCCUCCUUUUCUCGUCGUCUUCGCGCUCGUGAGCGUGUCUACCAGCUGGCCUGCGUCGUUGCCGUCCUCCUGGACCUCUCUUCCCCUCCGCCCGCUUCCUCGUCGGCGCUCGUCGCCGCGCGCCCACGGGUGAGCAGUGCCGACCGAGCUUUAAUGGCGCCGUGGCCGUUUCCCCUCUGCGCCCUCGCCCCUCCUGCCCUGUGCAUAGUUGUAGCUCAUCCGCACCCCCCUCUCAUCGCGAUCCCGCGCCCUCCCGUGAUUGCUGGCCGUCGCCAGAGCCUCGGCCGGACGUGCCCGGCGGCACCUGAGCCCAUCUCUCUCGCCCGGCUAUAUAUAGCCAUCCCCCGAGCCCUCCGAGCUCACCUCUCGACUCCCAUCACUCCCAGGACCCCGCCCCACUUCUUCCCCGAGCCGGAGCUGCUCUCCUCGCCUCCCUAUGCCACCAUGGCCGCCGCCUCGGCUCGGCUAAAUUAGCCCGACACCGAGCCUCCCCCUUCGUUCGUCCACCACCACUGGAUUCCCCACUCGCCAAUGAUCCUCCCAGCCCCUUAUCUAGUCGCCGGAGUAGCUGUGGCCGUCGUUCCCAAGAUCAGCCGCCGCCACCCCAUCCUCUGUUGCCCCAAGCCGCGGCUGCCCUAGUCAUCCCCGGCGCUCCCUUCGCUGCGGGAUGGACGCGGCGCUUCCUCCCGAGCCCACCGGUGGCUGCGUCCUCGCCGGAGCCGGCCGGCCCGUCACCGGUGACGCGCCCUCCCCUGCCUCCUCUAUCCAGUGAGGGAGCAGGACGAGCAAGAAGAAGGCAGAGGCCAGGCGGGCCCUCUUCUCCUCGCAGGCCCCGCGUGGCAGCCUCAGCCCGUUGACCUGGUCUGCCCACGUGGAUAAGUGACGGGCCCCAUCCCGUGGGACCCACACACGUCAGCCCCUUCACUGUUCCAAAGGAUAAGGUGAAAGCGUAUUUUUCCAGAUUACAUUUUCACUUUUUCUGUUCAGACCCCUGGUUGAAAAGAUUUUCAUUACAGAUGGGUCCCUGGCAGAAAAACAUCCAUAUCUUUUUAUCCGUAAAUCCGUUUAAGGUGAAACCAACGCUCACUUCUUCGUCUCGUCGAGCCCGUUUUGUUGGUUUCAUUUUCACUAUGGUUUGACACUAUGAAAAUGACCUUUUUGCCCUUUCCCUUAUUCAGCCCUCUCCGAGAGAGAACGUUUUCCGGCGAUUCGUUCCGCGAGUUUCUCGCACUUUCUCCCGGUGAUUUCUUCCACCCCAGGCAAGCCACAAUACCCACUUGCAUGAUAGUCAUGCAGUAGCCAUGGUUUUUAACUUGAAUAUUUAUUAAAUGUUUGCUUGUUUAAAAUAUGGUUAUCGUUGUUUCGGUAAUGCUUCUGGACUAGUGCUUACUUUCUUGCUAUGUUGUUAUGCACCUGGUUGUCAUGCCCGGCUAGUUGCUAGUAUUCCUUUCAUAUUGCCAUGCUUGAUAGUAGUAUAUGCUGAUGAUGGUGAUGGUCUUCGGUGCAUGACUGUCGUUUGUCCCGAGUACCGUUGUUAUGCAUGUCCCUUUACAUCCAGUUGGUUAAAUGCUUGCAUGAUGGCAUCGUUGAUAUGUUCUUGCAUGACAUUUAUUGUUGAUGCUAGUGGUCAUGCUAUGUUUCGGAGAAGUAUGUACUGGUGAUGUUCAUGCUAGUCAGUACGCCAUGCCCAAUGGAUAUGAUUCAUUGUUGAUAUGGUGGAUAGUUAUGAGAUACCCUCAUGAUUGUGUUGAUAUCAUGUUCAUGCAUUUUUAUUAUGACUCAGCAUAUUUGCAUUCAAGUUAACCGGAUUAAAUUGAACUUGAACAACUGUUGGCUGAGUCAUGGUGCCGCUGAAUCGAUGCUGACCAGUGCAACCACGCUUACCGGUAUGGGACGGUCCUAACUGGGUCUAUUGUUGUGCCUCUCGCCGGUGCCUCCAACGAGGGAAGGUUAUGGGCGCGCGCUACCCUGAUCAGGUAGGCGGACAUAACCUUGUGUGCCCGUUGUUGAGUUUGAGUUUUUGGAUCCGUGUCCCCGUGUGGGACGGGCCACGACGGUGGUCGUUGUGUCUUUGGUAGACACGGGGCCACCCAUGAAUUAGCCCAGAGGGGAGUGAGUCGGAGUGGCCGGGGGAGUGUCAUGACAGUAGAUCGGUUUUGUCGGAACGCCGUUGGUCCACCCAAAUGGGAGUGCGAGGCCAUGGGUUCUGUAGUGUGGGUACAGUGUACUAACCUCUGCAGAGUAUAUAUUAAAUCUAUCGAUAGCCGCGCCCGCGGAUAAGGGCCCAGGUCGAAAGUAGGGUACACCAUGAGUCAACAGUAAUAAGAAUAACUUGAUUAAUGUCAACCCGUGGUUGUGGUCGCCGUAAGGAUCGCGAUGGUAUCGAGGAUACCGAGUUGUUGGAUAUUCGUGAUGUUGUGCGAGAGUCGUGGGUAAAGAUCAAGCUCCUUGUGGUCAUUUACUGAUCGCUACGGUAUUGUUUAUACCAAGCUUGAUUUGAUCCUGAGAUGAUCGUGUGAUGUCCGAGGUUGGUAAGUGAUGCAUGUGUUGGUUACGAGGUAACCCGAGCAGAAUAAGUAGUGCAUGAUAGUGUCAUCAUGUUGCAUGCUAGUAUUGUCGGAUUAAUAUGUUCAUGUUGUGUUAGCUGUAUCAUGUUUAUGUCGGUCAUGCCAUGUUAUUCUGAUGAUCUCAUGAUAAUUCCUGUUUAACUUGUAAUUGCCAUGCUGUUGUCUGUCUUGAAUGCUUCUGGUUAUUGUGAGCUUGCAAGUACAUUCAAUGUACUGACCUGGCGUGUCAUGCCAGUUUGCAGGUCAUGCCGGAUUUGAUUGCUUGCUUGUCGUUGUUCCCGUUCGUGCGAGCUAGGAUAAUCGUUCCAGCCAGAGUCCCUGCGGAGUGGAGUUCACCACCGUCGUCGUUGUUCCGCUGCUAGAGUUAUUCCGCUGCUUUAAGUUGUUCUGCUGCUUGCAUAGAGCAACUGAGGAUGGCGUAGUAUCGCCGUGCCGAUGUUAUUCAUUGUAAUAUCGGAGACCUUGUAUUCAUUUUCGUGUAAUAAUAGAGAGCUGGUUUGUUCUAUGCUAAGCAGUGACGUAUUCCAGAAGACUUCUCCUCGAUCUCUGGGCUGGAAUACGGGGCGUUCUGGUUUUCUCUGAGCCGGGGUGCCACAGCGCUUGGUAUCAGAGCAGGUCUAGCUAUAGGACGCCCUAGACCGCGCGAAUGUUAGAAAGCGGUAGUAUAGACCCAAGUUUGUUUGUUGCACUUGAUUGCUGCAUUUGUUUGCUGCAUAGCAUGCAUAUAGCCUUAGUAUUUGUACUAACGGUUUAUCUGGUGAGUGUAGCUGGCAUCGGUUCGGAUCCACUACAGCUCAACCUUUGCAUUUCUCCAGUUCCUUUUUCUUUUGGUGUUUGGUGUUAUUUCUGUCCCAGCAGAGUGAUGCCAAGUGAUCCCGACACUGUUUGCAAAAAUGGUGCUCAGUUAUCGCACCGAUGUCUUUCCUUCAGUCCCGUCUAUCAUUUUGGUGAUGAACAUGCAUCUAUCCCAGAUCGUUCUUCUAUUUUGUCGUGUUGGCAACCCUUAAUGAUCUUAGUUAUCAAGAAAGGGCAAUGUCAGCAGCCUCAGUUUUUGCCCGCUAUCCUAUUUCUUGGACGAGUACGGAUCUUUUUCCGUCUGCUUGAUAAUAAUGUGGUUGCGACCUUCGUGUCCCACUGCAUGAUUACCGAGUACGUCCUCGCCUCCGAGCUAGUUCAGGUUGCCCCUGGCUAAGCCAACACUUGGUGUAGCGCUGCUUACACCAAAUCUUCCACACAUUUAUUCGUCCUCGUGCACAUCGUCACAGCAUAUUAGAUCGUAGUACCGGAGAUUCCGCGAAAUUUGUGUGCUUAAGUAGGCAUGCAUAUUGUGUGACUAGCAGUAAUAUGUGAUGCUUGCUCGAUUAAUUAUACUAGUAGAAUGCUUGUGUGCUUUUGUUUUAGUCAUUUCUGUUGUUCCUUUCUUUGGGCCUUCGGUGUUACAAUUUUUUCCCCUAUUAAAGUUGCUCGUCAGCCGACACUGGACCCGAAGAGUCAGUAAGAAAUGCAUAUAUUUGGAAAGUCAGCUAAACAGAAUGGAAUUAUCAGCUGACUGCAGUGAAAUUGGGAAUAGCUUGUCUGGAUGCAAAAGAAAUCCUGGAUGGGCCGUCAGUAUCAAGUUUGCAUUAGCUUGCACUCAUCACAACAAAAUGAUUAAAUCAGCAAGAAGAUAAAUUGUGUGCAAGGUUGACAGAAUAUUAUCAAAGGUAUGGCUCAGAUACACGUUUAAUUUUCGUUGAGGAUGAUUUUGGAACUCGAUGUACCUGGAAGCAAACAAAAAUAUGGCAUAUACUCAAAAAGAAGGAUAGUCCAGUAAAACCCUGUUUCAUACAAGAAAUCAACAUCAGAAAUAUUAAGAUGGUAUGUAUAUGUGGUACUCGGUCCGCAUAUCACAAUAAGAAGUUUCUGGUGUAAGCAACCCACUUUUCCCUCGCAAGAUACCGGAGAAGCUUCCAAGGCAAGAUUCAUCUAUCUUCCUCAGUACGAUACAUGGAUGACUUCUCGCGCAAGGUACUCUGCCUUCUUCGGUAAGCAACCGCAAAAGCUUCCAGCAUAAGGUACUGAGUCUUUCCCCAGCGAAGUCUUUAAGGGGGUAAGCUUUUGAAGCACGAUACCCAGUCUUCUUCAGCAAGCUGUCCGAUGAAAGUUUCGAGCUCAAGCCAGCAAAUAUUCCUCAGUAAGACAUUGGUACAAGGUAGUACGCUGUGAAUUGACAGCAUAUGGCAGUGAAUCCUAAGAAUCAGAUCCGCAUCAUUUUGGUCAGAAUCAAGAAUCAGUCAGAAUACACGUCUGUCUCGGAAUCAGAUUCUCAUAUAUAUGCGGUGAGCAUACCACCGAGAUCUUACAAGUCACUCGGAGGAGGAUCUGAUAACCACGUGACGAUGAUUAAGAGAAGAAAGCCAGUAUACACCACAGUGUGACAAAGGAUUAUAAGGAUUGACGACAUCAAUGAGCUCAAUACAAGUAUCCGUGAACCUGGAAAAUGAUCCUGAUGAGCCUUUGUCCCCUUUUUCUCCAACGACGGCACCACGCCUGUGAUCUGAGCUGUUUCUACCUAUCCGGGGCGGAUGCGGAUUUUUUUAUUUCUCUCUUUCACGACUGUCACGAGUUCUGAGCUGCUUUUCGACCGUUUCGUACAGCUGUGAGUUUCUUUUUGUGACAGUGGCCCUAUAGCUGCUUUUUGGCUAUUCUAGGGAGCUGCCACCUUCUUCUUAUCGACCCGGUCUCAUGCUCUGAGCUGUUUUUUCGGCUGUCCUGAGCCGUGGUUGAGUUAUGUCAGUAAUGUCCCAGAUCUGAGUGGUAAAGACAGUUCUGGUGGCUACUGAUUUAUUUGCCGAUUUCUUGCAAGGGUUUCGGAUGAUCAUUUCCCAACGAUCAGAACUUGAGAGGUGUUGAACCUGCCAUUUAAUGGGUUACCCUGUCAGAAAAAUGAGGAUAAGCUAUGAUUGCCGAAAAAUUGCACCGACAGUACCUAUGGUCAUACAAAGAAACAAUAUGGCCCAGCUCUUUCAUCCAAAGAUCCAGACCAAGAAAACAAAAAUGAAGGAGCAAGACCAGCGAUGCAGGUAUGAAAAUUGUACACGACCCCCAUGGUGCAGAUCCCCUGGACAGUCUAAGUCAGUGUUGAUCCACAUGGAUAUGCCUACAGCAUGAGUAAUCGGCAUGAGGAAUCACAGUCUGGAAGCCUGAGUCCUCACCUAUAUGAAUGAUCAUGGAUAGCCCGUCGUGAACAAAAAAAUUUCCAUCAGAAACACCGUCAGUCAAGUCUGCAGAUAUUAUCAUAUAGGCCAAACCCUUUAUGCUGGCCGCGACAGGAGACAAUCAAAUAUUUGGUACGGAUCCGAUACUCACGACAAUGGAACCAGUUCAGAAACUUCUGCGAUGAGUCAGAAUCUGUCAGGAAACGGUUAUAUUUUAACUCACUGUUUGGAACCCAAAGGACCUGCAUUUAGUGGAGAAACCCAAUGCAAUGAGUCAGAGCUUGAGUUUUCAUCAUAAAAUUCUGAUCAUCAUUACAUGAAAGGUUGUCAGUGCCGGGUGACACACCCAGCGGAAAUCACUUUUGGAUUUGUGAGACGGACAUAUAUUUCAGUUGUGAAAAUUAAUCACAGUCAGCUAGUCAGCAGAUCUAAAAAGAAAUUGGAGCCUAUAUAAGCAUGAGCAAGCCAGGUAAGAUCUGUCAGAAUGUGGAUACAGUAAAGCAAACCACCCAGGGCCAGUAAGAUAAAAAAAUUAGUGGGAACAAAAAUAAGAAAAAAGAUACCCGAGUUGGAAACGGUUUCCUUAAGUCAGAAUAUUCAUACUUGUUCCCUGAGCAACCAAAUCUCGAGGACGAGAUUUCUUUAAGGGGGUAAGGUUUGUGACAGCCUGAUUUUUGGCCCUUUCUUUUUCUUUUGUUUUUCUGAGGUUUUUGCCUGAGUUUUCUUUUUCCGUGGCUUUGUGGUCUGGAAACUGAAGAAGAUGCCCUCUUCUUUGCUUCCAGAGUGGCUUGUCAUUCCCAAAUCUUUCCCUGGACCCUGUCAUUUCCAUCCUAGCCCAAGUCCCAAUAAUCUUUUUAUUGGGAAUAUUCCUUUUCUAUUGAAGGAAUAACUCCAAUUGCCCUAGGUUGUGAAGCAACCUAUAUUUCCCUCACUCCUAAAAUUCCCAAAUAAUUCUUAUAAAUCGUUUGGGUCAUAUCUUGAUCAAAUAUGGCAAAACUUUUCAUUGCCAUGUUCAAAAAUAAUCCUCCAAUAAUCCAUUUACUAUUCUGCCCCAAAUGGCACAUUGUGAAGCAAGUGCCAUUUUCCUUUGCCCAAUUGACCUCAAACUCCUUGGACAUCUUUUCAUGUCCAUAUCAUUGCCCCAUGCCAAAAUUCAACCUCAUUUGCCUAGUAAUUAUUGAAUUAUGAUUUUCCAAAGUUUCUGUCCAGAAAGAAGCUUUGUGAAGGAGGUACAAGCUAGGCAUAUCAAAAUGAGUUGAAAUUUUGCAUGAUCCUCCAUAUAAUCAUAUAAUAGCCUUAAAACAAAGUAGAGCUCAUAUCAUGCCUCCAUGUGAGCUCAUCUUCAAAUCUUUGUUUCUGCCCAAAAGUUCAGUUUGUGAAGCAAGUAUAUUUUAUCUUGCUCCAUUAUGGCUGCCAAAUUUUAUAGGCCUUAUAUUGUCCAUAUAACCUCCCUCGACCAAUUUGUGGCUCAAUACCUUUGACAAUUUGCCCUGUGGAAUACUUCCAAUUUCUGGUCAGAAUAAAUCUUUCUGAAGCAAGUGCUAUUUUGGUUCAUCCAAAUGGCAUGAAACUCCUUGGGCAUCUGUAUAUCUUCAAAUCAUUGGGCCAUAACCAAUUUGAGCUCAAGUUGAUGCUUCAUCAGAGUGCAUCAUCCUAAUCUAGUUUCUGGACCAGUUUAUGUGGUUGUUAAGCAACUACAUUAAAUCUUGAUCCUAAUCCACUCCAAGCUAUCAGGGUGAAAGUACUUCUUUACCUCAACCUCGCAGACAACUCCAUUGGAUCCAAAACCCUUCCUGUUGAUCACUAGUGCUCACCCAAGUUUACAGCAGUAAACUUCAGAGGGUUCUUACCGUUUAACCAGAUCACUUUUAACCGAGCUACCACCGUAGUUGAGACCUACCCUUGAGAAACUUACCACUAGACAACGUUUUCCAGCUGUUUGCCUCCCCCUCAUGCCAGCACUGGUGGUGACCACCGUUUUGGCAUGCCAUGAGCGCGCCCAGAAUGGCCUCUUGCUCGGGCCCCUCCUUCUCUCGUCGUCUUCGCGCUCGUGAGCGUGUCUACCAUUUGGCCUGCGUCGUCGCCGUCCUGCUGGACCUCUCUCCCCCUCCGUCCGCUUCCUCGUCAGCGCUCGUCGCCGCGCGCCCACGGGUGAGCAGUGCCGACCGAGCUUUAAUGGCGCCGUGGCCGUUUCCCCUCUGCGCCCUCGGCCCCUCCUGCCCUGUGCAUAGUUGUAGCUCGUCCGCACCCCCCUCUCGUCGCGAUCCCGCGCCCUCCCGUGAUCGCUGGCCGUCGCCAGAGCCUCGGCCGGACGUGCCCGGCGGCACCCGAGCCCAUCCCUCUCGCCCGGCUAUAUAUAGCCAUCCCCCGAGCCCUCCGAGCUCACCUCUCGCCUCCCAUCACUCCCAGGACCCCGCCCCACUUCUUCCCCGAGCCGGAGCUGCUCUCCUCGCCUCCCUAUGCAACCAUGGCCGCCGCCUCGGCUCGGCUAAAUUAGCCCGACACCGAGCCUCCCCCUCCGUUCGUCCACCACCACUGGAUUCCCCACUCGCCAGUGAUCCUCCCCAGCCCCUUAUCUAGUCUCCGGAGUAGCUGUGGCUGUCGUCCCCAAGAUCAGCCGCCGCCACCGCGUCCUCUGUUGCCCCAAGCCGCGGCUGCCCUAGUCAUCCCCGGCGCUCCCUUCACUGCGGGAUGGACGCGGCGCCUCCUCCCGAGCCCACCGGUGGCUGCGUCCUCGCCGGAGCCGGCCGGAGCCGGCCGGCCCGUCGCCGGUGACGCGCCCUCCCCUGCCUCCUCUGUCCCGUGCGGGAGCAGGACGAGGAAGAAGAAGACAGAGGCCAGGCGGGCCCUCUUCUCCUCGCGGGCCCCGCGUGGCAGCCUCAGCCCGUUGACCUGGUCUGACCACGUGGAUAAGUGACGGGCCCCACCCCGUGGGACCCGCACACGUCAGCCCCGCCACUGUUCCAAAGGAUAAGGUGAAAGCGUAUUUUUCCAGAUUACCUUUUCACUUUUUCUGUUCAGGCCCCUGGUUGAAAAGAUUUUCAUUACAGAUGGGUCCCUGGCAGAAAAACAUCCAUAUCUUUUUAUCCGUAACUCCGUUUAAGGUGAAAACAACGCUCACUUCUUCGUCUCAUCGAGCCCGUUCUGUUGGUUUCAUUUUCACUAUGGUUUGACACAGUGAAAAUGACCUUUUUGCCCUUGCCCUUAUUCAGCCCUCUCCGAGAGAGAAAGUUUUUCGGCGAUUCGUUCCGCGAGUUUCUCGCACUUUCUCCCGGUGAUUUCUUCCACCCCAGGCAAGCCACAAUACCCACUUGCAUGAUAGUCAUGCAGUAGCCAUGGUUUUCAACUUGAAUAUUUAUUAAAUGUUUGCUUGUUUAAAAUAUGGUUAUCGUUGUUUCGGUAAUGCUUCUGGACUAGUGCUUACUUUCUUGCUAUGUUGUUAUGCACCUGGUUGUCAUGCCCGGCUAGUUGCUAGUAUUCCUUUCAUAUUGCCAUGCUUGAUAGUAGUAUAUGCUGAUGAUGGUGAUGGUCUUCGGUGCAUGACUGUCGUCUGUCCCGAGUACCGUCGUUAUGCAUGUCCCUUUACAUCCAGUUGGUUAAAUGCUUGCAUGAUGGCAUCGUUGAUAUGUUCUUGCAUGACAUUUAUUGUUGAUGCUAGUGGUCAUGCUAUGUUUCGGAGAAGUAUGUACUGGUGAUGUUCAUGCUAGUCAGUACGCCAUGCCCAAUGGAUAUGAUUCAUUGUUGAUAUGGUGGACAGUUAUGAGAUACCCUCAUGAUUGUGUUGAUAUCAUGUUCAUGCAUUUUUAUCAUGACUCAGCAUAUUUGCAUUCAAUUUAACCGGAUUAAAUUGAACUUGAACAACUGUUGGCUGAGUCAUUGUGCCGCUGAAUCGAUGCUGACCAGUGCAACCACGCUUACUGGUAUGGGACGGUCCUAACUGGGUCUAUUGUUGUGCCUCUCGCCGGUGCCUCCAACGAGGGAAGGUUAUGGGCGCGCGCUACCCUGAUCAGGUAGGCGGACAUAACCUUGUGUGCCCGUUGUUGAGUUUGAGUUUUUGGAUCCGUGUCCCCGUGUGGGACGGGCCACGACGGUGGUCGUUGUGUCUUUGGUAGACACGGGGCCACCCAUGACUUAGCCCAGAGGGGAGUGAGUCGGAGUGGCUGGGAGAGUGUCAUGACAGUAGAUCGGUUUUGUCGGAACGCCGUUGGUCCGCCCGAAUGGGAGUGCGAGGCCAUGGGUUCCGUAGUGUGGGUACAGUAUACUAACCUCUGCAGAGUGUAUAUUAAAUCUAUCGAUAGCCGCGCCCGCGGAUAAGGGCCCAGGUCGAAAGUAGGGUACACCAUGAGUCAACAGUAAUAAGAAUAACUUGAUUAAUGACAACCCGUGGUUGUGGUCGGCGUAAGGAUCGCGAUGGUAUCGAGGAUACCGAGUUGUUGGAUAUUCGUGAUGUUGUGCGAGAGUCGUGGGUAAAGAUCAAGCUCCUUGUGGUCAUUUACUGAUCGCUACGGUAUUGUUUAUACCAAGCUUGAUUUGAUCCUGAGAUGAUCGUGUGAUGUCCGAGGUUGGUAAGUGAUGCAUGUGUUGGUUACGAGGUAACCCGAGCAGAAUAAGUAGUGCAUGAUAGUGUCAUCAUGUUGCAUGCUAGUAUUGUCGGAUUAAUAUGUUCAUGUUGUGUUAGCUGUAUCAUGUUUAUGUCGGUGAUGCCAUGUUAUUCUGAUGAUCUCAUGAUAAUUCCUGUUUAACUUGUAAUUGCCAUGCUGUUGUCUGUCUUGAAUGCUUCUGGUUAUUGUGAGCUUGCAAGUACAUUCAAUGUACUGACCUGACAUGUCAUGCCAGUUUGCAGGUCAUGCCGGAUUUGAUUGCUUGCUUGUCGUGGUUCCCGUUCGUGCGAGCUAGGAUAAUCGUUCCAGCCAGAGUCCCUGCGGAGUGGAGUUCACCACCGUCGCCGUUGUUCCGCUGCUAGAGUUAUUCGCUGCUUCGAGUUGUUCUGCUGCUUGCAUACAGCAACUGAGGAUGGCAUAGUGUCGCCGUGCCGAUGUUAUUCAUUGUAAUAUCGGAGACCUUGUAUUCAUUUUCGUGUAAUAAUAGGGAGCUGGUUUGUUCUAUGCUAAGCAGUGCCGUAUUCCAGAAGACUUCUCCUUGAUUUCUGGGCUGGAAUACGGGGCGUUCCGGUUUUCUCUGAGCCGGGGUGCCACAUAAACCCUAGAAGCUAGCCUAUGAUUCUGAUUGUUGUUGGUCCUACGGACUAAACCCUCCGGUUUAUAUAGACACCGGAGGGGGCUAGGGUUACACAGAGUCGGUUACAGAGAAGGAGAUCAACAUAUCCUAAUUGCCAAGCUUGCCUUCCACGCCAAGGAGAGUCCCCUCCAGACACGGGACGAAGUCUUCAAUCUUGUAUCUUCGUAGUCCAACAGUCCGGCCAAAGUAUAUAGUCUGGCAGUCCGAGUACCCCCUAAUCCAGGACUCCCUCACUGAUGACGCCAAGUGCUUGCGUUGACGUUUGGGGAGUGGGUCUGGUCCAGGUUCAGAGGCGGCAUGGUGGGCGAGCCAUUCGCGAUGAAGGAGAUAUCAAGCUUUCCCAUUGUGGUGAAAUGCUUGCGUCCUCUGCCUUGGCUAGCCGUCUAGCAGGGAGCACGACAUCCUACCGCGAGCCAUUGCGGCUCGUCGGCCUGGCGACCAGGUUCUUGGAGCCUUCAAUGCUCGUCCGGGGUGCAGGGCUCAGGGUCGUUGGUAAUCCCAGCACUGCCUCUUCCCUCGGAACCGGGGUUGAUGUUGAAGAGGAGGGCGCCUUCCUGCCUGCCAAGGUGGGAAGUGGUGCACCUCGAGCGCCCUGGUCGCUGUGAUUGCCCACCGUCUCCUCGGGGGAGAUGCCGGACCGAGAGGCCGACGUCUCCUUGCAGCGGCGUUGAUGAAGAUGAAGCUAGGGAAGAUGAAGAAGGCGGGAGGCAGGCCGUCAGGUCGGAGUACGAUGGCACCACCGCGUUCGUCUUGUACUGGCGACCUGCCGCCUCAUCUUUCUGUUCUUCCCCUCCCCCUGGAACCAUCAUCAUCGGCCUCCCGGUCGCCGGGGAGGGGGCCACUCUCUUGGUGCCUUCGCCUCCCUUCAGCAGUCUUCCAGCUGAGCUUUGGUGGUUUAUCCCACCAGUGCUCGAGAUGGGGCUUCUGGCUGGUCCUGGAGGUGGUAACCAGGGCGCCGCCAAGCUGCUCCUUCCGCCCUCCUCCUUCGCAGCCUCACCACUCUCGAUCUUGUCAGGCUACGCCCGGCAGGCCAUGACGGGACCGGGGUGGGCUCCUGCUUGAGCGCUCCUCCCGUCCCCUUCCCUUCCCACUGCAGUACCUGGGAUAAGAGGGACAUGGAGAGGAGUUUACGGGGCACUUAUGUUUUUUCAGUCGUAAAUGUAUAGGCACUUGCCAAUUUUAGUUCAAAUAAUGUAAUCUCUUGAAUCCAUGUUUGUGUCCUUUAAGGUCUGUACUUGUUUGAUCAGCAUAUAAAUUAAAAAGGAUAAACCUCGCCGGGGACUCGUGCAUGUAUAUGUCCAUGCAGAGGUGGGAUGUCUCUAUAUUUUUAAGUAACGAGUUUCCCCCAGCAGGCUAUCCUGUCAGUACCCUCUAUUUUGUUGUCGGGGAGUAGGCCUACUGGGCACAAACCGUAAAGAGGGACCAGCCCCCUGCCAGUCCUUAUCCAUCAAAGGCCACUGCGACCACCCCGAUCGAAGCAACGCUCGAGUCGAAGGGUGGGAGCACCUAAGUUUCAAAGGAUAGCAUGGUUUUCUCAUGCACAAGUCCUUACUUACAGAACAUGUAUGGAUAAGAGAAAAAACUUAUCUAUUUGGCUUGUCGGAGACCGCAGUGCUGGCUCGUCUUCUCAUUUCCUCUUGGGGACUGAGUCCACGGCAGGAGCCUGCAGUUUAUGCAGAUGAAAAUGAUGUCAGAUGCGAUCUUAUCUACAUGAACAUGCGAUGCUCAUGAUAUGCUUAUGCAUGCAUGCAACUUGUCUCCCCCCCAGCGCUUCAUUUAUUUCUUUGUUGCUCAGGGUCUGUGAUGUCUGCUAGAACUACGUCGAUAUUUCCCCAAAGAGGAAGGGAUGAUGCAGUAUAGCGAUAGUAGGUAUUUCCCUCAGUGAUGAGACCAAGGUUAUCGAACCAGUAGGAGAACCUCCUCACGCCACAUAAACAGCCCCUGCACACAAAUAACAAAUACUCGCAACCCGACGUGUUAAAGGGGUUGUGAAUCCCUUUCGGGUACGGCGCCUCAAGUAGGCAAGAUAACGUGAGAUAAAUGUGGUAGAUAGGAUAAAUAGAUCGCGGAACAAAUAAAUUGCAGAAAGAUAUUUUUGUAUUUUUGGUUUAAUAGAUCUGAAAAUAAAAUAAAAGGAAAAUAGAUCGCAAAGGCAAAUAUGAUGAAAAGAGACCCGAGGACUGUAGGUUUCACUAGUGGCUUCUCUCGAGAAAAAUAGCAAACGGUGGGAAAACAAUUACUGUUGGGCAAUUGAUAGAACUUCAAAUAAUCAUGACGAUAUCCAGGCAAUGAUCAUUAUAUAGGCAUCACGUCCAAGAUUAGUAGACCGACUCCUGCCUGCAUCUACUACUAUUACACCACACAUCGACCGCUAUCCAGCAUGCAUCUAGUGUAUUAAUUCAUGGAAAAACGGAGUAAUGCAAUAAGAAUGAUGACAUGAUGUAGACAAGAUCUAUUUAUGUAGAAAUAGACCCCAUCUUGUUAUCCUUAAUAGCAACGAUACAUAUGUGUCGUUUCCCUUUCUGUCACUGGGGUCAAGCACCGUAAGAUCGAACCCAUCACAAAACACCUCUUCCCAUUGCAAGAUAAAUAGAUCAAGUUGGCCAAACAAAACCCAAAUAUCGGAGAAGAAAUACGAGGCUAUAAUCAAUCAUGAAUAUAAGAGAUCAAAGAAGACUCAAAUAACUCUCAUGGAUAAAAACAUAGAUCUGAUCAUAAACUCAAAGUUCAUUGGAUCCCAACAAACACACCACAAAAAGACUUACAUCAUAUGGAUCUCCAAGAGACCAUUGUAUUGAUAAUCAAGAGAGAGAAAGAGGAAGCCAUCUAGCUACUAACUACGGACCCGUAGGUCUACAAAGAACUACUCACGCAUCAUUGGAGAGGCACCAAUGGACAUGAUGAACCCCUCCAAGAUGGUGUCUAGAUUGGAUCUGGUGUUUCUGGACUCUGCGGCGGCUGGAAUUGAUUUUCAUCGACUCCCCUAGGUUUUCUGGAAUAUUGGGGUAUUUAUAGAGCAAAUAGGCAGUGCGGGGGGCCAACGAGGAGGGCACAACCCACCGGGGCGCGCCUGGGCCCCCAGGCGCGCCCUGGUGGGUUGUGCUCCCCUCGGAGCUCCCCUCAGGUGCUUUCUUGGCCCACUGGAUGUCUUCUGGUCCAAAAAAUCCACAAAAAGUUUCGAUGCGUUUGGACUCCGUUUGGUAUUGAUUUCCUGCGAUGUAAAAAAUAUGCAGAAAACAACAAUUGGCACUGGGCACUAUUUCAAUAGGCUAGUACCAGAAAAUGAUAUAAAAUGAUUGUGAAACAUCCCAGAAUGAUAAUAUAACUGCAUGGAACAAUCAAAAAUUAUAGAUACGUUGCAGACGUAUCAGCAUCCCCAAAAGCUUAAUUCCUGCUCGUCCUCGAGUAGGUAAAUGAUAAAAAAAGAAUUUUUGAUGUGGAAUGCUGCCUAACAUGUUCAUCACAUUUUCUUUUCUUUAUAGCAUGGACAUUUGGACUUUUAUAUGGUUCAAAGCAAUAGUCUAGUUUUGACAUGAAGACUUUAAUACUCAAGCAUACCAACAAGCAACCAUGUAUUUCAAAAUAUCAACACCAAAGCAAGUUAUCCCUAGCCCAUUAUGGUCACCAUUGAUCCAUUCAUGAAAUACACUCGAAUAUUAGCUACACCCAAUGCUCAAAUACGAUCAUAGUGCCCCUUAGUUGGUGCUUUAUGAGAGAAGGUGGAGAAUCAAAAUUCAAAAUAAAAAUUGCAUAAAGUAAAAGAAGGGCCCUUCAUAGAGGGAAGUAGGGAUUUGUAGAGGUGCCAGAGCACAACGCGAAAAUUGAGAGAUAAAACAUUUUGGGAGGCAUACUUUUCCCACCAACGAAAAUGACUUAGAGCUCCCAACACUUUCCAUGCUAGAUACAUCAUAGGCGGUUCCCAAACAGAAAAUAAAGUUUAUUCCUUUUUCCACCAUUACUUUCACUUUCCAUGGCUAACCGUAUCCACGGGUGCCCUCCAUACCAACACUUCCAAGGAAUUUAUUAUUUGACAACAUAAAGUAAAUUCAUUUUUCAUUUCGGGACAAGGCAUCCCUAAUACCUUUGUCGUAAUCUCGUGCAACGACAAGUGAAUAAACACUCAUCGUGAGAAUAACACAUCUAGCAUGGAAAAUAUUGGCCACCCCUCACCGCCUGUAGAGCACACAAAAGAGAAAUUUAUUUUGAAAAUUAGAGAUGGCACAUGCAAAUUAGGUAGGUAUAGUGGACUAAUAUGGCAAAACUGGUUUAAAGGGUUUUGGAUGCACAAGUAGUGAUCAUACUUAGUGCAAAAUGAAGGCUAGCAAAAAGAUUGAGAAGCGACCAACCAAGAAACAAAAAAUCUCGUACCCAAGCAUUAAGCAUAAGUAACACCGAAUAAUGCACCACAAGUAAAUUUCAUUGCAUAACUAUUGACUUUCAUGCUUGCAUAGGGAAUCACAAACCUUAAGAUCAAUAUUCUUACUAAAGCACAAUUACUCAUCAACAUGACUCACAUAUCAUAUCGUCAUAUCUCAAAACCAUUACUAAGAACCAAGUUUAUUUUGUCCAAUGAUCUUCAUGAAAGUUUUUAUUAUAUCCUCCUUGGAUAUCUAUCACUUUGGGACUAUUUCCAUAUGUUGCUUUUAAUAAGCUCAAACAAAUUUAAGUGAAGAACAUGAGCAUAAAAUUUCUUUCUCUCAAAAUGAUCUAAGUGAAGCAAGAGAGAAUUUCUUAAAAAAAAUUACUAACUCCCAAAUAAAUCUAAGUGAAGCAUGAGAGCAUUUCUUCAAAAAUAACAAAGCACACCGUGCUCAAAAAGAUAUAAGUGAAGCACUAGAGCAAUUCCAUGGCUUUAAAACUUUAUGUGAAGCAUAGGAGCAAGCAUAGCAUAAUUUUUGGCUCUCUCAAAAGGGUGCAUCCAACAAGGAUUCAAGACUUAAAACAUAAAGCAAAACAAGAAAAGACUCAUAUCAUACAAGACGCUCCAAGCAAAACUCAUAAUAUGUGACGAAUAAAAAUAUAGUUCCAAGUAAAAUACCGAUGGUUGUUAGAAGAAAGAGGGGAUGCCAUUCAGGGGCAUCCCCAAGCUUAGUUGCUUUCUACUUCUUGAAUAUUAUCUUGGGGUGCCUCGGGCAUCCCCAAGCUUAGUCUUUUGCUAAUCCUUAUUCCUUCAUCCAUCGUAAGGUCACCCAAAACUUGAAAACUUCAAUCACACAAAACUCAACAAAACCUUCCUGUGAUCUGUUAGUAUACGAAAGCAAACCACUACUAUAAUUACUAUUGCAAACCCAUUCAUAUUUUAUUUUUGCAUUAUAUCUACUGUAUUCCAACUUUUCUAUGGCAAAAACUCUUCAAAGAAAACCAUAGAAUCAUCAAAACAAGCACAUGAUAACCCACAAGUGUAGGGGAUCGCAACAGCUUUCGAGGGUAGAGUAUUCAACCCAAAUUUAUUGAUUCGACACAAGGGGAGCCAAAGAAUAUUCUCAAGUAUUAGCAGUUGAGUUGUCAAUUCAACCACACCUGGAUAACUUAGUAUCUGCAGCAAAGUAUUUAGUAGCAAAGUAAUAUGAUAGUAAUGGUAACGAUAGCAAAAGUAAUAUUUUUGGGUUUUGUAGUGAUUGUAACAGUAGCAACGGAAAAGUAAAUAAGCAAAGAACAAUAUGUGAAAAGCUCGUAGGCAUUGGAUCAAUGAUGGAUAAUUAUGUCGCAUGCGAUUCCUCGUGUAAUAGUUAUAACCUAGGGUGACACAGAACUAGCUCCAGUUCAUCAAUGUAAUGUAGGCAUGUAUUCCGAAUUUAGUCAUACGUGCUUAUGGAAAAGAACUUGCAUGACAUCUUUUGUCCUACCCUCCCGUGGCAGCGGGGUCCUAAUGGAAACUAAGGGAUAUUAAGGCCUCCUUUUAAUAGAGUACCGGAACAAAGCAUUAGCACUUAGUGAAUACAUGAACUCCUCAAACUACGGUCAUCACCGAGAAGUAUCCCGAUUAUUGUCACUUCGGGGUUGUCGGAUCUUGACACAUAAUAGGUGACUAUAGACUUGCAAGAUAGGAUCAAGAACUCACAUAUAUUCAUGAAAACAUAAUAGGUUCAGAUCUGAAAUCAUGGCACUCGGGCCCUAGUGACAAGCAUUAAGCAUAGCAAAGUCAUAGCAACAUCAAUCUCAGAACAUAGUGGAUACUAGGGAUCAAACCCUAACAAAACUAACUCAAUUACAUGAUAAAUCUCAUCCAACCCAUCACCGUCCAGCAAGCCUACGAUGGAAUUACUCACGCACGGCGGUGAGCAUCAUGAAAUUGGUGAUGGAGGAUGGUUGAUGAUGACGACGGCGAGGAAUCCCCCUCUCCGGAGCCCCGAACGGACUCCAGAUCAGCCCUCCCAAGAGAUAUUAGGGCUUGGUGGCGGCUCCGUAUCGUAAAACGCGAUGAAACUUUCUCUUUGAUUUUUUUUCUCUGCAAAACAUAAUAUAUGGAGUUGGAGUUGAGGUCGGUGGAGCAUCAGGGGGCCCACGAGACAGGGGGGCGCGCCCAGGGGGAGGGAGCGCGCCCCCCACCCUCAUGGACAGGGUGUGGGCCCCCUGGCCUUGAUUCUUUCGCCAGUAUUUUUCUUAUUUUCCAAAAAUAAUCUCCGUGGAUUUCCAGGUCAUUCCGAGAACUUUUGUUUCUGCACAAAGAUAACAUCAUGGCAAUUCUGCUGAAAACAGCAUCUGUCCGGGUUAGUUUCAUUCAAAUCAUGCAAAUUAGAGUCCAAAACAAGGGCAAAAGUGUUUGGAAAAGUAGAUACGUUGGAGACGUAUCAACUCCCCCAAGCUUAAACCUUUGCUUGUCCUCAAGCAAUUCAGUUGAUAAACUGAAAGUGAUAAAGAAAAACUUUUACAAACUCUGUUUGCUCUUGUUGUUGUAAAUAUGCAAAGCCAGCAUUCAAGUUUUUAGCAAAGAUUAUGACUAACCAUAUUCACAAUAACACUUAGGUCUCAUGUUUACUCAUAUCAAUGGCAUAAUCAACUAGCGAGCAAUAAUAAUAAAACUCGGAUGACAACACUUUCUCAAAACAAUCAUAAUAUGAUAUGACAAGAUGGUAUCUCGCUAGCCCUUUCUGAGACCGCAAAACAUAAAUGCAGAGCACCUUUAAAGAUCAAGGACUGACUAAACAUUGUAAUUCAUGGUAAAAGAGAUCUAGUCAAGUCAUACCCAAUAUACACUAAUAGUAAUGCAUGCAAAUGACAGCGGUGCUCUCCAGCGGGUGCUUUUUAAUAAGAAGGUGAUGACUCAACAUAAAAGUAAAUAGAUAGGCCCUUCGCAGAGGGAAGCAGGGAUUUGUAGAGGUGCCAGAGCUCGAUUUUAAAGUAGAGAUAAAUAAUAUUUUGAGCGGUAUACUUUCAUUGUCAACAUAAUAACCAAGAGAUGGCGAUAUCUUCCAUGCUACACACAUUAUAGGCGGUUCCCAAACAGAAUGGUAAAGUUUAUACUCCCCCUCCACCAACAAGCAUCAAUCCAUGGCUUGCUCGAAACAACGAGUGCCUCCAACUAACAAGAGUCCUGGGGGAGUUUUGUUUGCAAUUAUUUUGAUUUGAUUUGCUUAAAGCAUGGGACUAGGCAUCUCGGUUACCAGCCAUUUUCUCGCGAAUGAGGAGCGGAGUCCACUCCUCUUGAGAAUAACCCACCUAGCAUGGAAGAUACAGACAGCCCUAGUUGAUAGAUGAGCUAUUCGAGCAUACAAAAUAGAAUUUCAUUUGAAGGUUUGGAGUUUGGCACAUACAAAAUUACAUGGAACGGCAGGUAGAUACCGCAUAUAGGAAGGUAUGGUGGACUCAUAUGGAAUAACUUUGGGGUUUAUGGAGUUUGGAUGCACAAGCAGUAUUCCCGCUUAGUACAGGUGAAGGCUAGCAAAAGACCGGGAAGCGACCAACUGAGAGAGCGACAAUAGUCAUGAACAUGCAUAAAAAUUAAUCAACACUGAGUGUAAGCAUGAGUAGGAUAUAAUCCACCAUGAACAUAAAUAUCGUGAACGCUAUGUUGAUUUUGUUUCAGCUACAUGCGUGAACAUGUGCCAAGUCGGGUCACUCAGUUCAUUCAAAGGAGGAUACCACCCUAUCAUACCACAUCGCAACCAUUUUAAUACAUGUUGGCACGCAAGGUAGACCAUUAUAACUCAUAGGUAAUUAAGCAUGGCAUAAGCAACUAUAAUCUCUAACUGUCAUUGCAAACAUGUUUAUUCAUAAUAAGCUGAAUUAGGAACGAUGAACUCAUCAUAUUUACAAAAACAAGAGACGUCGAGUUCAUACCAGCUUCUCUCAUCUCGACCAGUCCAUCAUAUAUUGUCAUUAUUUCCUUUCACUCGCAUGACCGAAUGGUGUGUAUAAUAAUAAUAGUGCACGUGCAUUGGACUAAGAUGGAAUCUGCAAGCAUUCAAUUCAAGAGAGAAGACAAAGUAAUAUGGGCUCUAAGUUAAAUCAACAAUCAUGCAUAUGAGAGCCACUAAACAUUUUCAUUAUGGUAUUCUCCUCUCGACCCCCAAAAUAAAGAAAAGAAAUAAUACUAUUUACACGGGAAAGCUCCCAACAAGCAAAAGAAGAAUGAGAAAUCUUUUUGGGUUUUCAUUUAAUUCUAUUACAAGCAUGGAAAUUAAACUAACUAAUUUUUUGGUUUUUCUAGAGUUUAUCAAACACACAAGAAGAAAGCUAGAAAAAUAAAUUAAACUAGCAUGGAUAGUACAAUGAAAGAGUAUGAGCACCGACAACUAGAAUAGUGUGUGAACAUGAAUGUAAAGUCGGUGAGAAAUACGUACUCCCCCAAGCUUAGGCUUUUGGCCUAAGUUGGUCUAUUGCCAAGGAUAGCCUAGCUGAUAUCCAAAGUUAUAACCGGGGUCGUACUGAGAUGCAGCAGCCAAUGCCUCCUGAGCUGCGGCAUGCUGGCGAGCUGCCUCCGCUCCCCUCUCGUGUUCGGUUGCCUCCUCCCUGGUGACAACAUAUCUUCGCUUUGCCUGGUAAUCAAAAAGGGAAGGAGCAGGGAGAGUAACAUGGACAGAGCAACGUAUGUCGAAGAUUAGUCGAUACUGGAGGAAUUGUUCAUUCCUCACAAGAAAAUGGUGCCUGACCAUAGCAUCAAAAUCUAAAUAAGCGGCAGGCAACUCUAUAUCUCCCUCACGUGGGGAUAUACCAAGAUAAUUAGCAACACGGGUCGCAUAAAUUCCUCCAAAUCAAUCUCCAGAUAUACCAUUAUUAUGCAACCUACGUGCAACUAUUGCCCCCAAGUUGUAAUCUUUAUUACCUAAAACAGUACUCUUGAGGACACAGAGAUCAGGGACACGCAUGUGACAUGCUUAAUCUUUACCGUUAAUGCAUAUGCCAAUGAAGAGAGCAAAAUAAUGUAUAGCGGGGAAAUGAAUGCUCCCUAUGGUAGCUUGUGCUAUAUCCCUAGAUUCUCCCACUGUUAUACUAGCAAGAAAGUCUUUAUAUUCAGAUUUACGGGGUUCAUUAACACUACCCCACUGUGGGAGUUUGCAAGCAGUAGUGAAAUCUUCUAAGUCCAUGGUGUAGGAUUGAUCAUAUAUAUCAAACAGGACACUUUGAGAAUUACGUGAAGAUGAAAAUUUAAACCUUCUCACGAAUGAAUCAGUUAAAUAGUAGUACUGAGGACACUUAUCUUGAAUGAAGUCCUCAAGAUCGGCGUUACGCACAUAUGCGUCAAAUUCAUCCUUAAUGUCCGCAUUGACCAUAAACUCUUCUGACGGCCAUUCACAAGGCCGCACGUCAGCUUCCCUUGGUGGUUCAUUGUCUUGCUCACGCAUAGUGCGCCCGGGUGCUUGCUUUCUUGAAGAACCACCUUGGUACGAUUUCCUGGACAUAUUUCUUCCUCUGAAAAAUUUCUGAAAUUUUUAGUAACUUCAAAAUAAAAGUGAAUCAAACUAAAAAAGAUUGAUAGCAACUACUCCUACAAGUGCCUAGAGCCUAUAUCAUGCAUUAGAAUUACUUGGGACCUCAUAAAUUUGUCAUGCAAGCUCAAGAACAGGGUCACCUAUGCAGAAAAAAAUUGCAAUGAAUAAAGCACUAGAACAAAAACUAAUUGGACCAAUGGAGGAGUCACAUACCAAGCAACAAUCUCCCAAAGCAGUUUUGUGAAUGGAGCUUUGAGCAAGGAGAUCGAAAAUCGCAGCAAAAUGAGCUAGAACUCGUGCUUGAGCUGGAUGGGGAUUUUUUGGGAGGAAGAUGGAGUGUGUGGGUGCAGGAAUAAGUGGAGGGGGGCCACCAUGGGCCCACGAGACAGGGGGCGCGCCCUGGACCCUCGUGGCCAGGUGCUUGCCCCCCCUGCUGUGUUCUCAGUGCCUAAAAUCCUCAAAUAUUCCAUAAAAAAUCAUACGAAAUUGGCAGGGCAUUUGGAGAACUAUUAUUUUCGGGAUAUUUUUUAUUGCAUGGAUAAUUCAGAAAACAGACAGAUAAUAUUUUUUUGCUUUAUUUAUUCUAAAUAACAGAAAGUAAAAAGAGGGAACAGAAGGUUGUGCCUUCUAGUUUCAUCCAUCCCAUGAUCAUCAAAAUGAAUCCACUAACAAGGUUGAUCAAGUCUUGUUAACAAACUCAUUCCGAAUAACAUGGAACCGGAGAAAUUUCGAAUAACACUAGGUUACCUGAACGGGGAUAUGAACAUCCCCUAUAAUAAGAAUAUCAUUUUUUUUACAGUAGGAAGAGGAAAUUCAAAACCUCCGAUAGUAAUAGUUGGACUUUUUCCAAUAGAAUUGAUGCUAUGAACUUGAGGUUGCUUCCUCGGAAAGUGUACCGUAUGCUCAUUUCCGUUAACAUGAAAAGUGACAUUGCCUUUGUUGCAAUCAAUAACAGCCCCUGCAGUAUUCAAAAACGGUCUACCAAGGAUAAUCGACAUACUAUCGUCCUCGGGAAUAUCAAGAAUAACAUAGUCCGUUAAGAUAGUGACAUUUGCAACCACAACAGGCACAUGCUCACAAAUACCGACAGGUAUAGCAGUUGAUUUAUCAGCCAUUUGCAAAGAUAUUUCAGUAGGUGCCAACUUAUUCAAUUCAAGUCUACGAUAUAAAGAGAGAGGCAUAACACUAACACCGGCUCCAAGAUCACAUAAAGUAGUUUUAACAUAAUUUCUUUCAAUGGAGCAUGGUAUAGUUGGUACUCCUGGAUCUCCAAGUUUCUUUGGUAUUCCACCCUCAAAAGUGUAAUUAGCAAGCAUGGUGGAAAUUUCAGCUUCCGGUAUCUUUCUUUUAUUUGUAAUGAUAUCCUUCAUAUAUUUGGCAUAAGGAUUUACUUUAAGCAUAUCAGUUAAGCGCAUAUGUAAGAAGAUAGGUCUAAUCAUUUCAGCAAAGCGCUCAAAAUCCUCAUCAUCCUUUGUCUUGGAUGGUUUAGGAGGAAAAGGCAUGGGUUUCUGAACCCAUGGUUCUCUUUCUUUACCGUGCUUCCUAGCAACAAAGUCUCUCUUAUCAUAACGUCGAUUCUUUGAUUGUGGGUUAUCAAGAUCAACAGCAGGUUCAAUCUCUACAUCAUUAUUAUUGCUAGGUUGAGCAUCAACAUGAACAUUAUCAUUAAUAUUAUCACUAGGUUCAUGUUCAUCACCUGAUUGUGUUUCAGCAUCAGAAAUAGAAAUAUCAUUGGGAUUCUCAGGUGUGUCUACAACAGGUUCACUAGAAGCAUGCAAAGUCCUAUUGUUUUUCUUUUUUUUCUUUUUAGAAGGACUAGGUGCAUCUAAAUUAUUUCUCUGAGAAUCUUGCUCGAUUCUCUUAGGGUGGCCUUCAAGAUACAAAGGUUCCUGAGUCAUUCUACCAGUUCUAGUAGCCACUAUAACAGCAAAAUCAUGUUUAUUAUUCAAUUCAUCGAGCAAAUCAUUUUGAGCUUUAAGUACUUGUUCAGCUUGAGUGGUAACCAUAGAAGCAUAUUUGCUAAUGAGUUUGAGUUCACCUUUAAUACUAGCCAUAUAAUCACUCAAGUGUCCAAUCAUGUAAGCAUUACUCUUUAAUUCUCCACUAACAUAAGCAUUAAAACUUUCUUGCCUAGCCAUAAAGUCAUCAAAUUCAUGUAAACAUUGGCUAGGAAAUUUAAUAGGCGGGAUUUCAACUUUAUCAUAUAUAUAGAGAGAAUUUACCUUUAUUGCCUGUGUCGGGUUAUCAAGACCAUGUGUUUCUUCAACAGGCGGUAUAUUAAGACCAUGUAUUUCUUCUGUCGGAGUAAAUGGCCACGGGUAGCCUAACCGACUGCCCCCGGUUCUUCUGAAAAAUUAUCAGGCCUUUGGGCCUCCAAGCACUCCAAGCAUUGGACCACCUCCCCUGGCCGGCUACCCCCGAAGCCGACUCACGGGAGGCGGCCCAGCCUCAGCAACCUCCCCCCCCAGGAUAUCCGCGGGGUGGCCGACUCCAGGAAGCCGACCUCGAAGAGCGCCGACUCCAAGAAGCCGGCCGAGACCACAACCACCAAAGCUACACCCACAUAACGGUGACAAGACGGGGUGUGGCCACAGUGCGGCCCACUACCCCCGAAGCCCGAGGCAGGCAUGGCCACAGGAGGCCGUACGGGACGGCCGUAUCCCGUUCGGCUCGGCACUGUAGCCAUGCUAGCCUCAACGUCAUCCACGACAGACUCCCGUACGGCCCACGGGCGGCAGGUCCCCUCGGCCAGAGAGAAGCGCGGAGGCGGCCCGGCCUCCCCAGUCGGCCAAGGGCAUAGCCGGCCCCCAGAAGCCGGCUACCCCCUCCCUCGAAGCAUGCGCCCCAUUAAGGAGACAAGACGAGGUAAGGCUACAGUGAGGACCCUCGAGGCGGCCCACUGUAGCCAUGAUUACCUCAACAACGCCCUCGUCAUCAGGGGUGAGGCUACAGUAAGCAGCCGCCGACAAGAUCCUAGGCGGUGGGGCCGGCCUGUCGACCAAGAGGCCGGCAGCCGGCAGGACCCACUAGUCGGCGGGCCCCAACAACCGGCGGAGAAGCCGGCGAGCGUAGACACUGAUGGCUGGGACCAGAGCCCAGCCGGAUUACAAUUGAACCCCCGGGGGGUAGGCCUAUAUAAACCCCCCCGGAGCACCCAUGCAAAGGGUUGGCUUCUGAGCAUAGCACACACACCAUAGAGAGAGAGAGAAGUGAGAGCUAGCCUUGUUCUUCUUCUCCCUUGAACCCAACAGCUCUAGGAGCGAUUGUAGCUACUUUUACUGAUCUAGUGAUCAUGCGGAGACCCCGCAGAGCAGGACUAGGGGUGUUAUCUCCUCGGAGAGCCCCGAACCUGGGUAAGAUCCGCCGGUGUGCAUGUCUUCGCCUCAUCCCGUUUCCAGGCACCGGCGACGUCUUAUUGGCACCCACAAUGAUAAGCCACCCGUUGGCAUAUGUCGCACCAACCAUCCGACAUUUGGCGCCCACCGUGGGGCCAGGUGCACCGUCGUCCGGAGACCUGUUCUGGACGGGAACCCUCUUCCUCCCCCGCGAGCGCAGCCAACCUACUGCGCCCGAUGGCGUUUGCCUCGACGCGCUGCAAGGCGUCGACGAUGCCUGCGCAGCGAGCUGCCUCGCCGAUCUGCUCGGCAAGACUCGCAUCUCGGACGAGCCUGCGUCCAACGCAGGCACGGACUACCCCGAGAGCUGCCUCGUCAGCCUCCUCGACCAGCUUCACGUCUCCAGCGAGCCUGCUGCAGAUGUGGAGUCGGUCGGCUCCACCGACCCGAUGCUUGUCGACUCCGACACGGCAUCGCUCGACGCAUACCCCUCCGACGUGGUGGUCUUCGACGAUCCUCUCCCUCGAGCUGAUAGCGGCAGCAGCGCUGUCACCGAAGUGCUGGUCAUCAGCCACGUCACCAACUCGGGCGAGAACGCCCACGACGCCCUGCAAGCGGCGAUGCACGACCUCUCCGUCCCCAUCCCGGCCGAUGCCGACGCCGAGACCCUGGAGGCACGCCGCCUCGCCCUCAUCGCGGAAGGCCAGAAGAUAGCCUCCAUGAGACGCCUCACCGAGGCCCACCAGCGCGAAGUCGACCGCGCCGCCUUCGGUACGCCGCCGCCUAGCGGCCCGAGCCGAGCCGGCUUCGUCCAGAAGCGCGGCGCGGCCGUCGCCAGCAUGCUGGGGGCGGAUCGCCCCGUCUACGCCACCCCGCUCGAGAAUCUGCGAGCCGCUCUGGCAGCCGCAGAAGAGCUCAAUGGGCUGGAAGCCGAUGAGCUCCCCUACAUGACAAGACGGAUCCAGCAGCUGAUCGACGCGGCUGCAGAAUGGCACGAAGCCGGCGCCCGUGCUGAUAGUCAUCCCCCGCGCCGGGAGCACGCCGCGACGUCCCGCUCGCCGACUGCGAGCGGCGCUCGCAAGAAGAAAGACAAGGAGCCGGCUGCUAGCCGCAGCCGGACUUGCAUCACCAUCGAGCGCGACGCGGAAGGCCGCCCACGAGCGGUGGAGCACCAAGGAAAUCUACCUCCCCCCCGCCUCGAAGAGAGCGACGUCUCACCCCGCCGCCUAUCACGCACCCGACUCUUGGCGACCGACUCAGCCGCCGAGAAGGAGUCGGCGAGAACGACGCCCGCCACCGGAUCGACCGCCUUGCUCGAUCCUUGGCGUUAGAAGAAGAAGACGAUGUCGGCCCGCCAUGCUUUGGCCCCCGCAUCCGCGACGAGCCCUUCCCCAAAGGGUUCUCGCUCCCCAGAGACACGCCCAAGUACAACGGCUCAGUGAAGCCGGAAGACUGGCUCAUCGACUACUCCACGGCUGUCAGCAUAGCCAACGGCAAUCGGCGCGUCGCCGUGAAGUACGUCCUCCUCAUGCUGCAAGGCACGGCAUGCACAUGGCUCAACAGCCUUAAGCCCUACAGCAUCAACAGUUGGCUGGACUUCACAGAAGUCUUCGUCCGCAACUUCACCAGCACCUACAAGCGGCCUCCCAAGCCUCGCCAGCUCUCCCUCUGCGUCCAAGGGCCCAACGAGUCGACCCGCGACUACCUCACGCGGUGGGCCGAGCUCCGCAACUCCUGCGAGGGGGUGCAUGAGGUCCAGGCCAUCGAGUACUUCACCGCCGGGUGCCGAGAGGGCACCCUCCUCAAGCACCAACUCCUCUGCGACGAGCCGGCUACCCUCGACGAGUUGCUGGUCAUCGCGGACAAGUACGCCACGGCCGACUCCUCAAUGAAGACCGAGCUCCGAGUAGACGCCUCGGGGAAGGUGAUUGCUCCGGCUCCUAAGACGCCGGCUGGCGACCCUAAUUGGCGCCCCUACCAGAACGACCACAAGCGCAAGGCCCCCAUGCUGACUUCCACCAGUCGGCAGGUGGCCACCGUUGAAGAUGAGCAGCCCGAAGAACGGCCCGCUCCCAAGAAGAAGGGUGGCAGGCCGGCUUGGCAGCCGGCUUUCUCCUACGAACAGGCUCUUGAUGCCCCCUGCAAAUUCCACAGCGGCGCGAAGCCGUCCAACCACACAACCCGGAAAUGCCAUUGGCUCACCCGCAUCACCAAGGGCGAGGGGAUGUUGCCGCCUCCGCCUCCCGGUCUGCCGCCUCCAGCCCCCCAGCAGCCGGCGGCUCGGCCGGCAGUCGGCGCCAUCCAAGACGAAUUCCCCGAAGAGCACGCCGCCUACGUCGUCUUCACCAGUCAAACCGACGACAAGCGCAGUCGACGCCGACAGCAUCAAGAAGUUAAUGCAGUCACCUCUAGCACCCCCGAGUUCAUGCACUGGUCAGAGAAGCCAGUCAGCUGGAGCCAGGCCGACCACCAAGAGGUGAUGCCCUCUCCUGGCUCCUAUGCAAUGGUCUUGGAUGUCACCCUCGCGACGGAGAGGCGAGCUGCCCGAUUCUCCCGCGUCCUGAUAGAUGGCGGAAGCAGUAUCAACAUACUGUACCGCGAUACCAUGGAGAAGCUGAACAUCAAAGCGAAGCAGCUCAUGCCGAGCCGCACCGUCUUCCAUGGUAUCGUCCCCGGCUUGUCUUGCUCCCCAAUCGGCAAGAUUAAAAUGGAUGUUCUCUUCGGAGACAAAGAUCAUUUUCGCCGAGAAGCAAUCUGGUUCGAGGUAGUGGAUUUGGAGAGCCCCUAUCAUGCUCUGCUUGGCCGACCUGCUCUGGCCAAGUUCAUGGCUGUGCCCCACUACGCCUACCUGAAGAUGAAGAUGCUGAGCUCGAAGGGGAUCAUCACGGUAGCCGGCGACUACAAGAAGUCCAUCGAGUGCGCCAUGGCCAGCAGCCGGCUGGCCGAGUCCCUCGUGGUGGCAGAAGAGAAGAAGAUGCUGGAACGGGUUGUGGCCAUGGCCGGCAAGCAGCCGGCCCUGUCCCCCAACCCCAAAGAUUGUGAUGCGCAGGGCUCCUUCCAGCCUGCCAAAGAGACGAAGAAGAUACCUCUGGACCCGGAGAACCCGGAGAGGUUCGCUGUCAUUGGGGCGAACUUGGACAGUAAAUAGGAAGGCGAGCUCGUCGACUUCCUCCGUGAGAAUCGAGACAUUUUUGCAUGGUCCCAAAAGGACAUGCGGGUGUCCCGAAGGAUUUCGCCGAGCACAAAUUACAUGUCGGCGCUGACGCAAAGCCCGUCAAGCAACCCCUCCGCCGACUAUCAGAAGAGAAGCGAAGAAUCGUGGGAGAAGAGAUAGCCCGGCUCCUUGCCGCUGGCUUUAUCAUGGAAGUGUUCUUUCCAGAUUGGCUUGCCAACCCAGUUCUGGUUCUGAAGAAGAAUAACAAGUGGCGUAUGUGUAUAGACUACACCAGCCUGAACAAGGCCUGCCCAAAGGAUCCGUUUGCUCUGCCACGGAUUGACCAAGUGAUAGACUCCACAGCCGGAUGCGAGCUGUUAAGUUUUUUGGAUGCGUACUCAGGGUACCAUCAUAUCAAGUUGGACCCAGCUGACCGCCUGAAGACUGCCUUCAUCACACCCUUUGGAGCUUUCUGCUACCUGACUAUGACAUUCGGCUUGAGGAAUGCCGGUGCCACUUUUCAGCGUUGCAUGCAGAAAUGCCUCUUGAAACAACUCGGCAGAAAUGCCCACGUCUAUGUAGACGAUAUUGUGGUGAAGACAGAGAAGCGCGGUACCUUGCUGGAAGACCUGAAAGAAACAUUCGCCAACUUGUGCCGAUUCCAAAUCAAGCUCAACCCCGAGAAGUGCGUGUUCGGAGUGCCAGCCGGCCAGUUGCUAGGCUUCCUGGUCUCCGAACGCGGCAUCGAAUGCAACCCUGUCAAGAUCAAGGCCAUCGAGAGGAUUGAGAUUCCCACCAAACUGCGAGAUGUGCAGAAGUUCACUGGCUGCUUAGCCUCCCUGAAUCGUUUUAUCAGCUGACUAGGAGAGAAGGCUCUCCCCCUGUACCGACUCAUGAAGAAGUCCACUCACUUCGAGUGGAACGACCAAGCCGACCAAGCCUUCCAUGAGUUGAAGAAAAUGCUGACCACUCCGCCUGUCCUGGCGGCGCCGACUGAGAAGGAGCCCAUGCUCCUCUACAUCGCCGCGACUAGCCGAGUCGUCAGUACUGUUGUUGUGGUCCAGCGCCCGGAAGAAGGCCGAGCCCAGCUAGUCCAGAGGCCGGUGUACUAUCUGAGCGAAGUGCUAUCCAGCUCAAAGCAAAACUACCCGCACUACCAGAAGAUGUGCUAUGGGGUGUACUUCGCUGCCAAGAAACUGAAGCCCUACUUCCAAGAGCACCCCAUCACGGUCGUGUGCACCGCCCCGUUCGCCGAGAUCAUAGGCAGCCGGGAUGCAUCCGGCCGGGUGGCUAAAUGGGCCAUUGCACUGGCGCCCUACACGAUCUUCUACCAACCCCGCACCGCCAUCAAGUCCCAAGCAUUGGCCGACUUCCUCGUCGACUGGGCCGAGACCCAGUACCUACCGCCGGCUCCCGACUCUACCCAUUGGCGGAUGCACUUUGACGGGUCCAAGAUGCGCACCGGCUUGGGAGCCGGCAUCGUCCUCACCUCUCCCAAAGGCAACAAGCUCAAGUACACGCUGCAGAUCCACUUCGCCGCCUCCAACAACGUGGCCGAGUAUGAGGCGCUCGUACAUGGGCUCCGGCUAGCCAAAGAGCUCGGCAUACGCCGGAUCCUGUGUUACGGCGACUUAGACUUGGUGGUCCAGCAGUCGUCUGGCGACUGGGACGCCAAGGACGCGAACAUGGCGAGCUAUCGAUUCCUCGUCCAGCAGAUCAGCGGAUACUUUGAAGGGUGCGAGUUCCUUCACGUGCCAAGGGCCGACAACGACCAAGCAGAUGCCCUGGCACGAAUCGGCUCCACCCGACAAGCCAUACCGACUGGCGUCUCCCUCCAGCGCCUCCUCAAGCCGUCCAUCAAGCCAUCUCCAGAGUCGGACUCUAUCUUCGUACCGCCUGCGCCAGAUGCAGCCGGAUCCGACUGGAGAAAACCCGCAGGCGGCACGGGGACUUCGACAACUGGCCCGGGGACUGCCGUAGUCGCACCCGGCCUGGAGACUUCAGAACCCGGCCCAGGGACUGCAGCAGUCGGCCCGGGGACUGCAACGACACAAGAAGCGGUGGCCGACUCCAAUUCCACGCCACCCAACCCACCCACCCGAGUCAUGGUGGCUACAUUAACAGAAGAAGAAGUCACAGCUCCGUCAUGGGCUUAGCCCAUCCUCAAGUUCCUAGUCAGCAGAGAGCUGCCGGCUGAUGAGAUCUCAGCAAGACUAGUGCAACGACGAGCCGCAGCAUACGCAAUAAUCAACAGAGAGCUUGUGAAGCGCAGCGUCACUGGAGUCUUCCAGCGUUGUGUCGAGCCAGAAAAAGGAGUGGCAAUCCUCAAGGACAUCCACCAAGGCGAAUGCGGCCACCACGCAGCCUCAAGAUCACUUGUGGCCAAGGCUUUCCGCCAUGGUUUCUUCUGGCCGACUGCCUUGGAGGAUGCUAAAGAAAUAGUCAAGAGCUGCAGAGGAUGCCAAGUUUUUAGUUCCAAGCAACACCUGCCGGCUUCUGCACUCAAGACCAUUCCCCUCACCUGGCCUUUUGCCGUCUGGGGACUAGACAUGGUGGGCCCUUUCAAGACAGCCCGCGGCGGCUUGACACAUCUACUGGUCGCUGUGGACAAGUUCACAAAGUGGAUCGAAGCAAAGCCGAUUAAGAAGUUGAACGGGCCGACUGCCAUGACAUUCAUCACUGACAUCACUACUCGGUACGGCGUGCCGCACAGCAUCAUCACCGACAACGGCACGAACUUCGCCAAAGGAGCACUGGCACGUUUCUGCGCGACGCAGGGCAUCCGACUGGACUUAGCGUCCGUUGCCCACCCGCAGUCAAACGGCCAGGUCGAGUGAGCAAAUGGACUCAUCCUCUCCGGCAUCAAGCCCCGACUGGUUGUACCACUGGAGCGAUCGGCCGGCUGCUGGCUCGAUGAGCUGCCGGCUGUCCUCUGGAGCCUGUGCACUACACCCAACAAGUCAACCGGCUUCACUCCAUUUUUCCUCGUGUACGGUGCCGAGGCUGUCAUCCCAACAGACAUCGAGUUCGACUCACCUCGGAUCACCAUGUACACGGAGGAGGAGGCCAAGGAAGCAAGAGAAGACGGCGUCGACCUACUAGAAGAAGGCCGGCUGUUAGCACUCAGCCGGUCCGCCAUCUACCAGCAAGGGCUGCGCCGCUACUACAACCGCAAGGUCAAGCCAAGAUCCUUCCAAGAGGGCAACCUUGUGCUCCGGCUAAUCCAGCGAACAGCCGGCCAGCACAAGCUCUCGGCCCCUUGGGAAGGCCCCUUCGUCAUCAGCAAGGCACUAGGCAACGACUCCUACUACCUGAUCGACGCGCAAAAACCAAGAGCACGCAAGAGAGACGACUCCGGCAAGGAGUCGGAGCGACCAUGGAACGCAAACCUCCUGAGACGAUUUUACAGUUGAAAGCAGUAUGUAUCACGCUACCCUUUUGUAUUAAGUACAAACCAACAGGCCCCCCGAACAGUACUCGGGGACUGCCUUUGUUUAUCUAUGAAUGACAAGUGUCAUAUCCAUGAAUGUAUUAUUACAUUUGAUUUCUUGUCUGGCACCGGGUUCGACUAGUCGGCCCGGGGACUGGCCGCCUUGAGCUAUAUUAAAAGUUCUACCUGAAGUCAGAAAAGUAGUGUGCCGGCUCCCGAGUCCUCUCUUGUUGAAAGUCGCAGCUCGAAGAACCGACUGUCCGACUAGCAAGAGGCAAGGCAGAAAGGAUGCCCACACGAAAAAUGGCUAAGGAACAACGAACCUAUAUAGCAAAAAGACGGCCUCCAAACAUGCCUGCCGGCUGUCAGAACAGCCGGCUGGCCGGCUUCCUCAACACUUAGCUUUAGUCCAGCAAAGCUAGAGUACUCCCCCCCCCCAAUUGGCCAAGCCCUCCUCCAGCUACAGAUUGCAGAGCAACUGUCCGACUGGGGAGGCGGCAACCAAGGGAGGGCGGCAAAGGAAACAGCAGAAGGAUAAAAAGCAAAGUACGAGGAAAAGCCAAAUGCAUGCAUAAGUUAUAUAUACAUAUAAAGCCCCCAACAGGCCGGCAAUCAACAUGGUUCGAAUACACCCCCACUGGGUGGAAUUGUGCAGACUUAACAGAGUAUUGUUCCAAAAGUAACAGGACAGAAAAACAAAAGACGGCAGACUAGACUAAGGCGCGGUGCGGAGGCCGAGCUGGUCGGUGAAGGCGGCCUGGCCGGCUGAAGGAGUGGCCGCCUAGCGGGUCUCGGCUUGGUCACCACCAGCGGCAGGCGACGCACUCGCGCGCAACGUGGUGCUGGAGGCGCGGUCAGGCUGAGGCUGGUCGGCUGCUCCAGCAGCCGACUCGGCGUCUUCACCCUCCUCCUCCUCCUCUUCACCCUCGUCGCUGGAGUCGAUCUCCUCCGCCGAGGCUUCACCGUCUGCCGGGUUCAGCCCGAACCACUCCUCCGGCUGGGCGACACCGUUGUCGUCUACCUCGGGGGCGAAGACGCUGGUGUCGGUGUAGUCGGCGAUCGCCGAAGCCCGCCGGAUGAUAGCCGGCAGCGCCGGCUCCAGCUCCGUGUCGGCUUGCUGCCACCAGGUAGCCAGCUGAUCCAGGCUCAGGCCUUGACAAACUCCAGCGCCCGCCUGGCGCCGGAGCGAGCUGCCGAGGCCUUCCAGGCUUUGAAGCGGCCGACUGCCACCUCCAGCCAGUCGGCAGUCCGACUGGGGGUGCGAGGAACCACUUGGCCGGGCCAGAGGGCGGCCAAGACUUGCGCCCCGGCACGCUGAAGCCGGCGGAGCAGUCGGUGAGCCGGCUGGAUGCGGGCCUGGAUCGCUCAGAGCUGCUCCUCCAGCGAACGGUCGGCGGUUGGCGAAAUCUCGAAGCCAGCCAGCCUCCGCGCCUGGCGGCGGGCCUCGAUGGUCUGGUUGGCGGCGGUAGAAUAGCCAGGGAAAUAUUCUGCGCAAGAAAGAAGAAGAAAAGAAGAAAAGAGCACCAAGUCAGAAAACGAGCCAAAAGUGGCAGAUGGCAAGAAAGGACGAAGAGGUAGGCGGCUUACCGUCAACCAGAUCUUCGAUCUGACCAUAGCCAGAGAUCAGAGUUUGCCUGGCCUCAACCCAGCCAGCCGCCUCCGUCUCGUACUCAGCCUGGAGGGCGGCUUCGCGGUCCUGCACCGCCUUCAGAGCCGCCUUGUGGCCUUCCUCCUGGUCGGCCAACUUCUUGGCCAGGCGGUCGCGUUCCUGCACCAAGGCGGCGAGCUCGGCAUCCUUGGCACGAAGGGCAGUCUGAGACUCCCCCAGCUGUGCCCUCAGACCGGCGUUGGCCGCUGCAGAGACGGCAGAAAAAGAAAGAACAGUAAGAGGAAGUUGUCAAGGAAGAUCCGACCCGACUGCUCAGCAGUCGGCCCGAAUCUCGGGGACUACACCCAGUGGGUGCGCUGACGCGCCCCCACAUGAGAUAAAGAACAAAGCACGUACCUCGGCUCUCAGUAAGGUCGGCGGUCUUCUGGGUCAGCUCCCGAGCCUGGGAGUUGAAGGCGGCCGCACGAAGAUUGUGGUAGUCCUGCAAGAUAGACAGAAGAUCGAAGUAAGAACAAGAAUAGCAAAGACAAAUCCACUAAGAAGUUCCAAGCCGCCUGCUCAGCAGCCGACUCGGAACUCGGGGACUACACCCAGUGGGUGCGCUGACGCGCCCCCACGGAAGAAAUCAAGAUCAAGAAGAAGCAAGAUGGGAAGACUAACCCGGAUGGCCGCCCGCGUCGCAAGGAACUCGUCGGUGAACUGCCUCAAUGCCAUAGCCUGGGCCUGAAGCCUGGUCCGGACGUCCUGCGCGGCCACGUUCAUCACGGCUGUCCCUCCGCCUGGCGUCCACCCCGAGGUAGCGCUGGCCACCUCCACAUCCCGGGCCGAUGAGCUGGAGCCCGCGGCCGGCUGCGGCUCCGACGCGGCCUUCUGUGGCUCCGACGCAGCCUUCCCCGCACGACGGCUCGGCGGCAUUCGGACCGCCAUCUCAGUCCUCGCGGCCGGCUUGCCCCCCACCGACUGCGCAGGCGGCAGAUCAGGCCGGCCGCCUUGAGCCGCCCUAGUUGGCGGGGUCGGCACCGGUGCCCUCUCCAGGACGACGACGUCGUCGUCCCUCUCCAGUCCUGAUAGGAAGCUGAUCGAGCUUCUCAACUCCUACCCAACCUCGAAGCCCAAUCAGCUUCGGGGACUACUGUCGAAGUAAAUGGCCACGGGUAGCCUAACCGACAGCCCCUGGUUCUUCUGAAAAAUUAUCAGGCCUUUGGGCCUCCAAGCACUCCAAGCAUUGGACCACCUCCCCUGGCCGGCUACCCCCAAAGCCGACUCACGGGAGGCGGCCCAGCCUCAGCAACCUCCCCCCCAGGAUAUCCGCGGGGUGGCCGACUCCAGGAAGCCGGCCUCGAAGAGCGCCGACUCCAAGAAGCCGGCCGAGACCACAACCACCAAAGCUACACCCACAUAACGGUGACAAGACGGGGUGUGGCCACAGUGCGGCCCACUACCCCCGAAGCCCGAGGCAGGCAUGGCCACAGGAGGCCGUACGGGACGGCCGUCUCCCGUUCGGCUCGACACUGUAGCCAUGCUAGCCUCAACGUCAUCCAUGACAGACUCCUGUACGGCCCACGGGCGGCGGGUCCCCUCGGCCAGAGAGAAGCGCGGAGGCGGCCCAGCCUCCCCCAGUCGGCCAAGGGCAUAGCCGGCCCCCAGAAGCCGGCUACCCCUCCCUCGAAGCAUGCGCUGAAGGAAAUAUGCCCUAGAGGCAAUAAUAAAGUAUUAUAUAUUUCCUUAUAUCAUGAUAAAUGUUUAUUAUUCAUGCUAGAAUUGUAUUAACCGGAAACAUAAUACAUGUGUGAAUACAUAGACAAACAGAGUGUCACUAGUAUGCCUCUACUUGACUAGCUCGUUAAUCAAAGAUGGUUAUGUUUCCUAGCCAUAGACAUGAGUUGUCAUUUGAUUAACAAGAUCACCUCAUUAGGAGAAUGACGUGAUUGACUUGACCCAUUCCGUUAGCUUAGCACCCGAUCGUUUAGUAUGUUGCUAUUGCUUUCUUCAUGACUUAUACAUGUUCCUAUGACUAUGAGAUUAUGCAACUCCCGUUUACCAGAGGAACACUUUGUGUGCUACCAAACGUCACAACGUAAAUGGGUGAUUAUAAAGGUGCUCUACAGGUGUCUCCAAAGGUACUUGUUGGGUUGGCGUAUUUCGAGAUUAGGAUUUGUCACUCCGAUUGUCGGAGAGGUAUCUCUGGGCCCACUCGGUAAUGCACAUCACUAUAUGCCUUGCAAGCAUUGUGACUAAUGGGUUAGUUGCGGGAUGAUGUAUUACGGAACGAGUAAAGAGACUUGCCGGUAACGAGAUUGAACUAGGUAUCGAGAUACCGACGAUCGAAUCUCGGGCAAGUAACAUACCGAUGACAAAGGGAACAACGUAUGUUGUUAUGCGGUCUGACCGAUAAAGAUCUUCGUAGAAUAUGUGGGAGCCAAUAUGGGCAUCCAGGUCCCACUAUUGGUUAUUGACCGGAGAGGUGUCUCGGUCAUGUCUACAUAGUUCUCGAACCCAAAGGGUCCGCACGCUUAAAGUUACGAUGACAGUUUUAUUAUGAGUUUAUGUAUGUUGAUGUACCGAAGGAGUUCGGAGUCCCGGAUGAGAUCGGGGACAUGACGAGGAGUCUCGAAAUGGUCGAGACGUAAAGAUCAAUAUAUUGGACGACUAUAUUCGGACUUCGGAAAGGUUCGAGUGAUUCGGGUAUUUUUCGGAGUACCGGAGAGUUACGGGAAUACGUAUUGGGCCUUAUUGGGCCAUACGGGAAAGAAGGAAAAGGGCCUCAAGGGUGGCCGCACCCCUCCCCUUGGUCUGGUCCGAAUUGGACUAGGGAAGGGGGGCGCCCCCUUCCUUCCUUCUCUUUUUCCCUUCCUCUUUUCCUAUUCCAUAUGGGAGGUGGAAUCCUACUAGGACUAGGGAGUCCUAGUAGGACUCCACACUUGGUGCGCCCCCUCCUAGGGCCGGCCUCCUCCUCCCUUGCUCCUUUAUAUACGGGGGCAGGGGGGCACCUAAGAACACACUUUUUGAUAUACGAUAUUUUAGCCGUGUGCGGUGCCCCCCUCCACCAGAUUACACCUCGAUAAUACCGUCGCGGAGCUUAGGCGAAGCCCUGCGUCGGUGGAACAUCAUCAUCGUCACCACACCGUCGUGCUGACGAAACUCUCCCUCAACACUCGGCUGGAUCGGAGUUCGAGGGACGUCAUCAAGCUGAACGUGUGUAGAACUUGGAGGUGCCGUACGUUCGGUACUUGAUCGGUCGGAUUGUGAAGACGUACGACUACAUCAACCGCGUUGUGAUAACGCUUCCGCUGUCGGUCUACGAGGGUACGUGGACAACACUCUCCCCUCUCGUUGCUAUGCAUCACCAUGAUCUAGCGUGUGCGUAGGAUUUUUUUUUGAAAUUACUGCGUUCCCCAACAGUGGCAUCUGAGCCUGGUUUUAUGCGUUGAUGCUAUGCACGAGUAGAACACAAGUGAGUUGUGGGCGAUAUAAGUCAUACUGCUUACCAGCAUGUCAUACUUUGGUUCAGCGGUAUUGUGAGAUGAAGCGGCCCGGACCGACAUUACGCGUACGCUUACCCGAGACUGGUUUCACCGUUGCGAGCACUCAUUGCUUAAAGGUGACCGGCGGGUGUCUGUCUCUCUCACUUUAGUUGAACCGAGUGUGGCUACGCCCGGUCCUUGCGAAGGUUAAAACAGCACCAACUUGACAAACUAUCGUUGUGGUUUUGAUGCGUAGGUAAGAACGGUUCUUGCUAAGCCCGUAGCAGCCACGUAAAAUAUGCAACAACAAAGUAGACGACGUCUAACUUGUUUUUGCAGGGCAUGUUGUGAUGUGAUAUGGUCAAGACAUGAUGUGAUAUAAUGUGUUGUAUGAGAUGAUCAUGUUUUGUAACCGAGUUAUCGGCAACUGGCAGGAGCCAUAUGGUUGUCGCUUUAUUGUAUGAGAUGCAAUCGCCAUGUAAUAGUUUUACUUUAUCACUAAGAGGUAGCGAUAGUCGUAAAAGCAAUAAGUUGGCGAGACGACAACGAUGCUACGAUGGAGAUCAAGGUGUCGCGCCGGUGACGAUGGUGAUCAUGACGGUGCUUCGGAGAUGGAGAUCACAAGCACGGUGCUUCGGGGAUGGAGAUCACAAGCACAAGAUGACGAUGGCCAUAUCAUAUCACUUAUAUUGAUUGCAUGUGAUGUUAAUCCUUUAUGCAUCUUAUCUUGCUUUGAUUGACGGUAGCAUUAUAAGAUGAUCCCUCACUAAAAUUUCAAGAUAAAAGUGUUCUCCCUGAGUAUGCACCGUUGCGAAAGUUCUUCGUGCUGAGACACCACGUGAUGAUUGGGUGUGAUAAGCUCUACGUUCAAAUACAACGGGUGCAAAACAGUUGCACACGUGGAAUACUCAGGUUAAACUUGACGAGCCUAGCAUAUGUACAGAUAUGGCCUCGGAACACAGAGACCGAAAGGUCGAGCGUGAAUCAUAUAGUAGAUACGAUCAACAUAGUGAUGUUCACCAUUGAAACUACUCCAUCUCACGUGAUGAUCGGACAUGGUUUAGUUGAUUUGGAUCACGUAAUCACUUAGAUGAUUAGAGGGAUAUCUAUCUAAGUGGGAGUUCUUAAGUAAUAUGAUUAAUUGAACUUAAAUUUAUCAUGAACUUAGUCCUGAUAGUAUUUUGCAAAUUAUGUUGUAGAUCAAUAGCUCGCGUUGUUGCUUCCCUGUGUUUAUUUUUGAUAUGUUCCUAGAGAAAAAUUAUGUUGAAAGAUGUUAGUAGCAAAGAUGCGGAUUGGAUCUGUGAUCUGAGGAUUAUCCUCAUUGCUGCACAGAAAAAUUAUGUCCUUGAUGCACCGCUAGGUGACAGACCUAUUGCAGGAGCAGAUGCAGACGUUAUGAACGUUUGGCUAGCUCAAUAUGAUGACUACUUGAUAGUUUAGUGCACCAUGCUUAACGGCUUAGAAUCGGGACUUCAAAGACGUUUUGAACGUCAUGGACCAUAUAAGAUGUUCCAGGAGUUGAAGUUAAUAUUUCAAGCAAAUACCCGAGUUGAGAGAUAUGAAGUCUCCAACAAGUUCUAUAGCUAAAAGAUGGAGGAGAAUCGCUCAACUAGUGAGCAUAUGCUCAGAUUGUCUGGGUACUACAAUCGCUUGAAUCAAGUGGGAGUUUAUCUUCCAGAUAAAAUAGUGAUUGACAGAAUUCUCUAGUCACCAUCACCAAGUUAGUAGAACUUUGUGAUGAACUAUAGUAUGCAAGGGAUGACGAAAGUAAUUCCCGAGCUCUUCGUGAUGCUGAAAUAGACGAAGGUAGAAAUCAAGAAAAACAUCAAGUGUUGAUGGUUGACGAGACCACUAGUUUCAAGAAAAGGGCAAAGGGAAGAAAGGGAACUUCAAAAAGAACGGCAAGCAAAUUGCUACUCAAGUGAAGAAGCCCAAGUCUGUACCUAAGCCUGAGACUAAGUGCUUCUACUGCAAAGGGACUGGUCACUGGAGGCAGAACUGCCCCAAGUAUUUGGUGGAUAAGAAGGAUGGCAAGGUGAACAAAGGUAUAUUGGAUAUACAUGUUAUUGAUGUGUACUUACUAGUGUUUAUAGCAACCCCUCAGUAUUUGAUACUGGUUCAGUUGCUAAAGAGUAGUAACUCGAAAAACGGGAGUUGCAGAAUAAACAGAGACUAAUAAAAGGCGAGGUGACGAUGUGUGUUGGGAGUAGUUCCAAGAUUGAUAUGAUCAUCAUCGCACACUCCCUAUACUUUCGGGAUUAGUGUUAAAACUAAAUAAAUGUUAUUUAGUGUUUGCGUUGAGCAUGAAUAUGAUUUGAUCAUGUUUGUUGCAAUACGGUUAUUCAUUUAAGUUAGAGAACAAUUGUUGUUCUGUUUACAUGAAUAAAAACCUUUUAUGGUCAUACACACCAACAAAAAUGGUUUGUUGGAUCUCGAUCGUAGUGAUACACAUAUUCAUAAUAAUGAAGCCAAAAGAUGCAAAGUUAAUAAUGAUAGUGCAACUUAUUUGUGGCACUGCUGUUUAGGUCAUAUUGGUGUAAAGUGCAUGAAGAAACUCCAUACUGAUGGGAUUUUGGAAUCACUUGAUUAUGAAUCACUUGAUGCUUGCGAACCAUGCCUCAUGGGCAAGAUGACUAAAACGUCGUUCUCCAGAACUAUAGAGAGAGCAACAGAUUUGUUGGAAAUCAUACAUACAGAUGUAUGUGGUCCGAUGAGUAUUGAGGCUCGUAGCAGGUAUCAUUAUUUUCUGACCUUCACAGAUGAUUUGAGCAGAUAUGGGUAUAUCUACUUAAUGAAACAGAAGUCUGAAACAUUUGAAAAGUUCAUAUAAUUUCAGAGUGAAGCGGAAAAUCAUCGUAACAAGAAAAUAAAGUUUCUACGAUCUGAUCGUGGAGAAGAGUAUUUGAGUUACGAGUUUGGCCUUCAGUUAAAACAAUGUGAAAUUGUUUCACUACUCACGCCACCUGGAACACCACAGUGUAAUGGUGUGUCCGAACAUCGUAACCAUACUUUAUUAGAUAUGGUGCAAUAUAUGAUGUCUCUUACCGAUCUACCACUAUCGUUUUGGGGUUAUGCAUUAGAGACAGCUACAUUCACGUUAAAUAGGGCACCAUCAAAAUCCAUUGAGACGACGCCUUAUGAACUGUGGUUUGGCAAGAAACCAAAGUUGUCGUUUCUUAAAGUUUGGGGUUGCAAUGCUUAUGUGAAAAAGUUUCAUCCUGAUAAGCUCAAACCCAAAUCGGAGAAAUGUGUCUUCAUAGGAUACCCAAAGGAGACAGUUGGGUACACCUUCUAUCACAGAUCCGAAGGCAAGACAUUCGUUGCUUAGUAUGGAUCCUUUCUAGAGAAGGAGUUUCUCUCGAAAGAAGUGAGCGGAGAGGAAAGUAGAACUUGAUAAGGUAACUGUACCUGCUCCCUUAUUGGAAAAUAGUUCAUCACAAGAAACGGUUCCUGUGACGUCUAUACCAAUGAGUGAGGAAGUUAAUGAUGAUGAUCAUGACACUUCAGAUCAAGUUGUUACUAAACCUUGUAGGUCAACCAGAGUAAGAUCCGCACCAGAGUGGUACGGUAAUCCUGUUCUGGAGGUUAUGUUACUAGACCAUGACAAACCUACGAACUAUGAAGAAGCAAUGGUGAGCCCAAAUUCCGCAAAAUGGCUUGAGGCCAUGAAAUCUGAGAUGAGAUCCAUGUAUGAGAACAAAGUGUGGACUUUGGUUGAAUUGCCCGAUGAUCGGCAAGCAAUUGAGAAUAAAUGGAUCGUCAAGAGGAAGACGGACGCUGAUAGUAGUAUCACUAUCUAAAAAGCUAGAAUUGUCGCAAAAAGGUUUUCGACAAGUUCAAGAUGUUGACUACGAUGAGAGUUUCUCACUCGUAUCUAUGCUUAAGUCUGUCUGAAUCAUGUUAGCAAUUGCCGCAUUUUAUGAAAUAUGGCAAAUGGAUAAACAAAACUGCAUUCCUUAAUGGAUUUAUUAAAGAAAAAUUGUAUAUGAUGCAACCAGGAGGUUUUGUCAAUCCUAAAGGUGCUAACAAAAUAUGCAAGCUCCAGCGAUCCAUCUAUGGACUGGUGCAAGCAUCUCGGAGUUGGAAUAUACACUUUGAUAAGUUGAUCAAAGGAUAUAGUUUUAUACAUACUUGCGGUGAAGCCUGUAUUUACAAGAAAGUGAGUGGGAGCACUACCGCAUUUCUGAUAAGUAUAUGUGAAUGACAUAUUGUUGAUCGGAAAUAAUGUAGAAUUAUUCUGCAAAGCAUAAAGGAGUGUUUGAAAGGAGUUUUUUCAAAGAAAGACCUCAGUGAAGCUGCUUACAUAUUGAGCAUCAAGAUCUAUAGAGAUAGAUGAAGACGCUUGAUAAGUCUUUUCAAUGAGUACAUACCUUAACAAGAUUUUGAAGUGGUUCAAAAUGGAACAGUCAAAGAAAGAGUUUCUUGCCUGUGUUGCAAGGUGUGAAAUUGAGUAAGACUCAAUGCCCGACCACGGCAGAAGAUAGAAAAAGAAUGAAAGUCAUUCCCUAUGCCUUGGCCAUAGGUUCUAUAAAGUAUGCCAUGCUGUGUACCAGAUCUAUUGUAUACCCUACACUGAUUUUGGCAAGGGAGUACAAUAGUGAUCUAGGAGUAGAUCACUCGACAGCGGUCAAAAUUUAUCCUUAGUGGAAUAAGGAAAUGUUUCUCGAUUAUGGAAGUGACAAAAGGUUCGUCGUAAAGGGUUACGUCGAUGCAAGUUUUGACACUAAAUCUAGAUGACUCUAAGUCUCGGUCUAGAUACAUAUUGAAAGUGGGAGCAAUUAGCUAGAGUAGCUCCGUGCAGAGCAUUGUAGACAUAGGAAUUUGCAAAAUCCUUACGGAUCUGAAUGUGACAGACCCGUUGACUAAAAUUAUCUCACAAUCAAAACAUGAUCACACCUUAGUACUCUUUGGGUGUUAAUCACAUAGCGAUGUGAACUAGAUUAUUGACUCUAGUAAACCCUUUGAGUGUUAGUCACAUAGAGAUGUGAACUAUGGGUGUUAAUAACAUGGUGAUGUGAAUAUUUGAUGUUAAAUCACAUGGUGAUGUGAACUAGAUUAUUGACUCUAGUGCAAGUGGGAGACUGAAGGAAAUAUGCCCUAGAGGCAAUAAUAAAGUAUUAUAUAUUUCCUUAUAUCAUGAUAAAUGUUUAUUAUUCAUGCUAGAAUUGUAUUAACCGGAAACAUAAUACAUGUGUGAAUACAUAGACAAACAGAGUGUCACUAGUAUGCCUCUACUUGACUAGCUCGUUAAUCAAAGAUGGUUAUGUUUCCUAGCCAUAGACAUGAGUUGUCAUUUGAUUAACAAGAUCACCUCAUUAGGAGAAUGACGUGAUUGACUUGACCCAUUCCGUUAGCUUAGCACCCGAUCGUUUAGUAUGUUGUUAUUGCUUUCUUCAUGACUUAUACAUGUUCCUAUGACUAUGAGAUUAUGCAACUCCCGUUUACCAGAGGAACACUUUGUGUGCUACCAAACGUCACAACAUAAAUGGGUGAUUAUAAAGGUGCUCUACAGGUGUCUCCAAAGGUACUUGUUGGGUUGGCGUAUUUCGAGAUUAGGAUUUGUCACUCCGAUUGUCGGAGAGGUAUCUCUGGGCCCACUCGGUAAUGCACAUCACUAUAAGCCUUGCAAGCAUUGUGACUAAUGAGUUAGUUGCGGGAUGAUGUAUUACGGAACGAGUAAAGAGACUUGCCGGUAACGAGAUUGAACUAGGUAUCGAGAUACCGACGAUCGAAUCUCGGGCAAGUAACAUACCGAUGACAAAGGGAACAACGUAUGUUGUUAUGCGGUCUGACCGAUAAAGAUCUUCAUAGAAUAUGUGGGAGCCAAUAUGGGCAUCCAGGUCCCGCUAUUGGUUAUUGACCGGAGAGGUGUCUCGGUCAUGUCUACAUAGUUCUCGAACCCAAAGGGUCCGCACGCUUAAAGUUACGAUGACAGUUUUAUUAUGAGUUUAUGUAUGUUGAUGUACCGAAGGAGUUCGGAGUCCCGGAUGAGAUCGGGGUCAUGACGAGGAGUCUCGAAAUGGUCGAGACAUAAAGAUCGAUAUAUUGGACGACUAUAUUCGGACUUCGGAAAGGUUCCGAGUGAUUCGGGUAUUUUUCGGAGUACCGGAGAGUUACGGGAAUACGUAUUGGGCCUUAUUGGGCCAUACGGGAAAGAAGGAAAAGGGCCUCAAGGGUGGCCGCACCCCUCCCCUUGGUCUGGUCCGAAUUGGACUAGGGAAGGGGGGCGCCCCCUUCCUUCCUUCUCUUUUUCCCUUCCUCUUUUCCUAUUCCAUAUGGGAGGUGGAAUCCUACUAGGACUAGGGAGCCCUAGUAGGACUCCACACUUGGUGCGCCCCCUCCUAGGGCCGGCCUCCUCCUCCCUUGCUCCUUUAUAUACGGGGGCAGGGGGGCACCUAAGAACACACUUUUUGAUAUACGAUAUUUUAGCCAUGUGCGGUGCCCCCUCCACCAGAUUACACCUCGAUAAUACCGUCCCGGAGCUUAGGCGAAGCCCUGCGUCGGUGGAACAUCAUCAUCGUCACCACGCCGUCGUGCUGACGAAACUCUCCCUCAACACUCGGCUGGAUCGGAGUUUGAGGGACGUCAUCGAGCUGAACGUGUGUAGAACUUGGAGGUGCCGUACGUUCGGUACUUGAUCGGUCGGAUCGUGAAGACGUACGACUACAUCAACCGCGUUGUGAUAACGCUUCCGCUGUCGGUCUACGAGGGUACGUGGACAACACUCUCCCCUCUCGUUGCUAUGCAUCACCAUGAUCUUGCGUGUGCGUAGGAAUUUUUUUUUGAAAUUACUAUGUUCCCCAACAUGCGCCCCAUUAAGGAGACAAGACGAGGUAAGGCUACAGUGAGGACCCUCGAGGCGGCCCACUGUAGCCACGAUUACCUCAACAACGCCUUCGUCAUCAGGGGCGAGGCUACAGUAAGCAGCCGCCGACAAGAUCCUAGGCGGUGGGGCCGUCCUGUCGACCAAGAGGCCGGCAGCCGGCAGGACCCACUAGUCGGCGGGCCCCAACAACCGGCGGAGAAGCCGGCGAGCGUAGACACUGAUGGCUGGGACCAGAGCCCAGCCGGAUUACAAUUGUACCCCCGGGGGGUAGGCCUAUAUAAACCCGCCGGAGCACCCAUGCAAAGGGUUGGCUUCUGAGCAUAGCACACACACCAUAGAGAGAGAGAGAGAAGUGAGAGCUAGCCUUGUUCUUCUUCUCCCUUGAACCCAACAGCUCUAGGAGCGAUUGUAGCUACUUUUACUGAUCUAGUGAUCAUGCGGAGACCCCGCAGAGCAGGACUAGGGGUGUUAUCUCCUCGGAGAGCCUCGAACCUGGGUAAGAUCCGCCGGCGUGCAUGUCUUCGCCUCAUCCCGUUUCCAGGCACCGGCGACGUCUUAUUAGCACCCACAAUGAUAAGCCACCCGUUGGCAUAUGUCGCACCAACCACCCGACAUCUUCAAUAGGAGGUAAAUUCUUAACAUCUUCAGCUUUAAUACCUUUUUCUUUCAUUGAUUUCUUUGCCUCUUGCAUAUCUUCAGGACUGGGAAAUAGAACACCUCUCUUCUUCGGAGUAGGUUUAGGAAUAGGCUCAGGAGUUGGCUUAAUUGGCUCAGGAAUUGGCUCAGGAAGAGUCCAAUUAUUUUCAUUAGUAAACAUAUUAUUCAAUAACAAUUCAGCUUGGUCGACUGUUCUUUCCCUGAAAACACAACCAGCACAACUAUCCAAGUGGUCUUUGGAAGCAUCGGUUAGUCCAUUAUAAAAGAUAUCAAGUAUUUCAUUUUUCUUAAGAGGAUGAUCAGGUAAAGCAUUAAGUAAUCGGAGAAGCCUCCCCCACGCUUGUGGGAGACUCUCUUCUUCAAUUUGCACAAAAUUAUAUAUUUCCCUCAAGGCAGCUUGUUUCUUAUGAGCAGGGAAAUAUUUAGCAGAGAAGUAAUAAAUCAUAUCCUGGGGACUACGCACACAACCAAGAUCAAGAGAAUUAAACCAAGUUUUAGCAUCACCCUUUAAUGAGAACGGAAAUAUCUUAAGGAUAUAAUAAUAGCGGGAUUUCUCAUCAUUAGUAAAUAGGGUGGCUAUAUCAUUUAACUUAGUAAGAUGUGCCACAACAGUUUCAGAUUCGUAGCCAUAAAAAGGAUCAGAUUCAACCAAAGUAAUUAUCUCAGGAUCAACUGAGAAUUCAUAAUCCUUAUCAGUAACAAAGAUAGGUGAAGUAGCAAAAGCAGGGUCAUAUUUCAUUCUAGCAUUCAGAGUUUUCUGUUUAAGUUUAGCUAGUAAUUUCUUAAGAUCAGAUCUAUCAUUGCAAGAAAAAAGAUCUCUAGCAGUUUCUUCAUCCAUAACAUAAACCUCAGGAACAACAGGCAAUUCAUAAUUAGGGGGAGAACCUUCAUCAUCACUAUCUUCAAUAAUUUCAUUUUCAGUAAUUUCAUUCUCUCUAACCCUAGCAGGUUGUUCAUCAAGAAAUUCACCAAGUGGCACAGUAGUAUCAAGCAUAGAAGUAGUUUCAUCAUAAGUAUCAUGCAUAGCAGAAGUGGCAUCAUCAAUAACAUGCGACAUAUCAGAAUUCAUAGCAGUAGCAGGUUUAGGUGUCGCAAGCUUACUCAUAACAGAAGGAGAAUCUAGUGCAGAGCUAGAUGGAAGUUCCUUACCUCCCCUCGUAGUUGAGGGAAAAAUCUUAGUUCUUGCGUCUUUCAAGUUCUUCAUAGUUAUUAGCAGAUAUAAAUCCCAAGUGGCUCAAAGAAUAGAGCUAUGCUCCCCGGCAACGUCGCCAGAAAUUAGUCCUGAUAACCCACAAGUGUAGGGGAUCGCAACAGCUUUCGAGGGUAGGGUAUUCAACCCAAAUUUAUUGAUUCGACACAAGGGGAGCCAAAGAAUAUUCUCAAGUAUUAGCAAUUGAGUUGUCAAUUCAACCACACCUGGAUAACUUAGUAUCUGCAGCAAAGUAAUAUGAUAGUAAUGGUAACGAUAGCAAAAGUAAUAUUUUUGGGUUUUGUAGUGAUUGUAACAGUAGCAACGGAAAAGUAAAUAAGCAAAGAACAAUAUGUGAAAAGCUCGUAGGCAUUGGAUCAAUGAUGGAUAAUUAUGUCGGAUGCGAUUCCUCAUGUAAUAGUUAUAACCUAGGGUGACACAGAACUAGCUCCAGUUCAUCAAUGUAAUGUAGGCAUGUAUUCCGAAUAUAGUCAUACGUGCUUAUGGAAAAGAACUUGCAUGACAUCUUUUGUCCUACCCUCCCGUGGCAGCGGGGUCCUAAUGGAAACUAAGGGAUAUUAAGGCCUCCUUUUAAUAGAGUACCGGAACAAAGCAUUAGCACUUAGUGAAUACAUGAACUCCUCAAACUACGGUCAUCACCGAGAAGUAUCCCGAUUAUUGUCACUUCGGGGUUGUCGGAUCAUAACACAUAAUAGGUGACUAUAGACUUGCAAGAUAGGAUCAAUAACUCACAUAUAUUCAUGAAAACAUAAUAGGUUCAGAUCUGAAAUCAUGGCACUCGGGCCCUAGUGACAAGCAUUAAGCAUAGCAAAGUCAUAGCAACAUCAAUCUCAGAACAUAGUGGAUACUAGGGAUCAAACCCUAACAAAACUAACUCGAUUACAUGAUAAAUCUCAUCCAACCCAUCACCGUUCAGCAAGCCUAUGAUGGAAUUACUCACGCACGGCGGUGAGCAUCAUGAAAUUGGUGAUGGAGGAUGGUUGAUGAUGACGACGGCGACGAAUCCCCCUCUCCGGAGCCCCGAACGGACUCCAGAUCAGCCCUCCCGAGAGAGAUUAGGGCUUGGCGGUGGCUCCGUAUCGUAAAAUGCGAUGAAACUUUCUCUGUUUUUUUCUCCGCGAAACGGAAUAUAUGGAGUUGGAGUUGAGGUCGGUGGAGCAUCAGGGGGCCCACGAGACAGGGGGCGUGCCCAGGGGGAGGGGGCGCGCCCCCCACCCACGUGGACAGGGUGUGGGCCCCCUGGCCUUGCUUCUUUCGCCAGUAUUUUUCUUAUUUUCCAAAAAUAAUCGCCGUGGAUUUCCAGGUCAUUCCGAGAACUUUUGUUUCUGCACAAAGAUAACAUCAUGGCAAUUCUGCUGAAAACAGCGUCAGUCCGGGUUAGUUUCAUUCAAAUCAUGCAAAUUAGAGUCCAAAACAAGGGCAAAAGUGUUUGGAAAGUUGAUACGUUGGAGACGUAUCAGCACACAACACAAAGAAAACAGAAUCUGUCAAAAACAGAACAGUUUGUAGCAAUCUGACUACUUCGAAUACUUCUAUAACUCCAAAAAUUCUGAAAAAUUAGGACAACGUGAAUAAUUUGUUUAUUAAUAUUCUACAAAAGAAUCAACUCAAAAUAACUCUUAUUAUAAAAAUGAAAAAUAAUUUAGUGAGCGCAAAAGUUUUUGUUUUUCAGCAAGAUCAAAUCAACUUUCACCCAAAUCAUCCCAAGGGCCUUGCUUGGCACAAACACUAAUUUAAACCACAAAAACACAUCUAACCAGAGGCAUAAUUGUGCAUUUUAUUGAAAACAUCAAGAAAACCAAAAAGCAAAAAGAUACAAUUUGGGUUGCCUCCCAACGAGCGCUAUCGUUUUACGCCCCUAGCUAGGCAUAACGCGUAGGAUCUAAGUUUUGUCAUCCUUAUCGUUGUUUUCCUUGGAGGUAUUUGUGUCAAAAGUUUUGCAAAUAAAACAUAGAACACAUUAUCCAUGGAAACCUUAGCACUAUCAAGUUGCUUUUUAUCAUAACCACUUUAGUUUCCGGCAGUGAUCCAAGAAUAGUGUUGAUUAACAUCAUUAAAAACUUGUUGGAUCAUAUCUAAAACGGGGACUUGAUUUUUAAGAUUCUCAUCAAAGAUUUGGUUAUCUCCAAGCAAAUGUCUCAAAGCAUAAUCACUAUUAUAAAUAAUUUCAUCAAUCACGGGCUUUUCACAAUUCAUGCCAUAAAAAUCAAAGAUUUCCCUAGCUUCCCGUAUUAUGUAGUCAAAUUCAUUCAUCAGAACAAGAGUGGCUAACUUUUUAGCUUUAGGAUUCUUUAUAAUGGGCAACUCAUAGAACAAUCUUUGCAAGGUAGGAUGAGUAUGGAUAAAUCUAGUUUCACGUUUCAGAACAAGUGCUGAAAUAGCUUCCACAUAAGAUUUAGUCCUUUUAAUUAUAGGAAUAUCAUCAAGACUUACUUUCCCAACACAAUUGAAAAAUUCAUGGAUAUGUUCUUUUCCCAUAAAAUUCCCUUGCCCCAAGACAAAAGUUUUGGUAUCUAGAUUACCCGUACGCUCCCUUUUAGGAGUUAGGCCAUCAUCUAUUUCUGCCAUACCAAAAUCAGUCAUGGUGACUACGCAACAAGAUUGCACUCAAAAACAGAUCUGACGAGAAAACGGCGAACGAAUAAGAGGGUGAAUAAAACGGUAAAUUUUUGUGAAGUGGGGGAGAGGAAAAUGAGAGGCAAAUGGCAAAUAAUGUAAAUUGUGAGGAGAUGAGAUUUUUGAUUAGGAACCUGGUUGAUUUUGAAGAUCUUCCCCGACAACGGCGCUAGAAAUUCCUUUUGAUGCCUGCUUGAACUACGUCGGUAUUUCCCCAAAGAGGAAGGGAUGAUGCAACACAGCAACGGUAGGUAUUUCCCUCAGUGAUGAGACCAAGGUUAUCGAACCAGUAGGAGAACCAAGCAACACAACAUAAACAGCCCCUUCACACAAAUAAUAAAUACUCGCAACCCGACAUGUUAAAGGCGUUGUCAAUCCCUUUCGGGUAACGAUGCCUCGAAUUGGCGAGAAGACGUGAUGAAGUUGUGAUAGAUAGGAUAAAUGGAUUGCAAAAUAAAUAAUGUGUAGCAAGGUAUUUUUGUAUUUUUGGUUUAAUAGAUCUGAAAAUAAAAGCAAAGGAAAAUAGAUUGCAAAGGCAAAUAUGAUGAAAAGAGACCCGGGGCCGUAGGUUUCACUAGUGGCUUCUCUCGAGAAAAUAGCAAACGUUGGGAAAACAAUUACUAUUGGGAAAUUGAUAGAACUUCAAAUAAUCAUGACGAUAUCUAGGCAAUGAUCAUUAUAUAGGCAUCACGUCCAAGAUUAGUAGACCGACUCCUGCCUGCAUCUACUACUAUUACUCCACACAUCGACCGCUAUCCAGCAUGGAUCUAGUGUAUUAAGUUCAUGGAAAAACGGAGUAAUGCAAUAAGAACGAUGACAUGAUGUAGACAAGAUCUAUUUAUGUAGAAAUAGACCCCAUCCUGUUAUCCUUAAUAGCAACGAUACGUACGUGUCGUUUCCCUUUCUGUCACUGGGAUCAAGCACCGUAAGAUCGAACCCAUCACAAAGCACCUCUUCCCAUUGCAAGAUAACUAGAUCAAGUUGGCCAAAUAAAACCCAAAUAUCGGAGAAGAAAUACAAGGCUAUAAUCAAUCAUGCAUAUAAGAGAUCAAAGAAGACUCAAAUAACUUUCAUGGAUAAAAACAUAGAUCUGAUCAUAAACUCAAAGUUCAUCGGAAACCAACAAACACACCGCAAAAAGAGUUACAUCAUAUGGAUCUCCAAAAGAGCAUUGUAUUGGUAAUCAAGAGAGAGAGAGGAAGCCAUCUAGCUACUAACUACGGACCCGUAGGUCUACAAAGAACUACUCACGCAUCAUCGGAGAUGCACCAAUGGACAUGAUGAACCCCUUCGAGAUGGUGUCUAGAUUGGAUCUGGUGUUUCUGGAACUUGCGGCGGCUGGAAUUGAUUUUCGUCGCCUACCCUAGGGUUUCUGGAAUAUUGGGGUAUUUAUAGAGCAAAGAGGCAGUGCGGGAGGCCACCGAGGUGGGCAGGCGUGCCUGGGCUCCUAGGAGCGCCUUGGUGGGUUGUGCUCCCCUCGGAGCUCCCCUCAGGUGCUUUCUUGGUCCACUGGAUGUCUUCUGGUCAAAAAAAAUCCACAAAAAGUUUUGCUGCGUUUGGACUCUGUUUGGUAUUGAUUUCCUGCAAUGUAAAAAACAAGCAGAAAACAGCAACUGGCACUGGGCACUAUGUCAAUAGUUAGUACCAAAAAUGAUAUAAAAUGACUAUAAAAUAAUUGUAAAACAUCCAAGAAUUAUAAUAUAACAACAUGGAACAAUCAAAAAUUGUAGAUACGUUGGAGAUGUAGCACGCCUCACGGCAGCCCGAACCUGGGUAAAACUGCCCGUGUGAUCUCUGUCGCGUUGUGUUACGCCUCUCCGCUCUGUGUGCAACGUUUCCAUCCCCCCGCCGAACCAAAAGUGGCUCAUGGCCCCAUAGGUGGCCGUGGUUUCCCACGGCAGCUGGCAAUGACGCGUUCCCGGCGGUGACGCCGUGCGGGCGGUGGGUGGUGUUCUGGUCGGGUCGGGCGGGCCAUAAGAACCUCUACAUCAUCAACACAGCACCCAGGGAAGAGAUGGUAUGGAGGGUCACGGACGACCAUUGGAUCGACACGAUGCCGAGCUGGUCGCCGGACGGGAAGCUGGUUGCGCCCAUCUCGGGGCCGACGGGGAGGGCCUUGAGCUUCAUGAGUUCCCAGUAGACGAGCAACGAGUGGAGGUGGAGCGUGUCCGAUGGUGUCCGCGGUGAACUAGUCCGACGCCAGUGUGCUGAACUAGUCCGAGUAACUAUGUGUUAUGUGUAGAUGUUAGCUCUUAAUCAUAUCCCAUGUAUACAACCAAACACCGUGUAGUUGCAUGUGCCGAGCCAAUGCAGGACACCAAACACCGUGCGAAAACCGAUCCCCUAGUGCAGGUAGUCUCGAUGCAGGCAACCAAACUAAGUGUAGAUGUUGGUUUUUUGCCUGUUUAGCCUCAGCCAGGCUGAGGUGGGACAAGUAUGAAAUGCAGGCAUUCUCGGAGAUGUCAACCAAACACGCCAUAAGAGCAUGCAUGAAUAGGGGUGGUGAGAUGAGCAAGCAUGAAAAGGGAACAACUAUGCUGAGAUGAGAAUGCAACCAAACACACCCUUACGGAUUGAACCUUUGUAGGCUUGAAAGAACUUAGCAUCUCUUCUUUGGAAUAUUACAGAUUGAACCUUUGUAGGCUUGAAAGAAUAUUCGCAUGAUUCUCAAGCUCAGUCACUUCUCUUAGACCUCUUCCAAUGCACCGGUGCUAACAUGAGGUGCUAAGCACAUUAAAAAGUUUAGCAACUAAAGCCUCCAAUGCAUAGGUGCUUAAGUUGUUGUAGCUAAGUAUCCUUUAUUUAGUGACUUGGUAACUAAAUUUCUUCAUACAUUGGUGGGCUUCUUUCAUUUAAAUGUUUUGCCUAGGUUUGCGCGCUUGGCAUUGUUUCUUCUGGGUCACCACACUCAUCUUUCUCAUCUUAGUUAUCUCAUCACAUCAGAUUUUUUGCCUACAUGGCACCCUUAGCACCUGUACAAGGUGGAGCAUUGGGAGGAGCCUUAUUCCAGGGUUGUAGCAAUAUUGAGUUGUGAGUUUGCAACAGUACCUUAAAGUGGUGAUUUAUUUUCUUAUACUAACGGAGCUCAUGAGAUUUUUUGUUGAGCUUUGUGUUAUGAAGUUUUCAAGUUUUGGGUAAAGAUUUGAUGGACUAUAGAAUAAGGAGUGGCAAGAGCCUAAGCUUGGGGAUGCCCAAGGCACCCCAAGGUAAUACUCAAGUACAACCAAAAGCCUAAGCUUGGGGAUGCCCCAGAAGGCAUCCCCUCUUUCGUCUUCGUCUAUCGGUAACUUUACUUGAGGGUAUAUUUUUAUUCACCACAUGAUAUAUGUUUUGCUUGGAGAGUCUUGUUUACCACAAUCAUCCUUUAUGUACACACCUUUUGGGAGAGACACGCAUGAAUCGUGAUUUAUUAGAAUACUCCAUGUGUUUCACUUAUAUCUUUUGAGCUAGGCAAUAUUGCUCUAGUACUUCACUUAUAUCUUUUUAGAGCACGGCGGUGGUUUUAUUUUAUAGAAAUUUGUGAACUCUUAUGCUUCACUUAUAUUAUUUUGAGAGUCUUUUAGAACAUCAUGGUAAUUUACUUUGGUUAUAAAUUUAGUCCUAAUAUGAUAGGCAUCCAAGAGGGAUAUAAUAAAAACUUUCAUAUAAAGUGCAUUGAAUACUAUGAGAAGUUUGAUUCUUUAUUAUUGUUUUGAGAUAUGAAGAUGGUGAUAUUAGAGUCAUGCUAGUGAGUAGUUGAGAAUUUGAGAGAUACUUGUGUUAAAGUUUGUGAUUCCCGUAGCAUGCACGUCUGCUAACUAACUAAUUCAAUUAGAUUUUUUUGCAGUAAUUAGCCCGAGUCACUUACAGGUGGGCCCUGUCCACUAUUCCAGCCGGUAAGGUUGAUCCAGUUAGCCUGCUGACUGGGCACUUGCCCACCAGUCAGCCUAUGCUGACUAGGCUGUUGACCCAGUCAACAUUGCCACCAGUCAGCCACUGUGUGUGCUGACUAGAUAUAUCUCUGGGUGUAUUAGUAUUUAUGAUUUAGUUAAUUCAAAUUUAAAUAUUUAAAACAAAUCCAAAAAAGUAAACUUUGAAAAUUAAUAUAAAAUAAUCUGCAACUCAGAUGAAAAUAAUUUAUACAUGAAAGUUGAUCAGAAAAAUCCAACGAAUCAGAAUAUGCAAUCUGUUCAUCUGUCACAUGCCCUAUCAUGCUGGACAUGGACCCGUUCCCCUCUUUUCAUCUGUCCGAAAAAGGCUGAACUCUGUGAAAACAUUCCUAGAUGUUUUCCCUCACCGUUUGCAAUGUGGAGUACCGCGUUAGAAUGCUACUUCUUGAGCUUGCGUUGAUUUUUCCUUGAAGAGGAAAGGGUGAUGCAACAAAGUAGAGAUAAGUAUUUCCCUCAGUUGAGAACCAAGGUAUCAAUCCAGUAGGAGGCACAAGCAAGUCUUCAAUCUAUGCACCUGCACGAACUAAGAAACACUUGCACACAACACGGACCAGGGGUUGUCAAUCCCUUCACGGUUACUUGCAAGAGUGAGAUCUGAUAGAGAUAGAUUUAAAAUAAAAGUAAAAGGAAAAAUAAAGUAAACACAAAGUAAUUGCAGCAAGGUAUUUUUGGGUUUUUGGUUUUAUAGAUCUGAAAGUAUAUGAUGUAAAAUAGACCCGGGGGCCAUAGGUUUCACUAGAGGCUUCUCUCUCGAAGAAAGCAUACGUUUGGUAAACAAAUUACUGUUGAGCAAUUGAUAGAAAAGCGCAAAGUUAUGACGACAUCCAAGCCAAUGAUCAUGAAUAUAGGCAUCACGUCUAUGACAAGUAGACCGACUCCUGCCUGCAUCUACUACUAUUACUCCACUCAUCGACUGCUAUCCAGCAUGCAUCUGGAGUAUUAAGUUAAAAACAGAGUAACGCCUUAAGAAAGAUGACAUGACGUAGAGGGAUAAACUCAAGCAAUAUGAUGUAAACCCCAUCUUGUUAUCCUUAAUGGCAACAACACAAUACGUGCCUUGCUACCCCUUCUGUCACUGGGUGAGGACACCGCAAGGCUGAACCCAUCACAAAGCACCUCUCCCAUUGCAAGAAAAACCAAUCUAGUUGGCCAAACCAAAUCGAUAGAUUGAAGAGAAAUACAGAGCUAUCUUAAUCAUGCAUAAAAGAGUUCAGAGAAGACUCAAAUAAUAUUCAUAGAUGAUCUGAUCAUAAAUCCACAAUUCAUCGGAUCUCAACAAACACACCGCAAAAGAAGAUUACAUCGAAUAGAUCUCCAAGAACAUAGAGAAGAACAUUGUAUUGAAGAUCAAAGAGAGAGAAGAAGCCAUCUACCUACUAGCUAUGGACCCGUAGGUCUGUGGUAAACUACUCAUGCAUCAUCGGAGGGGCAGCCAGGUUGAUGUAGAUGCCCUCCGUGAUCGAAUCCCCCUCCGGCGGAGUACCAAAAAAGUCCCCAAGAUGGGAUCUCACGGGAACAGAAACUUGUGGUGGUGGGAAAGUAUUUUUAGCGACUCCUCUAGGGUUUCUGGAAUAUUUGGGAAUUUAUAGGCCAAAGAGGUGGUGCAGGGGACUCCCGAGGGGGCCACAAGCCCAGUGGGCGCUCCCCCUAGUGCGCGCCCCUAUGACUUGUCGUCGCCUCGUGGGUCCCUUGGCCCCCACUCCAAGUCUCGUAGGUGUCUUCUGGUCCAGGAAAAAUCAUCGUAAAGUUUUAUUCCAUUUGGACUCCAUUUGAUAUUCCUUUUCUGCGAAAGCCAAAAACAAGGAAAAUAAUAGAAACCGGCACUAGGCACUGGGUUAAUAAGUUAGUCCCAAAAAUAAUAUAAAAUAUCAUAUUAAUGCAUAUAAAACAUCCAAAGUUGAUAAUAUAAUAGCAUGGAAUAGUAAAAAAUUAUAGAUACGGUUGAGACGUAUCAUAGAACGCCCCUAGCACUGCGUGUUGUCAGGUCGUGCAUCUGUGUUACACCUGUUUUCUUUAUAUUUACUGUUUCUUCCCCCUCUCCUCUCAGGUAGACCCGAGACCGAUGCUGCCCCUGUGGUCGACUACGUCACUGACGACUCUUCUUUCGUUUUAGUAGAGCUUCCAGGCAGGCAAACCCCCUGCUACCUCUUGAGCUUGCGUUGGUUUUUCCCUUGAAGAGGAAAGGGUGAUGAAACAAAGUAGAGUAAGUAUUUCCCUCAGUUUGAGAACCAAGGUAUCAAUCCAGUAGGAGAUUACGCACAAGUCACCGAAUGCCUGCACAAACAAUCAACAAACUUGCACCCAACGCGGUAAGGGGUUGUCAAUCCCUUCACGGUUAUUUGCAAAAGUGAGACUGAUAGAGAUGGAUAAACGGUAAAGUAAAUAUUUUUGGUAUUUUUGGUUUAUAGAUUGGAAAGUAAAGAUUGCAAAGUAAAGAAACGACGACAGAAAUUGGCAAGUUGACGGGAAACUAAUAUGAUGUAAAAUAGACCUGGGGGCCAUAGGUUUCACUAGUGGCUUCUCUCAAGAUAGUAAAUCUUAUGGUGGGUGAACAAAUUACUGCCGAGUAAUUGAUAGAAGAGCGCAUAAUUAUGACGACAUCUAAGGCAAUACUCAUGAAUAUAGGCAUCACGUCUGUGUCAAGUAGACCGAAACGAUUCUGCAUCUACUACUAUUACUCCACACAUCGACCGCAAUCCAACAUGCAUCUAGAGUAUUAAGUUCAUAAAGAACGGAGUAACGCAUUAAGUAAGAUGACAUGAUGUACAUGAAUUAACUCAAGCAAUAUGAUGAAAACCCCAUCUUUUUAUCCUUGAUGGCAACAAUACAAUAUGUGCCUUGAUGCCCCUACUGUCACCGGGAAAGGACACCGCAAGAUUGAACCCAAAGCUAAGCACUUCUCCCAUUGCAAGAAAAACCAAUCUAGUAGGCCAAACUAAACCGAUAAUUCGAAGAGACUUGCAAAGAUAUCAAAUCAUGCAUAUAAGAAUUCAGAGAAGACUCAAAUAAUAUUCUUAGAUAAUCUGAUCAUAAAUCCACAAUUCAUUGGAUCUCGGCAAACACACCGCAAAAGAAUAUUACAUCGAAUAGAUCUCCAAGAACAUCGAGGAGAACAUGGUAUUGAGAAUCAAAGAGAGAGAAGAAGCCAUCUAGCUACUAGCUAUGGACCCAUAGGUCUGAGGUAAACUACUCACGCUUCAUCGGAAGGGCGAUGGUGUUGAUGUAGAAGCCCUCAUCGAAUCCCCCUCCGGCAGGACGCCAGAAAAGGCCCCUAGAUGGGAUCUCACGUGUACAGAAGGUUGCGGCGGUGGAAAAGUGUUUUCGUGGCUCUCUCUCUGAUGUUUUUGGGAUAUAAGAGUAUAUAUAGGCGAAGGAACUAGGUCAGGAGACCCACGAGGGGCCCACGAGGUAGGGGACGCACCUUACCCCCCUGGGCGCGCCCUCCACCCUCGUGGCCGCCUCGUUGUGUCUCCUACUUCAUCUCCAAGUCUCCUUGUUUGCUUAUGGUCCAAGAAAGAUCAUCGCAAAAGUUUCAUUCCAUUUGAACUCCGUUUGGUAUUCCUUUUAGGCGAAACUCUAAAACAGGCAAAAAAUAGAAACUUGCACUGGGCCCUGGAUUAAUAGGUUAGUCCCAUAAAAUAGCAUAUAAAUGCAUAUUAAACAUCCAAAAUAGAUAAUAUAAUAGUAUGGAACAAUAAAAAAUUAUAGAUACGUUGGAGAUGUAUCAAGCAUCCCCAAACUUAAUUCCUGCUCGUCCUCGGGUAGGUAAAUGAUAAAAAUAGAAUUUUUUAUGUGGAAUGCUACCCAACAUAUUUAUCCAUGUAAUUCUAUUUAUCGUGGCAUGAAUGUUCAGAUCCGUAAGAUUCAAAACAAAAGUUUAAUAUUGACAUGAAAACAAUAAUACUUCAAGCAUACUAAUAAAGCAAUCAUGUCUUCUCAAAAUAACAUGGCCAAAUAAAGCUAUCCCUACAAAAUCAUAUAGUCUGACUAUGCUCUAUCUUCAUCACACAAAAUAUUUAAAUCAUGCAUAACCCCGAUGACAAGCCAGGCAAUUGUUUCAUACUUUUGAUGUUCUCAAACUUUUUCAAUCUUCACGCAAUACAUGAGCAUGAGCCAUGGAUAUAGCACUAUGGUGGAAGAGAAUAUGGUGGUUGUGGAGAAGACAAAAAGGAGGAAGAUAGUCUCACAUCAACUAGGCGUAUCAACGGGCUAUGGAGAUGCCCAUCAAUAGAUAUCAAGGUGAGUGAGUAGCGAUUGCCAUGCAACGGAUGCACUAGAGUUAUAAGUGUAUGAAAGCUCAAAAAGAAACUAAGUGGGUGUGCAUCCAACUUGCUUGCUCACGAAGACCUAGGGCAAUUUGACGAAGCCCAUCAUUGGAAUAUACAAGGCAAGUUCUAUAAUGAAAAAUUCCCACUAGUAUAUGAAAGUGACAAAAUAGGAUAUUCUCUAUCAUGGAGAUCAUGGUGCUACUUUGAAGCACAAGUGUGGAAAAAGGAUAGUAACAUUGCCCCUUCUCUCUUUUUAUCUCAUUUUUUCUUUUUCCUUUUUUUCUUUUUUCUCUCUCUUUUUUUCUUUUUUUAUUUUUUGUCCGGAGUCUCAUCCCGACUUGUGGGGGAACCAUAGCCUCCAUCAUCCUUUCCUCACAUGGGUCAAUGCUCUAAUAAUGAAGAUCAUCACACUUUUAUUUACUUACAACUCAAAAAUUACAACUCAAUGCUUAGAACAAAAUAUGACUCUAUGUGAAUGCCUCCGGCGGUGUACCGGGAUGUGCAAUGAAUCAAGAGACAUGUAUGAAAGAAUUAUGAAAGGUGGCUUUGCCACAAAUACAAUGUCAACUACAUGAUCAUGACAAUGAUGAAGCGUGUCAUAAUAAACGGAACGGUGGAAAGUUGCAUGGCAAUAUAUCUCAGAAUGGCUAUGGAAAUACCAUAAUAGGUAGGUUGGUGGCUGUUUUGAGGAAGGUAUAUGGUGGGUGUAUGGUACCGGCGAAAGUUGAGCGGCACAAGAGAGGCUAGCGAUGGUGGAAGGGUGAGAGUGCGUAUAAUCCAUGGACUCAACAUUAGUCAUAAAGAACUCACAUACUUAUUGCAAAAAUCUAUUAGUCAUCGAACGAAGUACUACGCGCAUGCUCCUAGGGGGAUAUAUUGGUAGGAAAAGACCAUCGCUCGUCCCCGACCGACUCAUAAGGAAGACAAUCAAAAAAUAAAUCAUGCUCCGACUUCAUCACAUAACGGUUCACCAGGGCCCACAGGUCAGUGUAAUAAAUGAUUAAACUAAUCUAAUUUAAUUAAAUUUUUGAUUAAUUAGUAGGGGGUGAGCCCCAUAUGUGAGUGACUGGGUGCUGCCUAGUCAUCAUUGACCGGGGUCAACAAGUCAAAGGGGGCCCUAGGGCCACUAGUCAGUGACCCUGGUGGUGGCCCUAGGCCGGCCACGUCGGCUGGCGGCAGUGGCGUGUAACUCACAAGUAUAGGGGAUCAUUUGUAGCCUUCUUCGGUAAAUAAGAGUGUCGAACCCAACGAGGAGCUAAAGGUAGAACAAAUAUUCCCUCAAGUUCUAUCAACCACCGAUACAACUCUAUGCACACUUAACGUUUGCUUUACCUAGAACAAGUAUGAAACUAUUUUGCAAGAAUGAAACUAUGAGUACUUUGCGAGAAUAAAACUAUGAAUAAAUUGCAAGCUAAUAAAAGUGUAUAUCUUUUGUCAACAAGAAAGUUUGUCCCUAGGCAAUCGAUAACAAGUACCGGUAAUCAUUCUUGCAAUUUUAUAUGAUGGAGAGGCAUGAGCUAACAUACUUUCUCUACUCGGAUCAUAUGCACUUAUGAUUGGACCCCUAGCAAGCAUCCGCAACUACUAAAGAUCAUUAAGGUCGUGAAACCCAACCAUAGCAUUAAGUAUCAAGUCCUCUUUAUCCCAUACGCAACAACCCACCUACUCGGGUUUAAACUUCUGUCACUCUCGCAACCCACCAUAAGCGAAUCAUGAACGUAUUGCAACACCCUACAGCGGGGAUCCCUCACGUUUGAGCGAGAUGGAGGACAUCGUAGGACAGCACCAUAAAUAAAAUAUACAAUCAUACCAACCAAGAUCACGAUUAACCCAUAGGACAAAACGGAUCUACUCAAACAUCAUAGGAUAGCCAAAUAUCAUUGGGAAAUAAUAUAUGCAGUUGAGUACCAUGUUUAAGUAGAGAUUACAGCAGGGAGAAGAGGUGUUACACCGCUGCAUAGAGGGGGAGAAAGUUGGUGUUGACGAUAGCAAGAUUGUUGAUGUAGAUCGCCGUCUUGAUCCUUGCCCUAGUGGUACUCCGACGCCACUGGGAGAGAGGGGGAGAGAGCCCCCCUCCUUCUUCUUCUUCCAUGGCCUCCCCCCUAGAUGGGAGGAGAGUUCCCCCUCUGGUCCAUGGCCUCCAUAGCGGCGGAGGGGCGGGAACCCCUCCGAGAUUGGAUCUCCCUCUCUGUUCUCUUUUGUUUCGCGUUCCCCAGAUCUGGCCCUUCACGGUUUCUUAAAUUCCCAGAGAUCCGUAACUCUGAUUGCGCUGAAAUUUUUACACGAUUUUUUCCAUAAAUUAUCUUUCUUGGGCCCGAAGAAGGGCCCCAACCAACGUUCGAGGAGAGCAUAAGACACCUGGGCAUGCCCGGCCCCCCAGGCGCGCCCUGGUGGGUUGUGGUCACUGUGGGCCCCCUCUUCUGAUGAUUCCAACUCCCAAAAAUCACAAAUAUUCCAAAAUAAUUCUCUGUAAAAUUUUACUGCAUUUGCACUUCGUUUGAUAUGGAUUUUCUGCUAAACAAAAAACAUGCAACAAACAGGAACUGGCACUGGGCACUGGAUCAAUAGGUUAGUCCAAUAAAUCAUAUAAAAAGUUGCCAAAAAUAUGUGAAAGUUGUAUAAUAUUGGCAUGAAACAAUCAAAAAUUAUAGAUACGACGGAGACGUAACAGCAUCCCCAAGCUUAAUUCAUGCUCGUCCUCGAGUAGGUAAAUGAUAAAAAGACAUUUUUUAUGUGGAAUGCUACCUAGCAUAAACUUGAUCAUAUGUCUAAUCAUGGCAUGAAUAUUAAGACAUAAGUGAUUUGAAGCAAUAGUCUAUAAUUUGACAUAAAGACAUCAAUACUCAGGCAUCCCAACAAACAAUCAUGUCUUUCAAAAUAUCAAUGCUAAACAACAUUAUCCCUACAAAAUCAUAUAGCCUUGUCAUGCUCUGUCUUCUUAGCACAAAGUAUAAAUCAUGUACUACCCCGGUGUCAUCCAAGCAAUUGGUUCAUACUUUUUAACGCACUUCAGCAUUUUCACUCUCACGCAAUACAUGAGCGCAAGCCAUGGAUAUAGCACUAUCGGUGGGAUAGAGUAUGAUGAUAGGGGUAAAUAUAGAAUACAAAAAAGUAAUAAAGUCUCACAUCGACGCGGCUAACCAACGGGCUAUGGAGAUGCCCAUCAAUUGAUAUCAAUGCGAGGAGUAGGGAUUGCCAUGCAACGAAUGCACUAAGAGCUAUAAGUGUAUGAAAGCUCCACAUGAAAACUAAGUGGGUGUGCAUUAUGAAAGUUCCAUAUGAAAACUAAGUGGGUGUCAUUAUGAAAGCUCCAUAUGAAAACUAAGUGGGUGUGCAUCUAAUCCUAUAAUGAAAAAAUCCCACUAGUAUAUGAAAGUGACAACAUAGGAGACUCUCCAUAUGAAAAACAUGGUGCUACUUUGAAGCACAAGUGUGGAACUAGCAUGCCCCUUCUCUCUUUUUCUUUUUUUCUUUUUCUUUUUUCUUUCUUUUCUUUCUUUUUUAUUUUUCUUUCUUUUUUUUAUUUUUUUUCUUUUUUAUAUAUUUUUUCUCUCAUUGUCCGGAGUCUCAUCCCGACUUGUGGGGGAAUCAUAAUCUCCAUCAUCCUUUCCUCACUGGGGCAAUGCUCUAAUAAUGAAAGUUGAUGAUCAUCACACUUCUAUUUACUUAUAACUCAAAAGAAAUAAAAAUUACAACUUGAUACCUAUAACGAGAUAUGACUCUAUAUGAAUGCAUCUGGCAAUACCAGGAUGUGCAAUGAUUUAGCGUAACAUGCAUAAAAAUGAUGAAUAGUGGUUGAGCCACAAAUACUAUGUCAGCUAUAUGAUCAUGCAAAGCAAUAUGACAAUGAAUGCUCAAGUCAUCAACGGAAGCGUUGGAAGUUGCAUGGCAAUAUAUCUCGGAAUGGCUAUGGAAAGGCCAUAAUAGGUAGGUAUGGUGGCUGUUUUGAGGAAGAUAUAAUAAGGCUUAUGUGUGAUAGAGCGUAUCAUAUCACGGGAUUUGGAUGCACCGGCGAGGUUUGCACCACGUCUCGAGGUGAGAAAGGGCAAUGCACGGUACCGUAGAGGCUAGCAAAUUGCAGAAAGGUAAGAGUGCGUAUAAUCCAUGGACUCACAUUAGUCAUAAAGAACUCAUAUACUUAUUGCAAAAGUUUAUUAGCCCUCGAAGCAAAGUACUACUAUGCAUGCCCCUAGGGGGAGGUUGGUAGGAGUUAACCAUCACGUGCCCCCGACCUUCACACAAAAAUAGACAAUCAAGGAUAAAUUGUGCUCCAACACUACAAAAAAAUACACAUCCGUGAUGAUACGUGUUUGUCACAGGUCACGUUUUCUGUCAUGCGUGUACAUCCAUGACAAUUUUAUGAUAGAAUCAAGAUAGUCAUACCUGUGUUGUCGUAGAAGUGUUCCAUGACAUUACCAAAAUUAUCAUCACGGAAGUGUCCACUUCCAUGAUGAUAAAUCACGCGUCAUAGAAGUGCUUUCGUCAAGGGUGACCGACACGUGGCAUCCACCGUAACGGCUCGCCAUUAAGCUAUCGGGUCCGAUUUUGGAUCCGAUAACCCAUUAACAGCCCCAAUGAAUGGGGAUUUCCAUGUGUAAAAUCAUCAUUGGCUGGAGGAAACACGUGUCGGCUCACCGUUGGGACAGAUGUCAUCCACUCAUUGGACAGAAGGUGCCUAUGAUACGUCGACACGUGGCACUUCCCAACAGAGGCCCAUUCCUGUGAAAAGGCCAGCCCGUUUGACUUGGUCAAAAGGUGGCGGCCCGGCCCAUGGAAAGCCUAUUAACGGCCUGUUAGCAUAUAGCCCAUUUACAGCCCGCUAACCCAGGGCCCGUUACGACCUAUCCGAAUUAGGCCCAGUAGCAUCAUUUGGGCCGUCCAAUAAGAUUCCAGCCCGUUUUAACUUCCGGCCCAUGUAUGGCCCAUGACGUCUUUCGGCCCAUAUGUGGCCCUUUGUAACUCCUUGCCCAUUAACGACCCGUGGUGAAUCUGGCCCGUAAUGAAUAGUGUAUCACUUUAUACCCAUUAACGGCCCGUGGUGAAACUGGCCCGUAAUGAACAGUGUAUCACUUUAUACCCAUUAACGGCAUGUGCUGAAACUGGCCCGUAAUGAACAGUGUAUCAUUUUAUACCCAUUAAUGGCCCAUUAUUCCAUUAGACCGUUUCCAUCCCAUGUUAUCUUUCGGCCUUCACAGGGCCCAUUUAUUCUUGGGCUCAUUUCCAGCAUUCGUUUACUUACGGCCCGUUAUUGUCAUUUUCUGCUUGUGGGCCAAAUUCAGCCCGUGGUUACAGUCGUCCCAUUUGUGGCCCGUUAAUACGUUGGGCCGUUUUCAUAGCGUCAUCAAAUACUGUCGAUUAACGACGGCCCGUUAUGGUCGGCCCAUGAACAGACGAUUCCAACUCAAGCCCGUUUACAGUCAUAAUGCGGUCUGUUAUUGGCCCAUGUUUGGCCAAAUUACGGCCCGUAGAAGGCCCAUUGUGUCUACGGCCCGUAGAAGGCCCAUUGUUUCUACGCCCCAUAGAAGGCCCAUUGUUUCUACAAACCUUAGAAGGCCCAUUGUUUCUACGGCCCGUAGGAGGCCCAUGGUAACUAUAGUAAAUAUGUAGCCCAUGGUUAUUGUGGCCUAGUUUUAAAAAAUGGGUUAUUGCGGCCACUAGCAAACCGCGGAAAAAGAACUGCACUGACUACAAGCAAACAAAUAAACAAGACAAUUAGGAAAUAAAUAAGCAAGCAACUUACGCUAGGCUAUCACGGCUAUUACACAUAUUACAUCCACUGGGCAUCAAAGUUCGCCACCAGUGCAAAUAUAGGGAACAAAGCAGCAUAUCAUAUACACUGGUUGUCAAAGUUGGCGACCAGUGCAAAUAAACACCGCAGCAAAACAAGCCCAGAACUGAAACCACUUUAGAAGAGCUCAAGAAACAAUAUCCUGGGUACCCAUAAUGCUGGCAAGAUGCUUAGCAAGCUUAUUAACUUUCUCUUGUUUGGCGCUUAAAUCCUCCAGCACUUGCUGUUGCACCAGAAAGUAUGCAUCUGAAUUCUGCAAGGACUUCCUCAGUCCUUCGGCUUCCUGUCGCAUAACAUCUGAUCGAUGUCUUUCAACUUGAAGUCGAGACUCAAGAAGCCGAACUAAUUUAGGAAACGAGUUCGAAGAGCUGGUGCCGGUAGUAGUAGCCAGUAACUCGAACACUGCAUCAAGACAGGACUUUGGGGUUGUCUCAGUGUCUUCAAUAUAGUUUUUAUCAGCUUUCUUGGAGACCAACAGGGAUGCUCAUUAUCUUGAACCUUAUCUGCAUUACUUCCUUUACCAUUGCAUAACGGGGUACUCUUCUCCAAUAUUUUAUCCGCGUUCUAAAAGAGAAACAAACAAACACAUCACAGGUUUACAAUGUAGUAUAUGAACAUUUUGGUAAACCAGUUCAGUAGUAAGGUGGACAGGAUCACAACAUGAAACAAACAUAUAUCUAUGUAGUAUGGUCACUGUAUGGUCUAUAUCAUUGUAGUUUAUGUUGCCAAAUCAAGAUAGAUAAGGUUCGAAUCAUAUCUAUUUAAGACAAAGCAGCAUAGACAGAAUAUAAGCGUGGGAAACUACACUGCAAUCUUUUGCUCCAGUGUUUCUUCUUUUGCUUUGGUGUUUCGCCGCACGUGUCAUGUUCUCUACAAGGCAUGAAUAGAACAAUUCUAACAAUGAGAUGGCUAGCAAAUUAGAUCAUUUUUUAUCGCCAAAUGGCACUGGGCUGCCGUGUUUCAUGCUCCUCCGUCGUAGUACUACUCCAGUGGAAAACUUGAGUAUACCGCAUGGUUCUUUGCUCCUCCUCAGGUCGUCAGCACAUUUAUACGAGCAUUCAAAUCACAAGGCCCCGCCUUCUAGCAGUAAUGAGCCGUCAAAUCACAAAGGCCCUCGCCUCUCGUGAAACCGACCAAGCUAGACUGCCCCGCCCUCUAGCCUUUUAAAAGAUGUAUACUUUUGUACAGUAGUAGUAUCGAUGGAUUGCGCCAUGGAGCAAAACUAACAAGAUGGAAUUAAAGAAAAAAGGUGGUACAUAUAGAGAGCGCUCGUCGCCAAAUUAUGCAUAUAGUACUAUUAAAAAAGCUAGUACGUGCUUAAAUGGGGUGCUGAAUUCUAUUAAAGAAAUUAGCAUACCUAUUUAAUUCUUGGGUUCUUAUUAUUUAUGCCACUAGUUGUGUAUCACUACUCAGUUUUGCCAUUAGAAGUUACAACUACUCAAAAAUGCCAUCGAUUCGUGAGAUGCCUGCUCAAAAAUGCAAUUAGAUAUCUCAAAAAUGCCAUCGUUAAGUUAGAUGUUUGCUAAAAAAUGCCAUUAGACAUUGUUAUUUCCACGCAAACCCGUUGACCAUGUUACUGUUGGGGAACGUAGUAAUUUCAAAAAAAUUCCUACGCACACGCAAUAUCAUGGUGAUGCAUAGCAAUGAGAGGGGAGAGUGUUGUCCACGUACCCUCGUAGACCGAAAGCGGAAGCGUUAACACAACACGGUUGAUGUAGUCGUACGUCUUCACGAUCCGACCGAUCAAGUAUCGAACGCACGGCACCUCCGAGUUCAGCACACGUUCAGCUCGAUGACGUCCCUCGAACUCCGAUCCAGCCGAGUGUUGAGGGAGAGUUUCGUCAGCACGACGGCGUGGUGACGAUGAUGAUGUUCUACCGACGCAGGGCUUCGCCUAAGCUCCGCUACGAUAUUAUCGAGGUGUAAUAUGGUGGAUGGGAGCACCGCACACGGCUAAAAUAUCGUAUAUCAAUUGUGUGUUCAGAGGUGCCCCCCUGCCCCCGUAUAUAAAGGAGCAAGGGGGGAGGCCGGCCGGCCCUUGGGGCGCGCCAAGGAGGGGGGGAGUCCUCCUCCUAGUAGGAGUAGGACUCCCCUUUCCUAGUCCAACUAGGAAGAGAGAAGGGGGAAGGAAAGAGAGGGAGAGGGAGAGGGAAAGAGGGGCCGCGCCCCCCUCCCCUAGUCCAAUUCGGACUCCCCAUGGGAGGGGGCGCGCCACCUCCUGGGCUGCUGCCCUCUCUCUCCCCUCAGGCCCACUAAGGCCCAAUACUUCCCCGGGGGGUUCCGGUAACCCCUCCGGCACUCCAGUUUUAUCCGAAACUUCUCCGGAACACUUCCUGUGUCCGAAUAUAGUCGUCCAAUAUAUCAAUCUUUAUGUCUCGACCAUUUCGAGACUCCUCGUCAUGUCCGUGAUCACAUCCGGGACUCCGAACAACCUUCGGUACAUCAAAACAUAUAAACUCAUAAUAUAACUGUCAUCGUAACUUUAAGCGUGCGGACCCUACGGGUUCGAGAAAUAUGUAGACAUGACCGAGACACCUCUCCGGUCAAUAACCAAUAGCGGAACCUGGAUGCUCAUAUUGGUUCCCACAUAUUCUACGAAGAUCUUUAUCGGUCAGACUGCAUAACAACAUACGUUGUUCCCUUUGUCAUCGGUAUGUUACUUGCCCGAGAUUCGAUCGUCGGUAUCUCGAUACCUAGUUCAAUCUCGUUACCGGCAAGUCUCUUUACUCGUUCCGUAAUACAUCAUCCCGCAACUAACUCAUUAGUCACAAUGCUUGCAAGGCUUAUAGUGAUGUGCAUUACCGAGUGGGCCCAGAGAUACCUCUCCGACAAUCGGAGUGACAAAUCCUAAUCUCGAAAUACGCCAACCCAACAAGUACCUUUGGAGACACCUGUAGAGCACCUUUAUAAUCACCCAGUUACGUUGUGACGUUUGGUAGCACACAAAGUGUUCCUCCGGUAAACGGGAGUUGCAUAAUCUCAUAGUCAUAGGAACAUGUAUAAGUCAUGAAGAAAGCAAUAGCAACAUACUAAAUGAUCGAGUGCUAAGCUAACGGAAUGGGUCAAGUCAAUCACGUCAUUCUCCUAAUGAAGUGAUCCCGUUAAUCAAAUGACAACUCAUGUCUAUGGCUAGGAAACAUAACCAUCUUUGAUCAACGAGCUAGUCAAGUAGAGGCAUACUAGUGACACUCUGUUUGUCUAUGUAUUCACACAUGUAUUAUGUUUCCGAUUAAUACAAUUCUAGCAUGAAUAAUAAACAUUUAUCAUGAUAUAAGGAAAUAAAUAAUACUUUAUUAUUGCCUCUAGGGCAUAUUUCCUUCAGUCUCCCACUUGCACUAGAGUCAAUAAUCUAGUUCACAUCGCCAUGUGAUUUAACAUCGAUAGUUCACAUCACCAUGUGAUUAACACCCAUAGUUCACAUCGUCAUGUGACCAACACCCAAAGGGUUUACUAGUCAGUAAUCUAGUUCACAUCGCUAUGUGAUUAACACCCAAAGAGUACUACGGUGUGAUCAUGUUUUGCUUGUGAGAUAAUUUUAGUCAACGGGUCUGUCACAUUCUGAUCCGUAAGUAUUUUGCAAAUUUCUAUGUCUACAAUGCUCUGCACGGAGCUACUCUAGCUAAUUGCUCCCACUUUCAAUAUGUAUCCAGACCGAGACUUAGAGUCAUCUAGAUUAGUGUCAAAACUUGCAUCGACGUAACCCUUUACGACGAACCUUUUGUCACUUCCAUAAUCGAGAAACAUAUCCUUAUUCCACUAAGGAUAAUUUUGACCGCUGUCCAGUGAUCUACUCCUAGAUCACUAUUGUACGCCCUUGCCAAAAUCAGUGUAGGGUAUACAAUAGAUUUGGUACACAGCAUGGCAUACUUUAUAGAACCUAUGGCCAAGGCAUAGGGAAUGACUUUCAUUCUCUUUCUAUCUUCUGCCGUGGUCGGGCUUUGAGUCUUACUCAAUUUCACACCUUGUAACAGAGGCAAGAACUCUUUCUUUGACUGUUCUAUUUCGAACUACUUCAAAAUCUUAUUAAGGUAUGUACUCAUUGAAAAAACUUAUCAAGCGUCUUGAUCUAUCUCUAUAGAUCUUGAUGCUCAAUAUGUAAGCAGCUUCACUGAGGUCUUUCUUUGAAAAACUCCUUUCAAACACUCCUUUAUGCUUUGCAGAAUAAUUCUACAUUAUUUCCGAUCAACAAUAUGUCAUUCACAUAUACUUAUCAGAAAUGCUGUAGUGCUCCCACUCACUUUCUUGUAAAUACAGGCUUCACCGCAAGUCUGUAUAAAACUAUAUCCUUUGAUCAACUUAUCAAAGCGUAUAUUCCAACUCCGAGAUGCUUGCACCAGUCCAUAGAUGGAUCGCUGGAGCUUGCAUAUUUUGUUAGAACUUUUAGGAUUGACAAAACCUCCUGGUUGCAUCAUAUACAACUCUUCUUUAAUGAAUCCAUUUAAGGAAUGCAGUUUUGUUUAUCCAUUUGCCAGAUUUCAUAAAAUGUGGCAAUUGCUAACAUGAUUCGGACAGACUUAAGCAUCGCUGCGAGUGAGAAAAUCUCAUCGUAUUCAACACUUUGAACUUUGUCAAAAACCUUUUUCUGACAAGUCUAGCUUUGUAGAUAGUAACACUACUAUCAGCGUCCAUCUUCCUCUUGAAGAUCCAUUUAAUCUCAAUGGCUCGCCGAUCAUUGGGCAAGUCAAUCAAAGUCCAUACUUUGUUCUCAUAUAUGGAUCUUGUCUCAGAUUUCAUGGCCUCAAGCCAUUUCGCGGAAUCUGGGCUCAUCAUCGCUUCCUCAUAGUUCGUAGGUUCGUCAUGGUCAAAUAACAUGACCUCCAAAACAGGAUUACCGUACCACUCUGGUGUGGAUCUCACUCUGGUUUACCUACGAGGUUUGGUAGUAACUUGAUAUGAAGUUACAUGAUCAUCAUCAUUAACUUCCUCACUAAUUGGUGUAGGAGUCACAGGAACAGAUUUCUGUGAUGAACUACUUUCCAAUAAGGGAGCAGGUACAGUUACCUCAUCAAGUUCUACUUUCCUCCCACUCACUUCUUUCGAGAGAAACUCCUUCUCUAGAAAGGAUCCAUUCUUAGCAACGAAUGUCUUGCCUUCGGAUCUGUGAUAGAAGGUGUACCCAACUGUCUCCUUUGGGUAUCCUAUGAAGACACAUUUCUCCGAUUUGGGUUUGAGCUUAUCAGGAUGAAACCUUUUCACAUAAGCAUCGCAACCCCAAACUUUAAGAAACGACAACUUUGGUUUCUUGCCAAACCAUAGUUCAUAAGAUGUCGUCUCAACGGAUUUAGAUGGUACCCUAUUUAACGUGAAUGCAGCUGUCUCUAAUGCAUAACCCCAAAAUGAUAGUGGUAGAUCGGUAAGAGACAUCAUAUAUCGCACCAUAUCUAAUAAAGUACGGUUACGAUGUUCGGACACACCAUUACACCGUGGUGUUCCAGGUGGCGUGAGUAGUGAAACUAUUUCACAUUGUUUUACCUGAAGGCCAAACUCGUAACUCAAAUACUCUUCUCCAUGAUCAGAUCGUAGAAACUUUAUUUUCUUGUUACGAUGAUUUUCCGCUUCACUCUGAAAUUAUAUGAACUUUUCAAAUGUUUCAGACUUCUGUUUCAUUAAGUAGAUAUACCCAUAUCUGCUCAAAUCAUCUGUGAAGGUCAGAAAAUAAUGAUACCUGCUACGAGCCUCAAUAUUCAUCGGACCACAUACAUCUGUAUGUAUGAUUUCCAACAAAUCUGUUGCUCUCUCCAUAGUUCCGAAGAACGGCGUUUUAGUCAUCUUGCCCAUGAGGCACGGUUCGCAAGCAUCAAGUGAUUCCAAAAUCCCAUCAGUAUGGAGUUUCUUCAUGCGCUUUACACCAAUAUGACCUAAACGGCAGUGCCACAAAUAAGUUGCACUAUCAUUAUUAACUUUGCAUCUUUUGGCUUCAUUAUUAUGAAUAUGUGUAUCACUACGAUCGAGAUCCAACAAACUAUUUUAUUGGGUGUAUGACCAUAGAAGGUUUUAUUCAUGUAAACAGAACAACAAUUAUUCUCUAAUUUAAAUGAAUAACUGUAUUGCAACAAACAUGAUCAAAUCAUAUUCAUGCUCAACGCAAACACCAAAUAACACUUAUUUAGUUUCAACACUAAUCCCGAAAGUAUAGGGAGUGUGCGAUGAUGAUCAUAUCAAUCUUGGAACUACUUCCAACACACAUCGUCACCUCGGCUUUUACUAGUCUCUGUUUAUUCUGCAACUCCCGUUUCGAGUUACUACUCUUAGCAACUGAACCAGUAUCAAAUACCGAGGGGUUGCUAUAAACACUAGUAAAGUACACAUCAAUAACAUGUAUAUCCAAUAUACCUUUGUUCACUUUGCCAUCCUUCUUAUCCACCAAAUAGUUGGGGUAGUUCCGCUUCCAGUGACCAGUCCCUUUGCAGUAGAAGCACUUAGUCUCAGGCUUAGGACCAGACUUAGGCUUCUUCACUUGAGCAGCAACUUGCUUGCCGUUCUUCUUGAAGUUCCCCUUCUUCCCUUUGCCCUUUUCUUGAAACUAGUGGUCUCGUCAACCAUCAACACUCGAUGUUUUUCUUGAUUUCUACCUUCGUCGAUUUCAGCAUCACGAAGAGCUCGGGAAUUACUUUCGUCAUCCCUUGCAUACUAUAGUUCAUCACGAAGUUCUACUAACUUGGUGAUGGUGACUAGAGAAUUCUGUCAAUCACUAUUUUAUCUGGAAGAUUAACUCCCACUUGAUUCAAGCGAUUGUAGUACCCAGACAAUCUGAGCACAUGCUCACUGCUUGAGCUAUUCUCCUCCAUCUUUUAGCUAUAGAACUUGUUGGAGACUUCAUAUCUCUCAACUCGGGUAUUUGCUUGAAAUAUUAACUUCAACUCCUGGAACAUCUCAUAUGGUCCAUGACGUUCAAAACGUCUUUGAAGUCCCGAUUCUAAGCCGUUAAGCAUGGUGCACUAAACUAUCAAGUAGUCAUCAUAUUGAGCUAGCCAAACGUUCAUAACGUCCGCAUCUGCUCCUGCAAUAGGUCUGUCACCUAGCGGUGCAUCAAGGACAUAAUUUUUCUGUGCAGCAAUGAGGAUAAUCCUCAGAUCACGGAUCCAAUCCGCAUCUUUGCUACUAACAUCUUUCAACAUAAUUUUUCUCUAGGAACAUAUCAAAAAUAAACACAGGGAAGCAACAACACGAGCUAUUGAUCUACAACAUAAUUUGCAAAAUACUAUCAGGACUAAGUUCAUGAUAAAUUUAAGUUCAAUUAAUCAUAUUACUUAAGAACUCCCACUUAGAUAGAUAUCCCUCUAAUCAUCUAAGUGAUUACGUGAUCCAAAUCAACUAAACCAUAACCGAUCAUCACGUGAAAUGGAGUAGUUUUCAAUGGUGAACAUCACUAUGUUGAUCAUAUCUACUAUAUGAUUCACGCUCGACCUUUCGGUCUCCGUGUUCCGAGGCCAUAUCUGCAUAUGCUAGGCUCGUCAAGUUUAACCUGAGUAUUCCGCGUGUGCAACUGUUUUGCACCCGUUGUAUUUGAACGUAGAGCCUAUCACACCCGAUCAUCACGUGGUGUCUCAGCACGAAGAACUUUCGCAACGGUGCAUACUCAGGGAGAACACUUUUAUCUUGAAAUUUUAGUGAGGGAUCAUCUUAUAAUGCUACCGUCAAUCAAAGCAAGAUAAGAUGCAUAAAGGAUUAACAUCACAUGCAAUCAAUAUAAGUGAUAUGAUAUGGCCAUCGUCAUCUUGUGCUUGUGAUCUCCAUCCCCGAAGCACCGUGCUUGUGAUCUCCAUCUCCGAAGCACCGUCAUGAUCACCAUCGUCACCGGCGCGACACCUUGAUCUCCAUCGUAGCAUCGUUGUCGUCUCGCCAACUAUUGCUUUUACGACUAUCGCUACCGCUUAGUGAUAAAGUAAAACAAUUACAUGGCGAUUGCAUUUCAUACAAUAAAGCGACAACCAUAUGGCUCCUGCCAGUUGCCAAUAACUCGGUUACAAAACAUGAUCAUCUCAUACAAUAAAAUAUAGCAUCAUGUCUUGACCAUAUCACAUCACAACAUGCCCUGCAAAAACAAGUUAGACGCCCUCUACUUUGUUGUUGCAAGUUUUACGUGGCUGCUACGGGCUUAGCAAGAACCGUUCUUACCUACGCAUAAAAACCACAACGAUAGUUUGUCAAGUUGGUGCUGUUUUAACCUUCGCAAGGACCGGGCGUAGCCACACUCGGUUCAACUAAAGUGAGAGAGACAGACACCCGCCAGUCACCUUUAAGCAACGAGUGCUCGCAACGGUGAAACCAGUCUCGCGUAAGCGUACGCGUAAUGUCGGUCCGGGCCGCUUCAUCUCACAAUACCGCCGAACCAAAGUAUGACAUGCUGGUAAGCAGUAUGACUUAUAUCGCCCACAACUCACUUGUGUUCUACUCGUGCAUAGCAUCAACGCAUAAAACCAGGCUCGGAUGCCACUGUUGGGGAACGUAGUAAUUUCAAAAAAAUUCCUACGCACACGCAAGAUCAUGGUGAUGCAUAGCAACGAGAGGGGAGAGUGUUGUCCACGUACCCUCGUAGACCGAAAGCGGAAGCGUUAACACAACGCGGUUGAUGUAGUCGUACGUCUUCACGAUCCGACCGAUCAAGUACCGAACGCACGGCACCUCCGAGUUCAGCACACGUUCAGCUCGAUGACGUCCCUCGAACUCCGAUCCAGCCGAGUGUUGAGGGAGAGUUUCGUCAGCACGACGGCGUGGUGUUGAUGAUGAUGUUCUACCGACGCAGGGCUUCGCCUAAGCUCCGCUACGAUAUUAUCGAGGUGUAAUAUGGUGGAGGGGAGCACCGCACACGGCUAAAAUAUCGUAUAUCAAUUGUGUGUUCAGAGGUGCCCCCCUGCCCCCGUAUAUAAAGGAGCAAGGGGGGAGGCCGGCCGGCCCUUGGGGCGCGCCAAGGAGGGGGGAGUCCUCCUCCUAGUAGGAGUAGGACUCCCCUUUCCUAGUCCAACUAGGAAGACAGAAGGGGGAAGGAAAGAAAGGGAGAGGGAAAGAGGGGCCGCGCCCCCCUCCCCUAGUCCAAUUCAGACUCCCCAUGGGAAGGGGGGCGCCACCUCCUGAGCUGCUGCCCCCUCUCUCCCCUCAGGCCCACUAAGGUCCAAUACUUCCCCGGGGGGUUCCGGUAACCCCUCUGGCACUCCGGUUUUAUCCGAAACUUCUCCGGAACACUUCCGGUGUCCGAAUAUAGUCGUCCAAUAUAUCAAUCUUUAUGUCUCGACCAUUUCGAGACUCCUCGUCAUGUCCGUGAUCACAUCCGGGACUCCGAACAACCUUCGGUACAUCAAAACAUAUAAACUCAUAAUAUAACUGUCAUCGUAACUUUAAGCGUGCGGACCCUACGGGUUCGAGAACUAUGUAGACAUGACCGAGACACCUCUCCGGUAAAUAACCAAUAGCGGAACCUAGAUGCUCAUAUUGGUCCCACAUAUUCUACGAAGAUCUUUAUCGGUCAGACCGCAUAACAACAUACGUUGUUCCCUUUGUCAUCGGUAUGUUACUUGCCCGAGAUUCGAUCGUCGGUAUCUCGAUACCUAGUUCAAUCUCGUUACCGGCAAGUCUCUUUACUCGUUCCGUAAUACAUCAUCCCGCAACUAACUCAUUAGUCACAAUGCUUGCAAGGCUUAUAGUGAUGUGCAUUACCGAGUGGGCCCAGAGAUACCUCUCCGACAAUCGGAGUGACAAAUCCUAAUCUCGAAAUACGCCAACCCAACAAGUACCUUUGGAGACACCUGUAGAGCACCUUUAUAAUCACCCAGUUACGUUGUGACGUUUGGUAGCACACAAAGUGUUCCUCCGGUAAACGGGAGUUGCAUAAUCUCAUAGUCAUAGGAACAUGUAUAAGUCAUGAAGAAAGCAAUAGCAACAUACUAAACGAUCGAGUGCUAAGCUAACGGAAUGGGUCAAGUCAAUCACGUCAUUCUCCUAAUGAAGUGAUCCCAAUAAUCAAAUGACAACUCAUGUCUAUGGCUAGGAAACAUAACCAUCUUUGAUCAACGAGCUAGUCAAGUAGAGGCAUACUAGUGACACUCUGUUUGUCUAUGUAUUCACACAUGUAUUAUGUUUCCGAUUAAUACAAUUCUAGCAUGAAUAAUAAACAUUUAUCAUGAUAUAAGGAAAUAAAUAAUACUUUAUUAUUGCCUCUAGGGCAUAUUUCCUUCAGUUACAUGACAAAAAUAAGCCGAUUCUCACAAUGAUAAGUGUGGCCCCGCUUGUCAGGAGUAACCAAGCGAUUAAUUUUACAGGAAAAUAAGAACGUUGUUGGGAUCAAGUAGGCCCCACACUUUAUUUUACUGUAGUGAGAUAGAGGGAGAGCCGGCAUGUUGGUCCAUCGGUAUUUAUGUCAUUAUAACACGGCAAAAGAGAUUUGAGUCACAAUAAUGGUGUCCAGCACAACACACCCCUCAAAUAAAACUAAGCACCCUGAAAUUCUUUGACAAAACUAAGCACCCUGAAAUUCUUUGACAACUAAACUGCUGGCUAUAUGAUGUUGGCCAUAUAUAUUGUACGUAUAUAAUGUGAAGAAAUGAGUGGUAGUACUAUACCAACUAAAAGAUGAAAUGUAAGAAAUAUAACGAGAAGAAACAUAACAUAGUUCUGCUGGGGGCUUAGCACAACACACCCCUCGAAUAAAACUAAGCACACCUGAAAUUAAACUAAGCAAUUAAUCUGGUAGACACUGCAUUAGAACCACCAUGAGCAACGACACUGCCACCUUACUCGGAGUCCUCGUCCACGUCCUCGACUUCGUCCUUGUCCCUCUUCCUCUUGGUCGAUACUUCUUUGCUUGAAUCGCACACUUGGAUCUUGCUCUUCAUCCAACCCUUGUAGAUAUUGAAACAAGGUAGCCAUCCAUUGCAGCGUACUGGAUGUGGUCUAUAUCUAGUACAUUCCACUGCCAUGCAUGACGAUGAAACGUGUGCGGAGGUUUCUUCAGUUUACCGUACAAAGGAUGAACCAUGGCUCCUGCUAGGGUCAGCAUUGAAGGCUGAUCACGGGAGGGCAGCAGCCCAUUCUUCUGGAGGUCGAAGGGGUUGCCGACGACGAGGCCUAUUCGACCCAGGACUUUUCUAUUGUUCUUAAAGUCUACCGUAACGAAUUUGACUAGGCCGUCCUUGAGGAAGUUCUUAAAAUCCUGGCACUCAACGUCGGCAUGGUAUAUGUGGUAGACCAAGCAUAAGUCAUGCACGCAAACCUGGAUCACGGCAGACAUCAUCUUCUCUUCCUCCUUUAGAUUCUUCUCUUUGUCCAGGGUUGUGGUGUACUCAACAUCUAGCCUAGCGACCCACUCAUCAUUUGAGUUUUUGAACAUGCGUCUGAAGUGAGCAAGGCAUCCUUUCACCGUCGCGGAAGAACGGGUGUAGAUGAUGUUGAAAUCAUCGCCGGUGAUGGAUCUAACCUUGUACUCACCGCCGAUCAUGGAGAUUUGGGCCGCCAUGGAUUUGGGAGGAAGGUUAGGAUUAAUGGAACUGCCAUAAUGUGAAAGGAUGGGACGACUAGGAGCGAACAGCCGUAAUGUUAAGGAAGUCCGAGGACGAGUAGGAGCGAACUGCCAGCGGUUUUUCGAUUGUAAAAAUGCUGAGUGGGGCGUGCGAAUGGCAGGGUAGUGGCUUGCCUGGUGGAUAAAUGGAUUCAUGCACAGUACUAUGGGGGCCCAAUUAGAUGUCAUGUCUACUCGACGCCCAAUUAAAUGGCUUUCGAUGUCAUGUCAAGCGUCGAGAAAAUUAGAGGUGAUACGAAGCUUUCCAUUCUCCCAUGAUACAGGCUUUCGAGAGCCCUUGGAUCUGAGAUCGAACGGUUGCAUGGUGUGAUUCUAGACCUAUGGGUGAAUAUCCUAUCCUGGAGGGUUAUUCUGCAAAUUUUCAGCAACUUAGCAUGCGACCAUUCGAUCUCAGAUCCAAGGGUUGCCAGCAGCCCGUAUCAUGGUCGCGCCUACCACAACCGUCGCCUCGCUCGCGCGGUCGCGCCCUUGGAGAUUUAACAUGGUGCGUUAGGCUAUCUGAUAUUGGCAUGUCAUACAUAGUCAUCACUUAGUCACUCAUACUACAACAAGGUUAGCUAUAAGGUUGGAUAUAAGAGUAUUUUUUACUUCUCUCUAUCUCUUUCUUCGUAGUAUUUAUUGCAUUUGCCAAGGAGUGACCUCUUCCAAUGAAAUGGUGCUUAGAUGAGGUGCUAAGGGCAUUAAAUGGCUUAGCAAUCAAGUCCCCAAUGCAUAGGUGCUUAGUUUUUUGUUGCUAAGUUUGCUUCAUUUAAUUAGCUAUAGAUUCAAAAUUGUCUUUUCACCUAGGUACACGCGCUUAGCACCGUUUCUUCCUUGGGUCACCAAACUAGUCUCUCUCUUCUUAAUUAACUUUCCACAUCAGACUUUAUGCCUAUGUGGCAGGCUUAGCACCUGUAGGAGCAAGUAAGUAGUACAAUAGUGGGCUAUAAGCCCGCUUUACAUGGCAUUUUUGCAUAUGUGGAGAAAAGAGGCAAGGAAAAAGUGGAGGAGUGGGCUCUCAUGCAAGAGCUAGCCUCUACAUGGUGGAGCAUUGGGAGAGGCACCUGUAUGGAGGUGGUCAGGAAUCGGGAGACUCACGCCGGUCGUAGCGCCGCAGUUAAAAUGAUAAUGGCAAGUCAAAUCACGGGGCCUACCUGUCCAGCAGUAACUCGCUAUCAAAUCACACAGCCCUACGUUUGCAGCAGCCUACUCCCUCAUCUUCUCGCAUCUCUGUCGAAUCGACUAGGGAGAACUGCCCCGCCUACCGCGCAGGAAAAGCCCCGCCCUCGACUUUUAAAUAGUACAGUAUACUAAUUUUGUAUCCAUGGAUUGCGCCAUGGAGCAAAGCCUCAAUAAAAUGGCGGUACACAUGUACAGAGUAUACAGCACGCCUGUCGCGUUCGCAUCGCACCCCAGAUGGUCGGCCGGUCUGACACGCCGCUCUCCGAAUGGAACGCGUGUCAUAUUGCGUUUGCACACACAUGUGGGACCGCAAUUGAGAACCGACCAUAGGCACACUCCCCGGCCCCACAAGUCGGGUGAGUUAAUAGAAGAGAGAGACGAGCAAUAGUACUACUAGAGAAGUGUUGUACAUAUGUUGGUGCCUGGACGAUCCCUACAAGACACGGAAGAUCAGUUCGUCCAUGCAUGUGAUCAGACUCUAGCAGACACGCCUGGAUUGGCUAUCGUCUACAUAUCGUGCAGGCUGUGUUGUACAGGGUUGUAGUUCUGGUGAGAAAUCUAAAAAAAGGUUUCUUGUCAUCUCACAAAAUUAGGUGUCAUGUGCUUCGGAUCACUGCGAGGGUUAAACAGCGACAACUGAGUUCCUCCAAGGGGCUAGUCAUUGGGGGCACAUGCACGAAGACUACUCGACUACCAUCUAGGUUAAGUCGACUAUGUUAAUUAGGACAUCUAUCGAUGGACCCCUUUUCUACGAGUUUAUCUUUAAUUUGAGCUUUAAUCCUCGUCUAGUUUCUCCGUCGGGAUUCAUGUUGUCUCCUUUGGGCAGUGAGGUUAUGAUUUCUUGUCAUGUGGCAUUUUUUCGUGUUAUAUGUUAUAAUCUGGUGCUUCAGAUCAAAAUGACGACAACUGCACCUCCAGGGCACGUGCAUGAAGACUUCUCGACACUCAUUGACGAGGUCAAGCCGGCUCCGGUAGACAAAAGAAAACUAGUACUCCACUAUGGCCCUGUUUGGAUCCAUGGGUUAGAGUUAGUUUGAGCUAGUUGGGGCUCAAAUAUCCCUAAAGUAUCCAAGCAUGAGUGUUAAAUUGGAGCAAGUUGCACCGAACCCACCAAAAAAAUAUCCCACCCAAGAGGUGCUAAUUGGAGAUAGUUCUCAUUGGGCCCACUGAAAAAUCACUUUCUCUCUCCAUCAAGUGCAUUUAUUGUCAAUCUAACCCUGUCACCCAAACACCUCUUUGGCUAUAGUUAGCUCAGGGUUAGCCAUGAGUUAGUCUAACCUCUAGCUAAGUUAGAGUAUCCAAACAGGAACAGUAUAGGACAUGCAAGUUACUCAAAGCAUACAGUCAAAUUCGUACGUGAAAAGAUCUUUUUUUUACGAAACAUGAAAGAAUCUUCGAAUGAUAUAAUUUUCAAAUUAUAUAAAAUCUUAUCAAUAGUCAAAGGCAUCCUCGAAGAAUACAUUAGGCCCUAUAUAAAAUCUUAUCAAUAGUCAAAACCAAGUGUUCUAAAUGAGUUCAAAAUGAGAAACUGGACCCACUCACGGCACGGCAUGCCUGUCUCGUUUGGUCUGUUGGUCAAAGCGCUUCCUCUUCUUGGCAUAACAAUAGAGUACAAUAUAUUUUUUUAGAAUGCUCUUGGCAUGUCGCUAACAUGUGAUGAAUUAACCGACCUCAAUAGACGGCAAAAACGCCAGCCCGCUGCACUUUGAGAGAGACGAGGAGCGAUAAGAGAUACGGGCUGCUGGAUUACUAGAGCUAGGUGUCGCACGGAAGCCAAGAAAUAUGGUGAUAGCGUGGGUUAGCCAUGUAGUAUGAUGUAACCACACUGGACUGCCGUGUUUCGUACUCUUCCAGUCCACUGUGGAGAUGAUUGGUUGAUUUUAUAUCGCUGAAUGAUAUAAAAUAUUAUGAGUGCAGACGCUCCACCACGGGGUUCCUUGCUCCUUCUCAGUCGUCGGGAAUCUAUGUUCUCCCACUCUCUUUUUUUGAUGUGAGCUUUCUUCAUCCUUUUGCCAACACGCGACACAUCUAGCAUCAAGGUGCACGUGUCAUGCAAGAAAAUGGAGAUAAUAAGAUAAGCAGUGCGUAAGUGAGUCGUGCACUUCGAUGGCACCUACUACGCAAUAUUUUUUCUCCUCGAUGGCACAUGAAUAGUGCACGUACUCAACGACGGAGCACGGGAUGGUAGCCAUGACAUGGUCAGCCCUUUUUUGGAGAGAGUACGUACUCCCUCUGUUUCUUUUUAGUCUGCAUAUAAGAUUUGGUCAAAGUCGAACUUUGUUAACUUUGACUAAGUUUAUAGAAAAGAAUAACAAGGUUCAUAAUAUGAAAUCAAUAAUGUUAGAUGCAUCAUGAAAUUAAUUUUCAUACCAUAUAGCUUUAGUAUUGUAGAUGUUGAUAUUUUUUUCUAUAAAGUUGGUCAAACUUUACUAGGUUUGACUUUGACCAAAUCUUAUAUGCAGACUAAAAAGAAAUGGAGGGAGUACUAAAUAACUUUGAUGUGUCUCGUCAACUCGCAAAACAACGAGAAGCUUGCUUACUACGCCUUCUCCCUCGCCAACGUGUGCGCGGUGGCCCGCGGCACGAGGAGAAAAUUUUGCUUACAAGCCGCCUGCCCACCUAUAGAACCGCCUUGCGCUGGCCAAUUCCUCUCCAAACACCUAGGGAGGCGGUUGAACCGAACAAGUCUAACUUGCUCCAAUUUAACCCUCAUGUUGGAUACUUUAGGGCUAUUUGAGCCCCAACUAGCUCAAACUAACUCUAACCCAUGGGUCCAAACAGGGCCUAUAUAGGUAGGAGCCUCCGCGCUUGCUUGCUAGUGUUGCUCUCUUCACACUGUCUCGUCCUCUCCAGAUCUAAACACGACAGCGGUGGCCACACUCUCUCUCUCUGCUCACCGUUGGUCACAGAUCCAGCCAGAUCCUCUCCGCCGGGGAAGGUGAGAAGGUGCAACAUUCACGCGGUCGUCCUCGGCGAUGGCUCUUACCCACUGCCGGCGCGUCCCGAUCAGCGUGCCUUGCCGUUCUCUCCCAAGCACCGCUGGCUAGGGAGGGCCUCCGACCCCUUCUUCCUCGCUGCCGUAGUGUGGGUAGAUCUGGCCUCCCACCGCCCACCUAGCGACAGCCCGGCGACCCUCGGGUAUAACUUCCUUCGAAAUCGGCCUUGCUAUACUUCCCGAGCUCCUGACGUCGCUGCAUUUGUAUCUUUUACUAUUUCUCAGGCCCCCUCAUAGAUAGGAUCGAUCGGCUUUUCAAAAACCACCUAAAUUUUUACUGUUAAGAGGUAAAACUAGUUCACGCACUCAAAUCUAGUACUACUUGGUUCAAACAAGGAAGAAAUGGGGUGGGGGUGGGGGAGAUUUGUUACCUGAAUCUAGGACUUGGUCGAAAGAGGAAAUAAUGGGGGCGAAAAGUAGCAGAGACUGGCUGUCCAACUGGUCUCUAUCUAAUAGGGAAAUAAAGGGAAAUGCAGUACAAACUCAAUAUAAACCCGAUCUAUUGGUUGAAAAAGGAAAGAAAGUGGGGACUGGGGGACAAGUCAACAGAGUAAGUCCAGCACUAGAUUUGCUAGCCUCACACAGUAUAAGGUGGCUAUACCGAACAAAAAUGGGACCAACCCAGAUAUCCUGGUCUGAUGUUUGUUGCCCAGAGCCACUCUUAUGUAAUGCCACUGGUAAAAUGUAGCAAUCGCACUGUUAAAAGUAAGGACACGUUAAACCAAUGUUGUUUUCAAUGUAAUGCCUCCAGUAAUAUGAAUCAAUGGCACUUUUUUCAUGUCCUGCUAAAUUUCCCAUUAAGAUAAGUUGCUUCUUUUCUUUAGAAAUGCAACUGUCCUGGUCCGCCUACUCUCCCGUGCCCAAAUACCGACUCUGUAGCAGCUGUUAAUGUAAUCUUGCUGGUAAAAUGAAGCAAUGGCACUGUUAAAGUAAUGUCGUAUUUAACGGUUGUCAUAGUUAAUCCUAAUGCCCACACUAAUAUCUAGCAAUGCUGCUGCUUUAGAAAUUGCUACUGUCCUUGUAGGAUUGCCAUUCAGAUAAGGAACAUGCUUCUUUUCAUUUGAUGCAUGCUUCAUCACUUGUUAGUCACCCUCCUUUCCACCUUUUUUUUGCAAACAGAGAUAUACAUUUCACGCUUGAUCUUAGUUGAACUGCACAAAUGAUAUCCAAAUUAUAGUUGAAUAUUCCAGGAGCUUCGCAACCAACCUUGAUGUUGCUCAAUUUUAUUGCAACUAAUGAAGAAGAAGCUCUGUGGGUUUCGUUUUCUGAUGGACCGGGGCUGGAGCCCUUUUCUUAAAAAAAGAAGAAGCUGCUAGCUUAUGGGACAUUGCUUCAUUUUAGGUGAACUGCACCAAAAGGUCCCAUGAAUUGAAUCAUCCAUGUUGGUGACUGGUAUCAUCCCUUCUACGAUGGCGUUGACUACAGAUAUGGUUCCCAUCACGAGGUAUGUUCCUUUUUGGUCUGACCAUUUGCCAAAGAUCCUGCAUGUUGAGUCUGCUCUUGUGCUACUGUUUUGGCACUGCCAUGAUAAAGAAGUAAUGUUAUUCUUUUGCAUCUUAAUCUAGUGGCACUAUUAAUUUGAGGCAAUGUUUUGGCACCGCUAGUGCCACUGAUUUUUUUUACAUAUAUUGAAAGAGGGGGUUUCCUCCGAUUUCAUUAAAGAAACCCAACCAUAGAGAACCAUUAUCCGACAACAUCUCAGUGUAAACAGGCAGUUAUGCAACUACUACUAGAACGGACUGAGUACUAGCAGGAGACAAGUUCGCCACAUAAGCUAGGUAGGUAGGGGGGCGCAGCACCAGCUCGACCAAGUUUGGAUUACAACCCAAAUGCUACCACAGAAACAUCAGGGGGGAGAUAGGGACUGAAAGAGCCAGCUUCAGCAUCCCAGUCUAAGCACCCCCGGCCUCCAUCCUUGCGACGCACAAUACACCUCGUUUACCACCUGCUCGACCCUAGUGUCACUGAUAAAAUGAAGUAAUAAUACAGUUAAAAUAGAGCGAGUGUCCUCUCUAUCAUUUCAUUUCUAAUGUAGAUAAAGAAAGUGCUUCUCUUUGUUAGUGUAUGUUUCAUCAACUAGUACCAUUGUUAAUGUUUAAGCGUUUCUGCAAACUGGGGUGCUUAAUUUUAGUUGAUCUGCACAAAAAUAGAGAUUGGAAUGUCUCAAGGCCCCUCCUUGUACUACCGUUGUACACUGAUGUUCAUCACUGGCAGAAGGUGUAUCAGGGAGACUUGGGUCGAUUUCCAGUAUGAGGCGUACCGUAUGAGGCGUCGCAGGGCCCAUCUCGCCCUCGCAGCAUGGCAUACUAUGAUACUAUCGCAAUAUUUUCUUCUAUUUAUUAGUGUGUGUUUCAUCAACUAGUGCCACUAUAAUGUAAUCACGCUUUUUCAUUAUCUGUGCAAGCAGGGUUAUUCAGCUACAUUUUGGUGGAACUGCACAAAUGUAUGGAUGGAACCGGCAUAUAUGCAGAGUGCGAGGUGUGCCAAGUAAAAAUUACCGACACCAACCAUGUGCCAUGCACACAUUGGCAUCCACCACCACCAGUGGGAUGUGUGGCGCUCUCUGUGGACGGAUCUUUCUCAGCAGCAAAUCCUCUAACCAAAUACUAGUAGCUUAUAUUGGCAGUUUUCUAGGGAGUACUCUUUUCUGAAAGAAGCACCAAUCUAUUUUUCUUUAUUUGUACACAGUGUCACAAUUUUGACCCAAAGGUCCAGAGCUAUUUUAGGGUGAUUGGCGUAGUACUCAGAGACUGAUUGUGAGCAUGAUUUUCAUUAGCUGUCGCACUGAUUAUAAGCAUGAGCAGAUGGAAGAUUAGCUUAGUGUGAAGCUUACCUUAAACCCUACCGCCACCGUUGAAACGAGGCGAACGUCGAGGGAACUGUGGAGAACGGCGGGGAAGCGACGUCGCGCCAUCCGGCCUCCUCUUGCGGUGGGAGAACAAAUACUCCUGUGGCUCCAGCUAUUUCUGCACCCUCACAAAUGGCACACCGUACUCGACCAAUUCGUUAUCCUCUGGGUGCUCGACCUUCGACCUGUACGCCCACCACCUCCGCCUGACUUUCGCCUCGGGCGAAUCUGUUUGCUCCAUCGCCCAGAGGAGAUACUCGAUGAACUCGAAGGACUGCGGCGUGACUACCAUCAAGGAGUACAUCGCCGCCCUCAUCGCCGUCGUCUCGCUCUUUCGCAUACAUUGCCACAUGGCCCUCACCGUCCUCGAAAUCUCCCACUCAUUGUCAAACCAAGUAAUGAUCUCCUUCGACCUAGCUAACUUUUCCUGGUCGCCGCCGGUGAUCUGCCUGAUUCACUGCUGCAUCCUCUCCAUAAAUGUCCUCCUGAGUGGUCCGGUGCUAGCUUUGGAAGAUGGGAGGAGAGACGGUGGUCUUGCAAUAGAGAAGAGGGAGAGGCGAGACGGUGGUUUUGGAAUGGAGAUGAUGGAGAGGAGAGGAGGUGGUUUUGCAAUGGAGAAGAGGGAGAGGUGAGACGGUGGUUUUGGAAUGGAGAUGAUGGAGAGGAGAGGAGGUGGUUUUGCAAUGGAGAAGAGGGAGAGGAGCGUGCGGCAGCGAUUUAGGAUUGGACGAGAGGGCUGGCGCGCUGUCACUGGGUCAAAAUCAAAAUCAAUUUAUCCUUCAAUUAAGAAAGCGACCCCACAUUAACUAGUCUCCCUUUUAUUCUGGGUCAUAAUUGACCAUGAUUUUCACAAAUAAAAUAUAUGUUAUACAUUGCAAAAAUAAUAUAAUUUGAAAGUACAUUCAGAUACGAACCAAACGAUACAAUUUUUGGUGACAUGCAUUCACAUUUUGCUUGUCAAAUACAAUGGUCAAACUUUGACCCAAAAUACGCAAAACAAAAAAAUAGUUCCAAAACCAGCGCCGCUCUUCUGCUCUUCUCCUCUUAAACCACCGUCGCUCCUCUCCUGUUUCAAUCAAAAUCUAGCGCCACUCCUCUCCUCUUCCAUUUCAAAACCUCCGCCCCUCCUCUCAUGUUCCAAUCCAAAACCAGCGUCUCUCCUCUCCCGUUCUAAUCCAAAACCAGCGCUGCUCUUCUCCUCUUCCAUUCAAAAACCACCGCUGGCGAGUGAAGGUGUUGUGGAGAAGUAGAUCGAUGGAGGAGUACAACCGAUACAUGAGGAUCGCAGACGGAGACCCUGUGAAGCUAGCUAGGAUGUUGGAGAUACAGUCUUGGUUUGACAACAAGGACCAACUAGCGGCGACGGCGACAUCCAUGGCCAAAUAUCUGCAACAGAGCGAAAAGGUGGCGAUACUCCCAAAGGGAGUCACGCGGGAGUACAUAGAGCUGCUCCUCUGAGCCAUGGAGCAAACAAAUUCACCGAAUCCGAUCGUGAGGGUGCGGUAGUGGGAGUAUCGAUCCCAGAUGGAGCAUCCACCAGAGAUUGAAGGAUCGAGCAUCUACAGGGUGCCGUUUGUGAGGGUGUCGUGCCAGAGCGAUCUGGUGGAGUCUUCAUCGACCGAACCCAACUGCAAGAGGUGAAAAGCAGUUGGCCCGACGAUGCUUCCCCGCCAUCCUCUCCCUCGCCAUUCACAUCGUCUCACGGGGCGGCUGUCUGCCGCCGAGGAAUAGGAGGGGACUGCCCCCCCCAGCCCAAUAGUCGGGCAGGUUGUGAAUUGUCAGGAGGAGCUUAGGGUUGUCAGUAUUUGCAGGUUGUGAAUUGUGUUUUGUGUUGUGAAUUUUGAGAGUACUUUCAUAUAUGAAUGUAUUUUGAAUUUCAGAUUUGCAGUAUUGAGCAUAUGAAGUAUUUUAUGAAUUCUAGAGAUCUAUUUUUAGCACUUCAAAAAAUGUAGUUUCAUAGGAGUAUAAAAUUGCAGACAAUGUGAUUCUCAGAGAAGAAACUGCAAGUUUCAGUUUCAGAUAAGAAACUGCAACUUUCAGAGGCAGAGCAUUUAUAUUUACACGGCUUUUUCAAACAGGGUUAACAUCAUGUUGGAAGUUUUAUUCAUGGUUGAAAAUGGAACUACCAGUCAGUUAACAUCAUGUUGAUCAACAUUCAAGCAUAGCACAUCUUCAUAUGAUGCAUAGUCAAAAAGAUAUGCUAUUUUCAAAAUGCCCACACAAUGUCGAGUGUGCGAAAAACAGAGAAAACGAGGGACGAAGUUUUGGCAAGUGUUGGACGUGGUGUGCGUAGAUGAUAAUUGGGACCCACAUGUCAAUAAUGGCAGAGGAAAAAAAUUGGAGAUAUUUUCCCUGCAUCAGGUGGAAUCGAACCCGGGCGGAACAGCUGUGGGUAGUGUCACUUGGCCACUGGGCUAGUUCAGUACUUUCGUUACAAAUAAGGCACUUCCUCAGGUGGUCGGAUCUCCUCCUGCGCCUUUGUGCGCUCGCCGCGGCGCCACUGUCUGCCGCUGUGAACAUGCUGAACAAACAAGAGGAAUCUGGAGAGGACUGUACGUGGAAAAGCGGACAGUCGGGACCCACUAGGUCUAUGGCCGUACGCAAGCAAGUGCCUCAUCGAAAAAAUACUUCCUCCUAAUGCUAUUCUAACAUUGGGCCCCACGGGUUUGUCAACAUAGUUACAUUUUUUUAGGUGCCUCAACGUAGUUACUAUAGGAGAUAAAUUCACAACGAAGCCGGAGAGCUGGCAGGUAUCAUUUAUUAUCACUGGGGCAGCAAGAAUCAGCUGGGUUUUGGGCUGCCCCGUCUAGGCUUUCUUUUUUAACAUGCGCAGCCCACGACAUGCCGGUUUGUAUUUUCUUGAGGGCCGUCAUGUAUCGAUCGGCCUAUGAACCUCUCAUCUGAGGUUUUAUUUUUCCUGAAACAUCGGCAGCCCAAUUUAUGUAUUUUUUUUGAAGAAAACAUAGAGGUCUGUUCUAUUUUUCUAUAUAAGAAUAGGAACGCCUGGUCCAACUUAUGUUUCCCUUCUAACUAUAUUAUAUAUAUUUAAAUUAUUUUAUAUGUUAUUAUAUAUUAUUGUUAUUGUCAUCAUAUAUUUAACAGAUACUUAGAUAUUUAAGAAAACAAUAUCCCACAUCUUAUUAACUUAUAAAAAUAAUUUCUUAACAAUAAAUCCUGGAUUUUUUUGGCAACAAAAAUCCUGGUGAUUGUGUACAAAAGCUUGGUAAGAUUUAAGGACCAAUGUAAUAAUAAAUCACUUAUUAUUUAAAUAUAUUUAUAAAAAAAGCUCAGCCCCUGUUUAUUUUUUGAUAACAUUGUUGUGCCCAACCCAACAUUAUAAUUAGAAUCAGCCCAGCAAAAUCGUGUGUUUCGAAAAGUGCAAAUGGCCUGUAAUUUUUUAGGAAAAAUUAAAUGGGCCGCAUGGACGCUACAUUAUUUGUUCACCCAGCCCAGCUAAUGGACUGUAAUUCUAAAAAAAGACUAAAUUGACUGUAAAUUCUACCCCACAAAAAAACUGUAAAUUUUGAAAAAAUGGGUUGAAUACGUGCCACAUUUUUGGAGGCUGAAAUGUGGGAAUAGGUCGAAGCCAACGCAAGUCGUUGUUAACUUAGUCAACAAAUGAUUCUGACAUCGUUAGCCAUUGGAUUUACAUCCAACGACCGGCAUCCAUCUUCAAUCUCACCAUAGUGGGAGGCUGACUUGUGGCCCUACUAAGUUGACGGGGACGGAGGGCUUUGUCAACUUAGUCAAUAUGAACGAUUCUAGCUCCAGUGAACGUACGAUGUUCAUCCAACGGCCGUAGUGCUUCUUCAACCUCUGGUCUUCUUGCUCCAGCCGCUCAAACCAGCACCGGUCGUGCUGCGUGCUCCUGCCUCCUAUGGCCGGCUGUGAUGCGGCGGAGGCCUCACCGCCCCCUACUACUACCACCGCUGGCCAUGCCAUCCAUCUACUCACCCACACCCCCUGUUAUUCUGCGGCGACGACAGCCUCACACCACAGCCGAACCAGUGAACCCUCAUACUCCUCUCCGCGUGGGCAUCCACUGCCGCGUCUUCCCCGGCUCCGCGUCGUCCCCUUCCUAGGCCUCGUCGUCGUCCACCGCCCUGGUGCUCUCAGCACGGCGUGGUCAACGUGGUCAAGGAACGACUUCCAUCAGAAGAGUACUGUACGUGGAGAGGCUGACAGCUGGGUCCACGGCAGCCGCAAGGAAGUGCCUCCUUAUUACGUGCAAAAUAAUUAUUCCUCCACCUGACAGCAGGGACCCACCAGACGGGCCACCGUAUUUCACAAAAAAAAACAUUUCCCCCGACUGCCAGGACCCACCAGCUACAUCUUUGCACGCAAGGAAGUGCGUCCGGGCAAAAAAAUUAUUCCCCCCUGACUGCUGGGACCCACCAGCUACAUCUUCGCACGCAAGGAAAUGCCUGACAGUCGGGACCCACAUGGUCGAAGCGUACGUAGCGCUGUCAUUCUGGUCGCGAACAUGUACGUACAUACUGGUCGAUGUAGAGGCGCGCACGUGUCGUAGUAGAGGCGCGCACGUAGCAUGUACACGUACGUACAGCGGCCAGGGUGCAAGAAAGUAAAUAUGGCCACGUACGUACAUACGGGCGGGGUCUCAAACGCCUAAUCGCGCAUACAUAUGGCCAGGGCUCGUGUACAUGGUUGGGUCGGAACGGAGAAACUGCGUCGUCGUCGUGUUCAUGGGGAGCCAACCGGCUAGGUCGGAACGGAAUGCGUCGUCGUGUUCAUCGGGAGGACUUGGACGGAACAGCCAAUGGAAACGAGGCCUAGCGUACCGCAGCACGGAGGAAACGGCCUUGUGUUCGACCGGCCACAGUCGAAACGGGAUCCUAUUCAUCGGGAGGGGUCUAGCGUACCACAAAACGGAGGAAACGAACUUCUGUUGGACCUCCUACGGUCGAAACGGGGUCCUGUUGAUCGGGAGUGGUGUGGCGUACCGCAAAACGGAGGAAACGAACUUGUGUUGGAGCGCUACGGUCGAAACGGGGGUCCUGUUCAUCGGGAGGGGUGUGACGUACCGCAAAACGGGACUCUGAUACGUCUCCAACGUAUCUAUAAUUUUGAUUGUUCCAUGCUAUUAUAUUACUUGUUUUGGAUGUUUAUGGGCUUUACUUUACACAUUUAUAUCAUUUUUGGGACUAACCUACUAACCGGAGGCCCAGCCCGUAUUGCUGUUUUUUUUGCCUAUUUCAGUAUUUCAAAGAAAAGGAAUAUCAAACGGAGUCCAAACGAAUGAAACCUUCGGGAGCGUGAUUUUUGGAACGAACGUGGUCCAGAGGACUUGGAGUGCACGUCAAGAAGCAAUCGAGGAGACCACGAGGGUGGAGGGCGCGCCCUUCCCUGGUGGGCGCGCCCCCUGUCUCGUGGGCCCCUCGGGCAUCCACCGACCUACUUCUUCCUCCUAUAUAUACCCACGUACCCCGAAAACAUCAGAGGCGACCACGAAAAACUAUUUCCACCACCGUAACCUUCUGUAUCCGCGAGAUCCCAUCUUGGAGCCUUCGUCGGCGCUCCGCCGGAGGGGGAAUCGACCACGGAGGGCUUCUACCUCAACACCAUAGCCCCUCCGAUGAGUUGUGAGUAGUUUACCACAGACCUUCGGGUCCAUAGUUAUUAGCUAGAUGGCUUCUUCUCUCUCUUUGAAUCUCAAUACAAAGUUCUCCUCGAUUUUCUUGGAGAUAUAUUCGAUGUAACUCUUUUUGUGGUGUGUUUGUCGAGAUCCGAUGAAUUGUGGGUUUAUGAUCAAGUUUAUCUAUGAGAAAUAUUUGAAUCUCCUCUGAAUUCUUUUAUGUGUGAUUAAGUUAUCUUUGCAAGUCUCUUCGAAUUAUCAGUUUGGUUUGGCCUACUAGAUUGAUCUUUCUUGCAAUGGGAGAAGUGCUUAGCUUUGGGUUCAAUCUUGCGGUGUCCUUUCCCAGUGAUAGCAGGGGCAGUAAGGCACGUAUUGUAUUGUUGCCAUCGAGGAUAAAAAGAUGGGGUUUAUAUCAUAUUGCAUGAGUUUAUCCCUCUACAUCAUGUCAUCUUUCUUAAUGCGUUACUCUGUUCUUUAUGAACUUAAUACUCUAGAUGCAUGCUGGAUAGCGGUCGAUGUGUGGAGUAAUAGUAGUAGAUGCAGAAUCGUUUCGGUCUACUUGUCACGGACGUGAUGCCUAUAUACAUGAUCAUGCCUAGAUAAUCUUAUAAUUAUUCGCUUUUCUAUCAAUUGCUCGACAGUAAUUUGUUCACCCACCGUAAUACUCAUGCUAUCUUGAGAGAAGCCACUAGUGAAACCUAUGGCCCCCGGGUGUAUCUUUUAUCAUAUAAGUUUGCUAUUUACUUUUUUCGUAUCUUUACUUUUCCAAUCUAUAUUAUAAAAUACCAAAAAUAUAUUUAUCUUAUCAUAUUGUCUCUAUCAGAUCUCACUUUUGCAAGUGGCCGUGAAGGGAUUGACAACCCCUUUAUUGCGUUGGUUGUGAGUUCUUUGUUUGUUUGUGUAGGUGCGUGGGACUUUUGAGGAGCCUCCUACUAGAUUGAUACCUUGGUUCUCAAAAACUGAGGGAAAUGCUUACGCUACUGUGCUGCAUCACCCUUUCCUCUUCAAGGAAAACCAAUGCAAGCUCAAGACGUAGCAAGAAGGAUUUCUGGCGCCGUUGCCGGGGAGGUCUUCGCUCAAGUCAAGACAUACCAAGUACCCAUCACAAACUCAUCUCCCUCGCAUUUACAUUAUUUGCCAUUUGCCUCUCGUUUUCCUCUCCCCCACUUCACCCUUGCCGUUUUAUUCGCCCUCUCUUUCCCAAUCUUCUUCGCUCUCUUUCGCUUGCCUUUUGUUUGCUCGUUGUCAUGGCUAGUCCCCUAUCUGCUCCUAUGUCUCCCGAGUUUGAAGUUCUUCACUUCAAGCAAAGGCAAGGAGAAAACUUAAAAGAUGCUUGGUAUAGGAUGAUGGAAUCUUAUCGUAAUUGCACCCUAGAGGUGAAUUUUAGAAUCUUGCUUCGCAAUUUUUAUGUUGGGUUAAAUAUGUCCCAUAGACAACUCUUGGAUUGCAUUGCCAAAGGAAAUUUUAUUGAAAUUGACCCAAGUAUUGCGCAUGAGAUUAUAGAGGGAAUAGUGGGAACACUACCUCAAAAAGGGGGAUCACAUCCUACCCAAGAAGAAACACAAGUGUUUGAAAAGAUUUGCGAAGUAACAAAAAUCUUACAAAAGUCUCUUGAACCUCUUAAAAGUGUUAGCGGAAAUCUUCACCGCAUGAAUAUGUUGAUUACUCUUUGCAAUAAGCGGUUGGAUUCUUUAGAUCUAAAAAUUUCCGAGUAUGAAGGGAAGCGUAAAGAACCUCCCGGAUUUGAGCAUGACUCCGCUAAAAAACUGAAAAUUAAGGAUGGCACCACUUAGAUCUAUCCUUGUAUUUAUGCCUAGCUAGGGGCGUUAAACGAUAGCGCUAGUUGGGAGGCAACCCAAUUUUCUUUGUGUUUUUUGUUUUUGUUUCUGUUUAGUAAUAAAUUUAUCAUCUACUUUCUGUUUAGAUGUGUUUUUAUGUUUUAAUUAGUGUUUGUGCCAAGUAGAACCUAUAGGAUUUUCUUGGAUGAUAACUAUUUGAUCUUGCUGAAAAUACCAGAAACUUUCUGUUCACGAAAACAAUUGUUUAAAAUCACCAGAACGUGAUAAAAUACUGAUUCCAAUUGCAGUAGAUCAAUAAACAAAUUAUCUAGGUCGUCCUAUUUUUGUAGAAUUUUUGGAGUUCCAAAAGUUUGCGUUAGUUACAGAUUACUUCAGACUGUUCUGUUUUUGACAGAUUCUGUUUUCCGUGUGUUGUUUGCUUAUUUUGAUGCAUCUAUGGCUAGUAAAAUAGUUUAUAAACCAUAUAGAAGUUGGAAUACAGUAGGUUUAACACCAAUAUAAAUAAAGAAUGAGUUCAUUACAGUACCUUGAAGUGGUGUUUUGUUUUCUUUCGCUAACGGAGCUUACGAGAUUUCUGUUGAGUUUUGUGUUGUGAAGUUUUCAAGUUUUGGGUAAAGAUUUGAUGGACUAUGGAAUAAGGAGUGGCAAGAGACUAAGCUUGGGGAUGCCAAUGGCACCCCAAGAUAUUCAAGAAUAGCCAAAAGCCUAAGCUUGGAGAUGCCCCGGGAAGGCAUGCCCUCUUUCGUCUUCGUUUAUCAGUAACUUUACUUGGAGCUAUAUUUUUAUUCACCACAUGAUAUGUGUUUUGCUUGGAGCGUAUUUUAUGAUAUUAGUCCUUGCUUUUUAGUUUGCCACAAUCAUCCUUGCUGUACACACCUUUUGGGAGAAACCCACAUGAUUAGAAUUUAUUAGAAUACUCUAUGAGCUUCACUUAUAUCUUUUGAGCAAGAUAGUUUUUGCUCUAGUGCUUCACUUAUAUUUUUUAGAGCACGGUGGUGGCUUAAUUUUGUAGAAAUUGUUAGUCUCUCAUGCUUCACUUAUAUUAUUUUGAGAGUCUCUUAGAACAUCAUGGUAUUUUCUAUGGUUAUAAAAUUGGUCCUAGAAUGGUAGGCAUCCAAGUUGGGUAUAAUAAAAACUAUCAUAGAAAGUGAAUUGGAUGCUAUGAUCAAUUUGAUACUUGAUAAUUGUUUUGAGAUAUGGAGGUAGUGAUAUUAAAGUUAUGCUAGUUGGGUGAUUAUGAAUUUAAAGAAUGCUUGUGUUGAAGUUAGCAAGUCCCGUAGCAUGCACGUAUGGUAAAAGUUGUGUAACAAAUUUGAAACAUGAGGUGUUCUUAGAUUGUGCAUCCUUAUGAGUGGCGGUCGGGGAUGAGCGAUGGUCUUUUCCUACCAAUCUAUCCCCCUAGGAGCAUGCGCGUAGUGCUUGGUUUUUCAUGACUUGUAGAUUUUUGCAAUAAGUAUAUGAGUUCUUUUGACUAAUGUUGAGUCCAUGGAUUAUACGCACUUUUACCUUUCCAUCAUUGCUAGCCUCUUCGGUACCGUGCAUUUCGCUUUCUCACCUUGAGAGUUGGUGCAAACUUCGCCGGUGCAUCCAAUCCCCGUGAUACGAUACGCUCUAUCACACAUAAACCUCCUUAUAUCUUCCUCAAAACAGCCACCAUACCUACCUAUUAUGGCAUUUCCAUAGCCAUUACGAGAUAUAUUGCCAUGCAACUUUCCACCGUUCCGUUUAUCAUCAUGACACGUAUCAUCAUUGUCAUAUUGCCUUGCAUGAUCAUGUAGUUGACAUCGUAUUUGUGGCAAAGCCACCAUGCAUAAUUUUUCAUACAUGUCACUCUUGAUUCAUGCCCAUCCCGGUACACCGCCGGAGGCAUUCAUAUAGAGUCAUAUCUUGUUCUAGUUUUUGAGUUGUAAUUCAUGAGUUGUAAAUAAAUAGAAGUGUGAUGAUCAUCAUUAUUAGAGCAUUGUCCCCAAAGAAAAAAAAUGAAAGGCCAAAAAAUAGGGAAAGGCAAAAAAAAGGGGGCAAUGUUACUAUCUUUUUUCCACACUUGUGCUUCAAAGUAGCACCAUGUUCUUCAUAUAGAGUAUCAUAUGUUGUCACUUUCAUAUACUAGUGGGAAUUUUUCAUUAUAGAACUUGGCUUGUAUAUUCCUACGAUGGGCUUCCUCAAAUGCCCUAGGUCUUCGUGAGCAAGCAAGUUGGAUGCACACCCACUUAGUUUCUUUUGUUGAGCUUUCAUACAUUUUUAGCUCUAGUGCAUCCGUUGCAUGGCAAUCCCUACUCCUCAUGUUGACAUAAAUUGAUGGGCAUCUCCAUAGCCCGUUGAUUAUCCUCGUCAAUAUGAGACUUUCUCUCUUUUUUGUCUUCUCCCCACAAUCCCCAUCAUUAUAUUCUAUUCCACCCAUAGUGCUAUAUCCAUGGCUCACGCUCAUGUAUUGCGUGAAGGUUGAAAAAGUUUGAGAUUAUUGAAGUACAAAACAAUUGCUUGGCUUGUCAUCGGGGGUGUACAAGAUGGGAGCAUUUUUGUGUGACGAAAAUGAAGCAUGACCUAACUAUAUGAUUUUGUAGGGAUGAACUUUCUUUAGCCAUGUUAUUUUGAGAAGACAUGAUUACUUUGAUUAGUAUGCUUGAAGUAUUAUUAUUUCUUAUGUCAAUGUGAACUUUUAUUUUGAAUCAUUUGGAUCUGAACAUUCAUGCCACAAUAAAGAAAAUUACAUUGAGAAUUAUGCUAGGUAGCAUUCCACAUCAAAAAUCCUGUUUUUAUCAUUUACCUACUCGAGGACGAGCAGGAAUUAAGCUUGGGGAUGCUUGAUACGUCUCCAACGUAUCUAUAAUUUUUGAUUGUUCCAUGCUAUUAUAUUACUUGUUUUGGAUGUUUAUGGGCUUUACUUUACACAUUUAUAUCAUUUUUGGGACUAACCUACUAAACGGAGGCCCAGCCCGUAUUGCUAAUUUUUUGCCUAUUUCAGUAUUUUGAAGAAAAGGAAUAUCAAACGGAGUCCAAACGGAAUGAAACCUUCGGGAGCGUGAUUUUUGGAACGAACGUGAUCCAGAGGACUUGGAGUGCAUGUCAAGAAGCAAUCGAGGAGGCCACCAGGGUGGAGGGCGCGCCCUUCCCUGGUGGGCGCGCCCCCCUGUCUCAUGGGCCCCUCGGGCGUACACCGACCUACUUCUUCCUCCUAUAUAUAUACCCAUGUACCCCGAAAACAUCAGAGGCGACCACGAAAAACUAUUUCCACCACCGUAACCUUCUGUAUCCGCGAGAUCCCAUCUUGGAGCCUUCGUCGGCGCUCCGCCGGAGGGGGAAUCGACCACGGAGGGCUUCUACAUCAACACCAUAGCCCCUCCGAUGAGUUGUGAGUAGUUUACCACAGACCUUCGGUUCACAGUUAUUAGCUAGAUGUCUUCUUCUCUCUCUUUGAAUCUCAAUACAAAGUUCUCCUCGAUUUUCUUGGAGAUCUAUUCGAUGUAACUCUUUUUGCGGUGUGUUUGUCGAGAUCCGAUGAAUUGUGGGUUUAUGAUCAAGUUUAUCUAUGAGAAAUAUUUGAAUCUCCUCUGAAUUCUUUUAUGUGUGAUUAAGUUAUCUUUGCAAGUCUCUUUGAAUUAUCAGUUUGGUUUGGCCUACUAGAUUGAUCUUUCUUGCAAUGGGAGAAGUGCUUAGCUUUGGGUUCAAUCUUGCGGUGUCCUUUCCCAGUGACAGCAGGGGCAGCAAGGCACGUAUUGUAUUGUUGCCAUCGAGGAUAAAAAGAUGGGGUUUAUACCAUAUUGCAUGAGUUUAUCCCUCUACAUCAUGUCAUCUUUCUUAAUGCGUUACUCUAUUCUUUAUGAACUUAAUACUCUAGAUGCAUGCUGGAUAGCGGUCGAUGUGUGGAGUAAUAGUAGUAGAUGCAGAAUCGUUUCGGUCUACUUGUCACGGACGUGAUGCCUAUAUACAUGAUCAUGCCUAGAUAAUCUCAUAAUUAUUCGCUUUUCUAUCAAUUGCUCGACAGUAAUUUGUUCACCCACCGUAAUACUCAUGCUAUCUUGAGAGAAGCCACUAGUGAAACCUAUGGCCCCGGGGUCUAUCUUUUAUCAUAUAAGUUUGCUAUUUACUUUUAUUCGCAUCUUUACUUUUCCAAUCUAUAUUAUAAAAUACCAAAAAUAUAUUUAUCUUAUCAUAUUAUCUCUAUCAGAUCUCACUUUCGCAAGUGGCCGUGAAGGGAUUGACAACCCCUUUAUUGCGUUGGUUGCGAGUUCUUUGUUUGUUUGUGUAGGUGCGUGGGACUUUUGAGGAGCCUCCUACUGGAUUGAUACCUUGGUUCUCAAAAACUGAGGGAAAUACUUACGCUACUGUGUUGCAUCACCCUUUCCUCUUCAAGGAAAACCAACGCAAGCUCAAGACGUAGUAGACUCCACGGGAUACUGUUCAUCUCCAUCGUCGACCUCCUCCAGCCUCCACGGGCUACUGUUCAUCCACCAUCGACCUCCUCCAGCCUCCACCUGCGACUGUGUAGGGGAACGUAGCAGAAAUUCCAAAUUUUCUAUGCAUCACCAAGAUCAAUCUAUGGAGUAAUCUAGCAACGAGGGGAAGGGGAGUGCAUCUACAUACCGUUGUAGAUCGAGACGCGGAAGCGUUGCAAGAACGCGGAUGAAGGAGUCAUACUCGUAGCGAUUCAGAUCGCGGUUGAUUCCGAUCUAAGCGCCGAACCACGGCGCCUCCGCGUUCAACACACGUGCAGCCCGGUGACGUCUCCCAUGCCUUGAUCCAGCAAGGAGAGAGGGAGAGGUUGGGGAAGAGUCCGUCCAGCAGCAGCACGACGGCGUGGUGGUGGUGGAGGAGCGUGGCACUCCAGCAGGGCUUCGCCAAGCGCUGCGAUAGACGAGGAGGGAGAGGGGUAGGGCUGCGCCAAGAGAGAGGAAUUCUCAUGUGUAUGGCAGCCCCAAAACCCCCACUAUAUAUAGGGGAGGGGGAGGGGCUGCACCCCCAUCUAGGGCUUCCCCCCCAAGGGGUGCGGCCAGCCCUAGAUCCAUCUAGGGGGGCGGCCAAGGGGGGAGAGAGGGGGGCGCACCACUAGGUGGGCCUUAGGCCCAUCUGAGCCUAGGGUUUCCCCCUCCCCCCUUCCUGCGCCCUGGGCCCCUUGUGGGAGGCGCACCAGCCCACCUAGGGGCUGGUCCCUUCCCACACUUGGCCCAUGCAGCCCUCUGGGGCCGGUGGCCCCACCUGGUGGACCCCGGGGACCCUCCCGGUGGUCCCGGUACGUUACCGAUAGCACCCGAAACUUUUCCGGUGACCAAAACAGGACUUCCCAUAUAUAAAUCUUUACCUCCGGACCAUUCCGGAACUCCUCGUGACGUCCGGUAUCUCAUCCGGGACUCCGAACAGCAUUCGGUAACCACGUAUAUCUAUUCCCUAUAACCCUAGCGUCAUCGAACCUUAAGUGUGUAGACCCUACGGGUUCGGGAACCAUGCAGACAUGACCGAGACGUUCUCCGGCCAAUAACCAACAGCGGGAUCUGGAUACCCAUGUUGGCUCCCACAUGUUCCACGAUGAUCUCAUCGGAUGAACCACGAUGUCGGGGAUUCAAUCAAUCCCGUAUACAAUUCCCUUUGUCUAUCGGUAUGUUACUUGCCCGAGAUUCGAUCGUCGGUAUCCCGAUACCUUGUUCAAUCUCAUUACCAGCAAGUCUCUUUACUCGUUCCAUAACACAUCAUCCCGUGAUCAACUCCUUGGUCACAUUGUGCACAUUAUGAUGAUGUCCUACCGAGUGGGCCCAGAGAUACCUCUCCGUUUACACGGAGUGACAAAUCCCAGUCUCGAUUCGUGCCAACCCAACAAACACUUUCGGAGAUACCUGUAGUGCACCUUUAUAGCCACCCAGUUACGUUGUGACGUUUGGUACACCCAAAGCAUUCCUACGGUAUCCGGGAGUUGCACAAUCUCAUGGUCUAAGGAAAUGAUACUUGACAUUAGAAAAGCUCUUAGCAAACGAACUACACGAUCUUGUGCUAGGCUUAGGAUUGGGUCUUGUCCAUCACAUCAUUCUCCUAAUGAUGUGAUCCCGUUAUCAACGGCAUCCAAUGUCCAUGGUCAGGAAACCGUAACCAUCUAUUGAUCAACGAGCUAGUCAACUAGAGGCUUACUAGGGUCAUGGUGUUGUCUAUGUAUCCACACAUGUAUCUGAGUUUCCUAUCAAUACAAUUCUAGCAUGGAUAAUAAACGAUUAUCAUGAACAAGGAAAUAUAAUAAUAACCAAUUUAUUAUUGCCUCUAGGGCAUAUUUCCAAUAGUCUCCCACUUGCACUAGAGUCAAUAAUCUAGUUCACAUCACCAUGUGAUUAACACUCACAGGUCACAUCACCAUGUGACCAACAUCUAAAGAGUUUACUAGAGUCAACAAUCUAGUUCACAUCACUAUGUGAUUAACACUCAAUGAGUUCUGGUUUGAUCAUGUUAUGCUUGUGAGAGAGGUUAUUAGUCAAUGGGUCUGAACCUUUCAGAUCCGUGUGUGCUUUACGAAUAUCUAUGUCAUCUUUUGGAUGCUACCACGCGCUACUUGGAGCCAUUUCAAAUAACUGCUCUACUAUACGAAUCCGGUUUACUACUCAGAGUCAUCCGGAUUAGUGUCAAAGUUCGCAUCGACGUAACCCUUUACGACGAACUCCUUUUCACCUCCAUAAUCGAGAAAAUUCCUUAGUCCACUAGAUACUAAGGACAAGUUCGACCGCUGUCAUGUGAUCCAUUCCCGGAUCACUAUUGUACCCCUUGACCAACUCAUGGCAAGGCACACUUCAUGUGCGGUACACAGCAUAGCAUACUGUAGAGCCUACGUCUAAAGCAUAGGGGACGACCUUUGUCCUUUCUCUCUCUUCUGCUGUGGUCAGGUCUUGAGUCUUACUCAAUACUCACACCUUGUAACACAGCCAAGAACUCCUUCUUUGCUGAUCUAUUUUGAACUCUUUCAAAAUCAUGUCAAGGUGUGCGUCCUUUGAAAGUAUCAUCAGGCGUCUUGAUCUAUCUCCAUAGAUCUUGAUGCCCAAUAUGUAAGCAGCUUUAUCCAGGUCUUCCUUUGAAAAACUCCUUUCAAACAACCCUUUAUGCUUUCCAGAAAUUUUACAUCAUUUCGGAUCAACAAUAUGUCAUUCACAUAUACUUAUCAGAAAUGUUGUAGCGCUCCCACUCACUUUAUUGUAAAUACAAGUUUCUAACAAACUUUGUAUAAACCCAAAAACUUUGAUCACUCCAUCAAAGCGUAUAUUCUGACUCCGAGAUGCUUGCUCUAGUCCAUGGAAGGAUCGCUGGAGCUAGCAUACCUUUUAGCAUCCUUAGGAUCGACAAAACCUUUCUGAUUGUAUCACAUACAACCUUUCCUUACGAAAACUGGUAAGGAAACUUGUUUUGACAUCCAUCUGCCAGAUUUCACAAAUGCAGCUAAUGCUAACAUGAUUCCGACGGACUUAAGCAUCGCUACGGAUGAGAAAACCUCAUCGUAGUCAACUCCUUGAACUUGUGAAAAUACUCUUUGCCACAAGUCGAGCUUCAUAGACGGUAACAUUACCGUCCAUGUCCGUCUUCUUCUUAAAGAUCCAUUUAUCUCAAUGGCUUGCCGAUCAUCGGGCAAGUUCACCAAAGUCCAUGCUUUGUGCUGAUACAUGGAUCCUAUCUCGGAUUUCAUGGCUUCUAACCAUUUGUCGGAAUAUGGGCCCACCAUCGCUUCUCCAUAGCUCGUAGGUUCAUUGUUGUCUAGCAACAUGACUUCCAAGACAGGAUUACGUACCACUCUGAAGUAGUACGCAUCCUCGUCGUCCUACGAGGUUUGGUAGUGACUUGAUCCGAAGUUUCAUGAUCACUAUCAUAAGCUUCCACUUCAAUUGGUGUAGGUGCCACAGGAACAACUUCUUGUGUCCUGCUACACACUAGUUGAAGUUAUGGUUCAAUAACCUCAUCAAGUCUCCACCAUCCUCCCACUCAAUUCUUUCGAGAGAAACUUUUCCUCGAGAAAGGACUCAUUUCUAGAAGCAAUUACUUUUGCUUCCAGAUCUGAAAUAGGAGGUAUACCCAACUGUUUUGGGUGUUCUAUGAAGAUGCAUUUAUCCGCUUUGGGUUCGAGCUUAUCAGCCUGAAACUUUUUCACAUAAGCAUCGCAGCCCCAAACUUUUAAGAAACGACAACUUAGGUUUCUCUAAACGGUGUCGUCUCAACGGAAUUGCGUGGUGCCCCUUUUAAAGUGAAUGCGGUUAUCUCUAAUGCCUAACCCAUAAACGAUAGUGGUAAUUUGAUAAGAGACAUCAUGGUAUGCACCAUAUCCGUAGGGUGCAGUUAUGAUGUUCGGACACACCAUCACACUGUGGUGUUCCAGGUGGUAUUAAUUGUGAAACACUUUCCACAAUGUCUUAAUUGUGUGCCAAACUCGUAACUCAGAUACUCAUCUCUAUGAUCAUAUCACAGACAUUUUAUCCUCUUGUCACGACGAUCUUCAACUUCACUCUGAAAUUACUUGAACCUUUCAAUAAUUCAGACCUGUGUUUCAUCAAGUAAAUACACUCAGCAUCUACUCAAAUCAUCUGUGAAAUAAGAACAUAACGAUAUCCACUGCAUGCCUCAGCACUCAUUGGACUGCAUACAUCAAAAUGUAUUACUUCCAACAAGUUGCUCUCUUGUUCCAUCUUACUGAAAAUGAGGCCUUUCAGUCAUCUUGCCCAUGUGGUAUGAUUUGCAUGUCUCAAGUGAUUCAAAGUCAAGUGAGUCCAAACGAUCCAUCUGCAUGGAGUUUCUUCAUGCAUAUAUACCAAUAGACAUGGUUCGCAUGUCUCAAUCUUUUCAAAAAUGAGUGAGUCCAAAGAUCCAUCUACAUGGAGCUUCUUCAUGCGUUCUAUACCGAUAUGACUCAAAUGGCAGUGCCACAAGUAUGUGGUACUAUCAUUACUAUUUUAUAUCUUUUGGCAUGAACAUGUGUAUCACUGCGAUCGAGAUUCAUUUUAGGUGCAAGACCAUUGAAGGUAUUAUUCAAAUAAACAGAGUAACUAUUAUUUUCCUUAAAUGAAUAACCGUAUUGCGAUAAACAUAAUCCAAUCAUGUUUAUGGUCAACGCAAACACCAAAUAACAAUUAUUUAGGUUUAACACCAAUCUCGAUGGUAGAGGGAGCAUGCGAUGCUUGAUCACAUCAACCUUGGAAACACUUCCAACACAUAUCGUCAUCUCACCUUUAGCUAGUCUCCGUUUAUUUCGCAGCUUUUAUUUCGAGCUACUAACACUUAGCAACUGAACUGGUAUCUAAUACCCUGGUGCUGCUAGGAGUACUAGUAAAGUACACAUUCAUAUAAUGUAUAUCCAAUAUACUUCUGUCGACCUUGCCUGCCUUCUCAUCUGCCAAGCAUCUAGGGUAGUUCUGCUUCAGUGACCGUUCCCCUCAUUACAGGAGCACUUAGUCUCGGGUUUGGGUUUAACCUUGGGAUUCUUCACUAGAACAGCAAAUGAUUUGUGUUUCAUGAAGUGUCCCUUUUGCCCUUGCCCUUCUUGAAACUAGUGGUUUUAUUAACCAUCAACUUUCGCGGUGUCAAACAUCGCGAAUAGCUCAAGGAUCAUCAUAUCUAUCCCUGAUAUGUUAUAGUUCAUCACGAAGCUCUAAUAGCUUGGUGGCAGUGACUAUGGAGAACCAUCACUAUCUCAUCUGGAAGAUUAACUCCCACCCGAUUCAAGCGAUUGUGGCACUCAGACAAUCUGAGCACAUGCUCAACGAUUGAGCUUUUCUCCCUUAGUCUGCAGGCUUAAGAAACUUGUCAGAGGUCUCAUACCUCUUGACGUGGGCACUAGUCUGAAAUCCCAAUUUCAGUCUUCGGAACAUCUCAUAUGUUCUACGACGUUUCAAAAACGUCUUUGGUGCCACAAUUCUAAACCGUUAGCAUUACGCACCGAACUAUCACGUAGUCAUCAAAACGUGUAUGUCAGAUGUUUCGCAACAUCUACAGAUGACGCUGAGGUUCAGCACACCGAGCGGUGCAUUAAGGACAUAAGCCUUCUGUGCAGCAAUGAGGACAAUCCUCAGUUUACAGACCCAGUCCGCAUAAUUGCUACUACCAACUUUCAACUAAAUUUUCUCUAGGAACAUAUCUUAAACAGUAGAACUAAAGCGCAAGCUAUGACAUAAUUUGCAAAGACCUUUUGACUAUGUUCAUGAUAAUUAAGUUCAUCUGAUUAUUUAAUGAACUCCCACUCAGAUGGACAUCCCUCUAGUCAUCUAAGUGAUACAUGAUCCGAGUCAAACUAGGCCGUGUCCGAUCAUCACGUGAGACGGACUAGUCAUCAUCGGUGAACAUCUCCAUGUUGAUCGUAUCUACUAUACGACUCAUGUUCGACCUUUCGGUCUCUUGUGUUCCGAGGCCAUGUCUGUACAUGCUAGGCUCGUCAAGUCAACCUAAGUGUUUCGCAUGUGUUCCGAGGCCAUGUCUGUACAUGCUAGGCUCGUCAACACCCGUUGUAUUCGAACGUUAGAAUCUAUCACACCCGAUCAUCACGUGGUGCUUCGAAACAACGAACCUUCGCAACGGUGCACAGUUAGGGGGAACACGUCUCUUGAAAUUUUAGUGAGGGAUCAUCUUAUUUAUGCUACCGUCGUUCUAAGCAAAUAAGAUGUAAACAUGACAAACAUCACAUGCAAAUCAUAAGGUGACAUGAUAUGGCCAAUAUCAUCUUGCGCCUUUUGAUCUCCAUCUUCGAGGCGCGGCAUGAUCACCUUCGUCACCGGCAUGACACCAUGAUCUCCAUCAUCGUGUCUUCAUGAAGUUGUCUCGCCAACUAUUACUUCUACUACUAUGGCUAACGGUUAGCAAUAAAGUAAAGUAAUUACAUGGCGUUUUUCAUUGACACGCAGGUCAUAUAAUAAAUUAAGACAACUCCUAUGGCUCCUGCCGGUUGUCAUACUCAUCGACAUGCAAGUCGUGAUUCCUAUUACAAGAACAUGAUCAAUCUCAUACAUCACAUAUAUCAUUCAUCACAUCCUUUUGACCAUAUCACAUCACAUAGCAUACCCUGCAAAAACAAGUUAGACGUCCUCUAAUUGUUGUUGCAUGUUUUACGUGGCUGCUAUGGGUUUCUAGCAAGAACGUUUCUUACCUACGCAAAAGCCACAACGUGAUAUGCCAAUUUCUAUUUACCCUUCAUAAGGACCCUUUUCAUCGAAUCAGAUCCGACUAAAGUGGGAGAGACAGACACCCGCUAGCCACCUUAUGCAACUAGUGCAUGUCAGUCGGUGGAACCUGUCUCACGUAAGUGUACGUGUAAGGUCGGUCCGGGCCGCUUCAUCCCACGAUGCCGCCGAAUCAAGAUAAGACUAGUAACGGCAAGUAAAUUGACAAAAUCGACGCCCACAACUACUUUGUGUUCUACUCGUGCAUAGAAACUACACAUAGACCUAGCUCUGAUACCACUUUAGGGGAACGUAGCAAAAAUUCAAAAUUUUCUACGCAUCACCAAGAUCAAUCUAUGGAGUAAUCUAGCAACGAGGGGAAGGGGAGUGCAUCUACAUACCAUUGUAUAUCGUGAUGCGGAAGCGUUGCAAGAACGCGGACGAAGGAUUCGUACUCGUAGCGAUUCAGAUCACGAUUGAUUCCGAUCUAAGCGCCGAACCACGGCGCCUCCGCGUUCAACACACGUGCAGCCCGGUGACGUCUCCCACGCCUUGAUCCAGCAAGGAGAGAGGGAGAGGUUGGGGAAGAGUCCGUCCAGCAGCAGCACGACGGCGUGGUGGUGGUGGAGGAGCAUGGCACUCCAGCAGGGCUUCGCCAAGCGCUGCGAGAGACGAGGAGGGAGAGGGGUAGGGCUGCGCCAAGAGAGAGGAAUUCUCAUGUGUAUGGCAGCCCCAAAACCCCCACUAUAUAUAGGGGAGGGGGAGGGGCUGCACCCCCAUCUAGGGUUUCCCCCCCCCCCAAGGGGUGCGGCCAGCCCUAGAUCCAUCUAGGGGGCGGCCAAGGGGGGAGAGAGGGGGGGUGCACCACUAGGUGGGCCUUAGGCCCAUCUGAGCCUAGGGUUUCCCCCUUCCCACCCCCCCUUCCUACGCCCUGGGCCCCUUGUGGGAGGCGCACCAGCCCACCUAGGGGCUGGUCCCUUCCCACACUUGGCCCACGCAGCCCUCUGGGGCCGGUGGCCCCACCUGGUGGACUCCCGGGACCCUCCCGGUGGUCCCGGUACGUUACCGAUAGCACCUGAAACUUUUCCGGUGACCAAAACAGGACUUCCCGUAUAUAAAUCUUUACCUCCGGACCAUUCCGGAACUCCUCGUGAUGUCCGGGAUCUCAUCCGGGACUCCGAACAGCAUUCGGUAACCACGUAUAUCUAUUCCCUAUAACCCUAGCGUCAUCGAACCUUAAGUGUGUAGACCCUACGGGUUCGGGAACCAUGCAGACAUGACCGAGACGUUCUCCGGCCAAUAACCAACAGCGGGAUCUGGAUACCCAUGUUGGCUCCCACAUGUUCCACGAUGAUCUCAUCGGAUGAACCACGAUGUCGGGGAUUCAAUCAAUCCCGUAUACAAUUCCCUUUGUCUAUCGGUAUGUUACUUGCCCGAGAUUCGAUCGUCGGUAUCCCGAUACCUUGUUCAAUCUCGUUACCAGCAAGUCUCUUUACUCGUUCCGUAACACAUCAUCCCAUGAUCAACUCCUUGGUCACAUUGUGCACAUUAUGAUGAUGUCCUACCGAGUGGGCCCAGAGAUACCUCUCCGUUUACAUGGAGUGACAAAUCCCAGUCUCGAUUCGUGCCAACCCAACAGACACUUUCGGAGAUACCUGUAGUGCACCUUUAUAGCCACCCAGUUACGUUGUGACGUUUGGUACACCCAAAGCAUUCCUACGGUAUCCGGGAGUUGCACAAUCUCAUGGUCUAAGGAAAUGAUACCUGACAUUAGAAAAGCUCUUAGCAAACGAACUACACGAUCUUGUGCUAGGCUUAGGAUUGGGUCUUGUCCAUCACAUCAUUCUCCUAAUGAUGUGAUCCCGUUAUCAACGACAUCCAAUGUCCAUGGUCAGGAAACCGUAACCAUCUAUUGAUCAACGAGCUAGUCAACUAGAGGCUUACUAGGGACAUGGUGUUGUCUAUGUAUCCACACAUGUAUCUGAGUUUCCUAUCAAUACAAUUCUAGCAUGGAUAAUAAACGAUUAUCAUGAACAAGGAAAUAUAAUAAUAACCAAUUUAUUAUUGCCUCUAGGGCAUAUUUCCAACAGACUGUUCAUCCAUAGGCUCUUGUUCAUCCAGCCUCCACCGCGCGCUCCUCCAUCGGCUACUGUUCAACCAGCCCUCUCCACGGGGUCCCGUUAAACCACCCCUCCACGGGCUACUGUUCGUCCGGCCCUCCACCGACUACUGUUCAACCAGCCCUCCACGGGGUCGUCCUAUUCAUCCAGCCCUCCACGGGGUCUUGUUCAUCCACCCCAACCGGCUCGAUCGGGGUCCUGUUCAUCCAGAGGCAACACCACGGGGUCCUGUUCAUCCACCCCCACCGAGAAUUGUUCAUCCAAACCCCCCCCCAACAACGCUCAUUGUUCAUCAAGGGAAGGAGGCAGCAGGGUUCGAUCGGCUUCAGUUAGCAGCAGUAGCGAAGGAAUCACUCGGUUUCAGUAACGUAGUUAGUGCAAUCGCUCGGGUUCGGUUAUAGCCCAACGCCUCGCUCGGGUUCAGUUAGAGCCCAACGCCUCGCACACACGCGCUUAUGUGUACGAGAGAAAUGCGCAUCGCUCGGCCCCCGACCACCCACCGUAACCGGGAACUCCCGAAAUUUUCCUCGCCUCGCUUCUACCACGGUUUUUUCCAUCAUGGACGGCCCAAAGAAUGUCAUGCAGCUACGUCUCCGGCCCGCCCAGGAUGAAAAGCCCAUUUUCUAUCAUGAUUUUUUGUCAUAGAAGUAGGAGCCGACCACAUCUAUGAUGAUACCUGGUUUUGUCACAAUUAUCGUCAUAUAAGUGUCAUAAGCAUGACAGAAAAAAAAUUCGUUCGGCCCAAAAUGUCACGGAUGUGUCUUUUCUUGUAGUGCAACUUCCUGGCAUAACGAGAGUCUAUACGAACCUUAACACCAAUAUCUUAUUAAACACGAUCAUCCACUAGUACCUCCCACAUAUUAUCAUCUCUAUAUCACAAAACUAUUGCAAGGAAUCAAACAUAUCAUAUUCAGUGAUCCACAAGUUUUAUGUAGGAUUUUUAUGACUAACCUUCAAUUGACCAAUUCCAUUUGUCUCUCUAAAUAGAUAAAAGUGAAGCAUGAGAGUUUAAUCCUUUCUACAAAAUAUCAUGAUCUAAUAAAAAUAAGUGAGGCAAAAGAGCAUUCUACAAAUAACGGGUUUUUAUGUGAAGAGAAACAGGCAAUCCAAACUUCAAAUGAUAUAAGUGAAGCACAUGAAGCAUUCUAGAUAUAAGUGAAGUGCAAUGAGCAUUCUAUAAAUCAACCAUGGACUAUCUCAUACCAGCAUGGUGCAUAAAAGAAAAAAAUGAAAGCUAAACAUAAAAGACGCUCCAAGAUUUGCACAUAUCACAUGAACGAAACGAAGACGAAAACAUAUCGAUACUUGUUGAAGAAAGAUGGGAUGCCUUCCGGGGCAUCCCCAAGCUUAGACGCUUGAGUAUCCUUGAAUAUUCACUUGGGGUGCCUUGGGCAUCCCCAAGCUUGAGCUCUUGCCUCUCCUCCUUCUCCUCAUAUCGAGACCUCCUCGAUCUUUGAUCACUUCAUCCACACAAAACUCAACAAAAACUAGGUAAGAUUCAUUAGUAUAAUAAAGAAAAUCACUACUCUAAGUAUUGUUGCAAACCAACUCAUAUUUUGUUUUUGCAUUGUAGCUAUUGUAAUAUAACUUCUCCAUGGCUUAUACCAUCGAUAAAACUCGAUAUUCAUCAAAACAAGCAAAACAAUGCAUCAAAAACAGAAUCUGUCUUAAACAGGACAGUCUGUAGCAAUCUGAACAUCUACCAUACUUCUGGUACUCCAAAAAUUCUGAAAAUUAGGCCAAAAUAAACAAAUUGUAUAGAAUGACUUUGCAAAAAGUUUCAGAAACGUUUGACGUUCCAGUAAAAAAUGAAAAUUCACGCGCUACAGUCAAAGUUUUUGUGAAGUUUCUGUAAUUAAGAUUCACACAUACCAACAAGCAAUCUAAUCAUCCUAAUGGCAAAUCUUGGCACAAUAGUUUUACAAUAAAAAGGAUUUGUACAAGGGGAUAGUUAUUUUUGUUGAAAAGUUUCUGUAAUUAAGAUUCACAAAGUUUCCAUGGGCAUGAACAAAGUUCAAGGCUAGCUCCCACUUUCACAAUGCUCGUCCCUCUCACUUUCACUUUUCUUUUUGUGAAGUUUAAGUUCCCCUCUAUAUUUUUUUGUUUUUAAACUUUAUAAAAGCACUCAACAGAAAUAAAUGACCCUCUAAAACUUCUGGGUUGUCUCCCUGGCAGCGCUUUCUUUAAAGCCAUUAAGCUAGGCAUAAAGUGCUCAAGUAAUGGAUCCACCUGGGUCCCAAGGUAUACUAAAGCCAAUGUUAAUUAGUAAUGAUUUGGCAUUUAUUAGUGAGCACAAAGCAACAUAUAUCAAGCAAUGACGAAGUCUAACUCUCUUCCUAUGCAUCGGCAUGUCAUAUAAGAACAAUUCAUGCACAUCAAGUAAAGGCCAAUACAUAGCAUAAGCAGUUUCUUGCAAUUUUAUCGUGUUGGAAACAUAAAGAGGUGGAGAUGUAGUUCCUCUCUCAUAAUAAUUGCAAGUAGGAGCAGAAAGCACAUGCAUAUUAUAUUCAUCAAAAUUAUCAUGUGCAACGGUAAAAGGCAACCCAUCAAUAUAAUCCUUAAUAAGAACAAACUUCUUCGAUAUAUUGUAGUUUGGAGAAUUCAAAAAGAUAGUAGGACUAUCAUGUGUGGGUGCAAUAGCAACAAUUUCAUUCUUAAUAUAAGGAACCAUAGCAAUUUCAUAUCCAUAAGCAUAAUUCAUAUUGGCAUCUUGGCCACAAGCAUCAAGUUCGUCAAAAAGGGAUAUCUAUAAGCAUGAAGGGAAAUUAAAUAAUGUAUGAGUUGAAGAGUUACUCUCAUUAGAAGGUGGGCACGGGUAGCUAAUCCGCUCUUCCUCCUUUUGUUCUUCGCUCUCCUCAUCAUCUCUUUCAUCCAAUGAGCACACAGUUAAAUCAAUUUCUUCUUCCAUAGACUCCUGCAAAAUGUUAGUCUCUUCUUGGACAGCGGAGAAGUCCUCAAUAUAUGGUUCAAUAUAAGCAUUAGAAGAAUAAUUUUCAUAGCAAUAUUUAAGUAUGGCAAAAUUUUCAGAUUUGUAAAGAGUAGCAUCAUACUUUUCAAUCAAAGAAGCAACUUCAUAGGCACCCUUAAAAGCAACAAAUUCUUCAAUUUGUUCAAUAUCAAAGUAAUUAUAAACUCCCUUGGCAUAAGAAGAUAAGAUUCCAUUAUCCUUAAACUCACAUUGAAAGAAAAGGUGUUUCUUAGAGUCUUCGGAACAACAAGUAAAAUCAUGUAUUUCACAUAAAUUUAAAGCAUAGCAAUACAAACUAUUAAUAUUAUGCCACAAAAGUUUCCCUUUUUGAGAUAAGAGGUGUCGCACAAAAUAAGCAUGCUCGUUUGAUGAUUUUCCCUCAACUAAGCUAGUUGGGUUUUCAGCACGAGCACAACUGGAUCAAAGAUGAUCUAAAUAGAAAGCUUAGGUAGUAUGAUAGAUUUUGGGUGGUUCUUGAUAACCCACAAGUAUACGGGGUCAGUUGUAGCCUUCUUUUAUAAAUAAGAGUGUCGACCCCAACGAGGAGCUAAAGGUAGAACAAAUAUUCCCUCAAGUUCUAUCGACCACUGAUACAAAUCUAUGCACACUUAACAUUUUCUUUACCUAGAACAAGUAUGAAACUAUUUCGCAAGAAUAAAACUAUGAGUACUUUGCGAGAAUAAAACUACGAAUGAAUUGCAAGGUAUAAAAGUGGAUAGCUUUUGUCAACAAGAAAGUCAUUUGUCCCUAGGCAAUCGAUAACAAGUACCGGUAAUCAUUCUUGCAAUUUUAUAUGAGGGAGACGCAUGAGCUAACAUACUUUGUCUACUUGGAUCAUAUGCACUUAUGAUUGGACCCCUAGCAAGCAUCCGCAACUACUAAAGAUCAUUAAGGUUGUGAAACCCAACCAUAGCAUUAAGUACCAAGUCCUAUUUAUCCCAUACGCAACAACUCACCUACUCGGGUUUAAGCUUCUGUCACUCUCGCAACCCAUCAUAAGCGAAUCAUGAACGUAUUGCAACACCCUACAGCGGUGAUCCCUCAUGUUUGCGCGAGACGGAGGGCACCGUAGGACAGCACCAUAAAUAAAAUAUACAAUCAUACCAACCAAGAUCACGAUUAACCCAUAGGACAAAACAGAUCUACUCAAAUAUCAUAGGAUAGCCAAAUAUCAUUGGGAAAUAAUAUAUGGAGUUGAGCACCAUGUUUAAGUAGAGAUUACAGCGGGGAGAAGAGGUGUUACACCGCUGCAUAGAGGGGGAGAAAGUUGGUGUUGACGGUAGCAAGAUUGGUGAUGUAGAUCGUUGUCACGAUCCUUGCCCCGGCGACACUCCGGCGCCACCGGGAUAGAGGGGAGAGAGCCCCCUCCUCCUUCUUCUUCUUCCUUGCCCCCCCCCCCUAGAUGGGAGGAGAGUUCCCCCUCUGGUCCAUGGCCUCCAUGGUGGCGGAGGGGCGGGAGCCCCUCCGAGAUUGGAUCUCCCUCUCUGUUCUCUUAUGUUUCGCGUUCCCUAGAUCUGGCCCUUCACGGUUUCUUAAAUUUCCGGAGAUUUGUAACUCCGAUUGCGCUGAAAUUUUUACACGAUUUUUUCUCCAUAAAUUAUCUUUCUUGGGCCCGAAGAAGGGCCCCAACCGAUGUCCGAGGAGAGCAUAAGACACCUGGGCGCGCCUGGGCCCCUAGGCGCGCCCUGGUGGGUUGUGGUCACUGUGGGCCCCCUCUUCUGAUGAUUCCAACUCCCAAAAAUCACAAAUAUUCCAAAAUAAUUCUCUGUAAAAUUUUAUUGCAUUUGGACUUCGUUUGAUAUGGAUUUUCUGCGAAACAAAAACAUGCAACAAACAGGAACUGGCAUUGAGCAUUGGAUCAAUAGGUUAGUCCAACAAAUCAUAUAAAAAUUUGCCAAAAAUAUGUGAAAGUUGUAUAAUAUUGGCAUGAAACAAUUAAAAAUUAUAGAUACGACGGAGACGUAUCAUGGCGCGCCGGCGGCGACCUUCCAAAUGGCUGCGCGCCACGGACAUGGUCGGAAAACAGCCACCGGGGGCCGUUUGAACCGCCGCGAGCUGCAGCAGCAGCAGUGCGGGGGCUGGCCGGAGUGGCACCGGCGACGAGCGUAGGCGGCGGUUGGCUUCGGGGCUCGUGGGGGACUGCGCCCCGGGCCACCAUUCGGAUGACCGCGACUACCUACGAGAUGCAUGGGCUUGUGCGCGUCCAACGGAGCAAGCAGCGGAGGCGGAGGCGACCUACAUCGACGGCAGCGGCGACUGGGGAGUUCGGUGAAACUCGGGUCCAGCGCUACGGAGCACGGUUGGACGUGCGGGUGUGUGUGUUUGGUCGCUGCGAACAUGCUGAGCAUGCCAGCGAGCACACACACAAGCUACGGGGGCUCUGUCCACGGUGGCGACAAAGAACGGCGGCAACGAGCUCGGCCAUGAUGGCGGCCGCAGCUAGAAGCACGAGAACGUGGCACGAGGAGAGGGGAGAUGCGAAUGCUCACCGUGGUCCUGCAGAUGUGCCUAAAUGGGCUCGGGGGAGGCAUGGCGGCACGGCGAUCUCCGGCACCCGGUGACGGAGACGAAGGAGAGGGCGACGCUGUGGGGCGUCCCGGCUCGAUCUAGCCGACCGCGGCGACGCUUCAAGGCAAGCUGGUGAGACGAGGGGUGGCCGAUGGCCGCGGUGGCGCGAGGUAGAUGGUGGCGAAUGCGUCGGGCGAGGAGAGGGAAGGGGAUCCGGGGCAGAGGAAGGGAGGACGAAAGGGCGAGGGGAGCAAGCGGGGUGAGUGGGAGGGUGUCUAGGGUUACGGUUGGUCGGGGCAGCCUUAUCCUCCUCGUCGCUCGCCGGCGAGGUGGUGUGGCGGGGCGCGCUCGGGCAGGAACCCGGUCGGAGGAACAUGAGGGGAGGGAGACGACCUAGGGAAGGCAGGCUGGCACUACAAAAAAAUACACUUCCGUGAUGAUACCUGUUUGUCACAGUAGGUCGCGUUUUUUGUCCUGCAUGUACAUCCAUGACGAUUUUAUGACAGAAUCAAGAUAGUCAUACCUGUGCUGUCAUAGAAGUGUUCCAUGACAUUACCAAAAUUAUCAUCACGGAAGUGUCCACUUCCAUGACGAUAAAUCGCGCAUCACAGAAGUGCUUUCGUCAAGGGUGACCGACACGUGGCAUCCACCGUAACGGAACGCCGUUAAGCUAUCGGGUCCGGUUUUGGAUCCGAUAACCCGUUAACAGCCCGAACCAAUGGGGAUUUUCCACGUGUAAAAUCAUCAUUGGCCGAAGGAAACACGUGUUGCCUCACCGUUGGGACAGAUGUCAUCCACUCAUUGGACAGGAGGCGCCUAUGAUAGGUCGACACGUGGCACAACCCAACAGUGGCCCAUUCCGGUGAAAAAGGCCGGCCCAGUAAAAAUUAGCAGGCUGGCCCAUAUAAGGCCUACUUGUGUCAGGUCCAUUUAAGCCCACGGCCCAUACGAGAUGUGCCAAUUCGGCCCGUCAACGGCCCGUUAAAGAUUUGACACCAUUGCAGCCCAUCGUCAGUUGGAGCCCGUUAACAGCCCGCUAUAUAUUUGGGCUCAAUAUCGGCCCGAUGAGAUUUCGGCCUGUUAACGGCCCAUUCAAUGGAUGGGCCAAUUUUCAGGAUGUACAUCUUUCGGCCUUUUAGCAACCCAUUUAAAUGUUGGGCUAAUUUACGGCCCAGUGUGUCUUUCAGCCUGUUGACGGCCCAUAAAUCUGAUGGGCCAUUUGUAGUCGGACCAGAGUUUCGGCCUUUUAGCGGCCCAUUUAAGUGUUGGGCCAAUUUACGGCCCGGUGUCACUUUCAGCCUGUUGACAGCCCAUAAAUCAGUUGGGCCAUUUGUAGUCGGACCUGAGUUUUGGCCUUUUAGCGACCCAUUUAAGUGUUGGGCCAAUUCCCGGCCCUGUGUGCCUUUCGGCCUGUUAACGGACCAUAAAUGAGUUGGGCCAUUUGUAGUCGGACCUUAGUUUUGGCCUUUUAAUGGCCCAUGCCCUUCAUGGUCCAAUACCAGCCCGGUUUCUCUUUCGGCCUGCUAAAGGCCCACAACACAGUUGGGCCAUUUACAAUACGACCUGACUUUCGGCCUCUUAGCGGCCCAUGCUCUUCAUGGUCCAGUACAAGCCCGCUGUCUCUUUCGGCCUGCUAAAGGCCUACAGUAUAGUUGGUCCAUAUGUAGCCCAAACUUAGUAACGGCCUAUUAACGGCCCGUGAAAUAAAUUGGGCCCACCUGUUGCCCACUUCAAUGUCGGCCUGUAACGACCCGGGAGGUAAGAGGGCCAACCAUUAACUCCCGGCCUAGUAACGGCCCAUUAACUUAAUGGGCCCACUAAAGUUCGUACAUGUCUUUAGGCCAAAUUAGAUAAUUUGAGCCCAUUACGACGAGCAAUUAUGCACAGGACCAAAACCGAUCAAGCAAAGGUACGGCAUACAGGGAAUAACGUUGCACAUCCAGCAUAUAUUACAGGAAAUUAAAUCCACUGGGCAAUCAAAGAUUGAUGCCAGUGCAAAUAAAUGAGCAGAACCUAACCAUCUACAACGUCACAAUCUGCAACCUCAGCACAGAUGACGCCCAUAAGCAUGUGGGCAAGUUCUUGCUGCUUUGCUACACUGUCUCUGAAAACAUUGAUCAGUUGUUGUGUCGCACGACUCUGCACCUCUGAUUCAUCCACCAUUUCCAUCAUUGCUUCAGCCAUUAAUUGGUUCAUAAACAUACAUUUAUUCCGUUGCAUUCGAGACAGAGGAUACUGAACAGAUUCAGAUGGCGAUUUUGGCAGGCUUGUAUUAUUGAUAGUGGAGAGUGUCUCGACCACUGCAUCAUAACAUAAAUUAGGACGGGAACCAAACAGAUUAAUCAUGAGUUAUUGCCAUAUUACCUGGCCUAGAUUUACUGGAAAGAAACAAUGGGGGUUGCCUUGCUGUUUUUAGAGUUUGUCUUCUUAUCUUCAGCAGCCUGCACAAAAUUAACACACUAGCAUUGCUAUCAUUGGCCAAGUUAGAUAAUAGGAAAGCAACAUUGACACAACGAACGUUUGGGCAACUAGCCUACACCAAAUUAACACAAUAUGGCACAACUAUCAUCAGCCAGGUAAGGUAAUACAAAAGCAACAUUGACACAAUGAAUGAAUGGGCAACCAGAGAAGCACUACAAUUCAGUAAUGUGCGUGAUAUGAGAUUGUACAUUCAUGCAGCUCAGUAUGCAAAACUACCAGGCAGUUUUCCUUACAAAAAUCAACAUUGGCGCCUUUAACAUUUUGCUACAACUAAUUUUAGAUCAGAUAAAGGUUAGAUUCACGCCGAUUAACAAAAUACAUGCUGAUGUAAAAAUAUAGUGAUAUACAACAGGUACUUACAUCAGCAUUGGAGCACAGAGAAUUCCCGCAAGAUAUUUUCCUCGAAUACGAUCCCAAUGGAGGAAGUCUUCUAUCGUUUAACCUUAUUUUCUAAAAGAGAGAUGGGUAAGAAACAUGUAGAAAAUAUGAUCAGAAUGCUAUAAAAUUUCAUGAUGCGAGGAUACGCACAUGCUUCUUAGAAUGGAGUUGACAUUCUUUUGCUGGACUGGAGCGGACUAGUUCUUUGGCCACUGGAAUCUGCUUAUUAUCCGUGGGAGUUGGGUUUCUCUGUGCUGGAGAAGUAUCUAUGAAAAAUGGAGUUGGUUUAUUAUCUCCUGGCGUUUGGAUCUUUUGCAAAGACCUGGUUUCUAACCCUUCAGAUUCUAACAUAGCCGUCUUCCCCUUGCAUGCCUUAUAUAGAAGAAUGGUGAUUCAGUUAUAAAACAUGCUACAGCAGAGAUGGAAUAGGUACUGAAGAAUAGAAAGGCAUGACAUAUUGACAUGUAUUCCCUCCAUCCAGAAAUAAAUGGAUGGGUCUAGCCGUAUUUCAGUUCUAGAUACAUCCAGUUUUAUCCAUUUCUGCGACAUGUAAUCCGGACGGAGGGAGUAUGAUGUAAGAGCUAGGGAUACGACAGGACAACACAGUAAAAAAACACUGAAAAACCCACUGUAGAACCAAAGUAUUCAAACCCACUGAUAUGAGAUAGUACACUCAUGCAGCUCAGGAUGCAAAACUACCAGGCAGUUUUCCUUACAAAAAUCAACAUUGUGGCCUUUAAUCAUACAUUUUGCUACAACUAAAUUUAGAUCAGAUAAAGGUUGGAUUCACGCCGAUUAACAAAAUACAUGCUGAUGUAAAAAUAUAGUGAUAUACAACAGGUACUUACAUCUACAUUGGAGCAUAGAGAAUUCCUGCAAGAAUCUUUCCUCAUAAACGAUACCAUUGCAGAAAUUCUUCUAUCUGUUAAGCUUAUUUUCUAAAAGAGAGAUGGGUAAGAAACAUGUAGAAAAUAUGAUCAGCAUGCUAUAAAAUUUCAUGAUGCAAGGAUACGCACACGCUUCUUAGAAUGGAGUUGACAUAUUUUUGCUGGACUGGAGCGGACUAGUUCUUUGGCCACUGGAAUCUGCUUAUUAUCAAUAGGAGUUGGGUUUCUCUGUGCUGGAGCAGUAUCUAUAAAAACUGGAGUUGGUUUAUUAUCUCCUGGCGUUUGGAUCUUUUGCAAAGGCCUUGUUUGUAACCCUUCAGAUUCUAACAUAGUCGUCUUCCCCUUGCAUGCCUUGUAUAGAAGAAUGGUGCUUUAAUUAUAAAACAUGCUACAGCAGAGAGAUGGAAUAGGUACUGAAGAAUAGAAAGGCAUGACAUAUUGACAUGUAUUCCCUCCAUCCAGAAAUAAAUGGAUGGGUCUAGCCGUAUUUCAGUUCUAGAUACAUCCAGUUUUAUCCAUUUCUGCGACAUGUAAUCCGGACGGAGGGAGUAUGAUGUAAGAGCUAGGGAUACGACAGGACAACACAGUAAAAAAAACACUGAAAAACCCACUGUAGAACCAAAGUAUUCAAACCCACUGAUAUGAGAUAGUACACUCAUGCAGCUCAGGAUGCAAAACUACCAGGCAGUUUUCCUUACAAAAAUCAACAUUGUGGCCUUUAAUCAUACAUUUUGCUACAACUAAAUUUAGAUCAGAUAAAGGUUGGAUUCACGCCGAUUAACAAAAUACAUGCUGAUGUAAAAAUAUAGUGAUAUACAACAGGUACUUACAUCUACAUUGGAGCAUAGAGAAUUCCUGCAAGAAUCUUUCCUCAUAAACGAUACCAUUGCAGAAAUUCUUCUAUCUGUUAAGCUUAUUUUCUAAAAGAGAGAUGGGUAAGAAACAUGUAGAAAAUAUGAUCAGCAUGCUAUAAAAUUUCAUGAUGCAAGGAUACGCACACGCUUCUUAGAAUGGAGUUGACAUAUUUUUGCUGGACUGGAGCGGACUAGUUCUUUGGCCACUGGAAUCUGCUUAUUAUCAAUAGGAGUUGGGUUUCUCUGUGCUGGAGCAGUAUCUAUAAAAACUGGAGUUGGUUUAUUAUCUCCUGGCGUUUGGAUCUUUUGCAAAGGCCUUGUUUGUAACCCUUCAGAUUCUAACAUAGUCGUCUUCCCCUUGCAUGCCUUGUAUAGAAGAAUGGUGCUUUGAUUAUAAAACAUGCUACAGCAGAGAGAUGGAAUAGGUACUAAAGAAUAGAAAGGCAUGACAUAUUGACAUGUAUUCCGUCCAUCCAGAAAUAAAUGGAUGGGUCUAGCCGUAUUUCAGUUCUAGAUACCUCCAGUUUUAUCCAUUUCUGCGACAUGUAAUCCGGACGGAGGGAGUAUGAUGUAAGAGCUAGGGAUACGACAGGACAACACAGUAAAAGAAACACUGAAAAACCCACUGUAGAACCAAAGUAUUCAAACCCACUGAUAUGAGAUAGUACACUCAUGCAGCUCAGGAUGCAAAACUACCAGGCAGUUUUCCUUACAAAAAUCAACAUUGUGGCCUUUAAUCAUACAUUUUGCUACAACUAAAUUUAGAUCAGAUAAAGGUUGGAUUCACGCCGAUUAACAAAAUACAUGCUGAUGUAAAAAUAUAGUGAUAUACAACAGGUACUUACAUCUACAUUGGAGCAUAGAGAAUUCCUGCAAGAAUCUUUCCUCAUAAACGAUACCAUUGCAGAAAUUCUUCUAUCUAUUAAGCUUAUUUUCUAAAAGAGAGAUGGGUAAGAAACAUGUAGAAAAUAUGAUCAGCAUGCUAUAAAAUUUCAUGUUGCAAGGAUACGCACACGCUUCUUAGAAUGGAGUUGACAUAUUUUUGCUGGACUGGAGCGGACUAGUUCUUUGGCCACUGGAAUCUGCUUAUUAUCAAUAGGAGUUGGGUUUCUCUGUGCUGGAGCAGUAUCUAUAAAAACUGGAGUUGGUUUAUUAUCUCCUGGCGUUUGGAUCUUUUGCAAAGGCCUUGUUUGUAACCCUUCAGAUUCUAACAUAGUCGUCUUCCCCUUGCAUGCCUUGUAUAGAAGAAUGGUGCUUUAAUUAUAAAACAUGCUACAGCAGAGAGAUGGAAUAGGUACUGAAGAAUAGAAAGGCAUGACAUAUUGACAUGUAUUCCCUCCAUCCAAAAAAAAUGGAUGGGUCUAGGCGUAUUUUAGUUCUAGAUACAUCCUUUUUUAUCUAUUUCGGCAACAUGUAAUCCGGACGGUGGGAGUAUGGUGUAAGAGAUAGGGAUACGACAGGACAACACAGCAAAAAAACACUAGUUGAAUGUAAAACUGUAUGCUAGCGGAAUACAUACAUAAAUAACUAAGGCAACAUACACGUGUAUGAUUGGGAAACUAAGAUGGCAUUGCAACAGAGCACUAGAACAGCAGUUCAAUGUAAAAAACAUGGUAUGGUAGACAGAUGAAGUACAUACUGAUGAAUAACAAUGUAUAAGAUAUUCAGAAGCAUGAUGUCCAAAUUAAGCAGAUGGCAUUGCGAUAGAGUAGAAUGACAGUACUUGAAUUUGAAAACAUGUUAUCAUGAAUGGAAUAUGUACUGAAAAACAGGAAGGCAUGACAUAUUUACAUGCAUGAUCAGCAUGCUAAGCACAUGGCAUUGCAACAGAGUAGAUACACUCCAGGACAUUAUAUGCAUGUUGUACCCAUAUCACAGGCCAAGUUAGAGCAAGGACCUUGUGGGGUGAAGAGGAUUCAUCAUCUUUCUGCAAGUCUUCUGAAGAAUUGCCUUUACAUGUUCCAUCAUAUUGGGUAUCAUUGACAUCAAGUUUAUUGGCCUUUACAUUGCUCCGUGAGGUUCUUGUGGAUAUAUCAGUGUGUGCAAUUAUAUCUGACAUGCAUGGAAGACAACUAAUAGUUAGAUUUAUGUAACGAGUGCCUGUAGGAGACGACAUAAAUAGUAGGACUGGGGCUAACUAGCAGCAACAGGUCUCAUAAACUAAAGGGAGAACACAGAUGAAAGCUACAGAAUAUGUAUCGUUUGUACUCGAGAUUAACUAGAUGGCACACAAAAGUAUUAAAGAACAACAUAGGUAAUACUAGAAGUGGUAUAAUACUAUAAUCACCAGCCUGUGGGAUAGCAUUGGCUGAUGGAUGAUAACUAUGGAACAAUGUUACCUAAAGAACAAGUAUCUUAGCUGAACUAUGGAACAACGUUAACUCCUGAACAAGACCCGUAAGAGAUCAGCAUGAAUAUACAGUGAAAUGUGAUGAUCUAUUUUCCAUGCUUAGAUGAAUAACAAAGCCAUAAAUGUUGCACACAAGUAAGAUGAGGGUACAACCUAUCUGGCUGCCAUCCAUAGGAGUGAGCAUCAUAUGCUGACUUGUCGAUGGCCCUGCAGUUGUUGUGGCUGUCCAUGUCGGGCACGCGCAUUUGAUGCAGGGAACUGUUGAGUGGGGACUAUAGCUCCCUUUUGGUGUAUGCUUCCCUUGUUGGAGCAGAUGCGGUGAGUCGGAAGACGGUGUGUCUGAAGAUGCAGAUAACGCAUAAUGUUAAGAACGACAUAUCUCUUUGAUCUGAAGAAAUACACUAAGAGAUCAAUAGCAAGGUACGAGAGUGGUCACACGUCUGUUGACUGAAGACUAAAUUGGGGUCACAUGAUUUUAUUUUAUUUUGGUACUGUCCGAUCUACGCCGGAUGGCUUGAUGGCCGUCUUGUGCCUCCCGGCUGACACUGUUCGGAAUCUUCCCCGAAAAGCCAGCGACCAACGGCAGAGCAGCCUGCCUCCGUCGUCCGUGGCUCCGGCCAAAACCCCGCUCCCCGCCCCACCGCACUCCGUGGUUGCGCCACCCCGGGCCAAUCCACAAAGACUCCCCGUCAUCCAGAUCCGGCGGCGGCAGUACCUUCAACCCACGCAACUCUAAAAGAUAGCCAUCUAAGCGCUGCUUCCGCGGCGAACUUGCGGCCCCGCGCCCUUACGUUAGACACCAGCCAACCGACAGCCUAGGAGCUCCGCCGCCUCGAGGGGUGCUGCUUCCCAUUGGGAAUCGAUUGGCCCAGAAUAAAAAUUCAGACAACUGACGCCUAAAUAAAGUGAUUUGAGAUGAGGGUGCGACCUAUUUGGCGGCAUGGUGAAGUAGGCAGGUCCAGCUGCUGAGUCGGUGAGGCCGACGCGGUUGCGGUGGCGACCGGCGGCAGGGAAACAGCGAUGUCGCGACGGUCGACGACUACGGGGAAGCAACGCCGGGACUCUGGACGGAUCCGAAGUUGGAGCCGCUCCGGCGCCAUGAACAACGGAGGGGGUGAAUCGGCUCCGGUACGGUUCACGCGACCGUCGUCGAGGCACAUGGCCCAGUGCACGACGGCAAAUGGACAGCGUCUCCGGCAUUAGGGAGGAGGGCGGCUGUGAAAUUGGUGCGGUGGGGGCGCCAUGGAGAAGGGGCUGAGGUUUUGCGGCUCGGGAGAAGGGAGCUUCCCGGGGAGUAGGUGAUUUGGCGCCCACGAGGUAUGAAUGGGGGGGCGGGGGAGGGGGGAAUUGGGAGGGGAGUGGAACCAUGUCUUACGGACGCAUUUGUCUGAAAUGUGAGGGGGAGUUAUAGUUCUACCCUGCCUUUAGGCUUCUCGGCUUGGGUCUGUGUACUGAGGGUUGGGGAUGGUAGAGUAACUUUGCUUCUCCCCAAAUAGUGGGCGGGAGCGAUUUCAGGCGAGGAGGGCGUGUUUUGAACUAUAGUGGGCGCGAGUGAUUUCGAGCGAGGAGAGCGUGUUUUGAAAUAGUGGGCGCGAGCUAUUUCGGGCGAGGAGAGCGUGUUUUGCCGACCAUGGUUUAUGAAUUAUUCGGCACAUGUCAUUUCGGUCGAGGAGAAGGCGCGCUUGGAUGAAGUUACGAACCUACCCUCGAUGUACAACGGACCAAUUGAUGCGUGUCCCACAUAGGACGGUAAUUUCGCGUCUCCCAUUUAUUUGCUCGGGCGAAUUCCACCGAGCAGAGAGGAUGUUUAACGGUUCGUUCAAAUUUUGGGAGAACGAGCAUCCACGUCUACCUUACCAAGUCGAUUCGAAUCAAAUUUUGAAAUAUUAGCUUGCCACUUCUUUUUUAGAUGGAGAGAUGAUGCUCGGGAGUAAUGUGUUUUUACAUGCUCGUUGCUAGCGAUUUACUAUAUGACAAAUAGUUGACCCACUCAAAAACACGAAUCAAACCCAAAAUGAAAUAUCUCGAUUCAAUGAAAUAGCUCGUUCAGUAGGUCAAAAUAGUGAACUAAAUCCAAAAUUGAACACCUCAAUCGAGUAGCAUGUUGUACAGUAUUAUAGUACUCCAUGAACAUGUUGAAAGUCAAAUUAAUGAACUUGUUUGAUAUACGCAUAUAUCAGUUCAUGUGUGGAUUGCAGACAACAUGCUCUUCAAUUUAAAUAUUUGAAUGCAAGUUUAUAUCGAAACAUGGUUUAUAUCAGUCUUUGAUGCAUAAAACGCGACCUCCCCCUCUCCCGGACUCCUGUUCUCUCUCUCUCUCUCUCUCUCUCUCUCUCUCUCUCUCUCUCUUGCCGACAAUCUUCAAUUCUGUCACACGCAUCCGACACAAAAACCUUGUUGGUCCCUCUCCCUUUCUCUCCAUCUCUCUCUCUCUCUUUGUGUGUGUGUGUGGGGGGGUCUUUCUAGUUCGCAUGCAUAUAUACACCAUCUAUAGGUCUCUCUCGCACACUAUGUAUGAUACUCUAGCUAGUCCAAGCUAGAUAUCUUGGGUGCACUCAUUGUACGCACACAAAUUCCUUGGCUCUUUGCCCGUAACUCUCUCACGCACCACUCUGUCGUCUUGGAGCUCUUCCCCCCCCCUCUCUCUCAAACUCUCCAUCCACCUGGGUCACACAUACACAUGCAUAUCUCACUCGCACUCGAUAGGCCCAUCUAAAACUCUAUCUCUCUCCCUCAUUCUCUCUCCAUCUCACGCGCACACACACACAAUCUCAUGCCUAGCUAGCCAAGUACGAUGGUCUCUCACUCAAUUGUAGGCACACGCAGUCCCCCCUAUAUGUAUAUGACUAGCUAAUCUUAGUCUCCAUCACAAACAUGUGCAUGGUCUAUCUCGAUUUCUCUCGGGGCAUCUUUCUAUCACGCACACACUCCCUCGAUCUCCCACCCAUAUAGUCCCCUCACGAUCUCGAGGGGAUCUCUCUAUCACAAACACACCCUCUCUCCCUCCCCAUGCGUCCAUGCCAUCCAUGUGUCCCUCUCGACCUUUGUUCCUUGUUGGCCAGACCUCUAUUGGACAUGUGCUACAGGGGUGUCUCUCUCCGUUGCAAACAAUCACACACUAGUUAUCUUCGUGUAUCUCCUUGCCUCGCUUUUCCAUCUCAGAGAUGCAUGCGUGAUAUGUUCGCAUAAGAAACGAAAACACACACACUCUCUCUAAUUUAUCGUUUGUUGUCACUUUCUCUUUCACACACAUACUCUUUUUGCACACUCACUCAUUCUCCUUCACACGCACUUGAUUUGUCUCGACUUAGGCACUCUCCUCGGUCCAUAGCAUAUAGAUUUAUUGAAAAGUCAAACAUCACAAAGUUUGACCAUGUACGUGGAGAAAAACAAUUACAUCUAGUAUGGCAAACAUAUACCAUUAGAUUCACCAUGAGAUGUAGUUUUGUAUGAUGUAUCUUUGGUAUUGUAGAUAUAAAUAACGUUUGCGUAAACCUGAUUAAAGUUUCCAAAGUUUGACUUCUAAAAAAUUUACAUGCACUGCAUUAUCGAGUGGAUGGAAUAUCUCUUUCCCCCUCUCAGCUAUCUGACGCACCACUCAGCCUUAUCGGGGCUCCUCAAUCUCUCUCAAACUUUAUUGGUCAGUUUGGUUCGUGACCUGACCCUCAUGCCUUGAUGGCCAGUACUGCCUGGUGCGGACGUGAGAUGUAAAAUAUUUCUGCCUGGCCAGGCUUUUAUGGUGCUAAAGCGUUUGGUUCAUGCCUGGGCCAGGCAAAGCAUCAACGUCCCAUCAAUCAAUCCAUGCAGCAAUUAUUUGAUGCUAAUAUCCAUCCAUGUUGUUGUUAGCCUUGUGGCCGCACGACCAGGCACGGCCAGGCGUUCGAAAUCAGUCGCCUGGGCCAGGCUACUUGCAGUGUCUGGAGUCCAGCCAGGCUAAUUAAAGUGCAAGGGAACCCAGCCCAGGCGGGCUUUCUUUUUCACAGGGUAGCAACCAAACAAGCGUGCCUGAAAUCCAGCCACAACCCCAGGCCAGGCAAAAGAUGCUCAAGACGCAAGCCAAACUGACCUUAUAUCUCCCUGGUUCACACAUACACAUGUCUCGCUCGCGCUAUACAUAUAGACCCAUCCAACACUCUCCGCCCUUGUUCUCUCUCCAUGUGACACGCACCCCCCUAAGUACCAUAAUCCCUCACUCCAUCAUAGGCGCAAGCACUCCCCCCCUUCCUAAGUAUGAUUAUCUCUUACUAGCCAUCAGGAACACACGUAUUGUCUCCUUCCAUCCAUACGUCUAUCUCGAUAUCUCUCGGGGCAUCUUCUAUCGCGCACACACCUUGUCACUCGAUCUCCCACCCAUGUAGUCCCAUCACGAUCUCCAGGGGAUCUCUCUAUGACAAACAUACACUCUCUCCUCCCCAUGUCUGCAUUUUCUCCGUACGUCUCUCUCGACCUCUCUCCCUUGUUUGUCAGACCCCUCUUGGCCACAUGCUAGGGGUCUUGCUCUCUCGGUUCCAAACAACCACACACUAUCUCCUCACCUUGCCUCCAUUGUCGAAGAUGCAUGUGUGAUAUGUUUGCAUAAGACACGCACGCUUUUUCUCUACUUUUAUCGUGUGUUGUCCAUGUCUCUUUCACACACGCACACACACUUUUUUCACUCUCUCUCUCUCUCUAGUUAGGGACUCUGUCACGUCCAUAAGCAUAUGGAUGUUUUGAAAAGUCAAACCUCAGAAAAGUUUGACCAGGUAUAUGUGGAGAAAAACAUUUACAUCUGGAACGAUCAUUAGAUUCAUCACAACAUGUACUUACUUCAUACUAUCAUUUAUCUUUGUUAUUGUAGAUAUAAGUAAUUUCUUUAUAAACUUGGUCAAAGUUUCAAAAGUUUGACUUAAAAAAAUGUUGGAACUACAUUAUCGAACGGAGGGAGUAGCUCUUUCUCUCUCUCUGCUAUCUCUCACGGGCCUCCCCUCUCACUCGAACUCUCUAUACCGACGGAUUAUACGCUCACUGUGUCAGCGUAUAGCUCCGUAUAUUGUUUAGUUGACCGGUCAACCAAUCCACAUGCUGCCUUGUCAGCUCGUGUUCUGUAUCUUCGUGUGCUGGCCCAUGUGGCAGUGGGUGAAAAUAAGUAAACUAGAGGCCCAUCUGACACGCGGUGAAGUAAACAAAGUUGAAACCACUCGGGGUAGCACCCCGCACGCUGGUAAAUUCUUGCGCGCAAAGGACGCACUCGCGCACAAUUCACCACUGCGCGGCGGCAUGCACAGAAGGACGCACUCGCGCACACCCAGCACACAACACACACCAGCACUUGUACACCGACGUCACCGCCGGUUGAGAUGGAUGGCGAGGCAGCCAACAAGCAGGGCGGCUCGAGCCAAAACCGCAUCCGGCGAGCCUGGACUUCAUCAGCAGCCUCCCCGACGACAUGCUGCUCGUCAUCAUCGGCCUCCUCCCCACCAAAUCUGCCGUGCGGACCGCCCUGCUCUCCCGGCGGUGGCGCCCCCUCUGGCGCUGCGUCCCCCUCAACCUCACCGCCGGCAACUGCCUCUGCGAUGGGGAUUGCAAACGCAUGGCCGCAGUCUCCAAGAUCCUUUCAUCGCACCCUGGGCCAGCCAGACGCCUUGACAUCCGCAUGUUCAGUACCAACUGCAAGGUCCAACCCAAGUUCGACGAGUGGUUCUUAUCCCCCGCCCUAGAUCAGCUCGAGGAGCUCAGCUUUGAAGCUGGACGAUGUCGCUCUCUGCCGCCGUCCGCGCUCCGCCUCACGCCAACGCUGCGCCACGCCAGCUUCAGCUCCUGCUAUCUUCCCCAGAUUAAUGCUGCGCCCGCCCUUCUUCUCCCUCAACUCAAGCAGCUCGACCUCUUCGACGUUGUCAUCUCGAAGAAGGCUAUGGAGCACUGCUCCGCAGCUGUACUGCGCUCGAGUACCUUCGUCUUGAGCAGAUCCACGGGUUCAUUAGCCUCCACAUCGCCUCGACGAAUCUCCGAUGGAUUUAUGUGUCUUGUUGGCCCCGCAACAAGACAUCAAUUGGGAAGAGAUCACUCCAGCUGUUCCACGUUAUGGUCAUUGAGAAUGCGCCUUUCCUUGAGAGAUUGCUUGUAUCGGAUCUAGAAGGUCCAACAAAAAUCAGGGUCAUUGACGCGCCGAAAUUGACAGCGUUGGUGUACUCGUCUACCAAAUUCUCCGAACUCUUUAUUGCAUCCGUAAUCGUUCAGGUACAGCACUCAUCUUCUUCUCCGUCUUCUUGAAAUUCAAAUUUUUAAAUUUCUUCUUGAUGUAUUUACGACCGUCUUCCAGAAAAUGAUUCCCACAAGCUUGACCCAGUCCAUGCGCACAGUGAAGAUCUUAGCACUAAAAUCUAUCGGCCCCAAUCUGGAUCAAGUUGUUGGAUUCCUUACAUGCUUUCCGUGCACGGAGAAGCUACUCAUCGAGGUGAAACUUCUUUCCUAUAAGUAAACGAUAAUCACAACAUAGCUCAAUAUUUUCAUAAUUUUCCCAAAUUACGAUGACAAGUUUAGUGUUCAAAACUGUAUCUACGCACUGCACCGAAAGAAAUGUUUUUAGUAUUUUUUUCUCACGUGAUCACCUGCAUCGUUUUUAUGCUGUACUACUAUAGUAGCCUAGGCUAGUCAUAGUGGAAAGUAACUUAGACUACUCCAGUAACUCUAUGGUUACCCUAAGAGCAAGUACUACCUCCGUCCUGGUUUACUCUUCCAAUUUUUUAGUAUCAAAAUUUGACCAUAGAUUUAACUGACAAAAUGUUAAUGCAUGUCACUAAGAACUAUAUCGUUGGAUUCGUAUUUGAACAUAAUUUCAAAUGGUGUAAUUUUUAGUGACAUGCAUUGGCAUUGUCUUAGGUAAAUCUAUGGUCAAAAUUUUAUACUAAAUACGAGGUAGUAUUCCCUCCGUCCCAAAAUUCUUGUCUUACAUUUGUUUAGAUACGGAUGUAUCUAACACUAGAAUGUAACUAGAUACAUCCAUAUUUAGACAAAUUUAAGACAAGAAUUUUGGGACGGAGGGAGUACAAAAGUGGGCUAUGUAGGCCAAAAAUGUGCCAAAUUCACUUGUGAUGCAUUUGGCAUCGAUGCCCCUCCAUUGCUCACCCGGUGCCCCAAUCUGGAUCACCUACUUUGCUCCGGUGCCAAAUUAACUCACGCGUGGGAGAGAGAGGACUGAGGCAAUAAAAAACACUUGUUUGGGAGAGUGAGAGGCUGGUGUAGUUGGUUUGAUUGAUUUGUUUAUACAUGUGGGUCUGUGUGCACAGCGGUGCCAACUCUCUCACAUCGCGAGAGCGGUGCCAAAAUCUUUUGAUUUGACAUCGAUGCGUAUUAUGUGGCAUACUUUUGCGAAAUAUGGCAUCGGCCACAUAGUGGAAGGAAACAAAUGCCCAAGCUCUUCACGUGCUCCUAGUUAAAUGAGAGGAAACAGAGAGAGGGAGAGAGAGAGAGAGAGAGGGAGAGUGAAAGAAUAUCACUAGCCAGCCAAUCCUAUCGUAUGAGCGAAUGAUAUUGGUACCUCUUGAUGACACGGCAAUCUUAUACAGCCAGCUGCUCUAAUAUGUUCUCUUCUUUUGCAGAAAAAAAAGACCCGAAAGUGAAAAAUGUGCUGCACUAUAACAAUCUCAUCGAAUGCCUUGAUCUCCAUAUUACAGAAAUUGAUUUGAUCGACUACCGAGGCAGCACAUCUGAGAUUAAAUUGGCCAGGUUCUUUGUUCUAGAGGCAAGUGUGCUCAAGGUAAUGAGGUUUGGCAUUCUCUGGCGCAACAAUGAAUGGCGUGCUGAUCACCGCAAGCGUCUAAGCCUAAAUGACAAAGUCUCCGCAGAAGCUGAAUUUGUUUUUGAAACAUCAAGUGGCCAGAGACUCGAAAACUUAUUUGCCCAUUAGUGACUUGUCAGGGCGGUGGAUUUUAGUUUGUACGAUAAUGCUGCAUCCACCUAAAGUAACGAAAGUUCUUACGUAAACUUCCUAGUAAUUCCCUCUUCGUAGGUGCAGCAUUACUCCUAACAUUUGUAAUACCAGUUUGAAACUUGUAAUAUUGUCGUGUCCUAUUCCUGCGUUUUCAAAAUCCUGCGAAUCAAACAGGUCCCGAGUUGGUGAUGAUGUUGUGCCUCCCAUCUUUCACCAAUAGCCGUCGGAUCUAGAUCUGACGCAUACAAACCAAGCUUCUCCAUUUUUGCAAAAAGAUGCCCGCACUUGUUCCCUAUUUACAAACAACGCCUUGUCUCUCACAAUCAGCCUUAUCUCCUCCCCACCACAUCUAGAAGGCCGUGGAAAAAUCCGGCGCGAUGGCCGCUGCCGGCGCCGUCCACCCCCAAUCUUGGUGUUCCGUGCAAUGCACGGGCAUCUACGCACGGGAAAUUAUGUCGAAUAGGGCUAGUUAUAAGCAGGCUAGCUCUACAGCCAUGAUGAUAGUGACUGCAGACGGUGAGGCUGACUAUGGUAUGCCGAACACGGCGCCUAUACUCAGGUGUCAUCUCCGGCGCAGAGUCUUGUCACUUCACUGUGAGGAGCAGCACCUAAUAAUUUGACCAACGGGUAGUACAGUGCUAGUACUCCUACUACUACAUUUGUAGUACUACUACUAGUACUAGUAGCACCAUUGUCUGGAUUUAGGAGUACUACCACGUCCAUCUGGAUUUUAGUAUUUGACUAGCAAUAUCUAGUAAUGCAUGUCACAAAAAAUGUACUACUCCCUCUGUAAAUAAAUACAUGGUGUUUUAUUCCUAUCGGCGAGAGAACUUAAUGUCUUUUUGCUAACUAGAGUACUAAUAGGAUUACAUGCAAUGAACUAAACACUGCAUGUCAUGUUUGGUAGUUAUGUCACGAAAUAAGAAACAAGGAGGGAGUUAAUGCACCGUGCCUAAGUGUUUUGGGAUUAUUUGGUUUUCAUAAGGUGACUUACACAACAUUUUUGUUUACAUGCAUUAACAUUUUAUUAGUUAAAUCAAAGGUCAAAACUUGGCGCAAAAUGCAAAGGGGACCAAUAAACCAGUAAACAUCAAACUUCUCUCGUUUGGCCCCAACUAGAGGUCCGGUGAGAUGACUAUACUGCACCAGCACGGAGGGGGACGCAGCUUCAUUGACUUACGGCAACUGCCUUUGGGUGAAUGACACGUGGGCCCAAGGGGUGGCUGGCCCACCUAUCAUACAGCCAAAGGCAGGUGCAGUAGAGCAUGGUUAAUAGUAUAGCCAGCUGCUGGCUAUAAGCCAGUGCCAUGUCAUCUAUAGCCCAUCUUAUAGUCAACAUGUACAAUAGUAGAUCAAAAGAGUGUACUACUUUUUUAUUAUGUGGCCCACCUUUCAUUCUCACAAAGUGCCUAGGACCGCGUGCUAGAGCUGGCUCUUCACGAAGAGCCCGCUUACCUUCUCUCUUCUCUUUCCUCCAACUAAGCAGAAAUAUACUACUCCCUCCGUCUAGGUGAGUAAGUCAUCUUAGGCUGUGCACCGUGACCAAGGAGGAGGGGAAAACGAGAGACACUAAUGUUUAUUUGCUAAUUAAUAGUAUUGCAUGCAAUGAACUAACCACUGAAUGUCAUGUUUGAUAGUCUCAAGUCAUUAAAAGCAUGCACACCCUCAUCUCUUAUUGGUUGAUAUGUCAAGAAACAAGAAAUGAGGUAGAAGUUAAUGCACCGCGCCUACAUGUUUUGGGAUUAUUUGGUUUUCGUAAGAUGACUUACACACCUAGACGGAGGGAGUAGUUUAUUUCUUAUAGCCCGCUGACUCAACUCUAUUGUACUUGCUCGUAGAGAGCCGAGGAGUAGUACGAAAUCCUACGCACCUACGCACGCUAACCAAGGGCAAGAGUGAUCACUCGAAUCGCAAGAUCAGUUGACUAGAAGCUAAGCUAGACCCAUGGAGGCGAUGAGCGCGAGCAUCAGCCGGUUGUGCCAGAUGGUCCACGACGCCGGCCUGUGGCCCGGCACCGAGGAACGUCUCCAGGUAGUAUUGCUUGAGGCCGCCAGGGCGAGGGGCCGCUUGGACGACAGCUUCGUCUCCUUGUUCGACGAGGUCCUCGUCGGUUUCCUCGACAAGUUCACCGUCGUCAAGAAGCUCGCGGACGACUUUGACGUACGCCUCCAGCCGACGCGCCCAGGCUCUGUGAUGCCCGCCACCCUCAACGUCCACUAUGGUGACAACCUCUUCGACGCACUGGUGGCCCUGCGAUUGCCCGCCGUCGCGCCGGAGAAUGUCCACCUCGAGGUCACGCUCGCCGCGCAGCGCCUGGCGCAGCAAUACACCAUUGACAUAAUCACCCACGUCUACGCGUAAAUCGUCCACAAGGACUACUACAUGCAAGAGGAGGACGAUAGGACGCUGGCCUUCUUGGACCGCAGGGCAACCUUGGACGGCAUUGUUCAGAAGCACGUUGAGCUCGCCGCCAACGCCGCUGCUCCUCCCAUGUCGGUUGGUGACCCGGCGCACUAGGGCGUGAGGAUGUCGUUGAUGGAUCCGUAUGUAUUUUUAUCUUUCCGUCAAAUCCAUGUAGUAGUAUAUUAUACUACUAGUAAUUAUCUUACCUUUCGCAUCAACUUCAUAAUUUUCGUACGUACUCCAUGCAUGAACAGCGCCAGAACCAAACUUCUCAUUACUCUAGGCAAAAUCGUUAUUUUCUAUCUAUCGGUCGCGCCAUGGAGCAGAACCAAAUUUUACAAGUUACGAGUUCAAAAGGAAAAGCCUGCCGUGUUCGGGUCGCACCCCCACACGGUUGGUCCGGCACGCCGCUCAAGCGGGAAUGCGUGCGGUGUUGCAUUUUCACUUACAAGUGGGACCGCAGUUGAGCAAACCGACUAUCGGCAAACCCCCACCCCGCCCACCGUGCGAUGGCUGAGAAAACAGGAGGGAGAAGAGAUGGCUGUAGCACGGACUCCAAGAAAAUUGGUGUUGGAUGGGACUCGUGUGGGUGGCGUGUGCCGUACUACUAGACGUGAAUGCUACUUAUGGCCCAUGCCACCCCACUAUAUCGAGCCUAUAUCGAGGUACGUAGAACAAAUUUCCUGCAGUCCGUGCUCAGCCCUCCUCUAUCUCUCUUCUCAGCCAGACAACGGACGCGUGGAGCCCAUCGUCUGUUUGCUCACAUGCGGUCCCACAUGUCAGUGAAAACGCAAGAGGACCCACUGAACCUGCACAUCUUUCACCUCGACGUGCUGGUGAUGAAAAACAAAUCCAAUAAAGAUCUUCGGUGGCCGCUUUUGGAGUUACUCAAGAGUAGUAAGAUUCUAUUUACAGUUUAACCCAAGAUGCACAUCUCGUGGCUUCAACUACCACUCUAUUUUCUUUCAUGACACGACCUGGAUGCUGGAUGUCCCACGUGUCGGCAAAAGGAGGAAGAACCCGACCAAAUCUUCUGUUGUGCUCUCGGAUUAGACUAGUUGUGCUAACUUAAAAAAUUUAUUGUGUACUCCCUCCGUUCCAAAAUACUUGACUUCCAUUUGUCCAAAAAUGGAUGUACCUAUAUACUAAAACAUGUCUAGAUACAUAUAUAUUUUGACAAAUAGAAGGCAUGUAUUGUGCAACGGAGGGAGUAGAAUGGAUGCAAGUCUUGGUAUUGGGAAGAAGAGUACAUCCAUAUAUUGAUAGAGCGCAAUUUAGUAGAUGUUCUAGCACUUUUAGCUAGCAUAGAGGCUAGAGAUGAGACUAGUGCACUUGUUUAUACUCCUACUAGAAUAGAGGCUAGACAUGAGACUAGAUGCGAGGAAGCAACGUCUACUUCUUUACACUCGAAGAAGAAAGAAGCACGCAAGAUCGAGCCUCCGCAGAUCAACAAUGAAUGCAUCGAGAAGGCACUAAUCCAACUUACAGGAGUAGUAAAAUGUAUUCUUGUGGUUCUUGUUUUCUUUGGUCUUGCUUGUCUAGUCAAAAUUAUCGUUGGAGUUCGUGCAAAAUGAAGGUCCGUUUGGGGUCGUGUGUUGGAGUUGGCCUUACAAGUGGGACCGCAGUAGAGGAAACCGACUAUCGGCAAACCCCCACCUCGCCCGCCGCGCGAUGGCUGAAGUUAGAGAAACGACGAGGUUGAAGAGAUUGCUCUAACACGGACUCCAAGAAAUAAUAUGGUGUCAGAUGGAUGUCGUGGUGGUGGCGUGUGUCGUACUCCUGGACGUGAAUGCUUGUUCUGGCCCAUGCCACCCUACUACUCCUACUACUUACUAUAUACUACUAGUAUCGAGGAUUCGAGGUGCUGGUUACGUACAGCGAACACAGUAUUAACAUAUGGCUACAGUGAAAACACCCGCCCGACACGCGAAGCAUGUGAAGCUAGUACAAAUAGUGUACUACUAUUGUUGAUUGGCCUCAUCCGAUAACCUGUUGCAAUGCACGUACAAUUAUGUAUUGGGAAAAUAUUCUUUUGCCUCGUCGCACCACUCACUCAGAGAAGCGACUCGAAAGCCAUUCAUAAAUUUAGUAAGUUUAUCACAGGCAUAUCAUUUUAUUACAUACAACAGGUCAUCAACCCACAUCGACAACGAGGAUACAUUAUAAAUACUAAAGUUUUCACCACACAACAAAUAACAAGCAAUGAAAUGAACUUCAACUCAACCAUUCCUCGGCGUUGGAAAUGCUUGCUUUGAACCACAAGUGAUUCUCUGGGACGGGCCAUCCAUUGUCGAUCUGGAGACCAACGCAGGACUGAUCAUCCAGGCUGAAGCGGCCUACUAUAUCAGUACCAGGGUAGGGAACCACCCAAAUGUCCGAGGUAUAGACACAGUUGCUUCUCAUAAAUGGUAGUAACAUUGUGUCAACAGCAGUUGGAUCGCCUUUCACCAUCAUUGGAUAGUUUUGUCCAAGGAAGAGCGAGUUUUCUCCAAGACUAUCAAUUCUGUACCAGGGAGAAGGAGUUGGCGCUAGAACACUAGUAUCCAUCCCGAAUACCAUGCAACGGGUGUUGGAAUAGGUCCGGAGAGUGCGACCAUGGGAGACUACACCUGCUUCCUUAGUAGUAACAUCAUCAGUGGGCUGUAUACACACAAGAAGAGGUGAUCCAUCGUAAUUAGUUGCCAGGCGCCACAGAGUAUAUGGGUGCUGCUCGUCCUCAUGCUCGUGAUCAUCACCAUCGUCAUCUCCCCCUUGGUUAUAAAAAAAUUCAAGUAUAGGUGGUGGAAUGUUCACAGGACCUUGGAAAACACAAGAAGAAGGUUAAUUAGUAAAGGGAAACUUGCUAACCCGCAUGCAUGUGGAUGAAACAAUUAUAAUUACGGUGGAAGACAAACGUACCGAAAUCAUAAGGAUUCCAUGCAAAAACAGUGCCACGAGUGGUGGCAGCAAACACAAGGCCCUCGUAUUGAAUUGCAUCACAGUACUCAUCCGUGUACAGAAAGUGAUUUUUGAGCAAUAUCCAUCCAGUCAAACCACGAAGGACGGCAACAAGCUUGUCGAAGAUAGCAACAACUUCAUAGUUGUUGUAAUUCCAAGAGCGGUUGGGAACUCGACAAAUUGCUAUCUUCCGUAGAAGACAGUCACCAUGAUCGUAUUUGAACGUGCGUACAAUAUCGGUGUGCUCAACCUCUGGGCAGUAUGCUGAGAUUUUUGGAAGUGGAACCCGGUCACGAGUGUACACAUUCACAAGUUCCCACUCGCAGUUGGACCCAAUGUAAACAACCCAAUCUCCAUUUGCGCCUGCCCAAGCCUUACCCUCAAGCGAUGGCAUCUUAACAUCGUUAACAUCAUACGUAUCAUUAUCAAGCGGCAUUAACUUGCACAGGGCGAGGCCUCCGUCGUCCCGGCGCCAGUCAUCAGGGUCACGGCGAAGAAGAUAGGGGAGAUCAAACCGCUCCUUGACUCUUGGGUUCCUUGUAAUGAUGUUAUUAGUCGAGUCGAGAAUGGGCUUGAACGAACCUUCCAUGCUAGCCGAGGUGAUGAUGUCGCACCAAUCAAUGAGUUCCUCCACCACGUCAUCUUUCAGAUCGGGGCAAGAAUAAUGGGGUCGUUUCCGGCCUGUUCCCUCCAUGGAGAAGACGAUCGAACAAUGGCAGAAGAAAGGGUGAAAGGCUGAAGGAAAAUGGAGGAGGGAGAGGAAGAGCAUGCGACAACAGUUCCAAAUCGAGAGGGAAAGGCGAAGAGUCGGUGGACGGUUGCCAGUUUGCCACGGUUCACGAAGAGGCGCCCCGGCCUACACGUCCAUUCGGAAAUACUACUACUCGCCGUCGUCUCACUGAUAUGUCAGAACGGGACCACAUGUCAACGAAACAUGGUGUGUAAUUUCUCGUGCAAAAUGCGAUCUGGCCGCGUUAGCUCGAGGUGCCGCAUUAGUUAUCGACCUUUAUUUUUUUAAUGGCGUGCCGUUCAGUUUUGAAGCACGGCUAACUGGUAUUGUAUGCAGAGAAAAUAUAAACUACUCUAUCACUACUCCACCUCCAGUACUAGUAGUAUAAAAAAGAUAUAUAGGCUGGAGCUUCAGCGCUUUCUUGCUAAGGGCUGCCCACUUGCUUCUCACACUACCACCCUCUCUCCAGAUCUAAAAAGACGGCCUCUCUCUCCCUCCUCACUGGUGGUCACAGAUCCGCCGGGGAAGAAAAGACGUGCAGCGUUAACGCACUCGUCGUCGGCGAGCGAGGUCACGCACUGACGACAAGGCCAUCCUCUCAGACCUAGCGCCCGCGCGGGAUGGCCUCCGUUCCCAAGCUUGCUGCCGUAGUGUGUGCGGAGGACGACGACCACGAGCGAAGCCACUUCCCGCCGACCCUCAGGUAUGCUACCUCUUUUCGAACCAUACCCUUGUUCUAUUGCCCCAUCUGCCGCGUCGUUGCAUGUGGAUCUUUUUCCACUCCACCAUCUUCCCAAUUUGCUAUCCUCUGCUCUGCUGGCCACGCAGACGAAAACCAUAAUUUGCACUAUUAAAGGAAACCCUACUUCAUGCAGACUAAUCCAUGUCUGGGUUGAAUAAGGAAAGGAAGGGAGACUGUACUGUCCAAGAGAGUAGGCAUCGAACCCGCAUCUAGGUUGAAAAGGGGAAAUCAGUAGCUAAGGAACGAGUCUCAUGUCUCUUGGUUGAAGAAGGGUAGAAAGGCAUGACAACGCAAUAGAGAAUGAGCAGGUCGAUCAGUUUGUUGUCCUCACAUAGGAAAAAGGUGGCUAAAGAGAACAAAAAUGGGACGUAAUCCACAUAUGCUGCCUGGAUAUUUGUUGCUCUGGGUAACCAUACCUUCCUCACCACUCUGCGUCCGUGGAGGUACAUCGUACUGGUGCGCCCACUGUCCGAAUGGGCCUCCCAUGCUCUUAUUGCCACUUUUUUUGCUGUUAGUAUAACGCCAGCAGUCAAGUCAAGCAAUGCUACUGCUAAAGUGAUGCCACAUUUAACUAAUGCCGCUCUCAGUCUAAUGCCACCGAUAAAUUUAUGCAAUGCCAUUUAAUGUCACUGGAUUAUUUCAGGGUUAGCUGUUGAUUGUGGAUGUAUUAAAGAUUUUUCAGCUAAGGCAUUCUAAUGAUGUUGCACAGCCAGUAUACCAAUGAUGAAACUUGUUACUACCUUCAGAUUUUUGCACUGUUAAUGCUUAUAGAUUACAUACCUCACUUUCAUGAGAUAAGUUGAUUUUUUGUAGAGUGUCACCAAAAUGCCAAGGCGCUGAUGUCAUUUUAUUUUGGUUAAACUGCACAAACAAUUAUGAAGACAAGAGGAAAGGUCAAGAGUGGGCACUUCCUCCUCCGGCUGUUCUCUUGAUCCGUUCGAUCAAGUUUUUAUGUUUGAUCGAUUAUCAAGAUUGGGAUAGCAAUUUUUAAGGUCCCCCGAGUUCGAAAUGAUAUUUACCUUGGAGGUACAUGGUUUGCAAUUUUUUUAUACUGUCAUUAGUUAAUAAUGCUAGUUACCUUCAGACUUUUGUAUUUGGUUUAAUGCUCAUGCACAGCUAGUAUACCAAUGCUGAAACUUGUUACCUUUACAUUUUGUAUUGUUAAUUCUUAUAGAAACCUUUCAGUGCUAGAGUUUAUUGAAAUCUGUUCAGUAAAACCAUUGUAUUGUACCCUGUAAUAAACUAACUACUCUACUGUUGCACUAGCCACUGGAUUAGUGUAUAUUUGUAGUAUCCGAAUGGUGUUGCAUUAGAGUAUGGGCAUAAAUAAAGUGUGGCAAGCUUUCCCAGAUAUGUGCUCAAGAAAACUACUACCUGUUUUUCUAAACACUAGGCGUUUGGGUACUUUAAAUUGAACCGCGAAAAUGUCUUAUAUUAAGGAACAGAGGGUGUAGAGUUCACUCAAAUUAUCCCGGUAAAGCUAGUCACACCUUUGUUAAAAUUAAUGUUCAUUAUGUUAUCGGAGGAGGUCUGUAUGUUUGUCUCUAAUGUCUGUCGACUACAUACCUGACAUCAUGAUGUAAUGUUAAGUCAUUUCCUUUUGUACAGUGUCACUGAAUUGUCAAGGCGGUGAUGGCAUUUUAUUUUAGUAGAACUGCACAAAAUUUGCUUAAAAGAAGAGUAAAUGUCAGGAAUGGCUCAGUUUUUCAAAAAAAACUAUGUAUGCCUUCCUGACAUCAGCCGUUGUUGCUUUAUUUAUUCCUUCAAACAGGUGGUUAGAAACAGUCUUGCUACCUUUUCCCAUUAAGAAAUUGGAAUGCUUAUAUUUGUGAGUCUAUGCUUCAACUAGUGCCACUUUUAUAGUAAUCACACUUUCAAUAUCUAUGCAAACAGGGAUGCUCGAUUUUAGUGUAACUGCACAAAAAGUCCAACUGGUUCAACAUUAGGAGCAUGUUUUUUUCCAAACCUUUAUAUCCAAUUGGUGGCACUAUGAGCUGUUCAUUACGAAGGUACAUGGUUUGCUACUAUCUUGCUACUCUUUUUGUACUGUCAUUAGAUAGUAAUACUAGUGGUUUGCAUGUGAAUUUAUUGGUAGGGUGGACCUACAUUGGAGGUGCAGGAUAGGAUUCAAUGAUUGGAUGCUCAAUUUCGGUUGUAUCGAUUUCACCUCUUCCAUCACUGCGAACAUGGAUAUCCUUGGUCUGAUGAAGAAUAGGCGCUAUAUUUCUGCUCUGAACCAGCAAAUCAAUUCAGUAUGAAAUUGUCCAGGGCAAAACAUAACUGUAUCAGAUUGUCCAGUGCAGAACAUGACAGAUGCUAAGCGGAAGAGACAUGUUUAAACCGAAAAUACAUGGUGUGGUAUAUGUCUACUAGCUGCUUGAUAUUUGUGCAGACAGAGAUGUCUGCCCGUUGCUAUUUGGCAAACAAACAAAGUGUCCGCAAUUUUGGUUGAACUGCACAAGAGAAUAGUAUAGUCACUGCAUGCAGUGCCAUUUGAAAAUAGACACAGAAAGAUUGGAUAGUCACUUCAUGGACUGCAGAAAAGUAGUACUGUACUAUUUAUUGGCCAACACUAGGUGCUUCAUUGCUUUGGUCUGGUUAUACAAUGGGCAUCAUUUUGCCUAAGUUAAAGUUUGUAUUCCGACAAUAGUCUCGAGGUGUGAUCGAGAGAAGACCAAAUCAUAUUGCAGUGGAUGUUCCUCCAUCAUGUGUGGUUCAUUCUCAUGGUUCCAGCUGUUGGUGAAACCACUUACGUUUGCAAGAGGAAUUGUAGACUUCACAAACAAAUUUGUCUUUCAGUCUGUACUGAAUGUUGGCCAAGAGAAGCAUCCAUGUUAGUAGGAAGAACAGAUGUUUUUUUCUAGAUCUUUGCUUUUGGAGCUACAUAUUUGUAUAUGAUCUGUGAAUCAUUGAGAUGCAUUAACAUGUUGAUCUUAUGUAUGGGAAUCGUACUAGUUAGUUUUAGUUGCGACGCAAGAUCCGAAGUGACUAAUCUUUGCUUUUGGAGCUACAUAUUUGUAUAUGAUCUGUGAAUCAUUGAGAUGCAUUAACCAUUACUUAUUUCUGUUCGCUCAGUGUUUACAAGUUACUGAUCGAUCACUAGCUAGCCUAGAAAUGCGCUCCUGGCAGUUUUAUUUGCGACGCAAGAUGCGAAGUGGCAGUUUUUUGAAUAAAAAUGCCUACCUCUGAAGAAACUGACAAGCUACACUAUCGAUCCUACACGGAUAAAUAGCGGAUCACGCACGUACUACCUCCUUUCCGGUUUGUAGGGCUCAAUUCAAGAAACGACCUACUCGAUCCUACAUGAAUAAAUAGCGGAUCACGCACGUACUAUUACCUCAUUUCCAGUUUGCAGGGCUUAAUUCAAACCUCUCACCAACCAAGGUACUCCCUCCGUCCGGGUUUAUUAGUCCCGUGAGCAAAGCAGCAAGACCAAGGCAUGGCAAUAAUUAACGGCAUGCAGAAGUUUAAGCCUAAUUAAUUCCAGCGAUUUAAGUGGCUGCAUGCGUGCCCUCGGCUGCUCGUUGCAUGCUGCUUCGCGUACUGGCUGCGAGCGAUUCUGAGUGCCUGCAUGCAGCCGGCCGUAAUUAAGGCAGCUAACUGAUGCAAAAAAAGAUGCGCUUUAAUUGUUGCGGGCUUUUUAAAUCCGUGGAAUCAUUAUUGACAAGGAGGGAGAUGAUUCGAGUGCACUCGUUUGACCGUCAUGCCGGCGUGCGACCCAGACAGGACGGGACGGCACAGUCAUAAUUUCAGUUUCUCUAGUUUCCACGGCAAGCUGGCGCGCUAAGCCAUUAUGCAUUGAAUUCCGAUGACCGUCGCGCUACCUUCCGCCUAUAAGUACUGUUUCCCGGCCUUCUCCGGUGGCACCGUGACCCAACUUGCCAUAUCCUCAUAAGCCCCUACUGGCCCGACGUCGCUCGCCACGUCCGCCAUGCCCCCGCCCGUCCGUGGUAGGCGACACCGGAGGCGGUCACCGCCGGAACUAGUGUUCGGUUUUUCACCGGAAGGCAGACGGAGAGAGGAGGCAUUCUAUCUGUCUUUAGAUGGCAAUGCGGAGAUCGAGGAGUUGUUGGAGCGCGACCGCCUGGCGGAGGAGCAGGAGUUGUUGGAGCGCGACCGCCUGGCGGAGGAGCAGCAUAUCGCCAAUUUGCGCCGCCAGUGGGACAUGGAGCAGCAGCGCACCGACGCUCUGAGUCGCGAGCAGAGCGCCCGCAACUGGGCCGACUACGUGGAGGCCGGCGCCCGGCAAAUAGCCCUGGAGGCUGUCGGGCACGCACGCGUUCGCGACGCCGAUUUUUACUACCAGCUCGCCAAGUGGGUUUCUCGAUUGGAAGCCGAAGCUUCGGUGGACCACGCCGGCAUGGAAAGGGCCAACGCGCGCGAGCAACGCGCCCUAUCGCACCUCUUGCAAGUCCGAGGCGAGGCGCAGGACGCCGGUGCCGGCGUUUAGCGUGUACCACAGAUGGCGGCCGGCAUCGUCUAGUUAGCUAAGAGUAAGUUAGUACUUGUAUGCUACUAGAGUAUUAGUGGGAGUAGAUAGUUAACUUGGCUAUGAUGGUUGUCAAUGUGGAAGUUCAGUACUCUAUAUGUGGAUCAGACCUGUUACUUUGCUCUGAAUGUUGAACUUUUCGUUUGAACGUAUGGAAUGGGCUGUUAUUUUUUUAAAUGGGUUGUUUUGUCCUCCACGGGUUUAGAGGCUGACUUGUGGGCCUACCAAGUUGUCCCGUACACAAUCAGGAGAUGAUUGUACGUGGAGAGGAUGACAGCAGGGACCCGCCAAGGUCAUGGCUGUACGCAAGCAAGUGCCUCCUUAUUUCAAGCCAAUAAAAAAAUGGCUCCUCCUAGUGGAUUUCUGACAUCUGGGUCCCAUGCCAUUGUCAACAUAGUCAAUAAACGAGAGAAUUGCACAACGAGCGGCUGACACCAGGGACCCAGCAGCUCGCCCAGUUAUUUUUGUUUUGGGUUAAUUUGAUAAAUACCACUCCGAAUCUGGUGUAUCCGAGAAAUGCCGCUGCAAUUUCCAAACUUUGAAAAAUGCCAUUUCAUAACAUUUCUAGUGGCAUUUUUUGAAGUCUGGAGUGGCGUUUUUAAAAGUUUGCAAACUGCAGUGGCGUUUUUCAAAGUUUGCAAAAAUUGCAGUGCCAUUUUUCAAAGUUUGGAAACUGCAGUGGCAUUUUUAUGAAUCGCCAUAAUUGGAGUGGCAUUUAUCUAAUUUGUUUUUGAGACGGAAGCAGGGUGUCAACUGGGCUGUGCGGGACACUCUGGCCUGUCUAGACAGCCUUUUCUUUUAUGUUUACCACAGACCAGCCCCGUAGUUUUUUUUCUUUUUGAAAAUGGCUAGCCCAAUUUUUUUGUGAUUUGUCAAGUAAGUCGCUUUAUCAGGCCUGUUGGGCUGCAAAUCUUUCAAGACGAGGAGAGCUUCAUUCGGCUGGCCGAGAAAAUGGCUUAUCAGUAAUGAGAAAUGGGUUGUACAUUUUUAAAACACAUCAAACCGGCAAUUAGUUUCAAAUAUCUUUUUUUCAUUUCGAGAUUUUAAAUUGCAUUGAUUUUUAUGCGUGGACAAUUUAUUGGAUUUUAUAUUGAUAUACAUUUAUUUUUAAAAUCAGUCUGAAUGUGACUCGAAAUUUCGAGAUUAAAAAUAGUUCAGACCGCACCGACAUAUGCAAAAUUUCGUAUAAUUUUUUAACCGUGGCCACAAUAUGGGCUGUGAUGCUAACAAAAAGAAUAUGGGCUCCAAAAAACCCGUAAGAAUUAGCAAAUGGGCUGUAAAUUAUUUAAAAUAAUGGCAGAUGGCCUGUAUGGUGUUUUCCACAGAUUUGAGGCUUUCCACAGAUGGCCUGUAUACUGUUGGAUGUCCAUCCAACGGCCGUCGUGCUUCUUCAAUCUCUACUCUUCCUGCUCCAGCCGCUCAAACAAGCAUCGGCGGGACUGCCUGCUCCCUCCUCCCCGCGGCUGGCUGUGCUGCCGCGCAGGCCUCACCACCCCACCGUACUCCCAUCGCUGGCCUAGCCAUCCCUCUACUCACCCACAGUCCCACACCUGCUGUUAUUCUCCGGCGACGGCAGACGAACCAGUAAACCCUCGUACAGUCGUACUCCCCUCCGCAUGGGAAACAACUGUCGAGUCUUCCCUGCCUCCGUGUUGUUCCCUUCCUAGGCCUCAUCGUCGUCCACCGCCCUGGUGCUCUCGGCAUGGCGUGGUCAACGUGGUCAACGACCGACAUGCAUCUGAAGUGGACUGUACGUGGAGAGGCUGACAGCUGGGUCCACGGCCGCACGCAAGGAAAUGCCUCCUUAUUACGCGCAAGAUAAUGAUUCCUCCACCUGACAUCUGGGACCCACCGAAAGGGCCUCUGUAUUUCGCGAAAAAACGUUACCGCCGCUGACAGCUCGGACCCACCAGCUAUAUCUUCGCACGCAAGGAAGUGCCUCCUUAUUACGCACAAAAAAUGAAUACUCCCCCUGCUAGCUGGGACCCAGUAUAGUGGGCCUACUAAGUUGACGGGGACAAAGGGCUUUGUCAACUUAGUCAAUAUGCACGAUUCUAGCUCGACUGACCGUACGAUGUCCAUCCAACGGCCGUAGUGCUUCUUCAACCUCUGGUCUUCUUGCUCCAGCCGCCCAAAGCAGCGCCGGUCGUGCCGCCUGCUCCUGCCUCCCGUGGCCGGCUGUGCUGCCGCGGAGGCCUCACCGCCCCCAUACUACUCCCACCGCUGGCCAGGCCAUCCCUCCACUCCACUCACCCACACCCCCUGUUAUUCUGCGGCGACGGCAGCCUCACGCCGCAGCAAACCAGUGAACCCUCGUAGUCCUCUACGCGUGGGCAUCCACUGCCGCGUCUUCACCGGCUCCGCGUCGUCCCCUUCCUAGGCCUCGCCGUCGUCCACCGCCCUGGUGCUCUCGGCGCGGCGUGGUCAACAUGGUCAAGGAACGGCUUCCAACGGACGUGGACUGUACGUGGAGAGGCUGACAGCUGGGUCCACGGCCGCAGCAAGGAAGUGCCUCCUUAUUACGCGGAAAAUAAUGAUUCCUCCACCUGACAGCUGGGACCCAUCGGACGGGCCACUGUAUUUCGCGAAAAAACGUUUCCCCCUGACUGCUGGGACCCACCAGCUACAUCUUCGCACGCAAGGAAGUGCGUCCGGGCAAAAAAAAUGAUUCGCCCCCCUGACUGCUGGGACCCACCAGCUACAUCUUCGCAGGCAAGGAAGUGCCUGACAGUCGGGACCCACCUGGUCAAAGCGUACGUUGUCAUUCUGGUCGCGAAUGUGUACGUACAUACUGGUCGAUGUAGAGGCGCGCACGUAGCAUGUACACGUACGUACAACGGCCAGGGUGAGAAAAUACGGCCACGUACGUACAUACGGGCGGGGUCUCGAACGCCUACUCGCUACGUACGGCCAGGGCUCGUGUACAUGGCUGGGUCGGAACAGAGAAACAGCGUCGUCGUCGUAUUCAUGGGGAGCCAACCGGCUGGGUCGGAACGGAAUGCGUGGUGGUGUUCAUCGGGAGGGCUUGGACGGAACAGGCGAUGGAAACGAGGCCUGACGUACCGCACAAUGCAGGAAAUGGCCUUGUGUUCGACCGGCCACGUUCGAAACGGGAUCCUGUUGAUCGGGAGGGGUGUGGCGUACCGCAAAACGGAGGAAACGGACCUCCUACGGUCGAAACGGGGGUCCUGUUGAUCGGGAGGGGUGUGGCGUACCGCAAAACGGAGGAAACGGACCUCCUACGGUCGAAACGGGGGUCCUGUUGAUCGGGNNNNNNNNNNNNNNNNNNNNNNNNNNNNNNNNNNNNNNNNNNNNNNNNNNNNNNNNNNNNNNNNNNNNNNNNNNNNNNNNNNNNNNNNNNNNNNNNNNNNNNNNNNNNNNNNNNNNNNNNNNNNNNNNNNNNNNNNNNNNNNNNNNNNNNNNNNNNNNNNNNNNNNNNNNNNNNNNNNNNNNNNNNNNNNNNNNNNNNNNNNNNNNNNNNNNNNNNNNNNNNNNNNNNNNNNNNNNNNNNNNNNNNNNNNNNNNNNNNNNNNNNNNNNNNNNNNNNNNNNNNNNNNNNNNNNNNNNNNNNNNNNNNNNNNNNNNNNNNNNNNNNNNNNNNNNNNNNNNNNNNNNNNNNNNNNNNNNNNNNNNNNNNNNNNNNNNNNNNNNNNNNNNNNNNNNNNNNNNNNNNNNNNNNNNNNNNNNNNNNNNNNNNNNNNNNNNNNNNNNNNNNNNNNNNNNNNNNNNNNNNNNNNNNNNNNNNNNNNNNNNNNNNNNNNNNNNNNNNNNNNNNNNNNNNNNNNNNNNNNNNNNNNNNNNNNNNNNNNNCACUGUUCAUCCAAUCGAUCGGCUUCAGUUAGCAGCAGUAGCGAAGGAAUUGCUCGAUCGGGUUUAGUUAACAGCCAUCGAUCGGUCGCUCGGGUUCAGUAACGCGUAGCCUGCAGUGCAAUCGCUCGGGUUCAGUUAGAGCCCAACGCCUCGCUCGGGUUUAGUUAGAGCCAACGCCUCGCACACACGCGCGUACGUGUACGAGAGAAACGCGCAUCGCUCGGCCCCCGACCUCCCACCGUAACCGGGAACUCCCCGAAAUUUUCCUCGCCCUUGCUUCUACCACGGUUUUUUUCCGUCAUGGACGGCCCAAAGAAUGUCAUGCAGCUGCGUCUCCGGCCCGCCCAGGACGAAAAGCCCAUUUUCUGUCAUAAUUUUGUCAUAGAAGUAGGAGCCCACCACAUUUAUGAUGAUACCGGGUUUGUCACAAUUAUCGUCAUAGAAGUGUCAUAUGUAUGACAGAAUUUUUUUUCGUUCGGCCCAAAAUGUCACGGAUGUGUCUUUUUUUUGUAGUGUGGGCUGGCUAGCUGGGUUGCGCCGGCUGGCUGAGGCCCGGGGGGCAGGGGGUUGUGGCCUUUUUUACUUUUGUUUUGUUUUUCUUUUGAAAAAGUUUUCUGUUUUGUUUUAUUUCCUAUUUAUUGUGACCUUAUAAAAUAUACAAUUAGCUCCUACAUUAGUGAUCCUAAAUAUACCACAGCCACUAAAAGUUUUGUGCAAAUUAAAAUAAUUUGCAUAUUUUUAUCAUUUUAAAAGGCAUUUAAAUAUUUGUUUUAGCCAUUGAUUUAUUUAUUUUAGUGCAUUUAAAUACUUUAUAAAAAUGUUGGUUCACCACCAUUAUUAACAAAUGAUUAUUUACCACAAUUUGAACAUUUUAGUAUUGACUUUGGAUUUUUUUUAUUGUUUGACUUUAUUUUAAAUUUGAAUUUUGGUUUGGUUUGGAUCAACCUGGGACCUAGCAAUAACAAAAGUGAUGACAUGACAUCAUUAGCAUGGGAUUACUGUAGUUUAAUUAUCUGGCCGUUACAUAUGUAUCAUAAAACGCGAUGAUUUCUUCUCUUUGAUGUUAUUUCUGAACGAAUAGGUACUUAUGGACUUGGAGUUAGGGUUGCAGGAGCUGCCAGGGACCCACAAGCCUGUCAGGCGCGGCAUGGGGGGUGGGCGCGCCCCCUGGGCUUGUGGAGCCCUGGUGGCUCUCCUCUGGUAAUUUCCUUCGCCGAUAUUUUAUAUAUAUUAUGAAAUAAUUCUCAGUAAAUUUUCAGCUCAAUCUGAGAACUUUUAUUUCUGCACAAAAAAUAACACCAUGGCAAUUCUGCUGAAAACAACGUCAGUCUGGAUUAGUUACAUUCAAAUCAUGUAAAUUAGAGUCCAAAAUAAGAGAAAAAAUGAUUGGAAAAGUAGAUACGUUUGGGACGUAUCAUGAACCAUGACUUUGUUCAAAUGAAAUUCUAAGAAAAAUUUAGGGGCUUGAAGUUUUGAGAGAACAAGUGAUACGCCUUAAACGUAUCUUAUUUUCUAAACACUUUUGCUCUUAUUUUUUACUCUAAUUUUCAUGAUUUGAAUGAAACUAACCCGGACUGAUGUUAUUUUCAGCAGAACUACCAUAGUGUUAUUUUUGUGCAGAAAUAAAGUUUCGGAUGGAGCAGAAAUUUGACAUAUAAUUUUUCUGGAAUAUAUAAAAAUACUGGUGUGAAGAUAUACCCGAGGGGGGCACCAUAGAGCCACAAGCUCCCGUGGCGCCCCUUAGGGCGCGCCACCCAGGCUUGUGGGACCCUCAGGACUCUGUUCGCCCUACCUCCAACUCCAUAAAUACAAUCUUGUGGAGAAACAAAUAAGAGAAAAUGUUUCAUCGCGUCUUACAAUAUGGAGCCGUCGCCACCUCCCGAUCUUCAUCAGGAGGGCUAUUUUGGAGGCCGUUUAGGGCUCCGGAGAGGGGAUUCGUCGUCAUCAUCAUCACCAACCCAUUUUCACCAUCAAUUUCAUGAUGCUCGCCGCCAGGAGUGAGUAAUUCCUUCGUAGGUUUGCUGGACGGUGAUGGAGUUGGAAGGGCUUGAUCCCUAGUAUCGACUAUAUUUUGAGAUUAAUGUUGCUAUGACUUUUCUAUACUCAAUGCUUAUCGCUAGCCCAACCGCCCUGAUUUCAGAUCUGAACACUCUAUGUUUUCAUGAAUAUAUUUGAGUUCUUGAUCCUAUCUAGUUAUAUGCACUUGUUAUUGUUAUGAUCCAUAAACCCCAAAGUGACAACAGUUGGGAUACUCUCCGGGGAUGACUGUGAUUCGAGGAGUUCAUGUGUAUUCAUCAUAUGUUGAUGCUUUGUUCUGGUUUUUUAUUAAAAGAAGGCUUUAAUAUCUCUUAGCUUCCUUAUGAACCCCGCUGCCACGGGAGGGUACGACAACAGAUGACAUGCAAGUUCUUAUAAUAAGCAUGUAUGACUAUAUACGAAAUACAUGCCUAUAUUAAAUUGAUGAAUUGGAGUUGUUGUGUAUCACUCUAGGUUGUGACUGUUAUAUGAUGAAUGUCAUCCAACACAAAUAUCCAUCGCUGAUCCAAUGCCUAUGCUUUGCUCAUAUUGAUUUUGCUAAGUUACUAUUAUUAUCGUUGCUGUUAGAAUCACUUCAAAACUGUUAUUGUUACUCUUCCUGCGACUACUACUAAUAUCAAAACUAUCAAACUACUGUGCCACUAAAUACUUUGCUGCAGAUAUUUAGCUCUCGAGGUGUGGUUGAAUUUACAACUCAACUGCUAAGACUUAUAAAUAUUGUUUGGAUCCCCUUGUGUUGAACCAAUAAAUUGGGUAAAAUACUACCCGCGAAGACUGUCGCGACCCCUUAUACCAUUGUAUUUCCCCCUUGUUUUACUAUUCCUGCAUUUUCAUUAGGGGGAGAAAAAAUCAUGUCCUUGUAUAAACAUGAUUUUUUGAAUAGUUUGGUAUAAUUUUGUUCACUUUCCCUUGUUUUAUUAUUCUUGCAUUUUCACCCGGCAGAGUCGCUCAUUUUUUUGGACGCCUAUAACGAAUGAGUCAUUCAUUUAGGAGGGGAGAUCAAUGCGAACGAAUUCGUUCGGGGGGAGAACCACCCCCGGCGGGAAGGCACCUCCGCGUGACUCUACAGCCUGGUAGUGAAAAAGCCGAACUAUUUUUUUGUUGUGCUAGACUAAAGCUCAGAUUUUGCUAUGCUACGAAACAAUAAUGUCAACAACUUUAAAAGCACAAAAUAUGCCACGGGUAAAAAGAUUUGUUUUUCAAUGACCCAAAAGAAAAUUUUCCAUGGAAGAUUCAUAGUAAAAAAUGCCAUGGUAUGUUUAAUUAAUUUUCGUUAUAUUGUAUACACAAUUUGAACACAAAAUUAUGUGUGAGGUAUUUGCCAUGGUGUGGUAGUAUAAAUUGCCAUGUUUAAAAAAUACAAUUGCCAUGGUACUAAAGAAUAAAAUUUACAUCACAAAAAUUAAAGAAAAAAGGGAAUUUGCUAUGGUCCAUCAUCUCAUACAUAAUUUUUCAUGAUCUCAAAAACUAAAUUUGUAGUGGAUUAAAAAUUUUAUCACACUACAUAUAAUGAAAUGUUUAUGCAUGGAAAACUUAGUUAGUUUUUCUUCAAAAAAAUAUGGCAAAAUUAGAAGAGUUUUCACUAAAACACAUGUCAACUUUUUGAAAAUGUAACGGUACAUGGAUUUUUGUUAAAAAGAUGGCAACAAUAUACUCAUGAAAAAUAAUCUAGGAAAUCCAUACUGCACAACCAAGAAGUUGCCAUGCUAUAUAGUGCAUGAAAUAAAAAAUUUCCAUGGCAAUACAUGUUAAAUAUUUGACAUGGCUAUUUAGGUAAAGUUGCCAUGUCAAUUAAGCUAAAUUUACCUUGGCAAAAAUAAAAGGUAAAACUUGCCAUGGCAAUGAAUGUUAAGAGUUGCCAUGGCGAUUUAGGUAAAUUUGACAUGUCAAGUAAAGUAAUUUUGCCAUGGCAAAAAUAAAGAGUUAAUUUUAUUGCCAUGAUUUUUACCAUAUACAUGAAGACACAAAAAAUGCCGAUUGAAAAAUGCCAUGGCAACUAAAAAGUAAAAUUUGACAUGGAUGUAAAGGUUAAUUUGCCAUGGCAAGUAAAGAAGUAAACUUGCCAUGAGCAAAAGUAAAAGUAAAAAAGUUGCCAUGUAUGUAAAAAAGUGAAUUUCCAUGUAUGUAAAGGUCAAGUUGCCAUGGCAAAACAGAAAAGGUUAAUUUGGCAUGGCACUUUUAAAAAGGGUAAAUUUACCAUUGGCAAAAAGAAAGGUAAAAUUGCCAUGGUUAUAAAGUAAAACUUACCAUGGCUAUAAAACUAAAUUUACUAUUACAUAAAUUGCCAUGAAGGUAAAUAAGCCAUGGCAGAAAGGAAAAGUAAAUUUUAAUUAGCCAUGAUCGACUAAAAAGUAAAAUUAGGCAUGUAUGUAAAAGUUAAAUUGCUAUGAUAUCAUAGAUAAUUCUGCCAUGGUAAAAAAUAAAUGUAAAGUUAAAAUUCGCCAUGGAAAAAAUAGAAGUAUAAAUUGCCAUGUCAAUAAAAGUUAAAAUUUGCCAUGGAAAUUAAGGUGAAUUUGCCAUGGAAAAAGAAAAGUAAAUUAAUUAGCCAUGAUGGGCUGAAGUAAAAAAAAUUGACAUUAUAUGUAACAGGAAAAUGCCAUAGUAGUGUAGAUAUUUUUUUCAUAGCCAAAAAAAUAUUGACAUUAUAUGUAAAAGGAAAAAUGCCAUAUUAGUGUAGAUAUUUUUUUCAUAGCCAAAAAAUUGCAAAUUUGCCAUUAAAAAGCAUACAUUUCAAUGGAAUAAAACUUCCCAUGGCGAUUUAUGUUAAAUUACCAUGUUAAAAAGGUAAAUUUGUCAUGUCAGCAUAGAUAAUUUUGCCAUGGCCAAAAAAAUGUAAAAGUAGAAACUGCCAUGCUAAUAAAAUUGAAAUUUGCCAUGGCGAUUUACGUAAAAUUGCCAUGUCAAUGAAGGCAAAUCUGCCAUGUGACUAAGAUACAAUUCUAAAAAUAUCGUUAGAUUUGCCAUCGUCUUAAUCAAAAUUUAGACAUAGGCCUAAAAUGUCAAAAUGCUUGUACGUUGAGGGACAUGGCUACAAAUUAUGAACAAAAAAAUGACAUGUCAUAUGCAUAUUAAAAUCUUGCUAUGACGUUUCAGUUAUAAUUCCAUUCUUUGUGUAAGAAAAUUGCCAUGAACAUAUUCAUUCAUAUAUUAAAACAACACCUGGCAUGCUCCAUGCUGGCUCUCAAAAACAUUCAUAGCAAAAAAUAUAUAAAAAAUUGCCAUGGCAAAACUAGUUACAAAAAAGAGAGAUGGUAGGAGGUUUUAAAUUGAAAAUUUGCCAUGGCAAAUGAUAUCUAAUUCGAAAUGAUUUGCCAUGGUAUAUGCAAUUAAAUGAUGUGUAAUUCAUGAGAAAAUGUAGAAGAAAAGUGGUGAAUUAAUCACUAGGGUGGAGCUGCAUCGCUGGGCGGCGGCUAAAAUGAAAGCUGGCGAUUAGUGGCGGAGUCCCCUCCCGGCGACGCUCGGCAGAUGCUCGGGCUCUGCCAAAAAACUUCCAUUAGAUUACAGUAGGAGCUGGAUAAUUAAUCACCAGUCUUAGUGGGCAAAUGCCCAUGAAGCACAUCCCGUUGUAUUAUGCCCAGGCUCCAUGGAAGGGCUAGCUCCAUCACCGGCGACGGUGGAAUUGGAGCUGGAGAAAGUGAGGGACGGCAGGGAGAGAAGAGGGGUAAGGUGGAGCCGUACGCGUUCGUUUCGGUCGCGUGUCGCACCGAACAACCGCGAAAAGUGACGUGGACACUGAGCUAACAUUAAGAUUAGUGCGAAUUAAACGGACGGCGGAAACAGCGUUCGGCCUGAAACGUCCAAAAUCUGACGUUCGGCACUUAUUGUUUCCAAGAAAGAGUCGCUCGUUCAUCUCACAUCACUCGGCUGGUCUCUGGGCCAUCCCUCGGGCCGGGCCACACACGACUACCCUUCACUUCCGCGGGCCGCAGUCGCGUGCCCAUUCCCCCCUUUCGGCCCUCACGUAUCCGGGCCGGGAGACUAGCACUAUAUAUACCGGGCAAGCGAUGCCGCCCUAGGGUUCUUCCUUCACCCCUGCUUCCAUUCUCUUCCUCCGGGAGCGCCGCCGCUUCCUCAUCUCCCACCUCUCGGCUCGGGAGCCGGAAGCGAAACCCCAAGGUGAGCCGGACCUCCCCCUCCUUCCUUCCUCCCCGCGCUCCGGUCGCCUCGUUGGUGCGUCGCUUCUCCGUAGUCCGUGCUAACUGCUGCCUAGUCGUUCGAUCGAUUCCACCGGUUUUAGUCUCCUCGCUAGCUCGACGCGCUUCAGUUCACGUCGCUGGAUCUGUCGUCGUUCUUCCGUGUUUUUCAUGUUCUCAAGCGCCGUAGAUCUACUGCCUUGUUCGUCCUGCUCGCCUGUUCGAACGGUUUUGUUCUGACGUCUGUAGAUGCGCGCUAGGUUGUUGUUCCGUCGUGAUUCACGUGGAUCUGUUGUCCCGGUGUUGGUUUUGGCCAUUUUGCUAUGCUGUUGGUUCAUGAGGUUUGCUAGAAUGCUCGAUCUGUAGGGUAUUUGCUCGCUCGCUUGCCUGCCUAUCGUAACCUGGUCGGUGUUAUUCUCUGCUCUCAUGCUCAGAUCGGAGAAAAUUGUAUCACUGCUUUGCAUGUUCAUUUUAACUUGAAAGAGAGCUACCGAUAUUUAUCAUCUGUGUGUUUCAGUGUUUUAUGUAAGUUCAGUUCAGGCACUCUGCAUGAAUUUCGGUCUGAUCUGAUCAUUAUUUCGUUUGGAUGAAUAUGUGCUAGUAUUUUCUGUGUUUUCCUUGGUAUUUGAUGGUUGCGCCACUUGAGAGUUUCAACUCAAUGACGUUCUGUUCCAUUAUUUAUAGCGUUUAUGUUGGUAGUUACAUGAUAUCACAGUCAUUAGCGCAUAAAACUGUGAUUCCAUGACAAAUCAGCCUCUAUUACAUUUACCCAAGUCUUGACUUUGUCUGUAAUCACCUUUACACUGUUUUGCCAUUUGACAUAAUCUUCUGGAGAAGUUUUUAUCUAUGUACCACCCCUUUAUAAGCUCCACAGACCUGGAAGUACUUGGGGUUUUAGUUAGUGAAUCCAUUUCCUGUUUUUGCUUCAUAGUUGCUUCAGUGCUUUUGCAUGUAUGCUCUGCAUAAUAUUUCUUUGUUAUUGCUGUGUUGUUUUUUCUCAUACUGUGACUGUCAGUUCUCUUAAUAUUGUUUGGGCUUGCUUUGUUGCUGCCUUCUCAGUGCACUUCUAUUAGUCCUAAUAUAUUAAAUUUAAUAAGCUCAGUUGACCAUAUUAUAUAUUUCAGGGGAUGUUGGUGGAAGUGUUGGUUAAAGUAGUUUUGUAGCAGUGUAUGAACCUUAUUGUUGUACACCAAUGUUAAGUGCACUUUCGAGUGGACAAUUGUGGUUUUAAUUACUUGGACAUCCAUUAUUAUAUUACUGCCAGAUUUCAUGUAUAGUUAUUCGAACUGUAUUAGUGCUUGAUUCUGAUAGCUUGCUAUUCUUUGAACAGGUACUGUAGUCCUGGCGUGACAUUCAAAAGCAGUCAAGAUGGUGAAGUUCACAGCGGAGGAGCUCCGUGGAAUUAUGGAUAAAAAGAAUAAUAUUCGUAACAUGUCUGUUAUUGCUCAUGUUGACCACGGUAUGUGAUUGAACAGUGUCAGUUGUCUCUAAUUAUAAUGUUUAUACAGUAUAAUCUUUUAGAUUGAUGUUUUUGUAGCCUGCUCUUAGUUGUGCCAUAUUAUUUCUAGAACCUGGAUCUCUAUAUUAAUAACUGUUUCACUGUUUUAAUACAAGUUUCAGCUCUUGCUGUCUCCUGGAGCUUAUUCUUACUGCUUGUAUGAUUGAUUAAUGCUUUAACAAGCUUAAAUGCAACUAUUAGAAUAUAAUUGCAUGGCUCAAAAUCUCCCCAGUUUGGUGUAUGCUCCUGCUAGUUGCUGAAUGUAUUUCAAUUUACACGGUUAUACUUAGUAACACAAAAAUGCAUUUCCUUCUAUUAAUGUUGUUUGCAAUGUCCCACCAGAUUUUGUUAACCAUGUUACUAAAUACCUGGUUUGUCCUCUUUUAAUCAUGGUUUGUUUCAAUGUACUUUAAUGUUGUGCUGUACUUUACAUCUCUCAGUGGUUAAUAUGUUCAAGUGUAUAUUAAUGUAUAUCACGUUCAACUGUCAAUCUGGAUGCUUUUGCACCGUCCUCACCCAUAUUUACAUGUUUGCAGGCAAGUCUACGCUUACGGAUUCCCUUGUGGCAGCUGCUGGGAUUAUCGCCCAGGAAGUUGCUGGUGAUGUUCGCAUGACUGAUACCCGUGCAGAUGAGGCAGAACGUGGUAUUACAAUCAAAUCCACGGGUAUCUCUCUGUUCUAUCAGAUGACUCCUGAAUCACUUGAGAUGUACAAGGGCGACAGGGAUGGGGAUGAAUACCUGAUCAACCUUAUUGACUCACCUGGUCACGUUGACUUCUCUUCGGAAGUGACAGCUGCUCUUCGUAUCACUGAUGGUGCUUUGGUGGUGGUUGACUGUAUUGAGGGUGUCUGUGUGCAGACCGAAACUGUGCUGCGCCAAGCUCUUGGUGAGAGGAUUAGGCCUGUCCUCACCGUGAACAAGAUGGACAGAUGCUUCCUUGAGCUUCAAGUGGAAGGUGAGGAAGCAUACCAGACUUUCUCCCGUGUCAUUGAAAAUGCCAAUGUCAUCAUGGCAACAUAUGAAGAUGUGCUCCUUGGUGAUGUCCAAGUGUACCCGGAGAAGGGGACUGUUGCAUUCUCUGCUGGUUUGCAUGGGUGGGCUUUCACCCUUACAAACUUCGCUAAGAUGUAUGCCUCCAAGUUUGGAGUUGAUGAGGCGAAGAUGAUGGAGAGGCUUUGGGGUGAGAACUUCUUUGACCCAGCCACAAAGAAAUGGACCUCCAAGAACACUGGGACAGCUACCUGCAAGAGAGGUUUUGUUCAGUUCUGCUACGAGCCAAUCAAGCAAAUCAUCGCCACCUGCAUGAAUGAUCAGAAGGAUAAGUUGUGGCCUAUGUUGAAGAAGCUGGGUGUGACCAUGAAGAAUGAUGAGAAGGACUUGAUGGGCAAGGCUCUCAUGAAGCGUGUGAUGCAAACUUGGCUGCCUGCCAGUCGUGCUCUGCUUGAGAUGAUGAUAUUUCACCUUCCCUCUCCCUCAAAGGCACAGAGGUAUCGUGUGGAGAACUUGUACGAGGGUCCCCUUGAUGAUAUAUAUGCUAAUGCUAUCAGAAACUGUGACCCUGAUGGUCCUCUUAUGCUGUAUGUCUCCAAGAUGAUUCCAGCAUCUGACAAGGGUAGGUUCUUUGCCUUUGGACGUGUUUUUGCCGGGAGGGUUGCAACUGGUAUGAAGGUCCGUAUCAUGGGUCCCAACUUUGUUCCUGGCCAGAAGAAGGAUCUGUAUGUGAAGAGUGUCCAGCGUACUGUUAUCUGGAUGGGAAAGAAGCAAGAGUCUGUUGAGGAUGUUCCCUGUGGUAACACUGUUGCUUUGGUUGGUUUGGAUCAGUUCAUCACCAAGAAUGCAACCCUGACAAAUGAGAAGGAAGUUGAUGCCUGCCCAAUCAGGGCAAUGAAGUUCUCUGUGUCCCCUGUUGUGCGUGUUGCCGUUCAGUGCAAGGUGGCAUCUGAUCUUCCUAAGCUUGUUGAGGGUUUGAAGCGGCUGGCGAAGUCUGACCCUAUGGUUCUCUGUAGCAUUGAAGAGUCUGGUGAGCAUAUCAUUGCUGGAGCUGGAGAGCUUCACCUUGAAAUCUGUUUGAAGGAUCUGCAGGAGGACUUCAUGGGUGGUGCUGAAAUUAUUGUUUCCCCUCCCGUCGUCUCCUUCCGUGAGACUGUUCUUGAGAAGUCCUGUCGCACUGUCAUGAGCAAGUCCCCCAACAAGCAUAACCGUCUUUACAUGGAAGCUCGCCCAUUGGAGGAGGGAUUGGCUGAGGCUAUUGAUGAUGGCCGCAUUGGCCCGCGUGAUGAUCCUAAGGUUCGCUCCAAGAUCCUGUCUGAGGAGUUUGGGUGGGACAAGGAUCUCGCCAAGAAGAUUUGGUGCUUUGGACCUGAGACGACUGGCCCCAACAUGGUUGUUGACAUGUGUAAGGGAGUGCAGUAUCUGAAUGAAAUCAAGGACUCUGUUGUGGCUGGGUUCCAAUGGGCAUCGAAAGAAGGUGCUCUGGCUGAGGAGAACAUGCGUGGCAUUUGCUUUGAGGUCUGUGAUGUUGUUCUGCACACUGAUGCUAUUCACAGGGGUGGUGGUCAGGUCAUCCCAACAGCCAGGAGGGUCAUUUACGCUUCUCAGCUCACUGCCAAGCCAAGGCUGCUGGAGCCUGUGUACCUGGUUGAGAUCCAGGCCCCGGAGAAUGCACUUGGCGGUAUCUAUGGUGUUCUGAAUCAGAAGAGAGGGCACGUGUUUGAGGAGAUGCAGAGGCCUGGUACCCCGCUGUACAACAUCAAGGCUUACCUCCCGGUCAUCGAGUCGUUUGGGUUCUCAAGUACCCUCAGGGCGGCGACAUCUGGCCAGGCUUUCCCCCAGUGUGUGUUCGACCAUUGGGACAUCAUGUCUUCUGAUCCUUUGGAGGCCGGCUCCCAGUCCGCGACCCUUGUCACAGAGAUCCGCAAGCGCAAGGGUCUCAAGGAACAGAUGACCCCUCUAUCUGAUUUCGAGGACAAGCUCUAAACUUUUGCUUCUGUUACAUGGUCUAGUUUGCUUUUGCUGCUAAGAGAGCUGCACUAUUAUCUGUCUAUUGAGUCGUCGUCGCUGUAUUGCUAUUGGAAUGUACUCCUAUCUGUCGUGAUACUGGCACUUUGUUUUGAUGUCUGUCGAUGUUAAAACUUAGAUUAUAUAUCUGUCGCGAUACUUUUGAUGUCUAUCAAUGUUAAAACUUAGACUAUAUAUCUGUUAUGGUAGUUCUUGUUGAUGUCUUGUUUGCUUUUGUGUUAGAUCUUGAGAUCUCUGCCUGGUUCUUUAUUUUGCUCUAGUCUUGCUCUAUAUUUUUAAUGAUCUUGAGAGCUCCUCUACUUGCAGUAUUUCUUCCUGCUCUUAUCAUCAUUUUACCUUCCAUGUUUUAUGCCCAUCAAAAUGUGUUCCAUCUUCUGUCAGUUGUAUUUCAAUCUAUGCUGUACUUGUUUUUCUCCAUUUUCACGAGACACGCACUGAUGAUGAGAAAUUGCUCCCUAGUGCUAGAUACAUCUGUUGAGCAAACAACAUUUCAGACGGAGGAUGUAGUACAUUAGAGGAACUUGCCGAGAGAAUAUACUGUAGUAGAAGCAUCUGUUAAUGCCGAGAGUAUCCGAACUUGUAUCUCUUCGGAAUACUACAGAUUGAACCUUUGUAGGCAUGAAAGAAUAUUCACAUAAUUUUCAUGCUCAGUAACUCUCUUACUCCACGGUCAUAGCAAUAUUGAGUUCUGAAGUUGUUCAUGGUAAAUUCUGGCAUAUAAUUGAUUUGUCUGCUAUUUCUUUACUGUUACUGGAUGCAAUGUACUGAGUAGUUGUACACGGGCUCUAUGUAAUUAUGACACUUGCAAAUAAGCUUCAACCUUUUAAUUUUUGCUGAAACAUAGGCAUGCCAUUUAAUGACUUGUUUUCAUGACCAACUUUGCCACAAUUAAGCUUAGGCAAAGAGUGGCUAACAAAAUGUUUACUACAAGUGUGGCAAGAUUUGGCAAAAAAUUUGAGCCUAUGACAUGUGGAUCAUAUAGCUAGAAAAGUGUGGCAGCUAAGUGUGGCAAUAAACUAAAUACAUGCCUAAGAUGUUGUGGCACGACUAAGGUUAGACGCGGAAACCUUACGCUGCAAAUCAAACAUACCUUAACUAAAAUAAAGUGAUCUCAGGUUUCUUAAUUUGGACACGAUGUUCAUAAAUACAAAUAAUACUCUCUCCGUAUCUAAUACUAAAACGUGACUUGAUACAUCCGUAUUUAGACAAAUCUAAGACAAGAAUUUUGGGACGGGGGAGUAGAUGAUUGGCUUUGGUCAGUGUGUUCUGGCCGCUUUAUGGAUGCUUACUUUUAUCUUUUAUGAAAUUUCAAUACUUUUCAAAAGACAAGACAGACUUUUAAUUGCCAACAAAAAUAGUACGGGAAAAUAGGGCUGAGGCUCGUCCAUCAAAUUCUCCGCUAAAAGGGAAAAUAUAAAGUGGCGGAGCUAACAAUAAUUUUGAUUGAUUGCAUUCAUCUUUGGAUGAAAGCUUAGUUUGAGCAUGAUUCUCCAAAAAUAUUACCUAAAUGAUAAGCUUAAAAUCCGUAGCCUCCUAUUCACCAUCUCUAGUCAAUCAUGUCGAUCAUUUCAAUGGAUAUUAGAGUUAUGGAUCUUUAUUACGGCUUACCGCCUAAAGAGAAUAAGGUCGAUGCCGGGAAAUCCACCGGUGGUGCCCCUAUGGUACAUGGUGAGCUUCCCGUCACCACACAACUGUUGCCUUGACCAUGGUGGACUUUACGUUAAUGUUGGAUUUUUAAGUCCGCCAUGAUAAAAGAAGUUCAUUCCAUUUUCAAGGAAGAGGUGGGCUCGAAAGUCAAAGCCUCUACAUCCGCACAAUCCUCAUUUGCUCCAAGUGAGGUUCGUGAUGUGGACGAUGUAAGAGAACAUCUUGCUCUCCCCGAACCUACAAUUGCACCCCUCGCAAUUCCAUAGAGUGCCACUACACACUAUGACCUAUCCAACAUCCGGAUAUUAAUCAUGUUGGGCCUCCGCCCCCUUUGAAAGCUAACACAUUUUCUAAGCGGAAACUCACUCUGGAGUCUCACAUUUACAGUGCCUCUACACAACUCUCAUGGGUGAUUGCGAAUGGUUUCAAGCCCAAGGACCCAUCAAGCCUUACACCAAGGGAAGCCGUUGAUGAUCGAUUCAUUACCACCGCCUUCAACAUGCUCCGGCUUGCCACCACCGAUGAGUAUGCCAAUUCCAUUGCUAUCUUCAAGCCCCCCAAAGAAAUUUGAGAUUGCAUUGAGGAUAUAUUUGAAGGACAUGACAAUGUUCAGAGAUCUAGGUUGGUCAUUGUUCGUCAAUUUGUCCAUAAGGAAUGUGAGAGAGACCACUGAAGAGGUGUUCUGGAGAUUGAAGUCACUUGUGUUGGAUUCGAGAAACUUUUGGAGCCAUGGUCUUUACGAAUCAUACUAUGAUCAUGAUGAUCCACCAACAUCCCGACUAUGACCGAAUGACUCCCAAUCGAGUUGUGUCUUCUUUUGGAGAUCAAGUCCAAGAACACAAUGGCGAUUGAUCAAGAAAUAAAGAACUCCAAUCUAGCGCUAAAGGCCAAGAAGGUGGUCGGAUGUGCUACGAGAGAAGAAGUUGAUACCUCGUGUCAGGUUGACUUUGAGGAAGACUUGACCCUCUAGGUCAAGAAAUAUUCGGGCACAAAAGCAAAGAAAAGGGGAAGCAUCUUAAGGGAACAUCCUUUGGGAGAAGAACGUGCCACAAUCUUAUUAAUGUUACAUGGAGAAGAUUUCGUUUUGCGAUUGACUUCUCUCUCGCGCCAUCCGCCUCGCGAGCCGUCCGAUCAAGGUUGAUCGUGCUGCACUCAUCGUAUGUCACCCGUCCACCUGGGGCCCAUGCACCACCGUCCGCAUUAUAUCCAGCGCAACAACGAGAGCCACUCGCUCCCCCCCACAUGAGUGAGAUCCCCAUUUUUCCUCUUCAUAUUUGAAUCCCUCUUUGCACGGCCCCGUCGGAGCAGUCGCAAGCGGCAUGUAGCACCUGACGGGGAACCUGCUGCACCCUAGCAGCCGGCGACCCACAGCACCCGCGUCGGCGUUGCCCAGCAUCGUCGACCGUUCCCGUGCCCUAUGUUGCCGAGCAUCGUUGGCCGUUGCUGCGGUCGGUGUUGCCGAGCACGUCUGCGCUCAGCUCUCAUCUUCUUUUUUUUUUGAGGCACGCUCAGCUCUCAUCUGAAAUUCUCACCACGCCUGGACAUCAUCCCUUUCGGCCCGACUCCACAGUGGACAACAGACAGGCCAGCUUCACUUGCGGGCCGCAUUUCGCGUGGCCGGCCUUCCCCCUCCGCUCCGCGCGCAUCUUGGCCCGCACGGAACCAACAAAAUAGCAUAUAUAACGGCCAGCAAAUGCGACCUAGAGAGUCCUCACUUCCUUGAACCCUUUCCAUUCUCACGGAUCGGGAGCGCCGCCGCUUCCCCACCUCUCGUCUCUCGGCGAACCCCCAAGGUGAGCCGAACCUCCCCUCCCGCCUCCUCCCCCGCGCCCUCCGGCUGCUUCUCCGGCUGCUCCGUCGGCGGGCGCGUCCCUGCUAGCUAGCUACUGGCUGCUACCUGGCCGACCGAUUUCACGGGCUCUAGUCCAGCCUCCUCGCUAGCUCGAUGCGGUCCAGUCCCCUUUGCUGGGUUCGUGGCCGCUGGGAUUAUUCCUAUGUGGUUUCGAUGCUCUUAGACGCGGUAGAUCUGCUGCUUCGUUCGUCCCGCUCGCUUGUUCCUGGCGACGACUUUGUGCUGACGUCACUAGAUAGAUAAGCUCGUCGCUUCCGAUGCGCUUCUGCGGUGGCUAAGGGUGUUUGCCCCGUCGUGUUUAGCGAGGAUCUGCCCGCUCCGCCGUGGUGGACGGCGAUCUGUUUUAUGUGGUGUUCCGUUAGCUUUUUUCGCCAUUUUUUGCUGCGCUGCUGUUCAUCCACGGGCUCUUAGCAUGCUCAAGCUGCAGGGUUUUGCUCACUCGGUUGCCUGCCUGCCGUACCCUGGUUGGUUUCGUUCUCUGUUCUCAUGUUCAGGGCGGAGGAAAUGGUGAUGCAUACCUUUGCUUGGCAUGUUUAAUUUAAUUUGAUUGUGUAUAUAGAACGGGAGACUCUUAUAGAAUGGUGUGUCAGUUCUUAUCUACUUAUAGUUGAGGUAUUAUGGGUGAAUUUAUCCCUCAUCUGUUUUAUUUGGUUAAAUUGAUCCUAUGUGACUAUCUUCUGGUGUUCUUCUCAGUGCUCCCCAUGCAUGGUUGGUUGCACCUAUUUCAGAGCUCAACAUUAUGACCUUCUGUGCAUCGCAUUGUUUCUAGUGUUUACAGUGGUAGUUACUACUACAUGAUAAUACAGUCAGCACGUGUGCAUAAAACUAAAACUACCUUCUGUCACAAAUCAACUUUGCAUAAAACUACGAUUCUGUUUCGAAUCUGAUUUGUUUUCUCCAUCCACAUAUGAUUGAUUCAUGAGAGAUGUUUCUAUGAUCCACAAAGUUAUACAGAUCUGUAGGUACUUGAAGGUUUAGCUAGUGAAAUCCAUUACCUGUUUGUGCUUCAUACUUGCGCACACUUCAGAUAAUGGACUGCUUUUCUUUCUUAUCUUUCUUACUGUUUUGUGCUUUCUUUCGCAUACUGUCAUGUCGAGUGCUCUAAAAAUUGGUUGCCAUUGUUGCUUUCUGGCUUCCUUUUGAACGCACUUUGGGCAAUUAAGUUUUCAGAACAUGGUCUUCAGUUCCCAUAAGUUAGUUUUAGUAUGCUUGGUUGACUGUAACACAUAUUUCAUUUUAGUGGGUGUGGUUGUGGAAGUGUUGGUUAAAGUAUUUUUGGUACUGUACUUGAAGCUAAUGUGUGCCCAACAGUAGUAAGAGCCUUCUGUUUAUUCAGUUGUGGUUUUAAUUACUUAAUUUUUGUUCCAUUCUGAACAGGAACUAUAUUCCCAGCGUGAUAUCCAAAACCAGUCAAGAUGGUGAAGUUUACUGCGGAGGAGCUCCGCGGAAUUAUGGACAAGAAAAAUAAUAUUCGUAACAUGUCUGUUAUUGCUCAUGUCGACCACGGUAUGUGCCUGAACAUACAGUUGUCUCUAAUUAUUGAGUUCAUACAGUAGAAUCUUUGUUAAUCAAUGUUUUCAGCCUCUUAAUUUUACUGUAUUUAAUUCUAAAUACUGAAACUAUUUAAAUGGGUCAAUUUAACAAGUGGAGCAUAAUUAGUUUCAUCCCUAAAACCAAUCCAUCUUAUUGUGUCCUGGAGUUUACUACCACUGCUUAUUAUAUGAUUGAUUUCUGCUUCACCAAUAUGACUGAUUUCUGCUUCACCAAGCUUAAAUGUUACUGUUGACAUACCAUCCCAGGGCUUAUAUCUCCCCAGUUUGGUGUAUUCUCACAUUGUCCCUGAAUGCAUUACACUUGUAGGAUCUGAAAUUUACAUGAUUGUACUUAGUUACUUCAAUAUUGAUGUCCUUAUAUUCUGUUUGCAAUGUCCCACUAGAUUUUGCUUAACCAUGUUGCUAAAAACCUUGUUGAGCUUAUUUGUACCUUCUUUUGUUUCCUGAUUGUUUGAAAGUACUGUACUGCUGUGUCCUACUUCUGCCUUAUAUGAGUUAACAUGUUCGAUUUUCUAUUCAUAUAGGUUGUGUUCAACUGUCAAACCAGAUGCUUGUGCACUGUUCUCACAUAUUAUUUACAUAUUUGCAGGCAAGUCUACGCUUACGGAUUCCCUUGUGGCAGCUGCUGGGAUUAUCGCCCAGGAAGUUGCUGGGGAUGUUCGCAUGACCGAUACCCGUGCAGAUGAGGCAGAGCGUGGUAUUACAAUCAAAUCCACGGGUAUCUCUCUUUUCUAUCAGAUGACUCCUGAAUCACUUGAGAUGUACAAGGGCGACAGGGAUGGAGAUGAAUACCUGAUCAACCUUAUUGAUUCACCUGGCCACGUUGACUUUUCUUCGGAAGUCACAGCUGCUCUUCGUAUCACUGAUGGUGCUUUGGUGGUUGUUGACUGUAUUGAGGGUGUCUGUGUGCAGACCGAAACUGUGCUGCGCCAAGCUCUUGGUGAGAGGAUUAGGCCCGUCCUCACCGUGAACAAGAUGGACAGAUGCUUCCUUGAGCUUCAGUUUGAAGGUGAGGAAGCAUAUCAGACUUUCUCCCGUGUCAUCGAAAAUGCCAAUGUCAUCAUGGCAACAUAUGAAGAUGUGCUCCUUGGUGAUGUCCAAGUGUACCCAGAAAAGGGGACUGUUGCAUUCUCUGCUGGUUUGCAUGGGUGGGCUUUCACCCUUACAAACUUUGCUAAGAUGUAUGCCUCCAAGUUUGGUGUUGAUGAGGUGAAGAUGAUGGAGAGGCUGUGGGGUGAGAACUUCUUUGACCCAGCCACAAAGAAAUGGACCACCAAGAACACUGGGACAGCUACCUGCAAGAGAGGUUUUGUUCAGUUCUGCUAUGAGCCAAUCAAGCAAAUCAUCGCCACCUGCAUGAAUGAUCAGAAGGAUAAGUUGUGGCCUAUGUUGAAGAAGCUUGGUGUGACCAUGAAGAAUGAUGAGAAGGACUUGAUGGGAAAGGCUCUCAUGAAGCGUGUGAUGCAGACUUGGCUGCCUGCCAGUCGUGCUCUGCUUGAGAUGAUGAUAUUUCACCUCCCCUCUCCUUCAAAGGCACAGAGGUAUCGUGUGGAGAACUUAUACGAGGGCCCCCUUGAUGAUGUAUAUGCAAAUGCUAUCAGAAACUGUGACCCUGACGGUCCUCUUAUGCUGUAUGUCUCCAAGAUGAUUCCAGCAUCUGACAAGGGUAGAUUCUUUGCCUUUGGACGUGUUUUUGCC